rnacentral:lncRNA from 1 species
UUUUAUGGACCGCGCCCUCGCGUCACCCUUUGGGUAGAGGAGGAAAUUAGCCGCUCCUCAUCGUUUCAAUCCCGCGUGGUUUAGUUGAAUACAUUAAAUUGAUUUCCGAAGAAUUGGAGAAGCACAAGAGAAAACCCACGGAAUUUAGAAAAGUCAAAAGCAAAAAGUGAAGAAAGGUCUCCGUUGUACAGAGCCCAGAUGCAAUCCGCAGAAAUCUUUAAUGUCUGGCCACUAGCCGUUAGCCGCAGGCGAAACCACAGUAAAGAAAAAGAGAACAGGAGAAAAGUGUCUGACAAGGAGUAGAAAAAGGAAAAUAAAAGCUAAGCCUAAAAAUUCAUCCUGAAUCUCGCUUCUUCUUUUCCUCUUGUAGCCGCCGCAAUUUCCAAGUCCAAGGCCCACACGUCUAGUACAAUUCAAUCUGCAAAAGCCAUUUCCCCCUUUGAGUUUUGAUCCCAUGCGCCUGGUCCACAUGGACCACGGUCCGUCUUUCGGUUUCGUUCACCUUUCAAGGCGUGGUCACGCUCUGGGACGACAAGUCUUCUGGAAAUUUUUCCCCGCGAUAUCUUUUUAAUGCUAACCACCUACAAUUCACGCUAAUGUCAAAUAUGAGUGAAAUCCCCUUUCUUAGCACCAUGAAUAGCCAAAAUUAGGACAAGAUGACAGUGCAAAACGUGCCAAAUAACGGCUCUAUCAAAUCCCCCCACACCUAGACAAUGCUUGCCCUCAAGCAUUUCGAAACUCAGACGUACAACCACGAGAGCGGAGGUCAUGCAGUAGUCUAUACUAACACAAGCAUCUAGUGUCCCUGACAAUAUCGCCAAAAUUAGAUCACACCGGACAGGCUGUAAUUCGAAGAAGAUAUAUGGAUACUAAGAACGCUCAAAUCAACAUCACGAAAUGUCAUUACCAUAGGCUUGCACAUUCAUCACAUCUCCACCACUUGAAAGUGAACUAAACACAUAAAUCAAAGGGACUUUAAUAGGGUUGUAAUGGGGCUCAGGUAAAAGGCGGGUUAAGAAGGUAUGGCUAGGGGGUGAAGUGUCAAGAGAAUGUCCGAAACUCCCCAGUAACCACCGUGCUUUAUCGAAGGAGUUUAACUAAUAAAGCAGUUUCCAUUUGCUGUACACCCCGUACAAGUGCCCAAAAAUUUUUUUUUUUUGGAACUAUUUGCAAGGCGUGGGCACGCCUUGUAACCCUUAGUCCACUGGUCACGAAGGCUUCUUCAGUUUUUUUUUUUUUUUUUUCAGAAAAGUUCCGCAAGGCGCGGCCACGCCCUGUAAGCCACAGUCCACUGGUCAGUGGCCCUCUUCCAAUUUCUCAUUCUUUCUACAAGACUAACAUCAUAUGGCACCUAAUCUAAAACCACUUGCAACCCCCAAAUUUGUUUGUUUUCACACAAAUGAUGGAAUUCAGGCAUCCCUUGACAACACAGGGGUAAACAAGAAAAUUUAAAGAGGUUUUGGGUUAACAAAUACGGAUAACAACCAGAAACGAAGGACAAAAGCUCAAAUUGGUUUACUAUUGGGAGAUAAGGUGAGGGCUUGAUUCUUUUAGAUAGCUAAAGAGGGUUAAACCUUAAAUGCCCUUAUCAUUUCAAAUGCAUCCAAUUCAACAAAAAUGUGGCCUCGACAUGCAUAAACUAGCAAGUUCUAGAAUGUCCAUAACAUGUGUGAUACCCACUCAACCAAACAAAAUAGAGCAAACAUAAAUAAUAUGCUCAAGCAAGGCUCAAAAGCUCUCCAAAAGUUACAAGAAUGGGUCAAUUCCAGCAUAUUCAUCAUUCAACAACAUUGCCAAGGGAAACAAAAUGCCUAGCUAGCAUACUUAACCACAUAACCACUUACGUUGAUUGUGUCUUUCAUCACAGCACAUGCCCCAACAUUGACAAGCAUAGACAUAAUUAACAAACCGACUAACUACACUGAUUUUCAUUACUAUUUUCCUCCUUCUUUUUCAAAUUUUUUUUUUCAACGAAGCAAAAAACACAGAACUGACGAGACAAAGCGAAAAGGACUAGUGAAAACCACUUCCCCCACACCUAAAAUCGACAUUGUCCCAAAUGUAGGAAAGAUAAUGAGGUAUUAGGAGAACUGAGAGGCACUUCCCUGAUCACCGGGGAGUCAAAGCGAGACACUAAGAUGGAGGGGGAUGAAGCGGCGUGAAUCCAAUGUGAGCGUAGAAGGCCGCCUGAUUCUCUGCCUGAAUGCGGGCGAAGACCUGGAGAGCCAUAAGACGGCCAUCUAUCUGUGAUAGCUGGGUAUUGAGCUCAUGAACACCCUCCUGGAGGUCCGGGUAGCGGGGGUCUCUAGCAGGAGGAGAACGCGAGGAGGACGGUCCCGCCUGAUCCGGAUGCGGUGGCAAGUCAGUGGAGGGUGCAGUGGCGGGCAUCCGAAGCUGUGGGCCGUCUUCACCAGGGAGCGUAAAUUGGUAGACAUCGCCCACCUUUCGAAUGACACCCAUUCGCUCUAAAUUGCGCAAAUCCAGUGGCUCAAUCUCUCGAGUUAGGGCGAAGUUGUGCUCCUUGUCAAGGUCUAGCACUCCCAAUCGGAUGGCCAAGUGGGUAAUGAGCGAGCCUAGGAUAAUCGGUUUAUUUUGCUUAUGAAUGACUGACUCCAUUUGAGUGGCUAUCCAACACCCAAAGUUAACCUUAACAUUGUUGCGCAUGCACCAAAGGAAGUAGAAUUCUGCUUUGGUAAGGGUGCCGGAGGAAUCCUUUCGUCCCGAGAAAUUGUAAGCCAAGAACCUGUGGAUGACCUUUAAGACCGGAUCCUUCAGUUCAGAGGCCUUGGACUGACUCGGAUUAUAAACUAGCCGAUCCGUAGACCACUCCCUCCAGAUGUCAAUAUAUUCAGUUCUGAACGGUCUGGUGUAGUCAAUAGCACUAUUAAUAUACUCUCCGGAGGCAAUGGUGUCCUCACUUACAAACCCCAAAGUCAGAUUAAACUCAUUGAUUGAAAAAUCAAAAUGUUUGCCUUUUAAUCUGAACCGAAUAAUCUCCGGCUCAUCCAAAGUGAUGUACUGAUUCCUGAUAAACUCAAAAGAGCAGUAAAAUUCACAACAAAGCUCCUCAAACGUGGGGUAGUUAAUGCUCAAAUACUUUUCCCAACCUAUCGCUGAGAACAAUUGCUCAACCUCCCGAGCAAUUCGCAGGUGGUCCAGGGUUGGGGCAUGGAAGCACUUACAAGGGGCAACAGGUCGAUUCACCAAAGUGUUAAACCGGUCCUGUUGGGCCCUUGUAAGAUUAGUUAUCGGUUCCCCCCACUCCCCAGGGGACAUGGUACUCUUAUUCAGGCCCAAACGGGACCGAAUGGGGGGUUGGACCGGGGCUCGUCUCUUCCGAGGUUGGGACCCAGACGGCCCAGCCGUAGUUGCCUUGUUAGGAGGCAUUUAGGGAUCACUGAUAAAGUAUAUCAGAUCAGAAACAGCAAACCAACCACCAAAAGCAGAUAUGGGACCAGUCAACGAAAUUAUUAAAUACUCAGCAGCUCAACCAUAACAAGGGACACAGUUACCCCACCAACCGACAACUAGACAACACACACCAACCAAUUCCCCACUGCUGGCAAUUAGCCGACAACAAUUAAGAAGACCGAGCCAACUCCCCUCAAAUCAAGAUAUUAGUCAAUAAAAAGCAGCACUCAGAGGGCUACCAACCACGUGUUCCAAAUAACAAAUUCACUAAAGCCCACAGAUAUCUCAAGUAUAUAUUCACAGGGAAGCAGAUAUAAGGUGUUUCUCUUCAGAUAAUCAAACCACUGGUCCCCCGACAAUACCAACAAAUAUAGCAACCCAAAAGGAGGCAAAAAUUGGCAAUUAAAACUCCCAAUCGAAGUCACCAACUCAACAAGAAAAGUAGGGGUACCACUUUUUUCCUUUGUCUCGGCUGAAGAAGAAAGUGGCGGAGUGGGUGCGCGCGGGCGCUGGGGUGCGACCGGCUGUGGAUGCGCAGCGGGCUGGUCGCAUGCUGCUGCUGAGCUGCGAGGGGAAAAAGGCCGCGCGCAGAUCUGGUCUAGCUGGGGCGCGCGGUUAGAAGUCUGCGCGCGUUGGGGUCUGGCGCGCGCUGGUGCGCCUGGCGUGCGGUGGAGGGUUGCGCGCAGGUGGGCGGUGGCGGCGGCGCACAAGCACAAGGGGAGAACAAAGAAGACAAAGGCAAAAACAAAGACAAAGAAGAGGACAAAGGAAAUUUUCAGCAUGAGAGAACUUAGUCAAAGGCACUGGGCAGAAUUAUGCAAAGAAGAAGACAAAGUGACGAAGUAUGGUCUUAGUCCAAGAAUUGUCUUUCUUCUUUGACUUUCGUUAUUGGAAGGGUUGGAAGGCGUGGGCACGCCUUGGAAGGCAUGGUCCUCUGCCCAGAGCAUCUAAAUGAUUUCCAAACGAAUUUCCAUCAAGGCGUGAGCACGCCUUGGAACCUCUACUCCUCUGUCCAACACCACAAAAACAGUCAAAACAUUAAGAUAAAACUGAAAAAUCGCAGAGUAAGUAAAAAUGAUCACAACUAAUAUUGUAAUCCUUGGGUUGCCUCCCAAUCAGCGCCUUUCUUUAACGUCUUUGGCUAGACAUGGCCUUCAAUUGUUUAAAUCUCUCCUCUUGGAUCAUCAAGGAAUAAAACCUCCAUUUGCUCAUUAUUAAACCCUUCGUAAUAAGGCUUUAGACGGUGACCAUUAACUACGAAUCUUUUCUCCGUCUUAAGACUUUGUAUUUCCACUGCACCAUAAUGAGAAAUAUUAGUAACAAUAAAUGGACCAAUCCAACGGGAGCGCAACUUACCAGGAAAAAGCUUAAGUCUUGAAUGAUAAAGUAAAACUUUUUGCCCUACGACAAACGACUUUCUCGAAACUUGUUGAUCAUGGAAAACUUUGCUUUUCUCCUUAUAAAUUGCGGAAUUCUCAUAGGCUUCAUUCCUUAGCUCUUCCAACUCUUGUAAUUGGAGCUUUCUGUGUCCUCCAGCCUCCAUGAGAUCCAUGUUACACCGCUUAAGUGCCCAAAAUGCUUUGUGUUCAUAUUCCACCGGGAGGUGGCAAGGCUUACCAAAAACUAACCUGUAUGGGGACAUCCCAAUCGGCGUCUUAUACGCAGUGCGAUAGGCCCAGAGAGCAUCUUCCAAUUUCACACUCCAAUCCUUUCGAUCAGGCCUCACCAUCUUCUCCAGGAUCGACUCAACUUCCCUGUUUGAUACUUCGGCUUGACCAUUCGUUUGGGAAUGAUAGGGAGUGAAAACUUUGUGGAGCACACCAUACUUACGAAACAAAGCAGUGAUCGUCUUAUUACAGAAAUGGGUGUCCCUGUCACUCACUAUAGCUCUUGGCAUUCCAAAACGGACGAAAAUGUUAGAUCUAAUAAAAUCUGCAACCACUCUAGAAUCAUUAGUCCGGGUGGCUUUUGCCUCCACCCAUUUGGAAACAUAGUCAACAGCAAGUAUAAUGUACAAGAAACCAAAAGACGAGGGGAAUGGACCCAUGAAAUCUAUACCCCAGACAUCAAAAAUCUCAACAAAUAAUAUGGGGGUUUGACUCAUUUGAUCUCUUCGAGAGAUAUUCCCCACCCUUUGACACUUAUCGCAAGAUUUGCAAAACAGAUAUGCAUCUUUAAACAGAGUAAGCCAAUAAAAACCACUUUCUAACACUUUACGAGCUGUCCUCUUUGGAUCAAAAUGCCCUCCACAUGCAAACGAAUGACAAAAAGUUAAAAUAGAGUGAAACUCACCUGCACUUACACACCUUCUUAUAACUUGGUCUGAACAUUGCCUCCACAGGUACGGGUCAUCCCAAAGGUAAUGUUUGGCAUCACUCUUUAGCUUAUCCCUUUUAGCUUUUGACCAACCUGCAGGUAAUUGAUUCGUGACCAAAAAAUUGACAAUGUCCGCGUACCAAGGUAUCGACGAAUCAAUGGCCAAAAGUUGCUCCUCAGGGAACGACUCUCUCAACGGUAGAUCUUCUUGAUUUGUAAGCAACCGGCUCAAAUGAUCAGCCACCAAAUUCUCAGCUCCACUCUUAUCCUUAAUCUCUAAGUCGAACUCCUGCAGGAGCAGGAUCCAUCUAAUGAGCCGCUGUUUGGCAUCCUUUUUCGCCAACAGGUACCUCAAGGCUGCAUGGUCAGAGAAAACAAUUACUUUUGUACCCAAUAAAUAUGACCUAAAUUUCUCUAGUGCAAAAACAACAGCUAGUAAUUCCUUCUCCGUCGUGGAGUAAUUAAGUUGGGCUCCACUUAAGGCUCUCGAUGCGUAGUAGAUCGCGUGUGGCGCUCUUCCAAUUCUUUGUCCCAACACGGCCCCCACGGCAUAGUCACUUGCGUCGCACAUAAUUUCAAACGGAAGGCUCCAAUCUGAGGGUUGAAUGACAGGCGGCGAUGUCAGUGACUCCUUCAAUUUAUCAAACGCCACCUUACAUUCACUUGUGAAAUCAAACGGCACGUCUUUCUGCAGUAGUUUGAACAGGGGUGCUCCGAUCUUCGAAAAGUCUGAUAAAUCUCCUGUAAAAACCUGCAUGGCCCAAAAACGAACGCACUUCCCGUACACAUACGGGGUAAGGUAGAGCAGAAAUAAGGUCUAUCUUAGCUUUAUUUACCUCUAUGCCCUUAGCCGACACAACGUGUCCUAAGACAAUGCCAUGAUCUACCAUAAAGUGACACUUUUCCCAAUUAAGUACCAAAUUCGUCUCUAUGCACCUUUUCAGAAUUAAAGCCAGAUUUUCCAAACAUUCAUCAAAACUGUCCCCGUACACACUGAAAUCAUCCAUGAAUACCUCAAUUAUUUUCUCUACAUACUCGGAGAAAAUACUUACCAUGCACCUUUGAAAGGUCGCUGGAACAUUGCAGAGUCCGAAAGGCAUCCGACGGUAGGCAAACGUGCCAAAUGGGCAUGUGAAGGUAGUCUUCUCCUGGUCUUCUGGUGCGAUCGCGAUCUGAAAGUAACCUGAAAAACCAUCCAAGAAACAAUAGUAAACACGACCUGCCAAUCGUUCUACCAUCUGAUCAAUAAAGGGGAGGGGAAAAUGGUCCUUUUUUGUCACUGCAUUUAGCUUCCUGUAGUCGAUGCACUGACGCCAGCCAGUAGCUUUCCUGACCGGGACCAUAUCACCCUCCUGGUUCUCCUCCACGGUCACUCCCGCCUUUUUCGGGACUACCUGGACAGGACUCACCCAUGGGCUAUCCGAGAUAGCAAAAAUGAUCCCCACCUCUAGAAACUUGAGUAUCUCCUUUUUCACAACUUCCAUCAUCAGGGGGUUCAACCUCCUUUGAGCCUGUCUUACUGGUUUCGCAUCUUUCUCGAGCCGAAUUCGGUGCAUACAUAAGGAUGAACUUAUUCCCUUGAUAUCUGCUAUACUCCACCCAAUUGCCUCCUUAUGCUCCCUCAGGACCCGCACUAGUUUGUCUUCUUGACUUGGAGACAGGUGUGCAGAGAUGAUUACCGGCAGUGUCUCCCGGUCUCCUAGGAAUGCGUACUUAAGAUGCUUUGGCAGAGGCUUUAAUUCUAAAUCUGGUGCCUGAACAACUGAAGGAAGCAGUUUCGCUUGAGCCUCUGGCACAAAAAGAGAAGUAAACUCAUACCUUGGGGGAUACGGGUGGAAGUGAGUGUAAGGCUUCCACUGCAUGGAGCAAAUCUCCCCUUAGGUCCACAUCAUGAGUUACACCCAACUGCAAGUGUUUGGCUAGAGCCACUUCCAAAGCGUCUUCGCCAUCUAAUUCGAAAAUUUCCUGCACAAAAGGCUCAAUAACACUAAAAGCAAAGACCGAGUUAGAUUCUUUUGGGUAGUUCAUCGCCUCAAAAAUAUUGAAAUUCACAGUUUCACCAUCAAAUUCCAUUGACAAAGUACCCUCAUUCACAUCUAUCUUAGUCCUGGCAGUGCUAAGAAAUGGUCUACCUAACAAGAUAGGUGAUGGGCUUAAUGAUUUCUCAUCUUCCAUGUCCAAGAUAUAAAAAUCUGCAGGAAAAAUCAAUUCAUUUACCUGUACCAAGACAUCCUCAACUAACCCCUCUGGAUAUGCAUUUGUACGAUCAGCUAGUUGGAUUAUGAUGGCUGUUUCUUUAAGUGGCCCAAGAUUUAGAGAAGCAAAAAUAGUCUUGGGCAUCACAUUGAUUGUUCCCCCUAAAUCUAACAUUGCUUUCCUAAUCGGUGUAUUCCCUAUCUUACAGGGGAUCGUGAACAUACCUGGAUCUCCACACUUGGGUGGAAGCUUCCUUUGGAGCAUUGCUGACACAUUUUCUCCCACCGCUACUCUUUCGUCCCCUCUCAGUUUCCUCUUAUGGGUACAUAGAUCCUUGAGAAAUUUCGCGUACUUCGGUACCUGUUUAAUUGCCUCCAACAAAGGGAUGUUGAUCUCCACUUUUUUGAACACCUCCAAAAGCUCUUUUUUCUUCUCUACCUUUUUUGUCUUCUCCAGCCUACAAGGAAAAGGAGGUAAGUUAGAUUUAAGAGUGGGCGGAGAAGUGAAGGUUACCUCAGGAUCCUUGCGAAUACGCCUUUCCUCUUCAAUUUCUUUCUCUAUCUCCUCUUCACUCUUGCUUUUUGAAUUUCCCUCUUUCGGCCCUUCCAGUGUCUUGCCACUCCUCAGGGUCAUGGCACUUACAUUCCUGGGGUUUAUUUCGGGUUGUGAAGGUAACUUCCAUAAGCAUGGGACUCCAAGCGAUUUAUGGCAGUUGCUAUCUGGCUUAUUCGAGCCUCCAUAUCCUUCAUGCCUGAUUUUGUGUCCUGCUAGAACUGAUUGGUGCUCAUGGUUAAAGCUCUAGUUUCUUGCUGGAGUUGAGCCAUAUUUGUGGUCAAUGACCUGGUCUCUUGCUGGAACUGUCUAGUCUCUUGCUGGAUCUGGGCGGUAGUCGUAGCCAAACUCUUGACAAUAUCCUCCAAGGAACCCCCUGUGUUGGAGGAUGAUGGUUGUGAUUUCGGUUGCCAUGGUUGCUGAAAUCCUGGUGGACGAUUCGAAAAUGAAUUUUGUUGCCUGUUCCCAUAGCUGAAAUUGGGAUGAUCUCUCCAACCCGGAUUGUACGUGUUGGAGUAUGGAUCAUACUGCCUACGAGGCGCGGGCACGCCUCCAGCCAUGUUCACCUGCUCCACCCCGUCCUCUUGCAAAAUGGGGCACGUGUCCGUGCAGUAGUCCAUGCUAGUACAGAUCCCACACACCUUUGCUCGCGGUGUUUCUCUCAUGGCUAAUUGCCUAACAACCGAUGUCAAUUCUGACAUUUGCUGCUGUAGGGAUGAAAUCUCUACCUCGUUGACUUUACGGGGAGGGUUGCUCUCACGGAAGCCAAAUUGCUGGGAGUUCUCUGCCAUGGCUUCGAUGAGCUCCCACGCUUCCCUCGGUGUCUUGUUUGCCAGUGCUCCCCCACUUGCAGCGUCAAUGAUACUUCUAUCGGUUGAUUGGAGUCCCUCAUAGAAGUAUUGGAUUAACAGUUGUUCACUAAUUUGAUGCUGCGGGCAUCUAGUGCACAACUUGUUAAACCUGUCCCAGUAUUCAUACAAGGACUCACCGGGAUAUUGUUUAAUACCGCAAAUUUCCUUCCUCAAACUCGCAGCCCGGGAUGCAGGGAAGAAUUUUUCCAAGAAUUUCUUUUUCAGCUGCGCCCAUGUGGUAAUACUACCUGCUGGUAGGUAGUACAGCCAAUCUUUAGCUGCAUCUUUGAGAGAAAACGGGAAGGCUCUAAGUCUUAUCUGCUCCUCAGUGACCCCGGGAGGUUUCAUGCUAGAGCAAACUAUCUCGAAUUCCUUGACGUGCUUGUGGGGUUCUUCGCCAGAGAGGCCAUGGAAAGAAGGUAGGAGGUGAAUCAAUCCCGACUUCAGUUCGAAAGCAGUGUUCUCAGCCAAAGUGGGGAAUGUGAUGCAUAAGGGCUGGUGAGUCAGCUCCGGGGUAGCCAGCUCCCUCAAGGUUUGGUUGUUGGCCAUGCUUACUUCGUCUUCUGCUGACUCGUUUGCAGCAAAUAAGUGCCCUUGUUUUCGUCUCUUGGUCUCUUGCCUCCGCUUAUGCGCUGCCUUCUCAACCUCCGCGUCGUAUAUCAAUUCACCUGUGCGAGAAGAACGGGGCAUAAACUAGCAAAAGUAUCAAGAAGAAUAAAAUAAAUUAAAAUAAAAACUGAAUUUGAAAAGAAACAAAUAAUCCAAACGCCAGCUCCCCGGCAACGGCGCCAAAAAUUGACAGGUGCCGAACCUGUGCAAUAAUAAUUACUAAAAAGUUCUAAUUACCACCUCAAUUAAAUAAUUAUAAAACGAAUCCAAGUACGGGAGCAGGGACCCUAGGUGUGCAAUGGGUUACUUGAUUCACCCUAUUCCCGAAGAGUUUGCUUGAUCCGAUAUACCGGAUUCGUCUAUAAAAAUACUAAUUUUGCGUACAAUGGCAAGUAGGGUCGAUUCCACAGGGAGCAGGUAGGAAAUUAUUUCUUUCCAAAUCAGCAGAGCAAAAUUGGGGGAUUUUCAAUGGGAGAGGAAUAAAUAAAAUCAAAGUAAAAUAAAAACAAAGCGAACUAAAUUCAAAACCAACUCACAAAGCACAAGUCACUAAAAAUAGCAAUUAAUAAGAUUCCACCCAAAGGAUCAACUGCUCAGGCACGGUCCAAUUAAAUGAUCAUCGAUGCAAAGAUAUUUCCUCCAUUUAUCACUAGGUUGGUUAUAGCUAUCAAUAAGCUCUGACAACCAGUUCUUCUUUACCUUUUCGACAGUCAAGGUACGACCAUUGACUGCUUCCCUAACCAGAUAACAACCCUAGGUACGACCGUAGGAAUUUAAUUACCCAAUUGCAUUAAAGCUAGAAGAACCCAACCCUAACCAAUAAACACGCUAAGAGGGUUUAUUUAAAUUAGAUCUUGCGUUUCCCCAUCAUAAAGCCAAUUAUGGUGGUCGCCACGGGGUGUCAAUUAAAUGAACAAUUACGGAUUCUAUUUAAUUAACGUGGCAGUAGGCUAUUAAAUUAAAUCAAAUACCCGGCCGUUGAUAUUCAAUUAAUAAAAUACCCAUGAACAAUUAAUUCAGGAAACACACGAAUAAUAACGAAUUGGAAGAAAUAAUGAAAGCUUGAUUAGAUCUCACAGGUUUUAUGGACCGCGCCCUCGCGUCACCCUUUGGGUAGAGGAGGAAAUUAGCCGCUCCUCAUCUUUUCAAUCCCGCGUGGUUUAGUUGAAUACAUUAAAUUGAUUUCCGAAGAAUUGGAGAAACACAAGAGAAAACCCACGGAAUUUAGAAAAGUCAAAAGCAAAAAGUGAAGAAAGGUCUCCGUUGUACAGAGCCCAGAUGCAAUCCGCAGAAAUCUUUAAUGUCUGGCCACUAGCCGCUAGCCGCAGGCGAAACCACAGUAAAGAAAAAGAGAACAGGAGAAAAGUAUCUGACAAUGAGUAGAAAAAGGAAAAUAAAAGCUAAGCCUAAAAAUUCAUCCUGAAUCUCGCUUCUUCUUUUCUUCUUGUAGUCCAAGGCCCACACGUCUGGUACAAUUCAAUCUGCAAAAGCCAUUUCCCCCUUUGAAUUUUGAUCCCAUGCGCCUGGUCCACAUGGACCACGGUCCGUCUUUCGGUUUCGUCCACCUUUCAAGGCGUGCUCACGCUCUGGGACGACAAGUCUUCUGGAAAUUUUUUCCCGCGAUAUCUUUUUAAUGCUAACCACCUACAAUUCACGCAAAUGUCAAAUAUGAGUGAAAUCCCCUUUCUUAGCACCAUGAAUAACCAAAAUUAGGACAAGAUGACAGUGCAAAACGUGCCAAAUAACGGCUCUAUCAUAAUUUUACUUCAACCAUUUGAACUUUACACUCUACUUUAUUACUCCUUAAUUUGGUGAAAACGAUCCUAAUUAAGCCAAAUAUUUACUAUUAACACUUCGAUACUUCUUUGACGAGUUUGAAAUUGUCUUUAAUCUUGAGUUAUUUAUUUGUCGAGUCGGAUUUAAACAAAUUUUUAAACAAAUUUUUGUUACAUCGGGACUCUAGUAGCUUGAAAUUUUUUCAUAUAAAACUAAAGUUUGAUGCCAUUUUAUUGACCUAAGAUUUUUGUCAAUUUUGGUACAUUAACAAGCAUUAUAUAUUUCUCAUGCAUGUUUCGCUUGAUUUAUCAUUGACGAACCAAAUUCGAAGAACAUGUUAGCAAAUUAAGCUCAAUUCAAAUAUUGAAUAGGUUAAUUCAUUUUUCAACUCCAUCUUUAUAACCCCUAUUAGUGCACGUUUACAUUGUUAAGCCACAAUGGCGAAGAAACGUCUGUGCUUACGUAGCACUUCGAAACACGCAAAAGACUGAGUCAAAGGGAGGCCAUUGCAAUUUUCAAAAAGUCAAGUGCAGGAAAUCCACAAAAAAAAAAAUUUUUUUUUGUUGAAAGAAGGAAAUCCACAUUUAAAGCUGUAUGCGGUCCCAAGCAGCUUUUUUUUUUAAAAGGAGUUUUCAACAAUUAAAUAGGUAUUGUAAUUUAUUCAAUCAUCAAUACAUGAUUACAAAAAACCUAUGAUUUUGAUGGACUGAAACUCAAACACAGCCCUUUUACAAGAAAUUAGUAUCAUUCUCACUCCAAAUUCUGCAAGAAGUUUCUGAAAUUGUUAUGUGAAGAUCCAUUUUCCUUCACAGCCUCAAUCGCCAUACAGCUCCAUUUAGCAGAAUUUCUUCUUAUUUCUUCCCCUCGUUCAUCACCUCCCAUCACAAUAUCCAAGCACCUCCUGAUCUCUGCUCUUUCCACAACACCUUCUUCAUUAGCUUUUGCUCUCACCCCAAUACCCCAAACUUCCUCGAUCAACUUUGCAUUCGUUGUCUGAUCAGAUAAAUGUGGACAUCCCACAAUUGGAACCCCAGCAACAAUACUCUCCAGUGUUGAAUUCCACCCACAGUGUGUGAGAAAACACCCUAUUGACCUGUGACAGAGUACCUCCAUUUGUGAACACCAUGGCACUAUCAUCCCCUCUUCACUUGAUAUAUUUUCUACCACUGCCUUUACGUCUUCUUCCUGUUCGUUAUCUGCUCGUAACACGAGCAAAUAAGACCUUCCAGCUUCCUUUAAUCCAUGCAAAAUCUCCAUCUUUCCUUGUUUCUUUAAACUCAAAAGGCUUCCGAAUGAUGCAUAAACCACUGACCUUUCUGGCUUUGAGUCCAACCAUUGAAGACAGUCAUUUUCCGGGAUGUCAAAUAAGUUGCCACCAACAGAUUUGUCAGAUGAAUCGUAGCCAUCACAAAAGGCCGAUGGAAUCAAAGGUCCAAUUGGGAUCAAAUUCAUUCCAUGAACAGCUUUGAUUGAUGCUUCUUCUAACUCGUUAAAAGUGUUGACAAGCACACAAGCUUUUGAGUCUUGCUCUAAGAUCUUAAUAUUUUCAUGAACAAAUGGAACUAUAGAAGCAAAGAAUGGAUCAUUCGGUAAGAGAAAGGUCGGCAAAUCCUCCUUUUGGAACAAGGAAAGAUCAGGCAAUUUUAUGGAAAUUGAAGAGCAAUCAACUUCACGAAUUUCAUCAUAAAUUCCAUCAUGGCUAUUGAAGUACCUGUGGUAGAUGGCAAACGAAGUGGCACACUGGAUAGCCAAAAGCGCCGAAUGAAUAUUCAUUUCACUGGCCACUUCUGCCACCCAAGGCAGCAACACAGUGUAGAUUGCAAAGGUCACCGGUCGGCCCUCGUUUGAUGAAGCUUGGAUAAACUUGGUAAGGUCUUUAGAACCGAAACACUUGACAUCUGAUAAAAAGCACGCGAAAUCGCGGUUUUUCAUGGAUUCUGCAUCAUCAUAGCCAUCCGAAAAGGAUGCAAAAGAGAGACCAAUAGAGGCUGGAGGGUUUUUAAUGCGGCUAAUGCCAUAAACCGUGGUGGCAAAGGUGACUUGUGCACCGGCUCUUGCCAAGUUUUUUGCUAGCUGAAGAGUAGGGUUGAUGUGGCCUUGGGCUGGUAGAGCAGUGAUGAGAAAGUGCUGGUGCUUGAUGUUCAUGGUGGAUGCUCAAUUAUUUCCUAAUCUUUUGCGCGUAUUGGUUAUUGACUGAUGAGGAGAUUGCAAAGCUUAUAUUCAAACUUGUGUAAAUGACUUUUACGCUUCAAUUUGUGAGUUGUGUUUGGAAGUAUGCAUCUUGACUAGCUUCGUUCACUUGAUCCGGUUCCUGUGCGUUGAUGCUUUUCUCCAUAAACCACAUUUUCCACAAUUCAUGAUUGGAACGUGUAACAUAAAAUAAAAGGGGCCAACUACGUUUCAAACGUUAAGAAGUAUACUAUAUACCAACCAACCAAUCACUGAAGUAUACUAUCUUUCUAUUCUUCACAAAAAAUAAGACAAGUUCGCCUAAUUCUUUCCUACUCGACUGACUUCAUUGACGAACAUAUUUUCUGUGGCAUCAGUAAAACAUAUUUUCUAUCCUUUGCAUUAUUUGGACAGAAUUAGUCAGUGCGUGUCAAGUUGCAUAAGCCAUCAAGUUCAACUUCUUGGAUUAAUUUGUAAUUUACGAGAAAAAAAUAAGCCAAAAAAAGAACAAGAAUAUGCUUUUGCUAUUUAUGAUCCACUAGGUGUUCAUUUUUAGUUGGCUUUUUUCUGACAAACACAAGGAGUGAACAAUAUGGAGGUUUCUUUUCAUUGGUUUUACUUACAUUGUUAACAAUUGAACUUGAAUAGGACAUAUUUAUGAGUUUAGUGUACAAUACGUAAGGAAUUAAAGUUCAUGGUGGAAAGUGUACAAUGUUAGGGGUACAAAUUUAAAAUAGUCCUAUAAUUUUACUAAUCAGCUGUUACCUAAGUUGUUAUUGCACUCACCUGUUGUCUAAUUGGUUAAAUAAAAAACUUCAACUUUUCUGAUGUGAAGAAGGUGCUCGAGCGAUUGGAUUAGGAAUUUCGGUAAAUUACAAAUAAAUCCCUUAUGAUUUCAUUUAUUAUCACAUGACUCCUCUAACAUUUUAAACCUCCAAUAAUUUCAUAUAAAGUGGAAACUUAAUGAAAAAUAACCUAUAUAGCGUCUUUAGUUGAAAUACCAGUAAUAUUCUUGUUUAAAUGCUACAUCAAAUGAUGACUUAAUCACCUUAUAUAAAAUCACAUAGGAAUUAUGUAGAUAAAUGCAAAAACUAAAAAGGGCUGUAAUGGAUGUUUAUGCAAACCAUAGUGGGGUUAAGCAGAUAUUAUGAUCUUAUCACAUAGACUUUUGGAGCAUCUCUCGUACAACUGCUGUAAUUAAUUGUGUAUUUCAUCUAUUUUCUACUUUACAUAAAAUCAUAGGAGAGUUAUAUGAAUAUUUUGAAACCUUAAAGGGGUUAUCUGGCAUUAUGCACCACUAUGGGGGUUAUAUGUAAUUUACCCUAAAUCUUUUCCCUUUUUCAUCGGUCUUGGUAAGUGAUUUAAAUAAUUGUUGGAAACAUAAUUCAAUUUGAUCAUGUAAGACGCGACCAAUGCAACAGAAAGAUGAGCAAUAAAUUCAAUUGGCAUGUUAGUCAUGACAAAUGACAAAAGGUUCAAUUGAUGAUCACUUCAUAAACUCAGACUCAAAAUCAUCAUAUCCUUGUCUCCUUACUCUAAUUUCUGCAAGAAGUUUCUGAAAUUGUUAUGUGAAGAUCCAUUUUCCUUCACAGCCUCAAUCGCCAUACAUCUCCAUUUAGCAGAAUUUCUUCUUAUUUCUUCCCCUUUUUCACCGCCUCCCAUCACAGUAUCCAAGCACCUCCUGAUCUCUGCUCUUUCCACCACCCCUUCUUCAUUAGCUUUUGCUCUCACCCCAAUACCCCAAACUUCCUCGAUCAACUUUGCAUUUGUUGUCUGAUCAGAUAAAUGUGGACAUCCCACAAUUGGAACCCCAGCAACAAUACUCUCCAGUGUUGAAUUCCACCCACAGUGUGUGAGAAAACACCCUAUUGAUCUGUGACAGAGUACCUCCAUUUGUGAACACCAUGGCACUAUCAUCCCCUCUUCACUUGAAAUAUUUUCUACCACUGCCUUUACUUCUUCUUCCUGUUCGUUAUCUGCUCGUAACACGAGCAAAUAAGACCUUCCAGCUUCCUUUAAUCCAUGCAAAAUCUCCAUCUUUUCUUCUUUCUUUAAUGUCACAAGGCUUCCGAAUGAUGCAUAAACCACUGACCUUUCUGGCUUUGAGUCCAACCAUUGGAGAAAGCCUUUUGAGGGGGUGUCAAAUAAGUCGACACCGACAGAUUUAUCAGUCAAAUCAUUGCGAUCAGAAAAAGCUGAAGGAAUCAAAGGUCCAAUUGGGAUCAGAUUCAUACCAUCAACAGCUUUGAUUGAUGAUUCUUCCAACUCGUUAAAAGUAUUGACUAGUACACAAGGUUUAGAGUCUUGCUCUAAGAUCUUUAUAUGUUCAUGAAAAAAAGGAACUGUAAAAGCAAAGAACUGAUCAUUAGGUAAGAGAAAGGUGGGCAAAUCCUCCUUUUCGAAGAAGGGAAGAUCAGGCAAUUUGAUGGAAAUUGAAGAACACUCAACUUCACGAACUCCAUCAUAAAAACCAUCAUGGCUAUUGAAGUACCUGUGAUAGAUGGCAAAUGUGGUGGCACUUUGGAUAGCUAAGAACGCCGAUGGAAUAUGCAUCUCGCACGCCACUUCUGCCACCCAAGGCAGCAUAACUGUGUAGAUUAAGAAGGUAACUGGACGACCCUCCUUGGAUGUAGUUUGGAUCAACUUGGUAAGGUCUUUAUAACCGAAACGCUUUGUAUCAGAUGAAAAGCUCGUGAAAUCGCGGUUUUUCUGAGACUUUUCAUCAUCAUAUCCAUCGGAGAAGGAUGCAAAGGAGAGACAACCAGAGGCUGGAAGGUUUCUAAUGCGGCUAAAUCCAUAAACCGUGGUGGCAAAGGUGACUUGGGCACCUGUUCGUGCAAGAUUUUUAGCUAGCUGAAGAGUAGGAUUGAUGUGGCCUUGAGAUGGUAGAGCAGUGAUGAGAAAUGCCGGUGCUCCAUGUUCUUGUGGAUGCUUAAUGGAUAAUUUUCUAAAUUUCUGAGUGUGUUAGUUAAUGACUCAUCGGAGAUAGCAAACCUUAUAUUACUGGUGUUUGACUUUGUGCUUCCAUUUGUAUUCCUGUUUUUAAAGUUUUAAUUCUAUUCUUAGUGCGGCCAAUCCAAUUUAUCUGAUGUUGACAAUGAACAGUAAGUUUAAUAACUUCAAACAAGCUAAUACAGUGCAGGCAGUAGAGACGAACCAGAGGACAGCAGAGUCCUCUUGGACGGCUCCAUGUGAAAGGCAGCUGAUAAUUGAUUCUUCUGGGGCCAUAUUCAAGGACUUGGGAGCUGCUGGCGUAGGGCUGUUUGCUGCGCUCAUGAUGGUGACAAGUGGGUUCAUCUUUGUUCAUGAUCAUGGAGGUCAGUUCAGCGUUGGUAGAGCACGUAAAAUUCCGGGAGUACAAAGGCCAGCAGUUGCUCAAAGCUAUACAGGGUCUAAAUAUUGAUUCUGAAUUUCCCACUAUGCUUGCUAUUUUGACCGUGGUUCAAAGUCCCUUUGAAAAAAAAAAAAGAAGCACCGUUCAAAGUCAUGUUCGAGCUCGUAACGUUCAUAGGUUAGACGAGAAACUAAUUUAUCAUGUAAAUUUUUAAUCAAAUGGUGUAUAACAUGUCGUCUUUGUUAUAAUUUUUUUUUUUCAGGAAACCAUCCGAUUGACCACUAAACUAUUUUCUUUGCACUCUUUUGACCCCUCAAUAAUGUAGUCUCGCAAAUAUGCCCCUCAAUAAAAAAUUGUCACGUUUAAGGAUUCUCGUCAAAUUUAGUCAUUAGUGCCGACAGAACAAGGGAUAAAGUGUAUAGAACGCCUUUAAAUUACUUCCAUUGUCAAGUUUUGGUCCCUGAUCUAAAUUUUGUUUCAAAGUAGCUAUUGAACAUUAAAAAAAUGUAUACUUUCAGUCUUUUCAGCCAUUUUAGUUGUAAAUGCAAUUGGAACCAAGGGUCUUUUUUUUUUUUAACCACUUAAUAUAACCAUUGGAUCAGAAUUAGAAGGGUUAUGUUGAAGAAUACACUUCGUUAACCCCCUUAUAGUUUAAAACUUUACCAUAUAACUCUCUUAUGAUUUUCAAAAUAUACACAUAAUCCCUCUAUGGUUAAUAAAUAAUUUUUAACUUUACAUAUGAGUAUUUUUUACUUUUAGUUGACUUUGUUAUAGAAUGCAAAUUCCAUCACUUUAACACUUUAAUCCAAACUAUGAAGAUGUUACGUAUAACUUUUGAAACCAUAGAAGGUUACGUAAAAAAUCACUAAACCGCAGGAGAGUAAAGUGUAAUUUGCCCUUAAAAAUUUAAACAAUUUAGGAGGUGGAUGAUAAUAUUUAAAUUUUAUUGUGGACCUGCUCCUCUAUUUUAUGUGUUUAUCUUGUACCUUGAAAAUUUUCAACUUUUCUGAGUGAAGAAGCAGCUUGAGGGGAGGGAUCGGAUGAAGAAUAACAUAAAUCUUUCCAAUUCUUCAUCGUUCAUGCACAACGUUUAUAUUAUAUAUACUAGUUGUGGUCCCCGCGCGAUGCGCGGGCGUCGAGGGAUUGUUUUUUUUUUUUUUUAUGUUAUUGCAUUGAGGAACUGAGUGAUAAGUGUAUUCUACAAAAGGUCGCUGUAUUGCAUUUGUUAUAUAGACAUUCACACGUAUUUACAGAUAUUUACAACUAAAGCUUCUUGGAGCUUUUUAUAGUUUCAAAAGUAUUUUUUAAGCUUAUUUUGCCUAGGUUUCGGUGCGCUGUUUUUUGAUGGGGCUUUCUGUCAGUUUGAGUGCGGUGAGGAGAUUGUUGUCUACAUUUGCUGAAGAUUCAGGUGUGUACAACUUCGGUUGUCUCUGGCUGUGGUGGAGAGUCGAUGAGCAUUUUUGUUGUAUUUUUUUCUCCACUAAUUGCGCUGGAGCUGCUUUCUGAAGUAUCGGUGAUGUUAGGAAGUUUGUGUACUAUGAUAGCCGAGUAUUUCAUGUUGGUUCCUGAGACAUAGUUUGAAGCAGUCUUUUUGAUGAAGCAGACUAUUAUGCUGCUGCUGACACUGUCUUCUAUUGCUUGAUAGUUGAGUUUGUUCUACAAUGUAAAGAGAAUCAUAAGUUUUUAUUAGUGUAAGGUAUAUGUAGGUGUUUGUGUAAUAAUAGGAGGUUAGAACGUAUUGAGUUUAUAUAUGCUCACCUGUUGCUCCUGUUGUUGAAUUUCUUGUAUUGUAAAAGGAAGCAACUGAGAAGCAUCAUUUCCAUAGAGAUCCAGGGUCAUAUUUCCAGUGUAAUCCUCUAGUUGCACAGUCAAUCGACGUCUAUUUUCGAGUGAAGAUUAUUGUGAUGUAAUUUUUUUAGUAGAUAACAACUUGUAAAUAUUUUGUUAAAGUGGAGGUUUCGAUCAUACCUUGGGCUGACUUGGACGCGUGUGUUGCAAGAUGCACAGACAAUUGGCCACUGUGGAAUAGAACGCACAGAUUUGAAGCAUCGUGGGCAUGCGUUGUACCAGAAUUUUUGACUUCGGUCAAGCAGUUUAGGAGUUCCUUGUAUCCAAUAAGCCUGUUGCUGUCACAUAUAUGUAUGGUUAUUCAUUUUUUUUUUCUAUUGUGAUAUUUAGUGAUUGACCUGUGUGUUUUGUGGAAAGGAGUUGUGUAAGUGAAAUUUACUAAGGGAAAUUGAAGGUAGUCUCUUAUUGUGGUCAUUUCCUCUGCAUCUGGUAAUGGUAGCAAUCUUGAUCGAUCGUUGUAUGCUUGGUCAGCCAUUAGAUGUCGGAUUUGAUACUCAUUUUUUGUUGUCCUGCACAGUAUGUUUUUGUCAGGAUAAAAGCUAUUCAUGCAAAUGUAAUUAAGUAGUGAAUGAUUGGAAAAGUUUUAUAGUAUAAGGGUAUUAUUUACCAUGUCUUGAUCUCAGAAGCUUGCUGGAUUGGUGGAUUUAUUAGAAUGCUAGAGCCAAAUUUCGUAGACAGAUUCAUAGCUGCGGUGAAGAUAUCUGGAUCUAUAAGUACAAUUUAAUUUGUAUAUGGUAAUGUAAUUAGAAUGUAGGUAGGUACUUACUAUGAUAAGAAGUCACUUUGAGUCGUAGAGCAGCAAUGAAAGGCAUAUUCUGCACCAUGUUGGUUAAAGUUUGGCCUUCAUCAAUUUCAUGAUCUCCCCAGAGCGUCAAGAUUACAGGCAUUAAACUGUUUAUUUAUUUGACAGAAUUAAGGAAUAUGCUAAAAUAAGUCUGAUGUGAGAUCUGAUAGAUGUGAUUGUUACCUUUGAUCGAUAAGUAUGAUUUCUCUCUUUGGUGUUGUUCCUUUGUAGGUACGAAGAUGAACUUCACUGACAACACCUAGGACAUCUAAUUGGAGAAGAGUUAUAUAUAUUUAGAUUGUUACAACAAAUUUAAUAUAGAAUUAUAUUUUUUUGUUGAAGUGGUGUACCUAUUUCGCUGUUAUCAUCUAUAUGUUGGUGGAAUUUCUUGAAAGGAGUGAAGUUGAUUGUGAGAGGAAGCUGCGGAGGGUUUGGUUCUUGGAUAGCCUCAACAACAGUAGAGUUAUCGAUUAUCCAGUUACACUGGUUCUCAUGAGUUUGGUAUUCUAACUGUGUUCGCUCCACUCGUGCAUUUGAUAUCAUGUACCUUUUGUAAAGAUGGAAAUGAUCUUUGAAGAACUCUAUGUCAGAUUUGCAGAUGAUGGCAUCAACCUUGUUUCCCUGAGAGGAAGUUUGUUUUCCAUGGUAAAAAAAAAGUAAUUAUAAUUAGUUGUUUGUUAUGUAGAUAUAUAUAAAAGAGAAGCUAAUCAUACCUCAUCGUCAACCAGAACUAAUUUUUUGUAUUUGUUUCCAGCCUUUGAUAUUUGGACUUUUUGUUUGUCAAACACUUGAACUAUAGCUGUCAAGUGUUGCAUAUUGGGUACAAUUUUAUUGAGUUUGCUGAUAUUCCUUUCCAUGAGUGAAAAAGAAAGUUCCUGAAUAAUGCCUGUCAGUUAACAGAUGCUGCAAAGGAAUGAUGUAAAGAGUUAAAGCUAUAAAUUAGUAUGAAACAGGAUAUUCAUCAUAUAGAGCUAUGUUCAGUUUUUAUUAAAUCAACAGGAGUAAUGUACGAAUGGUAAUAGAUCUAGUUAUUUGCUAUGUCUAAAACAUCUCUGUAUACUAUAUUUUGUGUGACAUUGUAUGAUUCAGUAUUGAAAUUAGGGGGUCUAAUUAGUAUUUUAAUAGAUGUACUAUUUUUAGCUCUAGACAUUGCUACAUAAAAUUGUCCAUGAGAAAAUACCGAUUCACGUAAGUAUAAUCCAACAUAAUCCAAAGUUUGACCUUGAGCUUUAUUAAUAGUCAUUGCGAAACACAAACGAACAGGAAACUGAAUUCUUUCAAAAGAAACAGGGCAAUCAAUAUCAUUAUCUAUUCGAAAACAGAUUCUAUGAAGAAACACCUCUUUACCAGUAAAUUCACCACAACUAAUAGUAGCAUGUAUAAUAUUUUGUGUUAAAGAUUUACAUAUAAGCCUGGUGCCAUUGCAGAGACCUUCUGGAGGAUCAAUAUUUCUUAGUAGAAUUAUUGGUGUAUUUGGUUUCAGGAUAAUUUUAUGAGGUGGGAAACCAUUUGGAGUUAAACUAUUAAGGAAAUCUUCUAAGACUGCUUGUUCUGAUUCUAUAAUGGAUUUAUCUCGACUUAUAUAUUCAUGUGCUUGUCCAGGAAAGUUCUGUAUAAGGAUGUUAUUUAGUUCAUCAACAAAUUCAUUUUUAGUUGUAAGUAUUGCUCGAUUUAUCAAAGAAAAGUUUUCAUUAGUAAAAGCUGUAAGAUCUGGAAAAACAGAAUUUAUGAGUAUAUUGAUGGACUCAUCUUCAUUAGUAUAGGGUAUGAGAAGGUGGUCUGGCACGUGAAUGUUGGUAUCAUCGAUCAGUGGCUCCGUUCCAUUUCCAAUUCGAAGGAGAUAAGCAGUAAACUGUGGAUCAGCUAUAGCUCUCAUAUUUUGGCUGAGAUGAAGCUUCGUGAGUUGUGGCCAGAUAUAGGAACUAAUGAUACUUGCUUCAAUAAAAUCUGUUUUGAUUCCUUUUGUGACUACGGGUAAGACCUGUCUGAAAUCGCCGCCGAAUACAAUAACUUUUCCUCCAAAUAAUUCUGUGGAGUCCAUGAGAUCUCUUAGAAGCUUAUCAACUCCUUCGAUUCCAUGUCGAUGAGUCAUUGGUGCUUCAUCCCAAAGAAUUAAUUUUGCCUGACGAAUUAAAUUUGCUGAAGCACUUUGUUUGCUAACUUUACACAUGUUAGCUGGAUUCAUAUCUAUAGGGAUUUUGAAGCGCGAGUGAGCUGUUCGUCCUCCGGGUAAGAUAGAUGCUGCAACUCCACAUGAUGCAGUUGCAAGAGCUAUAUAACCCUUUGAUCUUAUUUCAGCUAGCAAAGCUUUGUAUAGAAAUGUUUUUCCAGUGCCUCCAGGGCUAUCAAUAAAAAAGCAUCCCUUUUGUUUGACAAAGAUAGCAUCCAUUAUGUGGUGGAAAACAGUUUUUUGUUCUGCAUUAAGCUGUGUAAUGGCUAAUAAAUCUGCUUCCGAUACUUGAAUAUUGAGUUCACUUAAGGUGUCUCUUGUAUUUGUGUAUCUAUCUCGGAAUCUCAAUGUCGUAGAGACCAAGGAAAAGCUGUUUAUGUCUUUUCCCAUUGAAUCCAAAAAGUUGCUGAUUUGGUGUAAUACCUCAAGUUGAAUCUGUUCAGGAGGUAAAGUAGAUGUCCUAUUGUAGUCUUCAGACAUUGCCUGUUCAAAUUUGUUCCAUAAAGCUGGAGGAUUUACCGGUGGGAAAUAAACUAAUAAAGUUGCAAAUAAUCUCCUUAGACUGUAUGGCAUAUGAUAUGUAGCAGCUUCUUCCAUACAUUGUUCUUGUGAAUCAUCUGAUUCAAAAUAACCUCUCAGGAUAGUUGCUUGUCGAUACGUACUAACAUGAACUCCAUUUACUAUCUUCAAGUCAUCAAAAGAUGUUGGUGCUUUGACAUGAGUAAGCAACAGUCUAAGAAAGUAGCGUUCACCCUCUGUUGGGCUGGCACUAACUAUCCUACCAAUGCUAUCUUUUUGUUGUCUUACCGCCCAAUAUUUUUUUCCAGGAUACCAUACAAAAUGCUCUGGAAACUCUUUGUAUGUACAUUUUAGCUGCUUAGCUAAUGGAUCAGUAGUGUUCAUGCGAAAAAAUUCUGUUAGCAUUGUUCUUUUCCUGAAAGAAUUUUGCAAAAGAUCUCGUAAAUCUUCCUUUUCAUUAAAAGUCAUGCACUGAAAAUUCUCAAGGUGUAGCUGAAGAUGAAUAACUGCAGGAUGCAUUUCAGAUAACGAAAAUCUAUAAAUACGCCAUAUAGCUUCAACUGGGCAUACCCAUCUAGCUGAUUGAUAUUCUGUAAUUUCAUCAAUCUGAGUUGGUUGGUUAUUAGCUAUUGGUUCAUUAUCAUUGUUAACCUGAAAAUGUAUCUUAUCAUGUCCUUUGUAGAUAUAUUUAUAGAUAUAUUUAACAGCUUUAACAGUAGAACAUAUUUCAACAUUGAUAUGACAAUUGAAUUUCGCAAGUAAAUAGGGGUUGUAUGGAACUACCCACCUGCUAUCGAGUUCUUGUCCACGGACAAUGAUUUUCUUGCCAUCAUUUCUUCGUCUAUAAGCUGGAUAGGUGUUGUUUCCAUGAGUUGUUCUGCCAGUCCAUUUCUUGGGAUAGUUAUUUCUGCACCUUCUCAUAAAUGAGCCUUGCAUACACACGUUAUUUGGAUUUUUUGAUCCGCAUGGGCCAUGCAUCAUGUGCUUUCGAACCAUAUCAAAUAGAUGUUUAUUUGCUUGUUCAUCUGGUAUUUCAGCAGACACAAUUCGAUCAUAGGAUUCUGUCGAAUAUAAUUUUGAUCUCGGCUGCAGAAUAAUAAGCAUAUGAAUAUGUGGUAGCCCACGUUUCUGGAAUUCCACAACAUAAGUAUAUGCUGCUACAUCUCCAAAUAUAUGCUUUUUAAAUAAAUCUUCCUUUAAAAUGUUGACCUUUGCAUGAAACACUCUUGAUAGGAGAUCUGGUCGGUUGUGAGCUUCAUCUGUACGUAACAUGGCUUCUUUUAUCUCUGGCCAAGCAGGGUUACAAGUCAUUGUAAUAAAUAUAUCAGGUCGGCCAGAUUUUUGUACAAGAGCCAUUGCAUCUACGUAUCGCCUUUUCAUAUCUCUUGGACCCCCAAUAAACGAAGCUGGAAGGAUAACUUUAUGGCCAAUCUGUGCUCCGCGAGAUUGUCCUUGAACAACACUAUCCAUGAGCCCUUGUAAUUGUUCCCUGCGUAUUAAUUGCUGUCUGCUUCUGUAGAAAUCUAACCGCUGAGUCUCAAUCUUUACAUACAUCUCAACUACAAAUUGUUGAAAUAGUCUUCCAGUGUUGAGAAUGUUAGGUGUGCACUGGUAUCUGAUUUGCAUUUUGUAAGCAUAGUAUUCUCUCAUUGAUACAUAUUCCUUUGAGUUCUCGCAUCCUUGAAUAGCUGUACAUAAAAUAACCAUUAAGAAAAGUGAUGUAAAUAUAAAAUUAUUAUUGUUUCUAUUUCUAUCUAUAUAUAUAAAAAAUGCAUAUAGAUAGUCUGACCUUCCUCUUCCUUGUCAAUCAUUUCUUGAGCAGAACAAAAAUUAGACAAUGUUGCUGAAGUCUGUUGUGUUUUUUGUUGCUCUCUUUAUUUUUUUUGGAUUGACUUUCUCUGAUCUUUUAAUUCCUGGAUGCCAACCAGUUUCUCCUAAUGGGAACAAGAGCGGGUACUGCAGAGGAUCAUAGCAUCCAUAAUAAUAUUGAAUUCGAUGAAUAUAACCCUCUUUGGUAUAUAUUUGUAUAUGCCUAGAAUAGAUGUUUGCUGAAUUUUCCCCUUCAACCCAAAGAGCUGCAAUUUGGGAAGCUGUUGGCUGGUUAAAUACACGUUGAUCAUUAUCAGUGUGAGAUUUCAAGACUAUUUGAUAAGAAUCCAGCUGAGGUACGUUUCGUAAACUACGAAAAAAGCAAGCAUAAGGAUUUGUCUUCAUAACUUCCAUGAUUUUGAUCACAAGGCUUUCAGUUAAUCUGUCUGACGUGGCCAUUCUAUUCUGUAGCUCAUGAUCCGUGUCAUGGAAGUAAAGUUGGAGAUACAUUCCUGAACCAUGAUGAGGAAUCAGUUGAUUAAUAAAAUGGUAAGUCUGUCCUUGAAUUUUGAAAGUGUAGAUCCCAUUGUUCCUUUUGCAGAGCGCCUUGUCGUAGUGAACACCAAAUGAAGUGAAAGCAAACAUAUUGUUAUAUGUUCUAACAUAUGUACGGAAACAAAUCGCUUCUUCUGUUUGAGCAGUGAAUAGUUCAACAAGAACACUGGGCAAUUUAUUGUCAUGGAGAACAACAGAACCAUCAGAGCAGCAAAAAUUAGUUGUUUCAGAAUGGAACUUUUUUGCAUGACAAUAUUGACAAUCUUCCUUCCGAGGUAACUUAUUUGACUUGUGAGGUAUGCAAUUAAGUGCGUCAAUUCCUUGUAUGACUGUAUUACCUAUGAAUAAAAAUGAUAGAUUGUUAUAUUGAGUGUUGAUCUAGUUCGCAAUAGAGCAAGAUAUUAAUCAAUCAUACAGGUAGUGGCAAAAUAUCGAAGGGGGAAAUUUUAGGGGUCUUUUGGUGCAAUGAGUAAGAAAAAAGUGUUCAGAACCUUUCGCUGGAGCUACUUUUUUCCUAGAGCGUUUGACCGAACAAUGCCGUGAAGAAUUUCUAGCUGUAUUAAAAAAAGAUAGCUUACUAACUAAUCCAAAAAAAUGAAAUGAUGAAUAAUUGUAUACGCGAUUAAGGAAGGUGAAGAUUCAAAAUAUUUGCAGUGAGAAGUUUAUGUUUAAGUAAGAGAAGAGUAUAGUACCUUGACUUUUAGUCUGCUGGCCAUUGUCUUGUGUAGCUAUUUUGGAUGUCUUAGCAUUAUCUGGUGCAGUUGUAGGAGGUAUGGCAGAUAAGGGUGCUGAUUGCUCUAUUAAGAGUAGGUGUAGAAAAAAUGAUUAAAUCAUGUCUGAAAUCAUAGUGUUUUGUAAAUAGGCUUAGUCAAAUAAUUAAAUAUGUGAAACCUGAUAAUUCCUGCAGGCUUUGAGAUAGAAAAUUAUAACAACCAGAGCAUAGCUGACGUUCAUCUGAUAUUCGUAUAUAGAAAAUAGAUAAAGAUUAAUAUUCAAUGUAAAUAGAUUAAAUGGUAGAUCACAUAUGGAAAAAAAACAUAAACAAUAGAAGAGACUAACUAACCUGAACAAUGAGUAACAGAGUUUCCAGAGCAUAUAUACUUAUCACUGGACUUCGUAUUUGAGGAGCAUCCUAAUUAUAAAUCAUCACAUGUUUAUAGUGGAUAGUAGAAAUGUAAUGAAUAUUAAAAGCUUAAAUCGUGAAAUGUAAAAAUAAUUAAUACCUUUGUCAUAACUUGAGAAAACAGUGACGUGUUUUUUACAUUUGUCAUUGUUGUUUGACUGGGAUAGAUUCGUCUCUGAGAAUACUAAUCAGGAGUCAGCAAUGUAGAAUUGAGAAAAAGUAAGAGAUAAUAAUAAUAUUAUAGAAUCCGAAGCAUGGAUUAGACGUUCAUUUGUAUAUAAAUAAUAUACCUUUUGCAUUAGUGUCAACUGGCUUUUCAAUAACUAAUCCAGAAUUAGAUGGUACUUCAGCAAAUAAAAUGUUGUUUGCAGCAGGAAGGACACUUUCCAUUGUUUGGAGAUUUUCUGGAGAGGGUACUUUAGCAGAUAAUAUGUUGUUUGCAGUAGAAGUGGCACUCUCCAUUUUUUGAGGAUUUUCUAGAUCUUCACUCGACAGGCAAUUGGUACUCAUGGUAGCAGUUGAUGCAGUAGCAGGAGCAGUAUCGACAAUUUCUUCAGUAUCUUUCGAUGUAUGAGUACCAAAAGAUAGGUGUAAUUUUUUCUUGUGAUAAGCCUCUCUCUGUUUCUGUCGACGCAUUUCCCUCUUUUUUGCCAGACGGUCUUGCUCGUCUUCAACCUUUGCUUGGUUACGGUGAACGCGAAAAGUCUCCCCAAUAACUGAUUUUUCAGCUCGUUUCAAUUGUUCGUGAGCAGGAAGCGCAAAAAAUUUAUUUAAUUUCCUUCUUUGGUAUGCCUCUCUCUGUUUGGCCAAACGAAUCUCCUUUUCUUGAGCAGAGAGUGCAGCAUAUUGCUCUCUUAACUUUUUAUUACGUUGGCUUUUUUUUUUAGUUAUUGAAUCAGUAGAAUCAAGAACAAACUUCGACAAACUCAUUUUAUUAGACAACAAGAAUCAAAUAGCCAAUAAACAAAAGUGCAAUAUAUAGCAAUUCAAAACCAAUAAGACAUUCAAUAAACAGCAGAACAAGGAAAACAAACAUGCGUAUAAAAACUACACAACGGUACUCUUAACAAACCAUAAAAGAGUCGUGAUAUUAAUAAGAAAGCAUGGAACGGAACCUGAAAUUGCUGAGGAAACUUGCACGGAUAAGGAGCAGCUAAUGAAGUUGGAGAGAUGAGAAACAGGAAGCAGGAAACUCUGCAGGGAUAAGAAAUACUAAACAUAACAGGGAUAAAAAGCAGCAAACGAAGCUAGAAUUCGACAAAAGAAAAAAAAUACAUACUGUUUAAGAGCUGCAAAGAAGAAAAUGCAAGACGAUGAAAAAGAUAGAAGAUGGAGAACAGAGAAACCAGAAACAACGUUUAUAUAUUGUUUCAAUGGGUUACUUUCUUUCGCACAAACAAAAACCAGACGUCGCAAAACCAAAGCUCCACCUGGAAUGCACAAAAACAAUGCCCUGCCUUGAGUUGAACUUCCCGAGUGUGAGAUGAGUUGCAGGAGUUCAUCCAGAGCUGCCUUUUCAAAUGAAAAAAGAGUUCUGAUAUGAGACGUGCAAUUGUACCCAUGACUGUGAUCCUUUGGUUGCACAAAAACCAAGCACGUGGAAGGGCAAUAGAGUCAUUAUGUUGCUUGAUUGCUACAUUGCUGUCGUGGCUUAUGGAACAAAUGAUACUUGCCUCUGCAUAAUAAUAUAAGAUGCGUAUCCCUAGGAUAUUAAUGGAUUAUGACAUGAAACUACCGCCAAUUCUAUAGCUAUAUGAGAUGAGAUGAUAAAUUUUCUAGAGCAAGGGAACAAAUGGUGCUUCCCUCUGCAUAAUGAUACAUAUCCCUAGGAUAUUAAUGGGCUAGGACAUGAAACAACCGCCAAUCUCUAUCUAUAUAUGAGAUGAUGAAUUUUCUAGAGCAAAGGACCAAAUGAUGCUUCCCUCUGCACAAUAAGAUGAACAUGAAACUACCGUCAAUCUAUAUGAGAUGAGAUGCUAAAUUUUCUAGAGCAAAGGAAUAAAUGGUGCUUCCCUCUGCAUAAUAACAUACAUAUCUCUACAUUUUAAAGUUUUUGUUACCAACGAAGCAGAUGAAAAUGGAAGCCGAAAAGUGCAUCAAAGAGUAAACCGAAACUGCUUCUUAUAUAUGUGUAUAUAGAUAUAUAACAGAUUCUUGGAGCCAUUUUAAUACAAUUUGUUUACAUAAUACAGUAAGACAUAUCCAAGGAUAAGCAAUACAUAUAACUGACAAUUUGAUGAAGGGUCCAAAACUUGAACUGUGAUCACUUCAGGAACUGAGACUCAGAGGCAGACCUCCUACAAGAAACUAAUUAAUAUCAUCAUCCUUACUCCAAAUUCUGCAAGAAAUUUCUGAAAUUGUUGUAUGAAGAUCCAUUUUCCUUCACAGCCUCCAUUGCCAUACCUCUCCACAAUGACGGAGCCAGGAUUUUUUUUUUGGGGGGGCCAAAAUUUUUUCCUAAUAAAAUUAUCUUAAUAUAUUAUGUUCAAAAUAAUUUUCUUCUAUUUAAAUAUAUAACAUCUAAAUAUAUCAAAUAUUAAAUUUAAUUAUAAAGGUAUGUCUAUUCAUAAAUAUGCGGUAUAGUCAUAACAAAAAUUAACAAAAAAGAUAACUUUUGAUUAAAUAUCUUAUAACAUCACAAAUCAUCCAAUUUGCACAUUAUGAGAAGAUGCUCUCCAAUAUGUCACCUAUGCUAUAUAUAUAUAUAUAUAUAUAUAUAUAUAUAUAUAUAUAUAACCAUGUAAUAUAAAUGUAACUAUUUUCAAUUGAAAAAAGAUAAAAGUUAUGUUAACAUAAUUUGAAAUUUCAAUAUCUUUUCUUAGAAGUAAAUUAAGCUCUACGCUCUUUCAUAGAAUUAAAUUCAUCUAUGAUUGAAUCAUUGCUAAAUUUUUCAGCAACUUCCUUUUCUAUAUACACAGGUAGACAAUCAUUCAAGAAAUUAUCUUGCAUCUUGUUUCAGAACUUUGUCUUGAUUAUUUUCAUAAUUGAAAAUGCCCACUCUGUAGUUGCAGUUGAUAUAGGAAGAGUACUAACAUGUCUAAUAAAUCUGUCAAUAAGAGGAUAUAUCACUGAUUUUCUUGUCUUCACCAAGUCUUGACAUAACUCAUGAAUACCAGAUAAUUCUUGCAAUUCAUGAUGAUUUGGAAUGUCGAACUCAAAAUAUUGAAGUUCUAUUCUUAGACGUACUAGUUCUUGCUUUUAACAAUUAUGAAUUGGGUCUUUUUAGCCAAUUAACAAUUAUGAAUUGGGUCUUUUUAUUCUAAUACAUCACAUUGGGUCAAUUUAAUAUGGAACAUCAAAUUAUAUGUUUAAUUUUUGAAAGUUAAAUAAUUAGUACAAUAAAAAAUAAAUAACUUUUUCUGAAGAAAAAAAUUAAUUCAAAGAUGACUAAUUCACACACACACACACACACACAUAUAUAUAUAUAUAUAUCCCAACUCUCAUAAUAUAAACUAAAAUUGUAAAAAUUUAGGGGGGGCAAUUUUAUGUUACACACAUAUUUACAUAUUAUGAAUUUAAAAUUUUCAAAACUUAGGGGGGCCAUGGCCCCCCUCUGUCCCCCCUUGGCUCCAUCAUUGCCUCUCCAUUUAGCAACAUUUUUUCUCAUUUCUUCCCCUUUUUCAUCACCUCCCAUCACAAUAUCCAAGCACCUCCUGAUCUCUCCUCUCUCCACCACCCCUUCUUCAUUAGCUUUUGCUCUCACCCCAAUACCCCAAACUUCCUCAAUCAGCUUUGCAUUUGUUGUCUGAUCAGAUAAAUGUGGGCAUCCCACAAUUGGCACCCCAGCAACAAUGCUCUCCAAUGUUGAAUUCCACCCACAGUGCGUGAUAAACACAAGAUGCAGCCAAAUUAAGGGGAAUUAAACGUAAAAAAGGAAAAGAAUUAAGUUGUGUGAUCCAUAUUUGAAGUGAUAGUCAUUGACUUUUGAACAAAUACUGUCCACACUGAGAGAUAGAAAGUGAGCAAUAUGAACUACAACACCCUAUCAUGGACUAGGAGCCUCACAAGUUCUAGUUCAAACCAAUUUGUCUUUGAAGUGUAAAUAAAUGGAGGCAUGGUAUAAAUGAAUCUAGAUACGGUAUAAAGAAAUAUGAGUGCAGUGUAAAAGAAAUGUAAAAUAAUUAUUUUGCUCUCAACUGGGUUGAACCAGAACAUAUGAGGCCAUGAUCCCCGUAUUACAAUUAUUAUGAUGUCAAACUGAAUUUAAUGUACAACAUUGGAGUAAGGUAAAAAAGAAUUUAAUUAAAUUUGCAUAGAUUUAAUACUUCAUACCUGGCUGAUUAUACCAAGUAAAGCAAGUAGCAUAAUUAUGAUAAAACUCUAUUAUGCCAUAUAUAAUUGAAAUUAAGUAAACUAUACCUUACAAAAAAAUAUAUGUAGAGUAACUUGCACAUAACCAAAUUGUGGUUUCACCUAUUGCUACAUGGCUUUUCUAACAUUUCAAAAUAUUCAUUUUACCUCUUGCGAUUUCAUGUAAAAUGAAAGUUUGAUGGAAAAUAGCCUUUGUAAUGCCAUUAGUUGAAAUACUAGCAUCACCAUUACUUAAGCACUAAAUUGAACAACAGCCUAACCUCCUUGCAUAAAACCAUAGGAGAUUAUGUGGAUAAUAUUCAUGCAAAUCAUAUGUGGGUUAAGUGAAAAUUUUCCAAAAAAUAAUCAAAUUAACCGGACAUUAAAGUUUGGGCAAAGAGGCUAUUUAGCAUUUGAAGGCAAUAAAGAGAUGCAAGUUAUACUUUACAAGGCAUGCAAGUUAUCUAGCUUUUUUGUGUGGUUAUUCUUGUUGUUUUGGCAAAGAUAAAAAUUUAUUGUCUGAAACUUUAGUAUUAUCUCACACUCUUUCGAUCACAAUCAAGAAAUACAGCUUCUUUUUGUUUCUUUACUUGGAGUUAUCACUUGUUUCCUUGACUAGUAAAAUCCAUUGUCUUUCGUGUUGUCCAUUUGUUACAAGAAGCUUCAUUAUGACAGUUGUUUUGCUGUAUUUUAUUUUUUUUGUUGAAUUUUACUCCUUUACUAUAUUAUUUAUCUUAUGGAGAAAUGUUGUUACAUGAAAUCCAACUACUCAUAUAAUUCCAUUUAUCGAAAACCACAUUUGAAACUAUCCACAUGUGGCACGAGUCUUUCAAAAACAUAAAUUUUAGAAAACAUAUAUAACUGUUCACAAAUGUGUUUUUUCAGCAACAGCAGUAGGGAGGAAUGCUUUUGUCAAAAUUAACAAAGAGAAAGAGAAAAGAACAUGUUUGGGUACGUGAGUUGUAGACUUUGUUAAUGAUGAAAGUAUACCAUAUUUACUCUCAUAUGCAGAAGUUAACAAAUAUAUUUAAGUUGAUUUUUAGAUGUGAAAAGGUUCGUGAAACUAUUCAAUUUAAAUGGUUUUUUUGUUGUGUUAUUGCAAAUAUUGUUUACCAAAAAGUUCGAGAAGAAGAAGACAAGAUUAUUUUUUUAAAGUUAUGCAUAAAAUAAUGUUUGGUUGUCUUUUUAGAAUAUUUAUUGAUAGUAAUAAACUACGUUAACUACCAUGGCUGAUUUGGAAGGAUGUAUAUUAUGUUUUGCAAACUAUGGAGUUGAGUUUAUUGAGUAGUUAAUAUUUCAUUUUUUUCCACUAGUUGUUAUUUCUUAAAUGGUAUAAUUCUAUGAGUUAUUAUUAGAACUCAUAAAAAUAGAGAUCUACAAUUGGUAUUAAAAGUCAGACUACAACAUUAAUCCUAGAGUUUUCCAUUGGCAAUGUUAGGGCACAAAAUUGGUCCCAUUAUAGAACUCUAAUUUUAUGAGUUCUUAUAAUAUCUUGCAACUUGCCGAAUUGUAGAAUUGGAGGAAUAAAAAAUUACACUUGGAGGAAUAAUAAUCACAAAAUUAUGCGAGAGAGAAGGGGAAACAUGCACAAUUCAAAAAAUAGAACUCAAUGCUUUGCAAAACAUAAUUACAUUAGCACGAUGAAUAAAUGUUCUAAAAAGGCACUUAGACAAUAUUUUGAUGCAUAACAUGAAAUAGUAAUCUUGACUUCUUCUUUCAGUUCUUUUUCCGGCUAAGUAUUCACAACACAACUAGAAAAAUUCAUUUAAAUUAUAUUGUUUGAGAUACUUUUUCACUUUCAAAAAAAAAAUAAUUUGCUUAUGGGAUAUGUAUGCUAAACUUUUCACCAUUAACCAAAUCUAUAAUCUCACCCAUCAUUCAACUCUUUACGCGUCCCAUACAAAUUCUUCUUCUCUCCCUCAAAUUUUUUUACCUCUUUUGAUAAAACCCUUCAACUCAAUAACAUGCAACAAUCAACAAUUCUCUCGAAAUGCUUCUGUAAUAUCGUUUUCAAUACUAUUUGUCAUCUUACUGCUGAGAUUCAAUCUUAUGGUUCAAUUUUCACCAACUAAAUGCACCACGACAAAAAAUCACGCAACGGAAAAUACUAAGAUUCUGCGAACUAAUUUACACUAAAAGGCUGUUAAAACUCCAAGAAUCGAACAUAAGAAUUAAAAGUUGGCAGGUAUAUAAUAACCGAUGGUGGAAUGGUCAAGCUAUAGAUUAACAUAAGGGAAGUUUUGGAGCAAAACUGAAAUUUUAAAGAUCAAUCACCCAACUCUAACGUUUUCCACACCUAAACCAGGACAUAGGAACGUUAUAUACUAUUAGAAAAUUGAUUUAAUUUAUUUUAAUCAUAUUUCUUAUUUUAUGUGAAAAUAACUAGUUUUUUAAUUGGUUUAGUUACUUGAAGUAAUAACUAAGGGAUUUUCUAUUUAUAUGAGUUUAGGAAUUAAAAAUUGUUUUCUAUUCGAUAUAAGAUUAGCAAUUAGUAGUUAUUUUUUGUUAUUAAUUAGGUGUUGGUCAAUUAAUGUGACUUAUAACUAAAUGGAGGUUGACAUACUACAAAAUGGCACAUAAGAGACGACAUAUAGCUUUGUACAAAUGAAGUAAGAGAGGGUUCUUUACAUAGGUUAAGAGAGAAUUCUUGAAAGGUGAGAGAAAUUAUAUAAGGGUUGGAUUUGGAUUCAACUUUUAUUUUUGUGUAGAUGCUAUUCGCUCAUAACGAAGAAUGGAUGUUGUCUCUGUGGACGUUAAAUCUUGUGUGUCAUUUAUUUUCAUAUAUGUGGCUUAUUUGUCAUUAACUUAUUGUGUUCUUGAUGUUUCAAUAGUCGUUUGUUUCAGGCCUUAAUCCCAACAAACAUAAUUGUUAGAUUCGUGAGUAAAGAAUUAUAUUUUACAUUGGUUUGAGAGAUUAAGAAAUAAUAGUUAAUAUGUAAAUAGGGGUGGUCCGAGAUCUAACAAUUUAAACUUUUAGGUCAAUGUUGGAUUUCUAACUUAUAUAUUGAAUUUCUUUGAUGGGCUCUCUCAAAAAAUUUUUUUGCUUGACAAGUGGUAGCAUAUUUUCUUAUUACAAGACUGGGUUACUCAUUAGCAAACAGAUUCUUUUGGAAGUUGGACCGUCGAAAUUCUCUUCUUGGUAGUGGAUUGAAGUAUCAAGAAGUUUGAAUGUUGUUUGACUAGGUCCACCAAGAGUUUGGCAGAAGGUCCAUUUGGUGUUUGUCUAAAGAGCCAAAGGUUGGUAGGGGUUCGAAAUCCAGUUUGGAUGUUGAAAAAGUGUGGAUCCAUGAGUUGAGAAGAGGUGAUAUCAGGUAUUAAAGUGAACUUGUGUUGAGUAUUAAAGUGAGUUCGAAAAAAGGAAGAAGUGCUUGUAAAUUUGGAUUCAAUAUGAGGGAUUACUCAUAAAAGAGAAAAUUGUUCGGUUCAUGGGUGAAGAAUUGUUUCCACAUUUGUUCUAGAGAUAGAGAAAGAGCACUUGAUAUAUAAGUAAGGGUCCGGAACUUAAUCGUUAAACCUUUGUGCACCUAAGGGUUUGAGACCUAAUUGUUUAAGCCUUUGUGUCAACAUUAGAUUCUCUCAAAUUUUUCUCCCUAACGUGCAUAUGAGUCAAGCACUCGAGAAUCCUACAAGGAAUUUAACUGACUGCUACCAAAAAUCUAUUCUUUUGUCCAUUUAUGCUAACUAGUUUUGAACUAGACAUCAACUUACUCCGACUUCUAAACCACCUAUGACUAGGGCUAAUGCUGGACCGAGUAGCUUGACUCGAGCUCGCAAGCUACUCGAUCAGCAGCUUAGCUCAAGCUCGUUUUGACCGAGUUUGAGCUGAUUGAUAGAAGUAGCGAGUUGAGCUCAAACUUCAAUAUUUUCCAUUUGAAGGCUCGAUGAGCUUAAUCGAGUUUUUUAUAAUAUAUAUUUUAAUUUUUUUAUAUUUAUUAUUGUGAAAUGUCGAUAAUAUUCUUUAUUUAAAAUUAUAUGUAAAAUAUUAAUUUUAUUACGUGAGCUUGAUUAGACUUCAUUGAGCUCGAAUAGGCUCAAUUGAGUUUGAUUUAAAUUGAUUAGAUUUAAUUAAACUCGAACUAGAGUAACGUAAAUUGAAGUCAAGUUCGAGCUCAAACUCGAAUUCUAAAAGCUUGAUGACCUCGAGCUCGAUCUCGAGUUUAGUUAUUUUACCUCAAUUUAAGUAAUACACUGACUAAUUAGUAAGUUUUGUUUUAUAAUGUCAUCAAGUAUGACUAAGAAAUAUCUAUAUAUAUAUAUAUAUAUAUAAAAAAGGGGACGCACUAACAAGAAAGAGAAGUUCUUGGUUUUCUAUUUCCUUGAUUACCUGAAACCUACUUAUUUAUCAUGUGCAAAAAUUUCACGAGAAAAAACUUAUUCAACUGGGGCUAUAAUUUGUUCAAAAUACGUCAGAAUUCAAUGACUAGGAUGUCCUAUGUUAUUCGGACUCCUCAUUUUAUCCUAAAGUACCCAUGUCGACACGGCACGGCACGACACUAGUACUAGUAUGGGAUAUGUGUCCGACACUUCAAAAAAUUUUUGGACAAAUUGAUCUUUGUGAGGUCUAAUUGCGAAGGAAGAGGAGGAGACAUGGGUGAGAAGCCCAUGGAUUGGAAGACCUGUUUCAUUGGAAUCCUUUUUUUUUUUUGUGUCAAAAAAAAAAGAGCUUGGUCCCACUUCAGGCUCCAACCCUUAUUUGGGUUGUUGGGUUAUUCCCUAUUUUUUGUUACAAGGGUCGAACUCUGAUGGAUGCUCUAACUAGGUACUACAUCACCACCAGGUCGGCUACCUUGGAGGGACCAUUGGAAUCCUUAUUGUACUAGAAUCUUUUUGAUUUAUGACUUGUUGGUUACCUUAGAAUUCUCCAAUCCUAAGUGAGCUAUGAGCUGUAUAUUGGCCGUACUGUAUAAUUCUUAUGUUUAAGAGAAAUUUUGCCGUAUCCAUGCACCCGUGUACGAGUUUUUAGGAGUGUCCUCGUAUUUUAAUUUUAGAUGGAUGAUGAAUUAGAUACUUAGAUAGAUACCCGAGUCGGAGUAACAUAGAAGAUGUGCAUUAUUCUAUAAUGAAUUCCAUGAAUGACAGGUUACAUGGACAUAGAUUGAAAGGCAGCUCUACUGUGAAAAAAAGGUUCUUUUCCCUAUCCCAAACUCUCCAAGAAAAGUUCGAGAUUGUUGUGUGAAGAUCCAUUUUCCUUCACAGCAUCCACAGCCAAGCCUCUCCAUUUAGCAGCAUUUCUUCUUAUUUUCUCCCCCUUUUCUCCACAUCCCAUCACAAUACCCAAGCACCUCUUGAUCUCCUCUCUCUCCACCAACGAUGCUUCAUUAGCCUUUGCUCUUACCCCAUUGCCCCAAACUUCCUCAAUUAGUUUUGCGUUUGUUGUCUGAUCAGAAAAUUGUGGGCAUCCAAUCAUUGGUAUACCAGCAGUAAGGCUCUCCAAUGUUGAAUUCCACCCACAGUGCGUGAGAAAACACCCUAUAGACUUGUGACAGAGUACUUCCAUUUGUGAACACCAUGGCACUAUUAUUCCCUUUCCACUCAGCCCAUUUUCCAUCAUUUCCUUUACUUCUUGGUCUUCAUUAUCCGAUUUUCGGAUGACCAUCAAAUAAUCCCAACCAGCUUCUUCUAAUCCAUGGAAAAUCUCAAUCUUUUGCUCUUUGUUUAACGUCGCAAGGCUUCCGAACGAUACAUAAACAACAGAGCGUUCUGGCUUCAAAUCCAACCAUCGAAUAUAGUCCUGUUUCGGGCUGUCAAAUAAGUCACCACCAACAGACUUGUCUGUUAGAUCAGUGCCAUCAGAAAAAGCAGAAGGAAUCAAAGGUCCAAUUGGAAUCACAUUCAUAUUAGUUAUUGCUCUGAGUGAUGCCUGCUCUAAGUCAUUAAAAGUAUUGACAAGUACACAAGCUUUAGUGUCUUGCUCCAAGAUUUUUAUAUGUUCAUGGAAAACAGGCACAGUAGAGGCGAAGUAUGGAUUAGAAGGCAUGAUUAUAGUGGGCAAGUCGGUACUCAAAAACAAUGGAAGAUUAGGCAAUUGUAUUGAAAUUGAGGGAUCAAUUUCACGAACACCAUCAUAAACACCAUCCUGGCUGUUGAAGUAUCUGAGGUAGAUUGCAAAUGCAGUAGCACACUGAAUCACGAAAAAAACCGACGGUAUUUCCAUCUCGAAGGCCACUUCUGCCACCCAGGGCAAUAAGAUUGUGUAGAUUAAGCAGGUAACAGGUCGGCCCUCUUCAGACAGAGUCUUGAUCAACUCCCUGACGGUUUGGGUACCAAAGUGUUUCAAGUCAGCGAAAAACCUCCCGCGAUCGCGCCUUUUACUGGACUCCUCGUCAUCGCAACCAUCAGAGAAGGUGGCAUAGGAAAGACCAUUGUAUCUUGGAAGGGCCUUGUUGAUGCAGCUAAAGCCAUGAACGGUGGUGGCAAAGGUGACUCGUGCACCAUUUCGCGCGAGGCUCUUAGCUAGCUGAAGAGUUGGGUUGAUGUGACCCUGGGCUGGAAGAGCGGUUAUGAGAAAGUGCUGAGGCUUCUUCAUGAUGGUUUUGAUUAACAAUUUGUGAAGAGAUUGUAUUUGAUGACUUUAUAAGUGCCUUGUGAUUAGCUUUUAUACUUAGUGCUCACAAUGUUUGACUUGUCUUGUUCUGUAUGUUUAGUGUCUCUGAAAGUUCUCUUGGAAAUGGACAUAUAUUGGCUCUAUUGGCUGGACUCCUCUACAUUGCCGCCCCGCUUUUCCCUUCUCUCCUUACUUUCCAAUACAAGUUUGGAACCCUUGUCAAACACUUCAACAUAAAAAAAAAAAAAAAAAGAUUUGAUAAUCAGAAUUAAAUAUGUUCGCAAUGAAAAAUGAAAAACUUAUAGUAAAUUAUUCAAACCUGUAGACAAAGGUAUGACUUUCAGUUUCAAUAGCAUUUGUUUAUUUCAUUCAAACGUGGAGACCAAGGCAAUGAUUUUCAUUUUGAAUAGCACUAGGUUCAUGCUGACCGAAGUCUUGAAACAUUUUUUUAUAUUGGCAAUCUGGAGUUGGGAACGUUAUUUGAAGAUCAAGAACAAAUAUGCAACUUCAAUUGACAUAAUUGGUAAUACCAUGCCUCUUUUGUUGUAUUCACAAGUCAAAAGUUAGCCAUUGCUUGUUUUCCAAGUACUAUUAGUACAUUAAUAAGAAAUUCGCUUGACACAUAUAAAUUCUAUUCCACACGUACAAAUACACAGAAUUUGAAAGUCGAACGAGAAACCUCGCGGCCACCUAGCUAAUAUCACUAUCAGUUGAGCUUAUUCUUGAGAAUAUUUAACCUUUAUCUGCAGAUUUAGUUGAGGUAGUAGAAUCCCGGCAAUCGAUCCCUUUGUUUUAGCCAUCUGCCAUGCAAACAUGCAUGGAAGAAAAUCCAAACUAGUGGAUCCUUCAUUUUCACUACGUGGAUUAACCUAAUUUUUGAAGAUAUGUUGUGACUUAUGAUGUGGCUCCAACUAAUAGAUUUACACCUUUUGAUUUGGAAUAAGGAAAAUGUCAAGAUAAAAAAUGUGUUUUUGUUUUAAUGGGCUUGGUGAAUUUGGAACAAUAAUAUUGUCCUUGUACUUGAACUGUCAUCUUGUUGCAAUCGCAUGUUUCAGCCGUCUUCCAUACUGACCUCAAAAGGAAAGAAUGGUUUUUAGCUUUUGGCAAGAACAUAUAUGCAAUAUUCUACAAAUAAUAAUUGAAAGCCUUCUCUUUUAAGCCGUCCUAUCCUUUGGAAUCCAAUACCAACUUCUUUCUUCCUAACCUUUUGUCAAUGUGGUUAUCUGCUAAAAAUUAUGUCUGUGAUAGUAUCUCAGUAAUUUCUAUCCUUAAUUUCCUGCUAGAAGCACAAUAAUGGAAGUAAAUUAUACCAUCUAUACUUUACAUCUAUAUUUUUCCACCCUUUGAAACUUGUAGUUAAUCACAAUAAUGCUUCCAAGUAUCUCCAUUGAUCCGUUAAACAUGGUAAAAGAUUUAAUGUUCCUUUAGCCCAAGCAUGGGAAUCUUUUAUUCUUAAAGUAUGCGAAACUCAAAUAAUUACUAGAUCUUAAAAGUUAAUGUAACACAAGAAAAGUUAAGAGUAAAUCUUAUAUAUAAUGACGUGUAUACACUAUCACGGUUGAAUAUACAACAUAUAUAUAAAAUUUGAAUUAUAUGUUAUGCAUCUAGAGUGAAAGUGUAUACACUGUAAGUGUAUAGAAGAUUAAUCCAAAAGGUUGAACAUAAAAAGACUAAUACUAAAAUAAGUAGUUGAGUCAAAGUUUAACAGUAAAAUAACAUACGCAUAGGAGUGAGUUAGUAUCUAUUUAGUUACUGACAUUAUAAAAUUAUAAAUCGACCUUUAUCAUGCAUAAAAAACAUUAUGAGGAGGAAGCUGUAUUUGGCAAUUCAAAGUAUGAUAUAAAAAAAAAAAAAAAAACUCCUUUGUUAGUUUAAGGACUAAUUUAUGAUAAAAAAUUAUUUAAUAAUCAAAAGUCAAAAUACACAGGACCAGGGACACAUCCGUUGUUUAUCGUGACACAUAUAUUUACACAUGACCCUCAGCCCUCAGGUUUUCCUUUCUGCACCCAAUAUAAGCAUUGGGCCUAUCCUGUGUGCUGAUGAUAGAGUUGGGCCUCAAAUAAUUGGAUCAAAUCAGAAAUGUCAAAUGAAUAUAGCUGAAGCCCCUUACAAAAUUGGCCCUUAAAUCUCGAAAUCCCAAAAAUCAACAGCGACACUUAAAAUGGGCGGUACCACCCAGCAGCAGCUCCACCUCCUCCGCAUACUCCUCUCCUGCCGGAAAAUCACAGCCCAGGUGACGAAACCCAUAACAGAAUCCAUCAUAGCCAUAGCUUCCACCACCGAGCCAGAGUUCUUACCUCAAUUAAAGGCCAAGCAAAAUCGUUUCCCGAGAUCCCACAAUUUCAUGGACGCCAAAAUCGCGACCAGAAUCGGCGAGAAACUCGGACUCCGGCUUAAAGAAAUCGGGGUUUUGAACGUCGAGAUUGAUUUCAACGAGGAGCUUCUUAGACCCGUUCAUCAACAAAAAUUGGUACGACCCAUAUUUCAGAAUGUUAAACGAGCUGGGAUUAAUAUUUCCGGUGCUGAGAAGUUGCCGUUCGGAGGAUGAGAUCAUGGAUUUUGACGAUGAUGAUCCGACGGUGUAGAUUGGGUUUGCACGAAUUUUCACUGCUACUUAGGUGUACCAGAGCAAAUGUACUAUGAUUUUUUUUUUUUUGGAGUGGAGGAGUCAUGUAUAAAAUUUAGUUUAUGAUUUGUUUCUCAUUAUGCACUAGUUAACUACUAUUAUAGUAGUUCUCCACUAGUUAACUAUAGUUUUGUUUGGUAAUAUAUGUAAAAUUUUUUUUGUUUUAGUAUUUGGAAAUUGAAACUUAAUAGGCAAUAAAGAUGAACGAGUAUUAAAAUUAUAUAAAGAAGGGAUGGGUUGGAUUAGGGGCGCAAACGAAUUGAGCCAAGUCGAGUUUUGAUGUAAUUGAGUCGAGUUUUAUUUUAAUUUUAUUGAACUAAAGCUUGAUGAGUUGAUAAUUUUGAAAUUCGAAUUCGAAAAAAUAAAAAUAAUUAUUUUAUAUUUUUAAAAAAUAAAUAAAAUAAUAUUUUCUCAAUAAAUAAUAAAAUAUUAAGAAUAUAUAUAAUUUUAUUAUUAAAAUAAAAAAAACAUAUAUAUAUAUAUAUUUAUAUACUCAAACUCGUGAGCUACUCGCGAGCUAAUGAGUUUAAUAUUUUAAACUCGAGUUGGACUCGAAUUUGAUAUUGAUCAAGCUCAACUCGAGUCGUUUCUGAGUUGCUCGGUUCAUUUGCACCCAUAAGUUGGGUGUUGUAGAAGGAAGGAGUGUGAGCGAAAAAGAGUGUAAAUAAGACAUCUUCUUUACAAAAAAAGAAAAACUAAAAAAAAUAUUACAAUUAUGUGAGCCAAAAAAAAAGGUAGGAUUGUUAAAAUUAUGUGAAAAGUUUUGAUUGGUUUGGAUUUUACUUCUUGAAAUUACAAGGAAUAAUUAUAAUACGGAAUGAUUAAUUGGCUUUUGCGAUCAGUUUAGAAUCAAGGUCACAUCAUUUGAAGUUCGAUUCUAGAUGUCCACAUAAAAGCUAGGGAUGGCAAUCGGGUCCAAAUCGGAUUGGCAGGUGGGAUUGAGACUCGGAUAUAACAGAAAAUCCAUUGGCCCGAACAUGACCCACCAACCCGAAACGGGAUCAGGAUACCUAACCUAAAUCCAAAAGUUUCAGAUUGAUGGGUCGACCCAAAAUUAUCCGAAACUUAAUUUUAAUUUAUUAAUUUACCACUGUAAUUUCUAAUAAAACCAAUUUCGCACAAGACUAAUUACAUAAUCAAGUAAUAAAAUUUUAAUAAAUAAUCUCAAACCAAAUCUAAAAUAAAUUAAAACACUGUGUUUUAUCCCAAACCAAAUAUAAAAUAAAUUAAAACAGUAUAAAAAUAAAAAAUAAUAUAAUACAUUAUUUGUCCAAAUAUAUAAUAAUUUCAACUUUACACAAGUUAAAUAAAUUCAUUUAGGAUUAAGUGAUUAAUGCCUUUGGAAAAAAAAUAAUAACUUAGUUUAGUUAGAUAAAAUAAUUUUUAUUUUUAUUAAAUUAUUUUUAAUUCGUAAACGGGUUAUCAGGUCAUAUUGGGUCACUCACGGGUUGACUCGAAUUCAACCCGUUUUUUUUUCGAGUUCAUUAGAUUCGACCCGAUUCUGACUCGAACCCGCGAAACCUCAACCCAAAUCUAUUAAUUUCGUGUUAAAUUCGUAUCGUGUUUUCAGGUCGUGUCGAAAAUUAUCGCCCCUAAUAAAAGCUACACUUCUACAUGAGAAAUAAUGGCUGAUGACCAUUGUAUUUCCCCCCCCCCCCCCCCUUUUAAGAGGCUCAAGUGUCAUUGCAUAGCUAUAAUAGUCUUAGAAUUUAUUGCUGCCCAUUUGCUGCCCAACUGAUGUUGUUGAUUCCCAAUAGCUUAUUCUUAGUAGUUGUCAAAUGAACCCAAUGAUGGUUUUUCAUCAUAUUACCAUCCAUCAAUUGGGCAGGAUGGCUUCACUUAUUUGUGAUUUGACCUUGGAAUCAACUGAAUUUUAACUCAAGAACCCAUUAGCAGGUUUCUUAAAUUUCAGCUGGCAUACAAAGGCUGCUAAAUCACAUUUUACCUUGUGCCCAAAAAGGGUCCUAUACUGAUUCUUGAUUAAUUACUAGGCAUGUCAAAUAAUUAGUUCAAAUCCAAACAAAAAAUUUUCCGAUCAUGAUGCCACUGGCUGGGUGUCGCAUUACCAUUCUUUCUUUCAACAAAUUUAAAGGAAAAAAAGGGAGCAGUUGGGCUGUUAACCUUUUCAAUGUAAUCAAAGUGAAUGAGAAUAUUUCUUUCGAUUAUAUAGAAACAAAAAAUGUAGUUGGUCUGUUGUACUGAUCCGCCAGCAUCAAGUGGAUAGGAUGAAAUUGUUGUAAGGAUGUCCUAAUCCAGCUUGGAUGGCCCAUCCUCGCUCCCGUGUAAAAAUAAGCACAAUUGGGUGUGAGCCCAUAUGUUGUUUCAUCCGAAUAAUGACUGCCAAACUAGCACACAGAUUCAUAUUUCAAUGCAAAAUAAUACUUAUAUAUUAUAAUAUAGAAUAAAGUAUAUGAAAAAAGCAAAAAAAAAUUUAAAGAAGUGUAUACUUAACAUGUUAAAAAAAGGUUUAUUUCGUAAGUACAAAAUGAACUUUCUUAAUUUUAAUAGCUUAAAUAAGUUGAAACCAAAUUUUGUUAACCUAUUGUCUGUCAAUAUACGAUAACAAUUUGAAUAAAAUAAUUUAAUUUAUAAUGAUUUACAUGAUAGAGCAAUUGUAAACUUAUUUAUCAAUAUAUCAUGUUACACCCAUACAUCAAAAGUUUUAACAUUAAAAAUAUAAAGUAUAACUAAUUCAUUUUCCUCAAUUUUAGAAAAAUUUUCUCUCAUCUUAUAAUCCUAAAAUUGUUGAGUGCUUAUAGAAUAAUGUUCUACAUGAAUUUUAAUAUAGAUUUAAAAUAAUCUUUUGUAAGAUGUGUUUUUAAAAUUUUCAAAAUUAUUAAACACUAUCAUCCUUUUCAUCAUCUCUUACCUGUUAACUAGCUAUCCGCUGCCUUCUACGACUUUCAGGCAUUUUACCACGAUGCCAUCCUUCUUGUCAUAUCCCUACAAUCCUAUUCUUUCAUCUCUCCAAUGUUGUUAAACUCGGAUCAGAUAGUGAUUCGACUAAACUAUUGGAUCAGGGGUGAACUAGUCGGAUCGAUCAGACUAUUCUCAAAAACCCGUUGACAUCAACAUGAGAUAAUAAUAAUUUUAUAUUUUUAUAAGUUUCAGAAAUAUUGAAAUUAUGUUCUUGGUUAUAUUCGACCAAUCAUACAAAAUGUUCCAAAAAUAUUAGACUUAUAAUCAAAUAUACACCUAAUAAUUAUAUAUAAAAAUGUAAAUUCAUGACUAAACUAUGUCCAUUUCCCAAAACUAAUUCAAAAACUAAAUUAAAACAAAUUAAUGCAAGUUGGAAUCAUUGAUGCUAAAUUUAUAAGAUAAUAGAGAUGAAAUAUCUUGAUUUAGAAAUCAUUUAGGAAAGUGAGUGAUUUUGGUAUUUACAUGAAGGGGGUGGCGUUUUCAUAUUCCUAUUAAUAAAUAAAAGUGUUACAAUUUUGAUAGUUCAAAUUAUGUUUGAGAAAAAUAAGAAAGAAAAGUUUGAGAACCAGGUCAACCAGUCGAAUCGAGACACAAGUUUAAUCGAUUUUUGAUGGUUUUGACUGGUUUUUGACUAAAGUGGUUUUGUGCUAUAAACCAACUCCGAAAGAAGGCCGGUUCACAAUCUAACCAAUCGAAUCGAUCGGUCCGAUCCGGAUCUAACAACACUGCUUCUACCCUCUUUCCAUCCAAUCUUAUAGUAGUUUACCUUUCUUUUUCGACUUUUCCCACCGCUCUUUAAUUCUUUGCUAUUCUCUUUCUCUCGCCUACAGUUAGUCUCGGACUUUCUAUUUUCGCCACCCAAUUUCCUAUUCUUUUCCCUUCACCAUUCUCGCCAACCCCUUUAAAUCCAUAAUUUGUUUUUUAGGGUAGUAGUACUUUGUUUUCUAUUUUGUGAUUUCAUAAUUUAGAAUUCACAAAUGGUACCAUUAUUGAUAUUUUAAAUCGAUGACCAAUGAAUAUUGUUUUCCUUUUGUUUUCUAUAUAAUUUGCCCUUUUAGUUAGGAUUACUAAGUUGAAAAUAAAAUAUUAUUAUUUACUUUUUUACUUUUAGUAGGGUUGGUGAAUUUUCUCUUUAUUUAUCCUCACAUUGAUAAAUUUCAAAUCAAAUUCCUAUAUAAGUGGGCCACUUCUUACUUUUAAAUUCAAAAGACAUGAAAGGAUAUAUAACAAUUAAAAAAAAUUCAAAAUUCUAUAUAAAAAAAAAAGAAUGAGAAGUUAUAAGCAUUUUGAUUUAACCAUUCUAAAAUCUCUUACUGCAAUACAUAUAGAUAUAGAUUUCUAUCUGUCUAACUAUUAGGGCAAAAACUUAAGUAGACCCAAUCUAUAACCUCACCUAUAGAUCGAUUAGUUCAAAAUUUGUCAUAUAAUAUCACCAAAUCAAACAUUAAAUGCACAAUAAAGAUAUGGCAAAAUUUGGAUUACUAAGUUUCGUAGAUAAGCUCUACCAAGUUUUUGCCACCUAUUAGGAACCAACCCAUAAAAGGAAAGGAACCCCCUAAAACUCCCAUCCAGAAAAAAAAAAGAAAAAAAAGAAAUACAAAGAAUAAACACAUUAAGGUAAAGUGAAAUUGAUUGCUCCAAACAACCAUGAUAUCAUUUGUUUUUUACAAAAAAAAAAAAAAUAAAAAACUAUGAUAUCAUUUUUUAUUUCUUUUGUGCCUUAUUGAUGUAAAGAAUGAAAGGUAUCGACAAUAUUGAGAAGAAUGUACUGUUAGUGCAUUAGUUUUGCGAAGCAUAUACUCACUAUUGCAGAAAAAAUGCAACAAAAUCACGUAAUCGUCUACAACUGGAUAUACUAGGAUGGACAUUGAUCAUUUUUUCUCUCCUGCAAAAGUUCUAUAGUUCUACCAGUGUGAAAAGGAUUGGAAUGAAAACUGUACUCGAAUAUCCUCUUCACCUAAUCGUAUUACUAAAAUAAACAAAAUCUUGCGAAUUCGUGUGCAUAUUGUUGUUUGCAAUAUUGAUGUCCCAAGAUUGAUUAGCUUAUGUCAGGCACAAGGAAUUGAGUUAUUAAACAAGUGAUAAAUUGUUGAAAAGUUCUUGAACCAUAAAAGAGUAGAUAGGUCUUUUGUUUCAAAACGUUUACGGCACUUGUUUAUAGUUUGAUUAGGAUGGCUUUAAUUCAAUUUUUUUUUUUUUUGAUAAAAGAACCCGUAGCCGUUACCCAAAAGUGUGUACUGAGUAAGCUCUAUUCCGUGUAAUAGUUCGUUAAUCACGUGAAGGGAUAAGACGCACUAGACAAAUCCUAUGUGAUAGGCAGAUAUUUCAAAAAAGGUUCGAAUCCGAAUUGGCAAGAAGAUAUAGUACCAACUCCACAAUUUCCGCCAAAUCAAGGGACUUAAUUCGAGUAUUUGGCCACGCCUGUUUCAACUUGGAUUAUUUCGUUGGGCAAUUUGGCAACGAUUGCUUGACAGAUAAUUUUAGUGGUACGGAUAAGGGAAAAAGCUUUCCCGCUGUUGCAAUUUGCAAACCAGCUGUGGCAAACUUGUUGAUCUAGACAGACAAGGAAAACAAUAAUCGGGGCACAUAUCAUUCUACGAGCUUGAAUUUUUGAAAGAUUAGCAGUUCGCAAUUGGGCUUAUAUAUAUAUAUAUAUAUAUAUAUAUAUAUAUAUAUAUAUAUAUAUAUCACUUUGUAGAGUGAUUGUGAUAAUAAUUGAAUGUUCAUGUAAAUUGUUCAAAAUUCAAGUGUUUGUCUCAUAAGUACCCACUCGUAAAACAGAGUUCAUGCAUUCGCUUUUUCUGAAAAAUGAAGUUAAAUCAGAGAAAUGUCUAAUGUCAGAGGUGAUAACAAUGGAUGUGCAUUCAAAUGGUAAACCAAGUGCAGAAAAUGUAUACCAAUGAGUGUGGACAUAUUCCUAGUUGGAUAAGCCCAAGUUUUAUGCAAAUGAGACCUGUUAAUUAAUGCUAAAUUGAUUUAUUUCCGCAUUCGACCAAUUUUGGCGUAUGCUCCAAAAUCUAAGAAAAAUUAGUACUGUGAGAGUUAAUAGAUAUGCAUGUCUUUACUUUAUAUAAAAGUUUUCAGUGAAGAAAAUUUCCAAGUAAUUGGUUUUCUAGUUCUAGAGAUCUAGAUCUUCAUCAUUUGAACACUUUAUCCAAUUCCAGUGUGCACAAGUUACUAUCAAUCAGUAACCAACAUGAUCAGAAUUUGAAAUUUGUUAGGCUUGAGCAGGAAAAUUUGAUUUUUCUCUGUGGCUGAAUAUUCUAGCAAAGCAAGAUGAUCUUAGAUCGACGAAAAUAACGAAAGUAAAUAUGUCUCUAGACAAGCAAAGCCAUCAGCACAAGGACAAUCACAACGUCAUAGGAAUCCUGUUCUGUCGUUUAUUCCGGCGUUUGUCUAAAUUAAUUGGGUGUCUGUUCUUUCCGUGUCGGAAAAAAACAAGGACAAUCACAAGGUUGACAGAUCCUGCAUGCAUGGACCAGAACGCACACUCUCGAAGACUAGAUGAGUAAAGCUGUGAAGUGAAACCACAUGUGACUGCAUCACCACCAUUUGUGGACAUGGCUGCGUUUGCUGUCUUUUCUCCCUUUGUAUCUCUUCAUAUUCAUUGAAAACGGUGGCAGGAUGCGUCGCCUCAAUCGAACGUGUAAAUGGAUGAGGAUUAAUUACUCAGAAUAUGGAUCGAAAAAAGAUUGAUGAGGAUUAAUUGCUCCGAAUAUGGACCGGAAAAAGAUUAAUCGCAUAUAUAUGGCUCUGACAGGGUUUUGGUACAAAUCUAUAUACAGUCCGGCACCCAAAAGACGACUGAAAAAUUCUGACACAGUCCGGCAGCAAAAAAAUAUUUUUUUUUUUUUUUUAUAAAGUUGUCGGCUACGGGCUGCAUAAAGAGAGCCCGGUAGCCAGUAAAAUAAAAAAAAAAAAAAAAAACUCCAACGUUGAAUUUGAGGUGCCUGACAAAAAAAAAAAAAGCUGGCAGCGUGCGUUAUUUGACAGCCUAGCCAGGACAAAAAAAAAAGGCUGCCUGAAUGUCUUGCUUCCCGGCAGCCAGUAAAAUUUAAAAAAAAAAAAAAACUCCAAACGUUGAAUUUGAGGUGCCUGACAAAAAAAAAAAAAACAAGCUGGCAGCGUGCAUUAUUUGACAGUCUAGCCAGGACAAAAAAAAAAAAAAAAGGGCUGCCUGAAUGUCAUCUCGUUUAGCAUUCCGUGUGGAGACUUCACUUUUCUGCGCAUAAUGCAAGGAAGCAAACUCUAACAUGUGGAGACUUCACUCUUCUGUGCAUAAUAAGCAGAAGCAAUGCAAGGAGGCCAACUAUGGUAGAGACGCACAAAGAAAUAUAUUCGGGCACCGGUGAAAGCGGAUUAUUCAUAGAUAAAAAAUGUUACAUAUUUUAAAAUCAUAAAAAAGUCCUCUUAAAAAUUUGUUUAUCAUCUAAUGACCAAUACUUAUAUUUAAUAAAUUUAAAAAGUUAAUUAAAUAUUCUAUUGUAAUAUAAGUAACUAUAUGUCAUUGAGUCGAUUGAAUAAUAUUUUUUUCUUUUUUUUGGCAUUUUAACUAGUUGUCUAUUGAGUUUCAAUUUAAAUAAAGAUUUUAUAAUUAUUUAAAUUAUUCAAUAAAAUUAUCAAUUUAAGAUGAACAUAAAUAUAAAUACAUUAAAUUGUAUUAUUGAAAUAUUUGAUUUAAUAUGAAGGAAAGACAAGAAGAAAUGGCAAGGAAUUUUUGAAAAAUUCAUGUGAGUUUCUUAUAUUGGUAAUCACGUUUAUUUGUUAUUAUAAUCACAACUCAUAUCGUAAUACUAUUUACAACUAAAGUUACUAUAUAUUCAAAUUAAAAUUUUCUUUUUUCACUAAAUUUUCUUUUAUAUAUGAUGUAUGUGUUAUCUUUUGUUGAUAAUUAAUAUAACAAAAAAAUACUCUUUAGGCUAAUAUGUCUUGACAAUGUGGAUUACUUUUAAGGAUUUUAAUGAGAAUUAGACCACAUUUUUCAUGGAUUCAAUCAAAUUCACAUUUUAUUUCAUUUGAAAUAUAAUUAUUUAAAACGUAAGAGACGAAAAAAUACGAAGUCAAACUUUUGACUAAUUCUAAUUAUUUAAAACUUAUGCCACUUGACGUACUAAAUCUCUUUAGUCUUUUAAGUUAAUAAAAUUACGUUUCAUGAAUCGAACAGCAGAAAUAGAUGAAAAUAGAUUUGUUAAAUCAAUAAUUACUUCUAUAAGAUGUUAAACUAAACAAAGGCCGUUUAAAACAAAAAAUCUCAUUCUUUUUACAAUCAGAUGCAGUUCUCAAAUUGUUGAAAAAUUAUUUGCUCAAAUUGUUAUGUAAUUUGUAAUGUACUAUAUAAUUUUAUAAAUAUAAAUUUAUUGUGCAAUAUAAAAACAAAAUAGGCAAAAAAAUGAAGAGAAGGAAAAAUGCAUAACUUCACAUUGUCAAAUUGUGAAUACACCUAAUAGCGAUAAGCAUGGUUUUAAUAAAAUAUUAAAAUAGCGCUAAACCCCCAUAUUCAAAUAUUUGAAAUUGUAAAACAUGCACUUGAAAUGAUCAUGUCAACGGCCGGUAUGCCUUUUGCCCUUGCCUUUAUCACCUGGUGUUAUAGACGGGCAGCAAAAUCUUUUGGGCUUUCGUCUGCAAUGAUCACAAAGAACUAUGGGCUCCUGUGGCACAAAAUCUAUAGAAACAGCAUCAAGCCCUACGUCCUCCUCCUCAUCCGACUCAGCUGUCGUACUGCUAUCACCAUCGUUUUGAGGAUGAUACUUGACAAAAUCUCCCGACUAAUCAUAUGCAAUAGUAGAUAUCGGCUGGAUCGACGUAGGUAUGGUCAUAGUCUGUCCAAGACUGUAAUAAUCGGGAAGAUCUGAAAUAGGAGGCACACUACCCGUUUCGCCCAGCAAUUUGAAAAUUAGAUGUAGCUCAGCAGUAGAAGAUGAGGCCGCUGCAGUGGCAACGUAUCCAAAUGGAGGCUCGUGUGACCAGGAUGGAAUUUGUCUUCCAAAUACAGAAAAAUAUGGAGAGUGUGCGGGAUAUGUACCAAAAGGCGGAAACUGUGGCAAAGGCGUGGCAUCUAGACCUAGGGCUGCAAACGAGUCGAGUCAAGUCGAGUUUUGACCUUAUCGAGUCGAGUCUUGACUUAAUUUCAUCGAACUCGAACUCGAGCUCGACGAACUGGUAAUUUUCAAGUUCGAGUUCGAAAAAAAUAAAAAAUUAUUAUUUUAUUUUUAAAAAAAUAAAUAAAAUAAUAUUUUUUCUUAAUAAAUAAUAAAAUAUUAAGGAUAUUUAUGUAAUUUUACUAUUAAAAAUAAAAAUAAAAAAAUAAAUAUAUAUAUACUUGAGCGCGAGUCGACUCGCGAUUUAACGAGUUUAAUGUUUUGAACUCGACUCGAGCUCGAUAUUGAUCGAGCUCGAGUCGAGCUCGAAUCGAGCGGCUCGAUUCGUUUGCACCCCUAUCUAGACCAAUAUGCUGUGAGUGCGGGGGCGAUGUUACCUGAGGGGUAAAGGCUAGUAUAUUCUGUCCAGGUGACAAAGCAUGGAUAUCUGUCAUCGGCAAAGACACAGAUGUCGUGAAUUGAUGACUAGUCGGGGUGUGCGGCAACUAAGUGGCCCCCUCGGUGAUUUGAAUGCCCGUCUCCUUGAUGACUUCGUCUCGCAACCCAUGUCUGUGCCGUCGACUUCUACUAGAUGAUGGUCCACCUUGUGCAGGGACACGUCUCACGCGUGGUUGGAUAGGAAUUUCUUGUGCCACAGGAGGAUUAUGAUCGAAAGAAUCAAAAUCACCAACAACCAUGCGAUCAAAACAUUGGAGGUAUUGCAUUGAUCCGUAUGCUCCAUCAACAAUAGUUGCAAGACGUGGAUGAAAUCGACCUUCAUGUUCAAGUGCCUCAUGUGAUUGCCGGCCAAUGCGCUGCAUAGUAUCCAUCUGACAUAUUCAAAAUUGGAAAAAAUAUUAUCACUCCAGAUGUCCAAUAGUAAAUAACUUAAAUUUUGCGAUAACUUUAAUUUACUAAAUAGUCAAACUGGCUAGAAACUCCAUGCAACAUUUGUCCAACUUGUGCAUGCUGCUGGAUAGGUGGCGUAAUGUAUAAAAUGGUGUGGGAGUGAUACCACUCCAGAUACAUAUUGAAAUGCCUGAACGUGAUUGUGGGCACACCAGGUACCUGUGCUCUUGCACGCUCAUUCCAGUAUCCUAUCCAACUCCUAUGAAAAUGAGCUCAAUUUCUUCCCGGAUAACCGGAAAGAUCCAAUUGGUGUAAACCUCCCCGAUUAGUGUCAACUGGUUUCGGAAUUUCCUGCAUCAUCCCAAAUUGGCGCAUGACACGAUCUGGACAAUGUAUUUCGACGAUGUGUCAGAAUAUUAGAGGGACCCUUGCUCGCCAUAUGUGCUCCCCCCGUUUGCAGUAAUCAGGUAAAUUAGCUAGUAUACCAUCGCUAUACGGCAUCCAAAUAAACUGCUACCAUAACCAGAAUUUAGGUAUGAUCUAAAAUUACUAAUAUCACUAUAAAAUAUACUUUAUUGAGAUAUAAGACUUUAUACCUGAUCCAUCUGUAAUAAGGCUAGCUGCUCCCGAUAAUGUGUGCUGGAUCGGCUGUAAGGGUCAACCCCUAUUCGUUCGGCGACCCAUCUACCACCUCUAGGAAAAUCCCCAAUCCCAUCCCAUCUACAUCAGGACGAAUCACGGAAAUUCGCUCCCACGCCCAAAGUUGUAGUAACAAGUAUGGACCUCCAGAUGUGAUUGCAAAAUCACGUGAUGCAUAGCACAAUCGUGAGUAUAAACACGCCAAAGUUGCAGAUCCCCAACUAUACUGACUCAUGGCAUCCAAAUCACGAACAAAGUCUAGCCAAUUUAAACUGACGACAUUCUGACACGAAUAUGCAAAUAGCAAUCUAUCCAAUAGAAUCAGGAUAUACAUACGAGCAUACUGCGAACCAUCUGAUCAGAAGCAUUUGCCGGCAGUGGUGUACUCAAUCGUUGGGAUAUAGACGAUAACUUUAAACGACCGUGAUUGAGCAUGUUAUCUUCUGGCCAAUAUACCAAAAGGUUGCUAACCAAUUGUUUGCGUUGUAAGGACUACAUUUGUUGUGUACUAUUGUGACAGGUAGACUAUCAACGCUUAAGCUCCAUAAAACCUCCACAUCCUGUAGAGUUACAGUCGCCUCUCCCAUAAUUGGAAGGUAAAAAGUGUGUCUCUUGCCUCUAACGCUCCACAAGUGCAUUUAUAAGGCCAUAAUCUAUUAUGAGAUAACCGGCUCUGCGAAUGUUAUAAAAGCCAGCAGCAUCGAUGUAUUGCGCAACCCGUUCAUCUAAAUGUAUAAGAGGUUGAAAAAACCUCUUAUCAUAGCGUCGAACAUCUAAAUCCACACCAAUGCCUUGAAAAAUCGCUGCUGAUCUAUGUUCGGAUUGUAGAUAUAAAACACUCUCAUCCAAGGGUUCUGGAUGAGUGGGGUGCUGUGGUUGUAUUCCAUCGCUCCAUUUUAAAUCCUGCUUUCAGAUACAAAUAACAUAAUUAAUGAUAUGCUAGCACAUAAUGUAUUAAAAAUGCAUCACUUAGGAUAAUAUAUAAAAACUUUAACAUUUAUUACUACCAAAUACCAGUUCACAUCAAAUACAAGGGUUUGUCGUACUUAUUAGUACAAUCAUCUACCAUAGUUUAUACAAAAAGUUAUUUAUGAAAGUAACUAGCAUACGAUAGUUAGGGGCAGUGUGACCCGAUUGUAAGCAGUUACUGCACCGGCUUGGUGUAUCAGGAUAUCUUCUAUCCAUCUGAUUUCUGAUCCUAGCAGUUCUCAAUGGUUCGGGCAUCUUUUAUUUCAACCGAUCUCCAAUGAUAUUCAGCUUUAAGUCCGUUACGGACUAAUAUUUUGGAUCCCAUAACGGUUGAAAAGAACCGCUGAAUGUAGCCUAAUACGCAGGAAAUGUAUGUUCCUGAGCGACAAGCGUUAUUGGACUAAUACCACACCUAAAACACACUGCAAUAGCAUGUGAACAUGGGAAGCGCAAUUCUCUCCAAUUUUCACAUGUACACGUGCGACUUCCAAUGUCAACAGUUUGGGCAUGACCUCCUUUAUUGCUUUGCCGAUAAGCAGUUGUGAUGCAGUAAAUACCUCUCUAGUGAUCGAACACUUGAACUGCAUGUGCCCUCCAUUUUUUUUUCAUUUUUUACAUAUUUGCCCCACGAUUUAUAUACGAGGGCGUAUACUUAAUUCCAUGCAACCUUGUAAUUUUUGACAAACAGAUCGACUGUUUGGUUGAAUGUAAACCGUAUACAUGCAGUAAUUGGCAGCAAUCGAGUGUUCCUCAAUAAAUUAUUGAAACAUUCAGCCAUAUUUAUGGAUAUGUGCCCCCAACGAUAUUCCCCAUCUUUGCACAGAGCCCAUUGCUCGGGUCGAACUGAUCCACCCAUUAGCCAUGCAUACGCCUCCGAAUUUAUGGAGAAAAUUACAUUCAUGAAAUCCUCAUACUUGUGGCUGAUUUGCCACACUAGCAGCGUACAUAAGGAUUUUAAGUCUAUCAGACGCAGUAAAAUAUCGCCAGAAUGGGUUUAAUACCAAAAUAAUGACCGGUGAAACGUGAAAACAUGUUUAAUAUGUAAGGGUUCGGAGACAAUUUACCUCUCGCACUUGAAUUUCUGUGUGAAAUUGCUCCGAAUAUGAAUCAAACAGAAUCAGUGCACCCCUAAUUGCUCCUGUCACUCUUCCAGUGUAUGCAUUGCGUUAAUGAUGCCGUGGUGACGAUCAGAAAUAAUGCACGUAUUCUGCACAUCACCACAUACAUGAAUGCGUAACAAUCUCAUGAACCAAGACCAACUCCGAUUAUUCUCCUCAUCAACUAGGGCGUAUGCCAAGGGAAACAUUGAGUUGUUAGCAUCAAAACCUAUGGCGGCAAGAAGUUUUCCCCGAUAAGGUUCUUUUAAAACGGUACCAUCCACGCAUAUGAUCGAUUUUAAAUGGCGGAAGGCUUGGAUGGCAGGAGCAAAUGCCCAAAAUAUAUAAUCAAAAAUUAUUCCCGAUAGGGUACUUAAUGGAUGAUGAUCCCACACAACAACCGUGCCUGGAUUCGACCGUUGUAACUCUUUAAUAUAUGUCGGCAGUUGCGAUAUAGAUGUCGGCUAAUCCCUAUAUAAUAUAUCAAUGGCACAACGUCUAGCGUACCAGGUCUUCUUAUAUGAAACAUCGCAAUGAAACUUCUAUUUCACCGAUGCCUGAAUUUCCUUGAUCUUGUAGACCAGACCAUCAUAAUAUGGGAAAUAAUGUGCUUGGCAAUUGUAUCACUACUUAAUCCACGGUGGUCGUUACUAUAACAAACACGGACGCAAGUAUACGCGUCAGCAAGUGUGACAAUCAUCCAUAUGUUGUGCGAGCUACGUAAGGUUGUACGAAACUACCAAUUGCAAUGGGGUACUUCGUUACGAGUCCGACAACGGACAUACCAAGUCGUUGGCGUGCUCUCACGAAUUCUAAACCCCCUAUUCUCCUUGAUAGACCACAAUUUCACAGGAUGUUGGACAUGCUCCUUUGUUUCGAACAAUUGGCCUAAUUUUAAAUCUUUGAUGUGUUCGUUCCACAGUCUUAACUUCUCCACUCGCCCAGCAUCAAGGGGUCAAAAUUUAAUGCAGCGUCAACACCAGCUUCACAACACAGUUGUGGUCCCUCACUAUUUAUUCAAGGAGCACUACAAUCCAUGUCAUCAUGGGCCAUAGUCGGGAGAUCUAGAUGCCCUGCUUGACUGUCGGUAUCAUGUUCAUGCUUCUCAUCAUCAGAACUACUAAGAUUGGGCUCUGGUUCGGAGUCCAUGUCAACAUUUACAAACUGAACGUCAGUAGAUGGCAGUGCAUCAAACAUCGGUGCCGAUUCAAUAUCCACACCUCCAGGAUGAAAGCUCGGGGUGUGCAUUAUCGGUCGGGCACUUGUAGUUGAAGGAUCAUUAUUCGUCCGCCGACCAGUACCCCUUCUUCGCCCUCUAUGCCUUUGUUGGACAUCUUCUACAUCUAAUUGGGUCAUUUGACUAUCAAAAAGGCCUCCUGACUGGAAUAAAGAUAUAUGUUCCGAAUUACUACCGCCUCGCUCAGGAUUAGCACUUAUAAUUUUUAAACCGUCGGAAUUAUGUUCUUCUAAACCCAAUAGCUCCUCGACCUCCACAUAUAUUUCGGUUGCAAGUCUACUACCAGAUUGUAAGUAGUACAGACCAGCAACUCCAUUAUCAUCUAUCAAAGGCAUUGCACCAAACUUGCCAUUUUUGAGGCAACUCCGAUAUAUCAAACUAACCUUAUGGCUGUUCUGAUCUAACCCAUAGUAGUGUAUAUUUUGUCUAUCAAAUCAUCAUAACCAACCACCUCUGUUAGGAACAGCACAUUUUUUGGUAUGGGGGGAUCAUAUGAAAUUGAACCCUUUUUGUAUAUAAUUUUUCCUCCCCAAUAUAGUUGUAUCACCAAGCAAUUAUCACUUGACAUGAUAUACCUAUUACACACGAGUAUUGAUAACAUUUUAAAAUCGCAUUAAUAAGCUUAUUUGAAUAAUUAAUUAAUUGAUCGAAUCAAAUAUAUAUAAUUUAUAACAAAUAAAUAUAUGAUUAUAAGUCUAUAAUUAUAACAAAUAAUAACCAAUAAUAUAACAAAUAACAACAAAUAAUGCAUUAUAAUUAAAUAAUUAAAUCAUUUAUAACAAAUGAACGUAUCAUUUAAUAAAUAACAAAGUAAACCUAAUUAAUCACCUUAAUUAAUACAUUUAGUUACAAACAUUUUUCCUUAUGCUAAGUUUAUCAUGCGCCUACAUUUCAUAUUGGAUCAAUUAAAUAACCAUUCUAAUAAAAAAUCUUACUAAUAUUAAAAACCCUAUUUUAAAAUGAUUCUAUGCUAAUUACAUUAAUUUUAUGUAUUUGAUUUAUUAAAUGCGGCAAUUAUUUCAAAUACUUAAAUUAUCCCCACUAAAUAGCUAUCACAAUCAAAACUCAAUACAUGCCUCGACAAAUACAUUUAAAUUCAUUUAAUCGACCUCUUAAAAUUAAUUAAUUACUAAAAAGUGAGAGGUCCUAAUUUAACUAAUUAGACCACAAAACUAAUUAAACUAAUCAGAUACUAAAUAACAUAAAGCUAAUUAUCAACUAACUCGCGCAAUAAAGUGAAUUGCCUUAAACUAAUACCCCUAAUUUCGAAAUUAAGCUAACCUAACUACAUUAUGUUUAUGCAUUUAAUGUAUUAAAUGUAGCAAUUAUUUCAAAUACUUAAAUUAUCACGACUAAAUGUCUAUCAUAAUUAAAACUCAAUACAUGCCUCACCAAAUACAUCUAAAUUCAUUUAAUCAAACCUAUUAAAUUUAAUUCAUUCAACUAAUUAAAAAAUAACUAAUUAAACUAAUUAAAUCACAAAACUAAUUAAACUAAUCAUAUACUAAAUAACGUAGACUAAUUAUCAACUAACUCGCAUAAUAAAGUGAAUUGCAUUAAACCAAUAAUACUAAUUUCGAUAUUAAGCUAUGCUAAUUACAUCAAUUGUAUGUACUGCAAUUGUUAUAGAUGUCAAUUAUUUCAAUUAAGUCGAUUACCCUAACUAAUUAACAAGUUUUCAUAAUCAUAAGCCAAUAAACCUAGGCUAAGUUACAUUUACAUUCAUUUAAUCAAUCACUUUAAGUACAUUUAUUAAACAAAUUUAAACAACUAAUUAAUCUACUUAAACUAAUUCAAUCACUAAACUAAUUCAACUAAGCGUGUACCGUGCUAUUAAACUAAUAUUAGCUAACAUACGUAAAAAACAAAUUACAUUAUUUGUUUACAACUGCUUCAACAAUAAAUUAAAUAUUUAAUUAAUAGCAUACUAUAACAAUAACAUAAAAUAUUUAUCAACAAUUCAGUAACAUAAAGUGAUAAAUUAUAACAACUUCUAUACAAUAUAGAUCACUAAUCUCUUUCGAAUCUAAAAAAUUGGUUGCCUUGUCAACACCAUGAGUAAUGAGCCUGGCGACCUUAAUAGAAGCACCGCAAUUAAUCAGCACGGCGAUUAAUAAAAAUGCGGCCUAAUGCCAAUUCUGCAUGAGAAUAAGGUAACAAUUAGAAACACCAAGAAGGACCACAAGGCAAUAAUCAUUUGUUUAAUGAGGAGGAAUAAGCCAACAGGCACUCACGAUUAGGACCACAAGACAGUUCUUCGCCCAAUUCUGUCGAAAUGUCGAUUAGGACCACAAGACAGUUCUUCGCCCAACUCUGCCGAAAUGUAAACUGAGGUGCUCAUGUGAAAUUGUGAGAAAAUGAGAAAUGUAAACUUUGAGUGGGAGAAAGUGAGAGGUGCGGAGUAACGAUGAGGAAGUUCCUCAGUGCUUAUAUAGAGCCUCAAUCAAAAUCUAGCCGUCCAACAAAGUUGCUUAAAAAAAAUAAAAUAAACAACUGCCAAUUCACGGGAUGCUAAACUCUCGUGGAACAUAGCUUCUUUUUUUUUUUGUCGAGUUCUCUGCUAGGUACCAGCAUUUUUUUUGUUCAGCUUUUUUUGUCUCACGGGAUGCUCAACAUUAGCUGCCAGCCUUUUUUUUUUUUGUCCAUAAGCCAUGCCGACUGCUUUGGAAUUUUUUUAAAAAGAAAUUGGACUAACUGCCAGGCUGAGAGAGCCCGGUAGCCAGCUUUGUGCAGAGGUUGUCAGCUACCGGGCCUUGUUAGCCCGGUAGCCGACAACUUUAUAAAAAAAAAAAAAAAUUUCCGCUGCCGGGCUGUGUCAGAAUGUUUUAGUCGCCUUUUUAGAGCCAUACAUGUGCGAUUAAUCUUUUUUUGGUCCAUAUUCUAAGUAAUUAGCCAUGGAUGAGCAGCUUCUACAGUCACGGUUUAGAUUGUUAAGGUGCAAUUAAUUGUAGGAAUGGAUUUGAUUUGAAGUUAGAUAGAGGGGAUUGAUUUUGCAACAGAAAUUUUAAGAAAUGUCAAAAUUUGUUUUAUUUUUGCACAGUGUUAUCUUAAUGUCCACAUUUGUUUUGUUUGUACUUAUAUUUAUUGUGAUAUUAUUUACCUUGUAUAAUAUGACUGAGAUAGGUGAUAUAUUGUAAAAAUCCCAGUACAAAGGCCUGAGCAAAUGGAUAAACAAAUAAGGUGGAAAGCAAAAUGCUGUAGAAAUUAGAUAGCAGUGGGAUUUGAAUUAAUAUAGACCAACGAGCUUCUAUAUCUAUGUUAAGGAUGUAUUAUACAUAUUUGUUACAUUUGAGUAUCUAAAAAGCUGGCCUUAGAUAUUGUUGAGUGGCUACAAAGAGUAUCUAAUACGAUUAGGAAGAAUUGAUAACUAAAACAAAGUAUCAAAUCAUAUAUAUAUAUAUAUAUAUAUAUAUAUAUAUAUAUAUAUAUAUAUAUAUAUAUAUAUAAUAAAGUCGUAUUCUCAUUCUUAUCGCUUUAUCUUUCUCUUUCCUACAUAGCUUAAUGAUAGGGCAAGUGGUUUUAACAUGCUCUAUGAAAUAACCUACACUCUUCCAUCUCUUUCUUCUUUUGCCUUUGUUCAUUUAUUCCAUGAUUUUCACAUUUUUAAAAAAAAAUAACCUAUGCUAUAUAUGGAGUUUAUCUCUCUCUUUUCAUAAGUACGAAAUCAAUUAUCAAUAUCUAUAUAAAUUAAAUUAUAUGUAUAUAAUAAAGCUGUAUUCUCAUUCUUAUCGUUUUAUGCUUUCUCUUUCCUAUGUGAUUUAACAACAGGGCAAGUGGUUUCAGCACGCUCUAUAAAAUAACCUACACUCUUCCAUCUCUCUCUUCUUUUGCCUUUGUUCAUUUAUUCCAUGAUUUCCACCUUUUUUCAAAAAAAAUAACCUAUGCUCUAUAUGGAGCUUAUCUCUCUCUUUUCAUAAGCACGAAAUCAAUUAUCAAUAUCUAUCUAAAUUAAAUUUCAAAUAUAAAACCGUUCUUAUCAUCCAUGUAUGACUUAUAAAAUCGUCCUUAGCAUUCUAUCCUAUAUUCGCGGCCGAUUAUCAGUCUAUCAUAAUCAUAUAUUUGCAGCUGCUUGCUCCUUCUUUGGUUUGUGAACUUCUAGGUAUAACAACAAGGUCUGACCCGUAUAAUUUCUUUAGCAUGCACGCCUUUAGUAAAACUAUUUUUUAUUAUCAUCUUUUUAUAUUCUUAUCAAUAUCUCUUUAUAUCCUUAUCAAUCCUUAUUUCUUACCCAAAGUAAUGUACUUUAAGCAACUUAAAUCAAGAUAAAACUACUUUUAAUAUUCUUAUCAAUAUCUUUUUAUAUCCUUAUCAAUUCUUAUUUUCUACUAAAAGUUACGUACUUUCAGCAAUUUAAAUUAAGAUAAAACUACUUUUAAUAUUUUUAUCAAUAUGUCUUUAUAUGCUUAUCAAUUCUUAUGCCUACAUAUAGCCUCUUUAUAUGGUUAGGUAUUUUCAGUGUAAGCGGUUGGUACAUUAAAGCAUCAAUUUUGGAUUUCCACUCCUCUUGAUUAUCAGGUAAAUCUUCCUUCGUUACAUAUUUUUCUUUUUUAAAAAGACAUGUUCAUCUUCACUUGUAAGAAUUUAGUAACAUAUCUUGAAUUUUGUGUGUUUUGAUUUUAGUUUCUAUUUGUUUUGUAUGAAGAGAUAGGAUUUAAAAUAGUAUUUUCAUUGUAAGUUUUCAUAUAGAAACAUGUUAGAUGUUUCCACCGAACUGGAACAUUCAUAUGCUAUAGGAUGCAUGUUAGAUGUUUGUUAAUUUGCCUUUGUUUCGUUUGUCCAAGGUACUGGGCUUGUAGCUGAUGCUGUGGAUCCUUACUCAGCGCAUACUCCAAGAGUUGAAUUUGUUAUUUUCUCCAGCCUUUUUUUCCCAACCACAUGUAAAUUUGUUAGUCACUUUAGUUGAACUAUCCAUUCUAUGUUUUUCACAGCUGUUAAACAUUCAUAUUAUAAGCAUUUGGCCUAUGCCUCUUGAGUGAUCAUGAACUAAAAGGGGCAAAUUUAUUUUCGUUCCUUUUGCGAUGACAAAAUGUCUACUAAAAUUUCAUCUUGAAUUGUGAGUGAUGAUGGGUUUUGUUGUCCAGAAUUGUAAAUACAAUUUGUAACUACAAUCUGGAACAUUUUCAUCUUGAAUUGUUCAAUUUUAUGGAAGUAAAUGCUAUUGUUGAUUACGUCCCAUGUUAUUCUUAAAUUUUUAAUAAUCAAUUGACGAAGAUAUUUCUUCAGAAAUUUUGUAUCUUUAGCUAUUAUUGCUAUUAGUUACUUUAGUUCAACUAUGUUUUCUAUGUCUUCCACUGUUGUUAAAUAUUCAUAUUAUAAGCAUUUGGCCUAUGCCUCUUGAGUAAUCAUGAACUGAAAUGGGAAAAUUUAUUCAGGUUCCUUUUGUGAAAUUUAUGUAUAUUGGUGUUCAAGGGUCAACACAACAAGAUUUUCAUGGGCAUAAUAUACAGUCAACUAAGUUUCCAAAUACAAUUUAAUAUAAAAGUAUUACCCACUUUAAUACAUCAAAUACCAUAAAUAGUCUGGCUAAUUAAAUGUACAAUAUUUUAUUUUAGCACGAGGAGGUAGAUUUAAUAUAGUAUUUUACUUUCUUAAUCUAUAAUAUUUAUGUAUUGUCUUACAUAAUUUUGAAUGUGAUAAAUCAUUAAUUUUUUUAUACUUAGUUGUCAUGCUUUGCUAUCAUGCAGUGAUAAUGGAAAAUCAAUAAAUGCUGAUUUGCACGGAUAAAUGGAGGAAAAUGUUCAAACAAAAGAAAAACCAAAAAAAGUUUCUGAAGAAUAGAACAUUAUUUGAUACUGUUUUACUGCACUUUUUAUUUCUUUUCAAGUUUUUGAAUGUUAUGGUAUUGUCGAAUGUUAUUUUUUUCAUUUUUGAAUUAUUAUUCACCGAAUUAGAUUUUCACAUUUAUAUUAUAAGAAUACCUUAUAUUAUGAUGCGCACAUAGUAAUAUACUUAAGAAAGAUUAUACUAGAAUAUACAUUAAGUUUGUAUUUCAUAUCGACAUUUUUAUAAAAUUGACUAAAUAGUUUAUUAUUCUUUGAAAAUUCCCAUUCAACGAACGGGUACAAAACUAGUUCAAUUUAUAAUGUAAAAUUACUUGUCCAUUUUUUCUCAUAUAUGUAAAUGAAUAAAUCUUAUAUAUACUAUCAAUGUAUACAUUAUUGUGGUUAGAUGGAUAACAUAUGAGCAAAAUUUUGAAUUUCAAAUUUAAAUUUUGCAUAUGUGUCAUAUAUCUAACGUUAAUUGUAUAUACAUUGACAGUGUAUACAAGAUUAAUCCUAUGUAAAUAUACAAAAUAUCAUUUGUUCUAUUUAACAAGUUAUAUGAAUUUCAUAUGCGAAUGUAUGCUUUACCAUCCUAUUUGCUAGUUGCGUUCAGGAUGAUGCAGAGUUGUGAUUUAUACACAGAAUUAUCAUGUCAAAUCCAGAUUCAAAACUCACUUAGCCUUAAGUCAAAAUUUUAUACAUCACGUAUAUUUCUGAAAAGCUUAACAAUGUAACCACCAAUUUGGUUGGAGGGUUUUGCACCCCUCAAAAGAGAAUGAGAGGGUAAUGAUUGUCAUUGAUGGUGUCUGGCACACUUUUUUUUUUUUUUUUGAAAACUAUAACAUUUGUAUAAAUUAAUCUAUCAUAUUUUACAGGGAGGAGAGUCUAAAGAGACUGUGUAAGGGACUAACAGGUAUAUAGAUCUGAUUCGACCAAAAAAAUGCUCUGACAUCUCUUUUGAAUUUUUUCACUGCAGAUAAGGUUUGAACUCCCGACCUACAUCCCAAAGAAGAAAGUCUCUCUUUGGUGGCCAUUAAGCUUUGCUCAGUGGUUGCUUGGUACACUAUUAUGGGCUUUUUCAUUACCCACAUUUGGGUCUUUCAUUACCUAAAACUAGAGGUGUCAAAAUGGGUGAAUUGGGCGGGUUUGGGUUGGGUAAAAUGGAUAAUGGGUAUAAGUGAGUCAACUCAUUUAUAUCCAUUUAAUUAGAUGGGUAUAAAUGGGUAAGUCAAAAAAUGAAUUGGGUAACCCAAUUACCCAUUUAUAACCCAUUUAUUUUAACUUUUUGUAAACUCAUUUAAAUUCAUUUUUGCAAACUAAGUUAUUAAUUUAUACCACUCUUUGUACCCAUCAUUAAUUUUAAAUAUUUACUUAUAAUGUUCAAUAAACUUAAUUACCAAUUCUUUUUCAUUAUACUCUAUGUCACAAAAUUACCUAUUAUUUAAUAAUUGAAUAAUAAGAAUAUAAAAAUUUGAACUAAGUACUAUAAAAAUUAAUAUAAAAACUUAAUCCAACAAUUUUGAACCCCUAACAUUUUUUUCAUAUAUAAAUUUAAAAUUUCAUUUUAUAAAGAUAAGAAAAUAGGCUAAAAUUUAUCAUAAAUUGAUAAUGCUAAAAAAUGAGCAAGUUAACAAACUAAGAGAAAAUAAAAUAAUAAGAUAAAACCAACAAAUAAUAAUAAUAAUAAUAAUGAAACAAAAGUAGUUAACAUCAUGACAAAAUAAAAAAAUUUGAAAAAAAAAAGGUGGAGAAAAAGAAGAGACUUGGGGAGAAGAGAAUUUUAAAUGGGUUAAUUGGGUUUGAUGGAUUACCCAAUAAUACCAUUUAUUUAAAUGGGUAUUAUUGGAUAACCCAUUUAUACCUAUAUACAAAAAUUUAAGAUACGCAUACCCAUCUAUUCAUGGACGAGCAUGGAUAAAUUUAGUUAAUUGGAUUGAUUUGCCACCUUUACCUAAAACCCACAUUUGGGUCUUUCAUUACCUAAAACUCAUUACCGACCAGUUUGGACACUUUCACUCCUAUCACCCACUAAGAUAAAAAAUAAAACAAAAACAAACCAAAAUAUGGGGAAGGAAAGCCCAAAAGGAUGACAGCCGCAGCAUCUUCCAUCUUGCCUCCAGUACUCCUACUUCCCUUUUCUGUUUCAUCCCAAUCUCUCUCUCUCCUCCUUCUUUCUUUCUCUAUCUUACCCAACUUCUACUUUUUUCUCUCUCGCAAGUUAUGGUGGUGGGAGGUGGCUGUGAAAUGAGUUGGAGGUGGUGGGAGGUGGCUAUAAUAAUAUUUUUUUUAUUCAAAAAGUCAUUAACAUUACGGUACCAGAUUUUUUCAAAAGGAAUCUACACAAAUCCAUUAUUAUUGAAGGGUCUUUCAUAGUGAUUAUCAUUGCUAUUCCUUAGCAACAACCAAUCGGGUGGUAAUUUUUCUUCAAAAGAGAAAUAAUUACAUGGAGGCCCUGCGAACUCUACCAUUUAAGAUCAGUGUAAAUCAGAGAUACAAACACUAAGUCAAUCCAUCGAAAUCCCAAAAACGAAGAACAAAAGAUAGACAAAUCUUAAAUUAUGCUACCAAUCUACAACUGGUUUGACUCAGCUCAGUAACCUUUUCCAGCCUCUUCAACAUAUGCUUUUAUAUUCUUGUCUGAAGAUCCACCUUCUUGCGUUGCCUCCCUAGCCAAUUCUUUCCAUUUCAUAGCAUUCCUCCUCAAUUCAAUCCCUUUCUCCUCAUCAUCCAUCACCGUCUCUAUACAUCUGUUGAUCUCAUCACUGUCAACUGUGCCAUCUUCAUUAGGUACAACCUUCACUCCUGUUUCCCAAACAUCUUCUAUCAACUUUGCGUUCGUUCCUUGAUCGACCCAAUGAGGAAAUGCGAUCACCGGCACGCCACAAACUAGACUCUCCAACGUCGAAUUCCAUCCACAAUGCGUGAGGAAACAUCCCAGUGAAGGAUGUCUUAGCACCUCAAUUUGAGAACACCAUGGCACUAUCAUCCCUUUCUCUUCCAAUUCCUCCAUGCAACUCAAUCUAUCUUCUUCUUUCUCUUCUUCUCCAUCUUCCUUCGCUCUUAUCACCCACAAAAAUGGCCUUCCACUCUUCAACAAGCCGCUCGCAAUCUCCUCCAUUUGUUUCUUAGGCAGCCUCAGUAAACUGCCAAAUGAUACAUAAACAACUGAGGCAGCAGGCCUUGAAUUGAACCAUUCUUUGUAAUCUUCUGAUUUUUGGAAAAGAUCACCGCUGAAGGAAGUUUCUGAUGGAUCUUUCCCAUCCAAGAAUGCCGAGGGAGUCAGGGGUCCAAUAGCAAUCAAAUUAUAGCUCUCAAUAGCUUUGAGAGCUUGAGGUUCCAGUGCAUCAAAUGUGUUAAGAAGUACUUUUGGUUUUUCUUCUUCAUCGAGCGUUUCAAAUUGCCUCUUGAAAGCUGAAAGAACGGAACCGUAUAUAGCAUCGCUAGAAGGUAGUAUAAAGGACGGAAGGUCCUUGGCUUUCAUCGAUGGCAGGCCUGGAAACUGAAUUGACCAAGUGGGGUCAUUGCUGUUAUUCUUCACGUCAUCUUCAUAGCCAUGGAAGUAAUCAUAGAAUAUGUCCAUAACCGUGGCAGGUUGAAUCCAGAGAAGGGCAGAUGGGAUGUGACACUCACGCGCCACCGUCGUGGCCCAAGGACAAGGAAGUAAAAAGGUGCAGACAAGGCACGUUACUGGGCAGCCUUGGUUAGCACUAGUGUUGAUGACAUUUUUGAGGGCAUUUGAUCCAUGUUUCUCCAUCCCGGACAUGUGUUCACUGUGACCUACACCCUUUGGCUGGAAUCCGUUGUCAUAACCGUCUGAAAAGGUUGCAAAACUUAGGCCUUUUGGGAUGCUGCCGGAGGAUUUCGUCAUACGGCCGAGGGCAAAAACGCUGGUGGCAAAGGUCACUUGUAUGCCCAUUCUUAGGAGUCUUUUGGCAAAUUGCAAGGAUGGAUUAAUGUGGCCUUGGACCGGAUAACUUACAAGGAGAAUAUGUCUUUGUUGCGGCAUUUUUAGCAGCUUCUUGAUUUUUCUUCUGGGAUUUUAGGCCAAGAAUCUAAAAUUUUUCGAGAGGUGGGAGCAAAUUAUAAUAUCAACAACAAAGGUAUGAAGGAAUUUUGAAGAUGGUGGUCAUUAUGAUUGAAGGAAUGUGUUUGUUUGUGAUUUUGAGGUGACAGUGGCUAAGUUGUGUGUAGGACGCAUCUGAGUGACGUUGAUAUAUACAGCUUGUGUGGAUACCAAGAAUUGUUGGCCCAAUGACGUUUGUGGUGACGAUUUGGAGAAAAACACUGGGCAGUUUUGUUUAGUUCUCCUAGGAAAUAAUUGAGCAGUGGACAUUGACAGUGUUAAUCAUCAUUUUGUUAAUCAUUGUGAUGCUGAUUUUUCUUCUUGACUUGCCUUGAUAAAUCUUGUGUCAUGGAUCAACAUAAGUUGGCAACAACAGAUCAUUUCUUUACAACAUGUCGUGUGUUCGAAUCCAUUAUUUCAUAAUAUGAGAGUUGUGUUGAUGAACUAUUUAUAAAUAUGACUCCGAAAGCCUGCAUUGAUUAACGGUGAUGAUCGGAGUUGAACCAUCCAAAAUUUUUAUUAUAAAAAAAAAAAAGAAAAUCUUGUGUCAUGCUACCUGCUUUGUCUACGGUUACUUCCCAUGUGCAGUAGUAUUCAUGUGCAUAAAGCAAAUAAUUCUGAGUACUCGCGCAAUACGCGGGCUGUUCUAGGUCCAUGCAUGAUGGAACUUGUACACAGCCGCGUCAACUUACGGGGUCCGAAUUUGAAAGCUCAUGGUUCCCUUUUCUCGUAUGGAUUUCAAAAGCUCGUUUGUGCGAGACAAAGAAGUGGAGACUUGUAUCUAUGACUUUUUCGCAUGAUUAUCUGAGUAAUAUAUCUUUUUAUUUUGAUUAAGAAUUAUUCGGGGGAAAAAAAGAUUGUUUCAUUCCAAAAUAUUGGAAUGAUUACUAGCCAAUUAAGAUUAAUCUGCUGUAUAAGUGGUUACUUUUUCAUUGGUUCUUAUUGAUCAUGUGGAAACCAAUGUUAGUUUUCCGUCAUAUUUUAGUAUUCAACCAGUUAUAACAAAAUAAAAAAAAAAGGAUUUAAUCAAUUAUUUUGUACAUGGUAUGGACCAGAAUUGAACUAGUCCGCUAUCUUCGUUUCCAUAGAUCUUCUGUUAUAACAGAUGCAGCGGUACAGAAAAACAAACAAGAGCAUACAAGAACAACUUGGGAAAAAUCAGAUUUUAUUAGGGUUGUAAUCGAAAUAGUUUACAAAUUAAAAUAAGGUGUAACCCUUUCCUGCUCAGGUCAUUAUCAGCAUAACACCACUUGUUCGUCCCCAGAAAUUUUGAAGCUAAUAAACAAACAAAAAUGGAAAUGCAGUUUUAUUUGGGGCCACAUGCUUCAAUCUUUGAAAUUAACGGUGUUUGAAUCUGAUUGAGUGAAGUUUUCCGAAAGCUUUCGAAAGUUGGGAAAUUAGGUAACAGGUUUUGGUGUGUAAUUUCGCACUAAACAUCUCCAGAGGUGAUGAUUUACACAAAGGAGACCUGUUAAUCAAUGCUACAUCCAUUUGCUUCCACAUUGAUCGAUUUUGUGUUAGAAUUAUUUACUAAUCUGGGCUUCUGCUGAUUAAUUUUAUUUUGUUAAAAACGUGUGAUAUGAUAUGCAAGGUGUAUGGCUGUUAUUUAGAUUAGGGUUACUUCAAUUGGGGGUCUCACUAUAGUUAUAAAAACGUUAGGUCCCUCUAACACUAGCAUCGUAUUAGCAUUGUGUUGCUAGGGUGGCUUGUCCCAUUGAUAGCCACCAUACAGAGCUUAGAGAGGGAGAGGAAGCCAUCUAUGCAAGUCACAUGAACCACAACAUGCUGAUCACGCAUUUCUCUAUAUCUCGAUCUAUCUUCAGAGAACAGUACGCAUUUAUAUUACAGAUAUAUUACAGUUGCAUUCAAAUAUCUGAUAUUGAGAUUCUGGACAUUCUUACAUUUUGGCAUACGCUCCAAAUUCUAAGAUAUAUUUUUUUUUUCAAUAUCUAAGAUAAUUGAUUAUUUGUAUGAAUGAUCUAGUCUCUUAUGGUUCGUGAUAACAUUUGCAUGUUUUGACCAGCAGAACCGAAUUGCAUAUGCUAAAAUUGCUUUUAUUUAUCUUGAAGACAAUUAGGGAAACCGGAAAAGAAAGAAUUUUAUUGAAAAAUCAGAAAUGACAAAAUUGGAGAUGGCACAAUGAUUGUUGCCCCUGAAAAAUUAAUAGAGUUUUUAGCGAAGAAAAUUUCCCAAUAAUUGGUUAUAUAAUUCUAAAGAGCCUAGGCUAGGCUGCAAACGAAUCAAACCAUUUGACUAGAAUUCGGUCAACAUUGAACUCGAGUUAAAAGAUACUCAAUUUGUUAUCUCGCGAGUCGGUUCAAUUAUAUAUGUAUUAUUUUAAUAGUAUAAUUACAUAUAUCUUCACAAUAUUUUAUUAUUUAUUAAAAAUUAUUACAAUAUAAAAACAAAUAAAAUAAUAAUAAUUUUUUAAUCUCGGACUCUAUUCGAAUUUGAAUCGAGUUCGAGUUUGAUCUUUAUAUUGAAAACUCGUCGAACUCAAAUUUAAGUUCGAAUUUAAUAAAAUUAAGUCGAGACUCGAUUCGAUUAGAUUAAAAUUCGACUUUACUCAGACUCGUUUGUGGCACUAGCCUAGAUCUCAAUCAUUUGAAGACUAUUCCAAAUGCCAACGUGCACAAUUUACUACUAAUUAGUAGUUGUAAUUGUUUAGUCACAAGCAGGAAAAGUUUUUUUUUUUUUUUUUUUUGUAGGCUGAACAUUGCAGCAAAGCAAGAUUAUACAAUCUUAGAUUCACAAACAUGACGAAAGGGAGUAUGUCACUCGAUAACCAAGCCAACGACACACGGACAAUGACGAGGUACACAGUACCAUGCAUGCAUGGGACCCGAAAGCACACUCGAGAAAUCCUGAUGAGUCAGCUGUGUACAGAAAACUACAUGUGACUGCUUUCUUUCCUCCCUUGGGGACUCUUCAUAUUGACUAAAUGACGGCGGGCAUUGCCGCAAUCGACUGCAGAGGAACUUAUAGAUAAGAUUAGAAGGAACCAGACCGUGCAAGUACACCGUAGGUCCAUCGAUAAAAUUAUGGUUAAAAUUUAUUGCACUCUAAUUUGUUUUUAAAUUAAAAGAAAUUAUAAUUGUAAAAAAAUAAGCCUAAAAAUGUUUAUCUUUAGUGGAAUGUUUCAAAAGUUUGCUUCAACUUGUUUAAUAUGAUGCAAUAAAGAUAUAUACUGUAUUGUAUGGAUAAAUAACAGUAAAGAAUUUAAAAAGCAAGCACAUGAGAAAUGUAAACCGAUUCAAUAUUAACAUAAAUGAUAAAUGCUUCAUAAAAAUCAAGUAUCAUGCUAUUAUAAUUACAAAUGUAUAAAAUUUCAUCACCAUUUCUUUUUCAAACAAGACACUAUCAUGUAAAAACUUCUAUCCUACAAAUUCACAACAAAACUUGCAAGAAAGUUGAAUGGAAGGCUUUUCAAUGCAUAAAAGGGUACAAAAAUUCAAUACCAAAGAAUUAGUAAAGGAAGUGCAAGAUUCAAUUAUGCAUUAAAAAGGAACUAAAACAUCAAAAUUGCAAAAAAUAAAUUUUGCAUUUAGAUUUAAGACAAACCGCACAAAAGGAAAAUCGAUUUGCAGAACCAAAAUAAUGGAAGGCUUAAUGAAUAUCAAGGAGAUCAAGCCAAAAUAAAUAAAUACACCAAGGUAACAGAAUAAAGAGGCAAAAAAGAAAAAUGAUAAAUGCUAAAUAAAAUAUAGUUAAUAAAAAAAGUUAAAAAAUACAGUUAAUAAAAAAAGUUAAGUCCAUAUUUUGUAGCAUGAAAUGAGGGAAGAAUAGGAAAAAAAAAAGAAAAUGGAAUAUACCAGACAGUAAGAAUAGUGGAGGUAAAAAGUCAAUUAUUUAUAUUUCUCCUAAAAAAAUUAUCAUGAUUCAUGAAUCAUGAUUUUUGAACAAUGGAACAAAAGAAACAGCCAUUCCCAUGCAAGAAAAACAUACAUUCAAUUAGUUAUAGAGGAAAAAGGAAAAAAUGCAUUGAUUGAGCGGAAUGAGAAAAGGCAAAGAAAAAUUAGGAUGAAGGAAAAAAAGAAAAGAAAAAUCAAAAUACUGGAUUAAAGAUUUAAAAUUGAUGGAAUAAGAAGUGACAGUAUAAAUCAGUUGAUUGUUGCGACACCUCUCUAUGGUCAACAAUAAUCAUCUAGAAAAAUAGUAAGAACAAUAAUAUUUCCAAAUAAUAAUACAUAUGGUUUUUUUGGACACCUCUCUUCUUAGUAUAAUUAAUUAUAAAGAAAAAAUUUGAAGGGGAAAAAAGGAAAGAUGAAGAAAAAAGAGGGAGAUGAGGGUUAAAAGCAAAAGAGGAAGAAAAGAAGAAUUGAGAGGAGUGAUAUUCAACGACAAAAAUAGUGAAGCAAAAAUUCAACUACAAAUAGAAAUUGACAAUUGUCAAAAUAAGAGACUAUACACUUGGCAAAAAAAGAGGUUGCUAUAUUAAACUCUCUUUCCUUUUAUAUACAAGGCGGAUAAGUUUAAUAUUUUUCAAUAUUGUUCAAAAUUGGACUAGUUUUUUUUUUUUUUUUGAAAAAGAAAAACUGGACUAGUUUAAUGUCCACAGAGAGUAUUAAUAUGAUAAGGAUAUGGAGAGUAUUAAAAACUUGAGCUAUUCUAAAUGCAACAAAAUAAUGCUAUAUACGGUAAAUUAUAUAUAAUCUCCCUCUCGGUUAGCAUAAUGUUAGAUAACCCUUCCAAGGUUUCAAAAUAGUCACAUAUCUUCUCUAUAGUUUUAUGUAAAGUACAAAAUGAAUAGAAUGCAUAAUCAGUUAGGUGAUUGAACCACCGUGCUUUAAAAGUGUAUGUGGUGAAAUCAUAAUAUCUACUUAAUUUCCCUAUAGUUUCCAUAAAUAUCUAUUUUAUCCCCUAUAAUUUUUGUAUUUGUCUACAUAAUCCCGUUAUAUAUAGUUUUGUACAAAAUAGUUAAGUCAUUGUUUGAUUUAGCAUUUAAAUAACGUUAUUGCUAAUAUUUCAAUUAAUGACAUUACAUAGACUAUUUUUUGUUAAAUUUCUAGUUUACAUGAAACCGUAAGGGGUUAAGUGGAAUUUUGAAACAUUAGGAGAAUUAUGUGGCAAUAGAUGAAAUCACAAGGGGUUAUUAGUAAUUUAUCUUAUCAUAUAUUGUGCAAAGAAUUGUCUAUUUUCAAGUAAGAAAAUAGGAAUAUUUCAGACCUGAUAAUUUUGAAAGUUACAAACAACUCCUAGUCACUAGUUUGCCCAUAUCUAUCUUACCUCUAUCCUUUUCUCCUAUAUUUUAGGUAUUUCUAUCCCCUGAUUUAGCGAUACUUUUACAAAUAUUUAAAAUUUCGAGUAAUAAAAAUUAAGAAUUAAGAGAGUUUUAGAAUUUCUGCAAUUUUUAGGGAUACCAGUCUCCAUGACAUUGCCAGAAUCCUUUCAGGUAUACACACCAUCAAACCAUUUUACAAUGAGAUGCUUUACUUAAUAGUGACGACAAUGAUUUAUGAAUGCAUGAUUUAUGGUGAAGACUGAAAAGUAUUUAAUUUAGCAAAAACAUAGUAAUGCCAAAUCCAUAUUUAGGAUUCUCUUUGGCUUAACUCAAACAUUUAGAAGCCCUACGUACUCUUAUCAAACAUGCAAACACUAAAUUUAUCCAUGAAAAUCCCCUAUUAAAAAACAAGGAAAAAAGACAAACAAAUCUUACUACACUAAUCUACAAGUUUGACUCAGCUUAGUAACCCUUUCCAGCGUCUUCAACAAAUGCUUUUAGAUUCUUGUCCGAUGAUCCACCUUCUUGCAUUGCCUCCCUUGCCAAUUCUUUCCAGUUCAUAGCAUUCCUCCUCAAUUCAAUCCCUUUCGCCCCAUCACCCAUCACUGUCUCUAUACAUCUUUUGAUCUCAUCACUCUCAACUGUGCCAUCUUCAUUAGGUAUAACCCUCACACCUGUUUCCCAAACAUCUUCUAUCAACUUUGCAUUGGUUCCUUGAUCACUCCAGUGAGGAAAUGCGAUCAUCCGCACCCCACAAACUAGACUCUCCAACGUCGAGUUCCAUCCACAAUGCGUCACGAAACACCCCAAUGAAGGAUGUGUCAGCACCUCAAUUUGAGAACACCAUGGCACUAUCAUCCCUUUCUCUUCCAAUUCCUCCAUGCAACUCAGUCUAUCUUCUUCUUUCUCUUCUUCUCCAUCUUCCUUCGCUCUUAUCACCCACAAAAAUGGCCUUCCACUCUUCAACAAGCCGCUCGCAAUCUCCUCCAUUUGUUUCUUAGGCAGCUUCACUAAAGUGCCAAAUGAUACAUAAACAACCGAGGCAAUAGCCCUUGAAUUCAACCAUUCUUUGUAAUCUUUUGAUUUUUGGAAAAGAUCACCGCUGAAGGAAGUUUCUGAUGGAUCUUUCCCAUCCAAGAAUGCCGAGGGAGUCAAGGGUCCAAUAGCAAUCAAAUUAUAGCUCUCAAUAGCUUUGAGAGCUUGAGGCUCUAGUGCAUCAAACGUGUUGACAAGUACUUUUGGCUUUUCUUCUUCAUCCAGUGUUUCAAGUUGCCUCUUGAAAGUUGGAAGAGCAAAACUGUAGAUAGCAUCGCUAGAAGGUAGUAUAAAGGAAGGAAGGUCCGUGGUUUUCAUCGAUGGCAGGCCUGGAAACUGAAUUGACCAAGUGGGGUCACUGCUGUUAUUCUUCACAUCAUCUUCAUAGCCAUGGAAGUAAUAAUAGUAUAUGUCCAUGACGGUGGCUGGUUGAAUCCAGAGAAGGGCAGAUGGGAUGUGACAUUCAUGAGCCACCGUGGCGGCCCAAGGAAGUAAAAGAGUGUAGACCAGGCACGUUACCGGGCGGCCUUGGUCAGCACUAGUGUUGAUGACAUUUCUUAGGGUAUUUGAUCCUUGUUUCUCGAUGCCAGACAUGUAUUCAGUGGGUUCUACACCCUUUGGCUGGAAUCCGUCAUCGUAACCAUCUGAAAAAGGUGCAAAACUCAAGCCUUUUGGGAUACUGCCGGAGAAUUUCGUCAUACGGCUGAGGGCGAAAACGCUGGUGGCAAAGGUCACUUGUACGUCCAUUCUUAGGAGUCUUUUGGCAAAUUGCAAGGAUGGAUUAAUGUGGCCUUGGGCUGGAUAAGUUACAAGGAGAACAUGUCUUUGUUCCACCAUUUUUAGCAGCUUCUUGAUUUUUCUUCUGGGAAUUUAAGCCAAGAAUUUAUUGAAGGUGGGAGCAGAUUAAUAUAUGAACAAUGGUACGAAGAAAAUUUGAAGAUGGUGAUAAUUAUGACUGCAGGAACGUGUGAUUGUGAUUUUGAGAUGGGAGUGGCUAAGUUGUGUGUAGGAUGCAUCUGAGUGACGUUGUUAUAUACAGCUUGUGUGGAUAACAAGAAUUGUUGCCCAACGACGUUUGUGGUGACGAUUUGGAGAAAAGCACUGGACAUUUUUGUUUUGUUCUCCUAGGAAAUAAUUGAGUGGAUAUUCAUAGUGUUAAGUGGAUAUUCAUAGUGUUAAUCCUUUUGUCAAAUAUCAUCGUCCUGAUUUUUCUUCUUGACUUGCCUUGACAAAUCUUGUGUCUUGCUACCUGAUAAAUCUAUGGUUACUUACCAUGUGUUUUUUUUUUCUCAAAACAAAAUUUGAAUCAAUUCGGCUUUGAUUAUUACUACGAUUCAAAGCAUGCUUUCGAAACUAUAGGAGAUUUACAGGAGUUUUUAUAAAUUAUUCAUCAAUACAUUUCUCAUAUUAAUAAUCUGAUUUAAACACAUCAACACAUUUCUUACAGUGAUUAAGACACACAAUUUUCUUCAAAUAUAUACUUACCAGUUGAAUCAAACUUGUGUUACACUUCCUAGAGUAUUCAUGUCUACAAGACAAAUUCUGAACGCUCACGCAUGACGUGGACUGCACAUCGAUAGCGUGAUUGAGACACACGAUUUUUUUUAAAGCAUGUUAUUUAGCGAUUGAACCAAACUUGUGUUACACUUCCUGGAGUAUUUAUGUGUACAAGACAAAUUCUGAACACUCACGCACUCACGCAUUACGUGAACUGUUUCAGGUCCUUGGGUGAUGUGACUUGAAUACAGCUGUGCCAACUUGUGCGGUCCGAAUUUGAAAAGUCAUAGUUCCCUUUCUCUUACGGAUUUCGAAAGCUUACUUGGGCGAGACAAAGAAGUGGAGGCCUAUAUCUACGACUUUUUCGCAUGAUUAUCUCAGUUUUUUUUUUUUCGGUUGCCUGCCACGGUAUCCAAGGCUUUGCCCUGACUAAUUCGUUGGUCGACCCGGGUCGCACACCUGGCUAUGGUGGGUGAGUCUCUCAACAAGGGUGGCUGCGUACGCCAAGUUUCGAACCCGAGACCUGCUUAAGCGGAGCCAAUCUGCUUACCACUUGGUCCAACCCCUGUUGGUAUAUAUAUAUACUGAUUAUCUCAGUAGUAUAUAUAUAUAUAUAACUGAUUUUUUUUUUAUAUGGAUUGAGAAUUAUUCGAAUAAAAAAAGAUUGUUUCGUUUCAAAAUAUUGGACUAAUUAAUUACCAGUCUAAUAAGAUUAAUCUUUUCACUGGUUCUAAUUUACUGUGUGGAAACCAUUGUCAGUUUUCAGUCAUAUUUAAGUAUUCAACCAGAAUGGAAGCAGCCCUCCAUUUUCGUUUCCAUAAGAGACCAUUCCUGCUCUGGUCAUUAUCAGUAUUCGGCCACGUAAAUCGAUAAAGAUUCAGGUAGCCCCAGAAAUUUUGAAACUAAUAAACAAACAAAAAUGGAAAUACGGUUUGAUUUGGAGCCACAAGCUUUAAUCUUUAAAUUUACUCGUGUUUGAAUCUGAUUCAGUGAAGUUUCACGAAAGCUUUCGAAAGUAGGGAAUUAGGUAGCAGGUUUGGUGUGUAAUUUCGCACGGAACAUCUCCAGUUCAGGUAAAUAGAAAGAUACAAAAGCACCAAAUAUGCAAGCAAUUUUCUCUUCUACCUUUAAUGCAAGUGAAAUCAUCGAAAAAAAAAGAAAAAGAUUAAGACGAAGAUUGAUUUAAAAAAAGGCUCAUUGCUGAGAAUUUGGGAGUUCUAAAAUUGUUCCAUCUGUUGUUUAGGAGAAGUUUGGUGCCCUUUCUCAAGUGAUAUAGGCUAAAAUCCAACGGCUGCUAUGUCGCACCUCAUACUAUUAACUUAAACCCUAAAAUUACAAUCUAAUCUCAAACUAUCAUCAUCUAUCACACUAUUAAUGAAAGUUUAUCCACCACUCGAUCACCCUUUUUAUUUUUGGGAAUUGCACCACUUACUCUUCCUUCAUAGGAAGAUAGGCAUUCAUCCUAAAUAAUAACUCAAAAUUAUGAUUGAACCCAUAUGUUUUACAUUGUCUAGCUUCACUCAGUCGUUUGACUGUUGGGGUAAUUUGUCAUGACUAUUAAUUCUUGAUUUGAUUGUACAUAAUGUGCAUGCAUGGUUAAAUGAUUAAAUAUUUCUAUUUUCCUUUUUUAUCCAUGCCAUUAGCACACUCAGUGGCGGGGCCAGAACCUUUAUUCAAGGGGUGAAAUAAUAUUAGUUUAGACGUAUAAGGUGUUGAUUUGUAGAUUUCAAGAAUAACUAAAUAUUUGCUAUAGUAAACAUGUAACUUGAGAUAAAUUAUUUUUCAGAUCAUCCAAUGGUAUAAAAUUAUGCUUAAGAAUACAAGAUGUAUAUUAUAAUUAACAUAUGCAAUUGGCAAAUAAUUGUACAUAAUCGAAUUCUCGAUUGAAUGUUUGGUUGGCUUGUAAUUCAUAUAAAACGGAUACGUAAGAAAAGUUAAAUAUAAAUACCAUUUGCUUAAAAAAAACAAAUUACAUUUAAUAGAAAAGAAAAAAUAUAGCAUCAUGUAAUAUAUAUUAGUUCAAGGUUCAAUACUGUGAAAAUGGAGAGGACAAUUGUAAAGAUUCCAAGAAUAUUGUAGGGCAAUUGUGAGGGUAGAUGGGAUGCUAUCAAAAUUCAAGGGGAGCAAGAGUGGGAUGAUACUAUAAUUUCUAAAAUUUUUAUAGGCUAUUUUAAAGUUUCUAGAAAAUUGAGAGGGGAUGCAAUUGCACUCCUUCGGCUCAACGUUGCUCUGCCACUGAGUACACUUUUAGCAGUUAAUUUCUGAACCCUUAAUUUUGUGUAGUUCGUUGGUAUUCAUGAACUAGUUUGGUUGUUUUCUCCAAUAUAAAUAGAUUUCCCAACCAAUAUAAUUAAUUUUUUUCUCUUUUGAAUUAAUUUAUACUGAGGAACUUCAAUCAACGCUAGUUUUCGAACAGAUUUAACCAGCCACUUUUUAUGGUGAACCAGAAAUGUACUAGGCCUAAGUACAUAAAAUCACUUGUUUUCCCCAGAACUAAAAUUAAUAGAUAGAUAAAAUUGGAAUUACAGUUUGAUUUGCAGCCUCAUGUUCUACUUUUGGCUAGCGUCCGCCGAAAGGCACAUCAGUUUUUUUUUUUGUUUUUUUUAUAAUAAGCUAAUUUUAACGUUCCCAAGUCAAAUAAAAUGUCACUAAAAUUUUUGAUUUGGUAAGAAUAGUCAUAUGUAAUUUCUUUAAAAUUUGUUGUGUUAUCAAAAUCCGAUUUGCCUUUGAUCUGCAUAUGAUAGGUUCAAGCUUUCGCAAAGAAUGUGACAUGUUUGGUACGUACUUUCGCAGAGAACAUGUCUAGUUCGGAUAAAAGGAAAGAUACAAAGACAAACGUAAGUAAACGGGAUUGUAGCAUUUUCUUGGUCAAUUCCAAUGCAGCAAUUUAGUAGCCGUGAUUUAGAUCUCUUCUAGCUUUAGUUCAAGUGAGAAGUCGUACAGAAACAAGAAAAGGUAGGAUAAAUUGAACAAAUACUUAGUGGUGAGGGGGAGAUUCUGAAUUGACUAAGUUCAGGGCUUAAAAGCUUAUAGGAAAGCAAAGCAAAUUUUAAAAUCAAUAAACAUGACUAUAUGAUUGACAUUUGUAUAUUUGUAUUAAUAAAUUUGACAAUGAGAUUUUCACAAUUUAAUGUAAAUGUGUGUAAUAAGUUAUCAAGCGAUAUAAAUUGCUGACAGGUGUCGAACCUGUGCAAUAAUAAUAAAUAAAACCUAACUACCACAUGAAGCAGUCAAUAAUCAAUUCUAGUACUGGAGCAGGGACUUUAGGUGUGCAAUGGGUUACUUGAUUCACCCUGUUCUCGAAGAGUUUGCAUAAUCCGAUAUACUUGAAUUAAUUACUUAACUGAAUUCACUAGCUAAUAGACAGUGGUAAGCAGGGUCGUCUCUUCAGGGACUAGCGAGAAAUUUAUUUCUUUUCAAGUCAAGAUUAAUGGGGGUUUUGGGAUUAAAUGCCAACUAAACAAAUUAAAUGCAGAAAAUAAUUAAUUAAAAGAAAUAACUAAGAGAAACUCUAGCCGAGGGUACACUUCAGAAAUGGUUCAUGCAACUGAUCAUUGAUUCAAAAAUAAUUUCAACAUUUAUUAAUAGAUUAGUUAUAGUUGUCAUGCACGCGAUAAACAACCAACCUUUCCUUAAUUUCUCGAUAGUUAAGGUACGACCGUUAACUAUUUCCCUAACCCAAAAACAACCCUAGGUACGACCGUAGGAUUUAAUUUCUAGAUUGCAUUAAUAAUUAAAAAGGCCCAAUCCUAACUAACAAACACGUUACGAGGGUUUGUUUAAGUUAGAUCGUAUGUUCCCUUGACAUAAACCCAAUUACGCCAGUUGCUACUGAGAUAGAGAUAACGAAUAGUUACGGAUUCAAUUACCCCUAUUUAGCAAAAUAACCUAUAUAAAUAAUUAAUUAUUGCGCACUAAUCAAUCAUACACAAGGGCUAUAACGAUUAAGAGUAGGAAAUAUAUAAAUACCAAUAAAUGAAAGAAAUAAUUAAGAGCAGUUUAGAUCUCACAAUAAUCGCAGAACCAAUUCGUCAGUUCAUCCCUUGACUAGAAAAUAAGAAUUCAUUUCUUCAUUGUUGAGGAAAUUCCCAACAUGAUAUUGUCGAAAAUGAAAAACUCAGACUUCCGGCUUAUCAGCCUCUAAUCCCAUCUAUCUCCCGUGACUAGUCUCCUAACCUAAUAAGAAGAGAAAAGAAUCCAAAAGGUGGGACCCUCCAAAUUCCUUCUUGUUUCCUAUUGAUAGUAGGACUUCCUAGCCUCUGUUCGUUUCUUCCUAAAUAAUAGACUAAUGCCUUCUAUCUCCGUGGUCCCCGUCGAGGCUCUGCCGAAUUCCCUUUCUCUUCGGUUUCCAUCCCUUCGAGGACUCCAACUCAGCAGCUCUUCAUUAGCCAAAAGCAAAAAGGAAAUCUGUUCAUUUUUUUUCUCUCUUGUGGGCCACGUUGAUGGAUCUUUGCAGAAGACUCGUGCGUGUGAAGUAAUUUACUCCAGAAAGUUCCUUCUUUUUGUAGUUUUCUGCUCCAUUUUCUGAAAUUAAGUUCAGAUACCAAAUAUAAGUAGAUAUUAACAAUUAAAAUGAUAUUUGGCAGGGAUAAGGGGAAAAUUAAUAAUAAAAUAACUAAUAAUUAACACCCUAUCAAUUGCUCAAAUUUACACCCUUGGUGUAAGUUGAUUCUUAAUAAAUCUAGUGAAUAUUAACAUUGAUACGAUUGGAAUUUUUAUAUUUGUAUUAAUUAAUUUGAUAAUGAGAUUUUCACAAUUUAAUUAGUGCAAUAAGUUACCAGGUUUUAUUGGCUAGUCAACCCAGCAUUUUCUAGGAUUAAAAUGCUAAAAAAAUGAAAAUUGAUAGAACCCUGAUUUUUCAUAAGGAUAAACUAGAAUUGAACUCAUAUGCAUUUGUAAGUGCUGCAUUUGUCCAUACUUCAUUCAUGGAGAGGUGGCCUCUUGGAAAAGGCCUCCUUCAUAAGUAAUUUGAUUAAAGUAUGUUUAAACAAUUGUUUUCGUUGUUCAGCUUAGGUAGGUUUUUUUUUUUUUUUUUGGAUAAAAUGCAAUCUUCAUUAACAAAUUGCUGAAAAUCAUCCAUUACAAAUUGAUCUACAUCAUUACCCUAAUAAUAGAUUAAACAUGCACCAAAUUCUAAGCAGAUGUAAAAAAAUACAAAAAAAUUUAAAAUUGUGUUCUAACUCAUAUAUCGCCACAUCUCCUUUUUGCUCAUGUUGCAAUCGUCAAAUUUAUUAAUCAACAGUUUUAAACUCCAAUAAUGAUGAUGAGAUAUGUCGAAAUAGACCCAAGAUCCAAAAAAAAAAAAAAUUCAGAUCUAAAGUAAAUUUAGAUCUAACAAUAAAAAAAAACACAAAAAUCUUCAUAUGAAUCCCCAGGAGAAUAGAAAAUUCUAAUUAGAAAUCCUUAGGAGAAAUAGAAAACUCUCAUUACGAAAAUUUAGGAGAGACUUUAUUAGGAAAACAAAAUAAGAUGAAACGAAAUUCAUGGGAGGGAGACCUAAGAGGAGGCCUUUGAAAAAAGCAUGAGAAGUAGAGAAAAAUUGGGGAAGAGGAGAAGGAAAGAGAAGUUAUUGAAUCAUAAUUAUGAAGAAAAGAGAAGUUCAAUAGCUUUGGUAGGUUUAUCUUAAUGUAUGUAUUCUUUGACGCACAUACUUCAAGUUACAAAUCAUUUUUUGCUCAAAAACUCAAAAUAAUUCAUACCGUAUUUGAAAGUAUUUGCAUUUUAGUCUUGCAACACACCAAGGUAACCAGAAUUCCUGUAGUUUAUGAUAAGAAAUUGCCUGCUAGUCUGGUCUAUUGCUUGUUUUCUUCAAUUUUUUAAAAUAUUUUGCAGAUGGUGCUCAGAAAAACAGAAGAAGAAGAAGAAUCUUGAUUGUUGUUACAUCCCAGUCUUAGGAAUGUGAUAUUUGAUUUUUGGGACAUCAAUUUUCUAGAAGCAUUUGUUUGUAUUCUCUCCACUCUCCUGAGAAUUUUAGGCAUCGUGUAGAUAAGUAGUUUUGAGUCAAAAUCUCAAUUAAAGUAAAUUUUCAACCUUUUAUACAUUAGUUUGAAAUAUGGAUAACCUGGAAGUUCAUGUAACUUUUGGAAUAUUAAUUGUGACAAAUUCUAAGGCGCAGGGAAGAACGAUAAUCUGUGUUUCACUGACAAAUAUGACCAAAAGUUCUCUACUUCUUUAAUUUUUGCAAUUUUAUUUACAUUGAGUUUUUUUUUUUUUUUUUUUUUUUUGGUUAUCAAGAAGAGCUAAGCAGCUCAACAUAUAGAUACUAAACGGUGGUUGGUUACCCCCACAAUAUCCAAGUUCAUCCAUCUCCGAAUUAUAUCCGGUAGGCUCUGUAAAUGAUACAACCCUGGCUCCUUCUCGAGGCUAUAUUUAGCUAAACAAUCCGCAAAUAUGUAAUCACAUUCCAAUUCUAUAAUCAAGCAAUCGUAUAGGAGCAAAACCUACUUUGGAGACACACCAAAUGGGCAAUGAGGGCAAUGAAAAUCAGUCCAAUGAAAUUAUAGUGCUUGUGACCAGAGAAGCCCCAAUCCAAAAUUGUCUCCCUUUCUUCUCUUUAUUAUUGGAUAUGGAGCCUGCAUUCAUUCUCAAAUUUCAGCCCAGCAACAAAAUUAUUAAGAUUAUUACUAGAUUUAUUUUCGACUUUCAAAUUCUUCUUUUUUCCUCUGUCUUCCAAAUCUUAAAGUUUCCAUCGAAUUGAAAAAAAAAAAAUCCUGUCAAUUGGUAAAUCCAUUGCCUUUGUCUGGUUAUUAUUUGCAGUUCCACAACAAUAUACCUUUAAGGUUAUUUAAGAAACUUUUGGUUAGAAACAGCGCUUGUUUAUAGCAAGAUAACAAUUUCUUCAAUUACUAAUAGCAAGAUUGCUAUUUUGGAAUAUGAAAAAUUUUGAUAGUUUAGAUACUAUUGGCAUGAUUUGCUGUUUAUGUUUUUUUUUUCCCCUAAAAAUUACCAUUCAAUUAUGAAUUUUAUUUUGAGCAAUUUCCGCCUUAAUGCCAUCAACUAGUUGCAGAUACUUUCAUUUGUAAUAUGCUGGAUUAUGGUAAUUUAAAAUAAAUCAGUACCUUAGGGUUCGAAAUAAUAGUUUAAGGUAAAUUGAAAUAGUUGAUCAUCUUACGAUCCCAAGUGCUAAAAAUCAAUUUAAGUGUGCAAAAUGAUAGUGUUGAAAAGUUGGAAUUCAAAACAUAUAAUCAAAAUAAAUGAAAAAAAAAUCAUACUGCACCUGAUUAUACUAAAAUCAAUAAUCUGAUGGUACAUAAUCAGCAACUAGUUGAUGGUAAUGAGACAGUUAAUUGUCCAAUUAAAUAAAUACUUGAUAUAGGCAGGAUAAAUGAUUUAAAGACAAGACACUAAUUGCCAGGAAUCCUCAGUUUUCUGGUAAUGUGAUAAGUGUAAGAUGAGGUACUGUUAUAAAAUUAUGUAAUAUGUGUGGUGUGAAACAUAGCAGUCAAGUACUGCAAUUCAACUGGUUAUCCAACAGAGAUCAUUGCAUGAAUUUAGCAAAUUAACACAGCCAAAACCUUUGUAUGCAAUUUGGACUCAUAAGUAGGCCUAUUAAUGGGCCUAGAAAAAGUCUAACCCUAUGGACUAGGCAAAGUUUGGAUUUAAAUAUUAGAACCCAAAUUAAAUAUAAGUAGAGCUUGGAUCAUGCUAGAUUUAGGCCCAAUAAAAUGUUCCGAACUCAUGUGAGUAUAAUUUUUUGUCAAUACAGGGUGUAUCCUACCUUUUUGCCGCACUAAUCUCCUUGCAUCUGAAGUAUCCCGCCCUCCAAGAGCACUCAGGCAUUAAAAGAGGUUCGAACCUUGGACCUUGGGACCUGAAUGGCUACCCCAAGACCAGCAGAGUUAAUCCUGAGGGGCGAGUAUAAUAUUAUAUAUAUAUAUAUAUAUAAUGACAUAAAAUAUUAAUAAUUUGUAUAUUACAAAUUAUAGUCAUUUAUAAUUAUAAAAUAUUUACUAUAUAUAAUUAUAUAUUAAUUAUGAAUUUGGACCAAACACAAUUUGAGCUGAAAUUCAUGUAACAGCGUGAGUUGAGUCUCGAUUUGUGAGUGACUUUGAACUUGCCAAAAUUUUACUCAGAAAACUCAAUUGAUGCUCCUACUCAUAAUUUGACACGGCUGCCUACUAUUUCGAUGAACCUAAGUAAUUAGGUAGAAUGGUGGAGUCAUUAUCAUGAUGAAAAAUGAUAACCAUGAUGAACGGUAUCCCAGCGUGCUUAAUUUUCUACGAAACCAAGACAAAAUUAAAAAAAAAAAAAACGUUUUUCUCCAAAUCGUCACCUCCUCUUAGUCAAAAAUGGUUGCUGGUAAAAAAAAAAAAUUUUUGUGAUGAUUUGGACAGCGUAAACUAUAUAAACCAUAGAAGUCAUCAAGAAAAAUCAACACAUGUACAAUUAUAUUUAGCCUUGCUAGGUCCUCCGUUUGCCCACAAUGCAUAGAAACAUCAAUACACAAAAUGACUACACAAGAUUUUUCAUCAAACACCAUGAAGAAGCAGCAGCCGCACAUUCUCAUCAGUUGUCUAGCAGCCCAAGGCCAUCUCAACCCCAGUUUUCAGCUAGCAAAGAGCCUCGCACUAGCUGGUGCACGAGUCACUUUUGCCACCACCAUCUAUGGCUUUAGCCGCAUCAAAAACCUGCCGUCCUUUUCUGGUCUUUCCUUUGCCUCUUUCUCCGACGGCUACGACGAUGCAGAGUCAAGAAAGAACUUCAAAGCUGAUAGCUUCUUUGCCGAUUUAACACAUGUUGGAUCCAAAAACCUCACCAAGUUGAUCCAAACUUUGUCGGAUGAGGACCGGCGGGUUACUUUCUUAAUCUACGGUAUUAUGAUGCCUUGGGCGGCUGAGGUUGCUAGUGGAAUGAACAUCCCAUCUGCUUUUCUAUCUUUUCAGUGUGCUGCUGCUUUAGCUAUUUAUCACAAGUACUUCAAUAGCCAGGAUGGUGUAUAUGAUGGCGUUCGCAAAAUUGAACCCACCAUUUCCGUCAAGUUACCUGAUCUUCCGUUGUUUGAAAAUUGUGAUUUGCCCACCAUUCUUGUACCCACUGAUCCACAAUUUGCUUCAGCCCCGCCUAUUUUUCAUGAGCACAUAAGAGCCCUGGAGAAAGAUUCUAAGCCUUGCGUACUGGUCAACACUUUUGCCGAGUUGGAAGAAGCAUCAAUCAGAGCUAUUGUUGAUCACAUGAAUGUGAUCCCAAUUGGACCUUUAUUUCCUUGUGUUCAUUCGGAUGGGAAUGAUUUAUCUGACAAGUCUGUCAGUCUUGAUUUAUUUGAAUGUCACGAAAAUGAUUAUCUCCAGUGGUUGGAUUCAAAGCCCGAAAAGUCUGUGGUUUAUACAGCAUUUGGAAGUCUAACGAAGUUAAAGAAAGAUGAAAAGUUAGAGAUUUUGCACGGAUUAGAGGAAACUGGCAGGCAUUACAUGAUUGUUAUGCGAGCAGUGGAGAAUGAAGAUGAAGAAGUAAAGGAAAUGAUGGAAAAUGGGCUGAAUGGAAAGGGGAAAAUAGUGCCAUGGUGUUCACAGAUGGAGGUACUCUGUCACAAGUCAAUAGGGUGUUUUUUCACUCACUGUGGGUGGAAUUCAACUCUGGAGAGUCUAGUUGCUGGUGUUCCAAUUGUGGGAUGUCCACAUUUUGCUGAUCAGACAACAAAUGCUAAGCUGAUUGAGGAAGUCUGGGGCAACGGGGUGAGAGCAAAAGCUAAUGAAGAUGGGGUGGUGGGGAGAGAAGAGAUCAGGAGAUGUGUGGAUGUUUUGCUGGGAGGUGGAGAAAAGGGGGAAGAAAUUAGAAGAAAUGCUGCUAAGUGGAGAGGCUUGGCUUUGGAGGCUAUGAAGGAAAAUGGAUCUUCACACAACAAUUUCAAAUUAUUUUUGGAUUGUUUGGAUAAUUAAUAAAACAUUAAGACCCCUUUCUUGUACGGCAAACACUAUUACAGAACAUUCAAAUUAAAAGAGCCAUUUCUUCAACAUGAAACUUUGACUUUGGUUCUUUGACGGUUGAACAGUUGAUCGAGAUAUUUGUCCCUCCAUCUCAUGUAAUUGGCUUAUUGCUGCAUGAUUCAUUAAUAAAAUCUUCUACCACAACAAAUAGAGAGAGAGAGAGAGAGUUACCAAUUCAAACGAACGAGGUUGAGAGGGCGAAGACGCUUCUAAAGAAUGCAGUAGUGUACUUGUUUGAUUUGAUGAUUCACCUUCUAAUCUUUAUAAGUCUUUUUAGACUCCCUCACUUUUUUUAAUAUAAGAGUAGGAUAGAUGUUGUUUUUAUCAACAAAAAAAAAAAGACUCAAAUCUAGAGAGUGCAUUGCAUUUUGUCUCACUCGGACCCCCCUAGUCUAAGAGCAAGGAAGAUGUUGUUAUUGUGCAAAAAAAAAAAAAAAAAAGUCAAAUAAGUAUUUGGUGUGGAACAUCUGCCUCUCAGGUUUUGGUGAAUAGUACAAGUUUCUAGGACAAACUCCACUGUAUACCUCUGAACUUGUAUCACUUUCAAUCUCCUUAAUUUUGCAAACAUAAUUAUUGAUUAGAUUUAAAUGAGAUAAACUUGAGAAUUUAGGGUGCAAAGUAUUCAAAAUUAAGAGUUUAGAGUACAAAGUGUCCAAAAUUAAAGUUUAACGAGCCAAAUAUAUAUGGAAGUAAUAUAAGUUCAAAGGUGAAAAGUGGAGUUAAUCCAAGUUUCUAAUGUUGAUUAAUUGGAAAGGUUCUCGAAGUCAGAAAAAAGUAUUCAAUUUUGAUCAGCUAAAGCAAGGAAAAUUGACAAAAUUUCCAAUUAGUCUGCUGAUUUAUAAACACAACCUCUCCUGGGAAAUUGGAUAUUUUGCUUUCAAACUCAACUUCAAGCAUUUUGAUGUAAAGAUAAUGUUCAAUACGUGCUUCUAAUAAUUUAACAACUCUGGACGUGUUUGAUAACUCUACAUAAUGCUAAAAAUUAAUUUAUUGAGAGUUUUUCAAAAUCAGCAUGUUUGAUAAUAAAAUUACCUUGUCGCUUAAUGCAUAAAUACUACUUAAUUUGUGUUCAAAAUUUUAAGUGAAAAAUUUUCAUCGAAUUUUCUGAAUUAGCUACACAUAUCAUUCCUCUCAAACAUCCCAUUCUUGUAUAUGUUCUCACACAAAAUACACAUUUUUUUUUGUUAACACACACACACACACGUACAAAAAUACGCAAAUUUAAAUAUGAUCUCUCAAUUGUUUCAUUAUUUUCUCUCUCACAAAUACACACUUUUCUUUCUCUUCAGCAAAAAUAGAAGUAGAUUUUUUUUUAUAGAUAAAAUCAUCAUACUUGCGCGAUAUUGCAAUUUACUAUACAAAGUCAGUCAGAUAUCAAAUAUAUAUAACCUUGUAGCAAUUUAAUACUUUUAGCACUUAAAUUCACACUUCAGAAUUCAGAUUUUAAACUUCAAUAGUAUCAAAUGUGGCGUAAGUUACACUGGUAGUUAUUUUCUUUUUUUCCUUCAUUCUUUUCUCUUUUGCAAAACAUUAACGAACAAAAUUUCAUGAAGAAUUCAAAUUACAAAAGAAAUACAAGAACAACAAAAUUUUAAAAACCACGUCCCCGUGCAUACCAAGUGCAUUUUUGUAAGCUCGUAAAAUUUUCUAUCCUAGUCUUGUAAAGAUACCAGGGCCAACUCGAUUAGUUACUCCACAGCUCCAUAAAUCGGGAAAAUUGAGUUCAAAAUAUGGGUCUGAGAUGUUUGCGAAUUACUUCAAAUAGAUCUCCAAAUUACGUGUGAGAAAUUUAAAGGUGAAUUUGCUGAUGAUUAUUAUGUUGGGACUUUGUUAUAUUUUACCCAAAUGUACAGAAUUUUAUGCUAUGAUCCAAAGAAUUUAGGCAAAAAAAGAAAAAGAAAUGUUAAAAAAAACAUAUUCCAACCAUUUCGCACAUCUCUCGCACGGACCAGAUCUGGAGAUCUAUUCUUGUCUAUUACAACCCAAAAAAAUUACUAGAUGCCACACAAGACCAAAAUUUAUACUACAAACUAUAUUAGAAAAGUUAUGGGCUCUAUAUGGAUUGACCAUUUUUUUAAAAAAAUUGUUGUUUUUGAAGUUUACAGUAACAAUUCAAAAAUAAUUUAAAAAAAAAACAACUUAAAAAACGCAUGCAAUUUCAAAUAUGACUUAUAAAAACAUAAAAAAUUAUCAAUUACUGUCACAUUUUUAUUCUUUCACCUAUUGCCACCACUAUCGCCAUAGCCAUCGCUAUCGCCACUGCACCGCCCCCUGUCCCCUCCCGUCCCCCAUAGCUCCUUGCUUUCCUCUCCACACUUCUGGUCACGCGGGUACAAAAUCACCGCUAAAGUUAUCCCAUGUCUUGCUGUUGCUCCAUGAUUAUCAACAAAAAGUUAGAAUAUUUGGCUGAUUGAAAGAUUUUUUGAUCAGAUUAUACUUUCUUGGGAAAUUCUGAAACAGCAAAUGUCGAUAUCACGUUGAAUAAGCAGCUGCAGAAUGAGGACGAAAUAAAUGCAGUAUAAUCCAAGAUUCAGCACAAAAGAAACCACAUUCAAUAUUCCUCUUUCAGUUCUGCAUUUUUUUGUGGGGAUGAAUUGUAAUUUCGCCAGGAACUUCAACCAAAAUUCUUGCUAAAUCCAAAUAUAAAUUAUCCUUUUCAUUUAAAGUCUCAGUAUCAAGAAACGGUUUUGCAAUAAAAUUGGCAAAAAUUGAGGACUUAUAUUUUAGAUAGCAUUGUGGUUAAUAGUUGGCGGAUGAGAAAUCUAAUUAUUUAAGGUAUAUUAGGCAGUGAAAAAAAAAAAGAAAAAGAAGAAACAUGAUUAUAAUGUAUAAAAUAAUAAUCUAUAAUAGAUAACAGAUAUCUUCACUUUCUCAUGUCCCUAUGUUUUCUUUCUUAUGAUUUUUAAUUUUUGGAACCUCAACCUUAAUCACUAAAUUAAGGCCUCCUCCCCAACUCUCCUAUGCCCUUACAUUGUUUCUUCUUGCCGGCACUUUCUUGCUUACUUUCCCGAAUUUUAAAUAAAUUACAUUGUUCUAAUUUAAAGCAGUAAAAUUAUAUGCUCAUAACUUUGAAAUUUUUGUGAACAUGCUUUCAUAACUUUAACUAACCCAAUUAACAAAUUCAGCAUCGCGAAUAGUUUAAUGGACCCUUCGCUAAAUAAAUAGAUGUUAGUAAUAGAAAUAAAAGGCAGCACAAAAUUUUGCUUUAGUGAACCAGAAAAAGUCUCACUCACAAUUUGGCACUUCUAACGCACGAACGAGUUCUAUAAUUUUUCUCAUUUUCUCCUUCUGGAUGAACACAAUUUUGAGAUCCCUAUCAAACAUCCCAGUCAUUUACUCGAUGAAAGUCUGGUAUAUUUCAGAAGCAUGGCUUUCUUUCAUCAUUAACCUUCAUGAUUCAUGCAAUCACAUCUAGAGAAAUCUGAUAACCAUGAUAAAUUAGGAUCAUGCCAGAUUAUUCUUCUCAUAUGGAUUUGCAUAUGAAGCAUUGAUUUGCUAUUAGAGAUUGUCCUGCAAAACUAAAGAUCUCCUGAGUCCAUUUUAGUUUUGAGUUCUUGUAAUAGGCUGAACUAAUGAUCUCCGGAGUUCAUUUUAAUUUUGAGUUCUUGUAAUAGGCUGAUUUUGUAUUGUUUCUGGCCGAUAAAGAUUUGUACCUAAGGAAGAGAUGUACAAGUAAAAACCUAAAUAAUUGUCUAACCUAUUUUUAGCCAUGCAACUAAGCUUGUUUAUUGCCUAAUGGUAUUCAAGUCAAAACUCUUGAACACCAAAAGCUUAACAAAAACAAUUCUCAUUUUGCAUUAGAUGCUUGCUUUUCUUUAAAUUGUACUUUGAACAUACUUCAUUUUCAUUUGAACUAUAAUUGUUUACAUGGUUAAAUUAGAAAAGUAUAAUGAUGAUUUAACAUCCUUAUAGAUAACCAAGGUUGAUUACAAUAAACCCUCUUGGUAAUAUCCUAGUGUCAUUUGUCCCCUAGAAAUCUGUUCUCUUCUAAUCUCCUACGAGACAAAAUAUUACUCCACUUUCCUUUAUUGUUUUCCCACUUUACAAAAUCUCGAAGGAAGAUGUAUUGCCAGUGAAAAUCCGCGGAAAGCCAAAAUAUUUGGGGGAUAAAAAGGAGUUGUAGAACAAGAUGACUGCGACAUCUUAUGGUAUUUGCUUGUAUAUCCUUAUAAUUUUCCUAAAAUUCGGAAUGGAGCAUAUUUUUGGUACACUGUCAUCUUUUGUUUAAAAUGCUUAAGGUAUAAUUUAUAUUUGAAUAGGAUUAUUAUCACUUUCUCCCCUUAACAUUUAGUGUCGUUAUCAAUUUCCCCCCUUAAUAUUACCUUUUAGUCAUUUUACUAUCAAGACUAACAGUCAAAGUGUCAAUUCAUCAAACCUUCCAUAUAGAGAAAGCUUCUUGACAUUGUGACUUAAGGCAAACUCAAUCCACUGAUUGUUGAUAGUAGUUUUAUUUUUGAGCUCAUGAACAUGAAAUUUGAUUUUGAAUUUUUCAAUAUCUGAUUCGUCAUGAAGUCCAAGAGUUUGAUCAAUGAUUCUUCAAAAGUUAUCUAUUCUGUUCAGUCUUUCUAGAAUUCAAGUAAAAAGACAUGUCUAGACCUUAAAAUUAUUAUUGUUUUACCUUCAUAAACUAUAGUCUUAUUAUCAAUUUGGCCCAUAGAGUUAUUUUUAGACAAUUUAUCUUACUAUUAAAUUAACUUAGUUAAAAAAUUUUAGAAGAAAGUACAUUCGUCUUUGUAUAAUAAAAAUAAUAAAAAUUUAAGUGGCUCUAUUCUUUUUUAGUAUCGAGAGAAAAAGUCAAAGAAUUACUUUUUUCUUCUUAGCAAUCUUAUUAAUAUUGAGAAAAAUAGAAAGGUAAGGAGAGAGAGAGAGAGAGAGAGAGAGAGAGAGAGAGAGAGCAAUUCUUUUAAAAAAAAUACAAAUAAGAAAGAAUUCAAUAUUUUUAUUACUUUAAAAUUAUUUUAUUUUUCUGUUUACCAACCAAUUCUAGUCCUAAGCCAAUUUUUUAAGCGAAUAUUAAAUGGUCCAACUUUUUUCAUUUUUAGUGCAUUUUUUAUGGCUUUUUUUUUUCUUUUCAAAGAGGUAAUACUUAAAAAGAAAAUGAGAGUAGAAUAAAAUGGGAGAGAAAGGAUGUAACUAGGCUUAAAGAAAUACACAGUGCUGAUUAAUUAACUUAUAAAGAAUCUCAUGUACAUUUUGUCGGUUAAUUGGAAUUCUAGAUAUCCGAAUAAUGAAUCUAUGAGUGAAGAUGCUUAUUGUAAUCAUUACAUGUACGAUACCCAAUAUUAGUUAGAAUAAUCACAUUAAUAGUUGCAUGACAAAAGAGAUUUUAACGCAUUAGGGCAGGAGUGCAUUCCAUAUAAAUCAGGGUCCAAUUUUCUGUUAAUCUUCAUUUCACAGAAGUUGACAUGCUGUAGGCUGGUAGUAAAUUAGCAUGCCAUUUUGAAAUAUGUAUAGUACUAAAAUGCUUCGUAAAAAGAUUGUUAUGGAUUUUACCUAAAAAACAAAGAAACUUCUUAAUAAUACUUGUGAAGGACAAAUUGUGUGUGUGUGUGUGUGUGUGUAUGUGAAGGAAUUAUUUGGCUUAUUUGAAGCGUUAUUUACCAUGCUUUUGACCAUAUCUCACAACAAGGCAGACCAAUGAUUUGAAAUUGUCUUUUACAGAAGUUCUAAGAUCCGUGGCAUUUCCGUGCAACCUCUACACCAAGGCUUUUCUUUAACAAAUUUGAAGUUGCUAGUGCAUAUGAGAAUGGUUCAUUUAUUAAUUAAAAAAAAUGAAUGUGAAUUGUUGUGAAAAGUCUCUGUGAUACCUCAGUUCCGUGUUGGAUAAUUAAAAGAUGAGACCAGGAUACAAGCAAAUUUAAGCAUUCAAAUUCAAUUUGGAAUAUCCACUUGGGAUUAAUGAGUUUUUGAGCGAACAAGAACAGAGUUUAAAUUGUUCUAGACUAGAUUUAGAUGAUUUAGAGAUAAGCAAAAUGGAUUGUAGCACAUAGUUGUCUUAUACAAAAUGAUAACCACAACCUAUUAUAGCAGGCUACAAGCAUUUUGAGAUGAAGUUUACUAUGUAGCAAGCUCUAUCAUUACAAAUUAUGUGGAAAUUAUGUAUUGGAUUUGUAUUGAGGAAAUGGUUUCGUUGAAAAUAAUAAAUGGAUUGUAGAAUUUCCCCCUAAAGGUAUUUCCUCCAUCCUAACCUUCGACAUAAGUUAGAACACCUUUGAAUUUAGAAUUCAAAAGUUUACUUAUUACAUUUUAUGCUUCCUUCUUAUGUAAACAAUUCUUUAAUAAGCAAAACUUUAUAUUUAUUACCUGUGUUUAUAUAUUUUAAAUAGGAAAAAAGAAGUUCAAUAUACAAUAUUUUCUACCUACUAACAUUAUUAACCAAUUAAAUCAUAACUUUUUGACUAAACAAACACAAGAAUUUGCAUCUUUGGGCAUCCUUUUCUUGUUAAUUAUACACAUAUGGGAAAAUUUAUUUCCUUUUCCCUAAUUAGAUUAGGAAAUUAUUCCAAAUUCAGAAGCACAACUUUCUUGUCGAAAAAAUAGAGCCAGGGGUUGCUGUAGUGGUAAGGUUUUGCUACUGCUUGCUCAAUUUUUAGAACAAAGGUUUUGACUUUCUAACACACCAAAUACUCAUUUUAACCAAAGUUAGUUUUUGGACUUUCUGUCAAAAUGGUUAUUAACAUUUGUGACAAAAUCAUAGAAAACCCUCGUUUUCGAAAUAAGCUUUGAAUAAAAUGUCCGCAGGUGAGCAGCAAGAGGGAGAGAUCAUUUGAAUUGGCUAAGACACCAAGGAUCUUGAAAUAAAAAGUACAAAUAACAAAGUUUCAUUGGAUAAGAACCAUUUAAGGGUUUACCUACCUAUUGCUUGAGUUCAAUGGAAGAGCUAGCCAUUAUUUUCUUCUUUCUUUGUUAAAUUCUCAACCAAAAUGAAACGAGGAAGUGUAUAUAUAGAAUAGACAAUGUGACUUAAAUUAUUCUGAUUAAACUCAAUGAUAAUUUAGAGUAGAAAAUCUCGGCACAUGAUAAUACUGAGACCAGGAUAAGUGACCAGGUCAUUUUUUUUAAUAUGUGUGUGUGGAAAGCUUUUUUAGCUCUAUCAAUUUAUUGCCUCUGUUUAGAUUACUACAUUUUUUUUUUUUAUAUCGACUAGAGUUUGAUAAGAUUGAGUAAAAGUCAACCUAAUCUUUUCUCAAAAAUAAAAUCCAAUUGACUGUAAUGUCAUAUUCAGAAUAAACCUCAACAUGUUUCAUUGGUAUGUAAGUAGAAUCAAUGAGUUUGAUAUACAUUUUUUCUUUAUCUUAUGCUGUCUAAUAUGAGAGUUUUAGAGAUGGGUUCGAGGCUACGGGCUGAGAAGCUGUCUUUUAUUAAAUUUUAAGGUAAGGUCCUUGUGUAUGCAAUUUUUAUUGUAUCCAUUGGGAUUUCUGUUCUAUUUUCCCCCUCAAAAUGAUUCAUAAAGGAUCAUUUGCAUAAAUAUUAGAAUCAAAUAUGACAUCGAUGACUUGACUUUAUUUUGGUUUAUUGUAUGUUUUGGUCUAUUUUCCUCACUUCCCCUUGAAAGGAUGCCACUUGUAGUUCAGAAAUUCUUCUUGUAUCAAAGCGAAGGUUGGAUUUUUCACCAUUAGACCAAAAAGCUAAAAGUGUUUUCCUAGCUGAUUUGAUUUGUGUUUUCUGUUACAUCAUCGUUUUCUGUAUUGAGUUUGAUUUGAAAUUAUCUUUCGCAGAAGUUCUAAGAUCCGUGGCAUUUCCGUGCAACCUCUGCACCAAGGCUUGUCAUUAACCAAUUUGAAGUUGAUAGUGCAAAUAAGAAUUGGUUCCUUUAUUAAAUAAAACGAAAAAGAAAGUAAAUUCUGAGGAAAGUCUCUCCAGACUGGAUUUGGAUGAUUUAGAGACUUUCUUGAGAGUUUCAAGUUCACACAAGUUACUGCAACCUGAUCAUCUUCAUGGCAUCUCAUUAAAGUGGUGAUUUCUGGUUAGGGAUAGCUGUAUAUGAUAUGCCAUGAACAGCAAUCACUUUGCUGUAACCUUUUUCUUGAAUGUUUUUCCUAAUAAUUUCUGCAGAAACUUUGUACUUUCUUUCGGUCGUUGCCAUUUUCAUUUUUGUGGAAUGUCGUGCUUGCACCUUUUGGAAGCCAAGCUUUCUUAUUUCCAUAGUUUAAUCUAAUCGUUGGGUUUUUUUUUUUACUGGUUUGAUGAUUUAGAGUUUUGAUUUCUAUAAUUCUUUGCAUUAAAUUGGUUAUUAAUAAAAGGACUUGUCUAAUGGGUGCCCCGUUAAAGUGUCUGAUUUUUGGAAAGAUAAAAUUAAUUAGGGAAAGUGUAUAAAUACAAGGAAAAACAACAAUUGCUAGUAUGUUUAUUUAAAUGGUAGGUUAGAUAAAAUUUAAAUGUGUUAAUGGAUAUCUUUCGAGCACCAUUCAAAAAAAACCAUUGAUAAAAAGCAAAAGAGGUUUUGACAAAUUAAUUUGGGUAGAAGUGCUUUCCGUAUAAAACAAGUUUCAAUUUUCUGUUACAUCUUCGUUGAUGAUACACUCUAAAAUUCCUAAUUUAUGAUUGGCUAUUGUUUUAAGGGUCUUUCUAUCGGGUGCCCUUAGAGCACUCUGUAAUAUAACUAGUAUUCAUCCAAUCUACCAAAUAUAUAUACACACAUAUUACCUAUUAUUAUUCCCUAUUAUUAUUCUCUGUUGCAUUUAUAUACUUUUUUAGUUAAUUUUGUCUAUCCUCCCUUAUAUUUAUUUAUUUUUUUCUAAUUAAUUUUAUAUUUUAAAAAAUAUAACACCUGAAAUAUAUCUUAACAAGUAUCCCAUGGGUACCCGUUAGACAAACCGUUGUUUUAAUUAGUUUUGAGCUUGAUUAAUUGAAACUCUCUUUCACAAAAGUCAUCACCUGUCUGAAGUUGAUAGUGAAAUGAGAAUUAGUUCAUUUUUUAAUUAAAGAAAAACCACAAUAUUUGCGUGAUAUUUCCGUGCAAAGGUUGCACGUAAAUAUAUGUGGAUUAAAGUGAGUGAGCAAGAAGAAAGAAAUACUCUUAAGAAGGCUUGGGUUCCUAAGGCUUUUCUUUCAAGUGAGUGAACAAGAAGGCUUGCUUGUUAAAAAUAAUAUCGUCCCUAGUAAAUUAGUAAAAAAGUCCCAAUAUUAAUAUUUAUAUGGUAAAUCACUUAGAAUUUAGCCAUCUUCUUCUGAGCAAAUCACUAAGACUAACUUUUACAAAUUGUAUAUAGUAUAGUGGAAUUAAAAAUCCCCACUUUCAUAUCUCGUGUCUCUUAAUUUCAAGAAUUCAGUUCAAUAAUGCAUUUUUAAAAAAAAAAUCCUUUUCUCUAAUCCAGCAUUUCUUCAUUCAAAUUUCUAGAUUCUUUACAUUCCAUACCCGGACACAAUUUUUAUGUAAAAGCUACCUGAUCUUGUCUGGGUAGAAAGCAACACUUAUGAUGUUUAUAGAGAAGCAAAUAGUUGUGCAGAUAUACUAGCAAUUAAAACCCCAACUGGUCAACUUCUCGUGCAUGCUAAAAGUUUAGUGUGUGAUAUUAUUUUUUCCAACAAAAACAUGGUUUCUUUUUUUGGGCUAAGCUCAUCCCAAAUUUAGGCAAUGUAAUUUUCUAGUCAGAUCACUAAAUUUUCUGUUGAGUUUAAUUGAAGUUGUAUAAAUGCUUCCAAUUGGAUUAACACAAUACAUGGCACAAUAAAAUGUUUUAGGUGGUAUAACAUAUGCACAACUAGCUCCAAUAUAUAAAAACACAUACAUACAUACAUACACACACAUAUACAUACGUACGUACAUACGUACAUACAUAUAUAUAUAUAUAUAUAUAUAUAUAUAUAUAUAUAUAUAUAUAUAUAUAUAUAUGCUUAGGUAAAAUUAUGUGUCAGCCUCAGUUUCAAAAUUGAUCAAUAAGAAAGAUAAACACAAUUUUUUUCUAGCAGUCUGAUAUAAAGAUUAAAUUAAUGUAUAUAGAAUAAAAUUAAAAUUAAGCUAAUAUAAAGAAAAUCGAUAUACCUAAUACCAGUGUACAAGUGCUUGUGUUAUGAAGGCAUCCAAUACUACCUUUUGAGAUAUAGGAAGCCAUAUGGAAAUUGUAGCACAAGAAACUCUUGUUAAAGGCAAUGCCUCCUCCUAUGUCUAGUUUUUAGCAAACUCUUGAUUUAGGUUUAUGAAUAUAAUGGCUCUGAUCCUUAUUGGUUUUUGAUUUAUUUGCUUUUGAACUUGAAUUUAUUUAUCAAAUGCUUCAUUAUGUGGCGGCAUGCGGGUGAUGAGAGAGAGAAUGAGAGUUUUUUUAUGCUAGCAUCAAGAAUAAUUUUAAAGAUAUAAAAUAGUGCAAAUUACUCACUAAAUAAAUUUGAAUAACAUUUACAUUGCCAGUGUAUCUUUGGUUUCUUAUGACAAAUAUUCUCUAUUUGAAAUUUGAAAUUAUCUUUUUUGUUUAUGUGGCAUUUUUCAAAUUUUAAAUUUGUUUGCUGAAUCUCUUUUCCUUGUGUAUGUAAUGUACUUAAUUGAUGAGGCAAAAGGAGAUUCAGCCCUUGAACACAAAUUUCGUGCAACUUCUAAACUAUCCGAAAAUUCAACCUUUUCUUUGUUAGGAAGUCACUUUAUGAAAACUUAAGGACUGACAUAAUCAUGAAUUAUAAGAAAUGACAUUCAACACAAUCAAGAAAAUUAGUAUUGCAAGUUAUAAUGCUAAAAACAAUCCUACCUCAACAAAAUUAGAACAAAGUAAUAUUUGGUAAAAAAUAGACUGAAAAAAAUGAAAAGGAAAAUUAUCACCUAGUAUGCAUCAUCCCAAAAGUUGUGUAUAAUGUGGUUGUGAGGGAAAGUUAAAAUAGUGUGUAUUUGUGAUUAAUUUACAAUUGCGAAUAACCUGUAAUAAUUUCCAUCGACAUAUAUGCUGGGACAUUUUAUAAUACAGUAUAUAUAAAAUGACCAUCGUGUGUUAACACCACAUAGUGAGAACCAAGUUUUAUAUACUAUAUAGAUAAUUUAUUUCAUUUUUCAUGCUUAAGCAGAUAAGAUUGACGAUAACUACAUAUUCUAAUUAUGUAGUUUUGGAAAGAAUGUUGUAGAAUUUCCUCUCAAAUCUCAGCAUGCUUCCCCUUGAGCUUGAGAGAAAUCAAAUUUCAAAAGAGAUCUUAUAACUGGCUAAUGAUAAUUAAAAUACCCAACUCAUUCAGUGUUUUGUACUGUCAUUGUAGGUAUGAAACAUAAUUUUUUGUUGAAAAGUGUGUGUACUCUUCAUUUUAGACUCAUGAUUUUAUUUAUUAUUAUUUUUUUAGUGUAAGCAGAAGGGACUCGAACCCGAAACCUCUUACUUACACUCCCUACUCCUAUACCACCCAACCCAUUCCUCCCCCCAGACUCAUGAUUAGAAAAUUGUUCUGUCAUCUUCCAAGGAGAAGCGUUGCAAAGGAAACAAUGCUUAACUCAAUAGAAACGACUCCUCCACAAGGUUGCUAAAUUCUCCCAAUCCCUAGUACAAAGCACUGCUGUAGAAUCUUAUUACAAUCCCUCUCCCUUAUUUCACUUUUUCUUGGAAAAAAAAUUUUUAGGAAAAAGAGAAAAAAAAGUUGUAGGUGUAAAUAGUGAACAGUGAGAGUGAGAACUUUCUGAUGACAAACAUUUGCUCAUGUUGAAAAUUACCAUUGGAUGUCAAUAGAAAAUGCUAAUCCUUUCCUUUUUGCUAUUGAAACAAAAAUUAGUAGUUCAAGCUGUUAUUUAUGACAUCUCAUCACUUUGUUGAAUCUCUCGUGUUACAUAAAUUUUUCUUUUCUCUUUUAUUUUUCCUUUAUCCAAUUGAAAUAGUUGUAUCAUCGCUUUAAUGAAAUUACUGUAACUAAAUUGUAAUAGCUCUUCCUUUAUUUUGUUUAUCUCAUCCAUUGGAGAAAUUGACUGGAGACUCAGAAGGUGGUGGUCAUACAAUUUGCAAGAGAAGAUAGAGGGUACACCUUAAAAAAGUAUAUAAUUGGGGAUGGUAAUUUGUUUGACUUAUAAUACCCCUAAGUUGACGGUGAUUUUUGUGUCACAAAAUGUUCCAAUUGGUGGCGCCACUAUACAAUAAUUUAAUCAGACAAUAAAUUUAAGUUGAAGGACUAAAUUAAGAUAAAACGAAGUUGAGGGAUAAAAUUAGUAUUAGCAAAAAAUGUUGAAAUAGUAAAUUGGCAGUUUUUCAUAUUUUUAAUUUCUUAUUCUUUAUUACAAAUUGAGUCGAUUAUGAUUCAAAAAAGCAAUCUGAACUUAAAAGUGGCACAAACCCAUAUCUUUUUUUUUUAGUUUUAGGGAAAAUUGCAGAAACCUCCCCUGAAACUACUGACAGUUGCACUGAGCUCCCCUCUAAGUUCUGAAAUGGCAGAUAGCACCCCUCAACAGGAACAUUAAGUUGCAAAAUCAGUCCAGGCAGCUUCAAUUCCCAUUAAAAAAUUAGCUGUACAAGUGAGAUAAAAAAUUUGUUCCAAAUUUGCCCUGAUGUUAGUUGACAAGUAGUAUUAACAAGGGAGGGGCUUUUUCAUUAAGCACAAGGAAGUUCAGGGGGUAUAAAUGCAACAACAUGCUUCCAGAUGAUGACCUGCAACAACUUCAUUUGCUGAGAAACCAACGGCUACUUAACGGCUAAUUGAUGUAACUAAGGCACUAGCUUAUAAACGAUGGUCAGUAGCAAAAUGAAUACCAGAAUCUGGACUCAUGUAUGCAGCAGCAAUUUUCUAGCUCAAAACACAGCUUGCUUGAUACUCAGUUUGGCAGUUUCAAGUCAUAUUGCAGAAAUCAGAAAAUGGCUUCUUCCAGCCACAGGAGAACAUCAUGGAACUCUCCUACAUCCUUCACAAUACAAAACAAAUAUUGCUGGUGCAAUAGAAAGGCAACAUUGAAGAUUUCUGAGUCUGAAAACAACCCCAACAAAUUAUACUUUUUUUGUGCAAAAUGCAAGUACUUCCAGUGGUAUGAGGGUCCAGAAGAAGAAGAGGUUAACAGUAGAAACUAUGACACCAAUUCAGUGCUACAAUCGCACCUACAGCAACAAAGGUCUAUGGCUGUUAGAAGGGAAAUGCCAACUGUUCUGACAAGUGCAGUGGCUAUACUUUGUAUCAUCAAUCUCAUACUUGUUGCUGUUUAUGUUUUCAUCCAUAUUGUGAAGUCAAUAGGCUGAUGCUAUCCAGAAAUGUACAUUAGUGAUGAAGUAGAUAUAGCUGCAGUUCGAAUUUAUAUGUAAGACAUAGGAGAGGAACAAGUUCCUUUCAUCAUGUAUGCAGCAGCGUUUGUAGUUUACAAUAUAAAUGCAAACCAGAGUUCUGUUUAUAUCUACUGUCAUCAAUACAAAAUCACUUGUUACCAACAAUACAAAACAAAACAGUCACAGAAGCAUACUUGUAUUACAAGAUUAAUGCAUUAAUACAACAAGUCUGAUCAGAAUUCAGUAAUUUGAAGUACUACAAAAGUGAAACACAACAGGCAAGUAAUAGCAAAGCAUGACUGAGCAAUCCACAAAAGGUUCAAAACACCAUCUGAACCAUUAAAUCACUUAGAACAGAUGGUGAGGAUUGCAAUGUCGUGAGAGGCAGAAACAUGUCUAAAACUGCCACAGUAGAGUACAAAAUAGCUCUGUUAUGUACCUAAUUAAUGGCAUACUACUGAGUUGAUACUUUCAGCAGUAAGCAUUCACUUGCCAAAACUAUAGAGAUAGUAUCAGAAUUGCAUACUAAAACUGCUAUUGUUGCUAACAUUUGUUGAGUGCAGUGUUGUAGCUGCAUUGAUGGAUUCAGAUGCAGGUGUAGCAACUUGAAAUGUAGCAAUUUGCUGAUGACCAGCUUGUUCCACAAUUUGAGUGAUCUGAGCAGUAUUUGAGUAGUUUCUCUUGCUGCUCCCUCUAGCAGAUGCUCCAGUAUUGCUUAAAGGUCUUCCUCUCUGCACAAUCACACGUGUUGAACAUUACACUCAAGCAUUUUAUUGAAGCAUAUCAUAAAAGCUACUCAUUCAACUGCACCUUUUUCUUUGAAGUGGUUGCUGUGCUCUGAUUCUGCACAUGCACAUUCACAGUUGCAGGUGCAGGUUGAGUUGAAGGAGAAGGAUUGCUGCCUUGGCUUGAGUGUACAACUGGAACAUUGCCAGAGACAUGAUCCUAGCAGUAAACAUUGACAAGUAAUAUUAGUUUCAACAAGGCAUGUACUAUAAAUGUUACAAUCAGAAUCUUAAAUAAGUUAACAAAAUCUUACCCAAAGAGUUGCUCCUGACAGGCCCGUGUUUGCAGUCCCUCUUCCUGGUUUGCCUCUUCUAUAGCUCUGUUGUUAAGGAACAAGCUAAUUGUAAGUAAUGAAUUGAUACAAAAUAAUCACAUUCAGUAGCAAUUGCAGCACAUAUAGCACCUGCUGGCCAGUAGUUCUGUUGCCAUUCUUCUUAUUCUGUGACAGGUGCUCCUUGACAUGACCUCUUGUUGUGACCAAAAGAGCCACAGUUUCCACACUUGAUGUAGCAAUGUCUUUUUGGUUGUGACGCAGACUGUCCUUCAUCAUGUUCCCUUCUCAUUUUAGUCUUUGGUCUACCUGGAGCUCUCCUUAAUGGAGGAGGCAGGACUGUUACAGGUGUAACAUAUGGCAUAGGUGGCCACAUUUUCUCAUCAGGAAUUGGAUGAAUCAUACUUGAAUAUGUCUUUAAGUACUUAUCUCUUGAGAACCAAUGCUCACAGUAGGAUUCCAGCUUUUCUCUCUUGUAGAUAAUCCCUAGUGCAGCAUGUUUACAAGGAAGGCCUGAAAUUUGAAAUGCUCCACAAUCACAAGUUUUAGCUGAUAAAUUGACUAUGUAGGACCUGUUCAUAUCCCCCACUUCAAAUACAUCAGUAGAAGCCAUAGUGAGUUCACAUUGUCUUGAUACUUGCCCUAUUUUUUGUAGUUUACCAAGCAUCUUUGGUGUGAUGGCAGUGGUGAGCAUGCACCCUUUCUGAUAUCGCUUAUGCAUUUUCUUCAUGAACUUCUUCCUCAGCCCAUCAACAAGUGUCAAGAUAGGCUUCCCUCUGAGCUCACCUAUCCAUGCAUUGAAGGACUCAGUGCAGUUAUUUGUGACAUGAUCACAUUUUAGUCCAGUAUUGAAGGUAUAUCUGCACCAUGUUGUUUUAGGAAUUUUGUCCAAGUAUUUCCAUGCUUCUAUGUUUAACUCCUUUAUGCUAGCCAUGGCUUCAUUAUGUCCUGCAACAUCAAAGCUUUUUGCUGCUCUCCAGAACAAGUUACUAAGCAGAAUACCAGGAAAUUGAGCUUUAAAAUUACUGCAGAUAUGCCUACAGCAAUGUCUUCCACUAGCAACAGGCACUUUCUCUUCAUAAGCUAUAUUCAAGCCCUGAAAUGAUCACCAAAACAUGCAAACAAGUUACACUAAAAAAUACAGAAUCAUUGACAAGUACAUAAGCAUUCCAGAAUCUGCAGCCUUCAAAACAGAAUCAGAAUAAUGUUCAAGGCCUGUUGUGAAGCUCACCUUUUGCCUGUCACUCAUGAAGGUUAGAGGACCAUGAAAACCACUUUCUGAAGUAAAUGGCCCAAAAAACUCCUCAAAGUAAUGAAAAAACCAACUCCAGGUUUCUUUAUUUUCAGCUUCAGCCACAGCAAAUGCAAUAGGAAAAAUGCUAUUGUUAGCAUCUAAUGUGACUGCUGUGAGAAGCACACCACCAUAAGAACCUUUUAAAAAACAUCCAUCAAAACCAACAAAAGGUCUACAGCCUUCAACAAAUCCACUUCUUUGAGCUUUGAAACUAAUAAACAUUCUGAGAAAUCUAGGCUCAACAAGAAGAGUAGGCCUAUCAUAAUGUAUUUUGCAGAUACUUUGUGGGUUGUAUUUCCUGAUCAGCUCUGCAUACUUUGGCAAUUUGGCAUACGAUUCAAUGUGAUUGCCUUCAAUCUCAUUUCUUGCUUUAGUUAGUGCUCUAUACAUCUGCCAUUUGCUUGGAUGCACACCAUACUUAAUCAUCUCAGCUUCUACCCCUUUGGUGGACAUGUUGGGGUGAAUUCUCAUGAUUGGAACUAGUUUCUUAGCAAUCCAGUCAGCUGUAGCUUCUGUGUUCUUCCUGUCCAUCACACAUGUGUGUUCACCUUGAUAAGUCUUAAUCAUAAAGGUCAUGGAAUCUAAAACUGGUGAUGCAUGGAUUCUCCAUUUGCAUCCUUCAACACCACAAACAGCAGUGACUCUGCUCUUCUCAUUCUUCAGUCUCACAAUUGGAAAUCCUUUCUGAAUUACAUAGUCCUUUAAAGCUGCUCUAAAUGCAUCGACAUUAGUAAAUAGUUCACCUUUCUUAAACUCUAUCUCUACUUUUGGGUUGUACGUCCACAGUUUUGAUUUCAAAGCUUGCUGAACAGGGUCAGUUUCUUCUUCAUUUUCAGAAUAAGGAACUAAGGCACCCUCCUCAGUGUCAUCAAAAUCAGAAAAUGACAUGUCAGAUUCACCACUAUCGCUAUGAACAUCUAAAUCUUUCUCAUUGUCACUAUCCAUGCUGUGCAGCCAGCUUGAAUCAGAGCUGGAAUCACUAUAUUCACCCUCAGAAUCAUCAAUGGCAACAACACAUACCUUGUCCUUUCCUUUUUCUCUUAAGUUCAAAUCAGUGUUAUGACCAUUUUCAUUUAUCUGAUUAGCUUUAUAAGAUGGAAUAACAUCCAUAUCCUGCACAUGCACAUUAAUCAUUCUUCCACACUUAUGCAUUUCGAACAUUUCAUGUACACUAUCAUCAUCUGAAAUAUCAAACAUACGAUCUGUCUUAGGAAUCUGACACCUCAUAUGUAUUAACUUAUUCAGAUGCCCAGGGACUUCACCGAACACCUUCUCAGCAACAUCAAAUAGUAGAUUAAGGUAACAGUAACCAAUUGGAUCGAUAUUUGGAAUUUUCACUUGUUUCUCCUCAUAGUGAACAGCUAUAUCAUAAGCAGAAAAAAGAGCCAUCCUAGGUUUCAAAAGUGGCAAAACUGAGCAAUGUAAGUAGCAAAUAACAGACAACUGUAUCUAGUUUAGACACUUAUGUCUACACUGAUGACUAGUCAUGAACUCAAGACUAUUGUAGCAUUCACUGAGUUGAUACAAGUCUUAAAAGAUCAAAAAAUAGAUCAUGAUCAAAACAUCCAUUGAUAAACAUGUCUAAAACAACAUGAAUAGCAGAGUACAGCAGCUCAUCUAAAACCAGCUACAAUAUCAUCAUAUUUGGCAUUGAUCAUUACUGACAAUAACAUCACAUUUGUUUCUGAUCAUUACUAACACAUUCAACUCAUAAUGGAACAACAAACAUGCAUUCACAUUCAACUCAUAAUGGAACAACAAACAUGCAUUCACUGCACUCAGUAUUCAAAAACAUGAUCAUAUAAGAGCUAAAGUACAAAUUUAUUUACCUACUCCACUUCAAUUCUUGCAAAUUGACUGCAGUUGAUGCUCAAAAUUGGUUCCUAGCUCACGGUCACAUAUGUUGUUUAUCUUUCAUGGACAAUCGGCCUCCCAUGAACUAAGCCAGAGUUCCAAUUUUCUUCUCUUAUGUUUCCUUCUCUCAAUGGUUAGAACUUUAUCUGCAAGGCACACUCUCUUAUGCUGCAAGUAGGCAGCUUGUCACCUCAAGAGCAACUUGUAACAAAUUGGCGCCAAUUCAUGGCGCCAUCUUCCUCAGCAAUUGCCGCCUUGUUCUUCCCUCUAAAACUAGUCUCACACUAAAGCAUACUCUUAAUCAAAGCUGGACGGAGACUGCAGCUUGAGUUAGUUAGUUAGUUAAUUAAGAAGUUAAUUAACUAGUUACAUAAUUAGUUAAGCAUCUAAAGUUAAUUAUCUAUUUAUGUCAACAGAUAAUUAGUUAAUUAAUUAAUUAGAUUAUUAGUUAUUUAGUUAUUUAGUUAAACUAUGCAUAAAUAGUUAAUUUAGUGUAAACUACAAUUAUCAAAAUGACAAACGUUUUAUUAGGUUUAAGUCAUCACAUUCUUUGGUAAAAUUAAAUUUCAGUGAGGGUAUUUUAGUAAAUUGAUCAUGAAGAAUCUAUUAAAUUGUGUCCACCUUUUUUUAGGGAGGUGAUUGCUAUUUCAAAACUCAUAGGGGAGGUCAAUACUAUUACCAUAAAACUCAGGGGAGGUUUCUGCAAUUAUCCCUUGCUACUUUUGCACAACAAUUUUUCUCAAAAAUUAGAGAAGAAGCUCCAAAUUCAGUUGGAACAUCAAAAUGACACUUAUCCUUCAAUGUAUAAAUUGAAUGGGCAUAUUUAUAAUAAUGAGUAGCUGUUAAUAUUUACAAUGGAGUGGGAGAUACAAACACAAUAAUUCUAAAACAAACGUCGAUUAGAACAGAUGGAAGGUGGCACGACUGGUAGAAUAUCAACAAACUUCACCACUGUACUAUCCAUCCUUCAACAACUCAGUAGUAUCCUGAUGUUGAGCCAGAGCCCGUGCUUGUUUUCGAUUGUCCGCUUGCAUAUCUAGUUAAGGUUAAAAUACCAUGUGGUGCCCAGCCAUUUUUGGGGUCUGGGAUGAUUCACAGCUGAUAGCAAGGGGACGUGCAAUGAGGGGGCAGUCCGGGAAUGAGGCGCUUGUCUCUGCUGGAGGGUUCAGCUUUACAUUUAGUUUCCCUCAAAGAGGUUGAAGAUACAAAAAUGAAAGGAAGGAGCCGCCUUGAUGGAAGUCUCAACUCACAAGUUUCUUGUGACCAAGAAGAUUGAACCACACGAUGAUGAACCAGAUCAAACUGAAGCUGAAGGGAGCUGGCUUUUAAUCUUCCUGACUAAUUUGGCUCAAGCUUUUUGGCCUUCCCACAGUGUAAGCGCAGAUUCUUUCUAUGAAUAAAAAUUGAACAGUUUUGCUAGAAAAAAAUUGUGUCUUCAUGGGUUUCUUCAGAUGUAUUAAUAAUAGUAUAUCUAGAGGUGGCAAAAUGUGCAGAAUAGGUGGGAUUUCCUUGGAUUUGAGAUGGGAUCGAGUAAUAUUGAGUAAUAUGGAUUUGGGUCCAAUUUUAUCCAUAUGUGUUUGGGGAAUAAUUUGGGUAGGAUCACUUUAAGAUGAACUUAGAUGGAUCUCGCCCAAUACAUAAGUCUAUUUUCUGUAUUCUUUUUUCCUUUAAUUAUAUUUUUUUUUUGUAUAACUUUAAUAUUUUUGAUUUAUUAAAUUUCUUUUAGUCUUACUGUGAAUUUAUAUUUUCCUAAAUUCUUUUUUCCCUCAAAUUUUUCUUUAUUUAUUUUCUAUGUAUAGAUAUAUUUUAAUCUUCGAUUUCCAAUGUUGUUAAAUUUUAGUUGAAGGAAAAAUAAGUCCUAUAAAAACUUAAAAGGACUUGUAUUUAUGAGUAUAAAAAAUGGCAUUUAGAACUAUAAGCCAUCAUAAAACUAUCAAGACUGGACAAAGUAUGUUCUAAUAAGAUUACAGAUUAAUGACUUCCAUAUUACUCCCAAUAUUCAUUUUGAUCAGUAUUCUAUUAGAAAAGGAGUGCAAAACCAUUUACAGGCCUAAAAGAGCCCCCACCAACCCCGUUUAGGUUUUCUUUGGCCUCACUAUGCAACCAUUGAGUUCCCAUCUCAAAAUAAGAAGUUUCUUUUGAAAUUUUUCAAAAAACACUCUAAAUUGAUACUGGGACAGAAUUUUUAUGGAAAAAGGGUAAAUAUUUUUUACAUAAAAAAAAAACUGACUUCUAAGGGACAAAAGAGUUUAGGAAACUAGAUGGGGGGUUUUAAGCAUAAUAACAAGGAAAAAACUAAAGGACCUAGCUUGAAGAAUAAAAGUGGUUCACUUGGGUCAUUAAAAGAUAUACAACAAUUGAUGGGGUAAAUUUUUUUGUGAGAUACUUGGACCCCAAUGGAUACCCAAGAAUUUUUCAAAAAUUCCCAUCAAUUAAUAGGUAUAAAUGGGAUUAGUUCCAUUUCAAACCCAACAUCAAAAUUAGAAUACUCAUCCCGUCCAAAAUCCCUUUACGCAUAGAUAGCCCAUUGAGACUUCAGACAUGCUGUGACCUCUAUAAAUCUAAAUAAAUAAGUAGGGAAAUGUUAAUCUAUGUGAUACAUGAUUCUAUGCGAUAGAAAUAAAUUAAAAAAUGGCUCACCUUCGAUUUUUUAACCACUAUCAUGUUAUGGUAUAGCUAUCUUAUGCCUUGAUAAUGGCUUUCUGUAACUUAAUUGAGAUAAAGUAAUGGUGGUCUCUAUUGUUGGUAAUUUGAUUGUACUGACCAAACAUACAUAUAUAUCCGUAUUUUGAUAAUAAGCUACUUUCGGUUUUCACUUUUUAAUGUUAGUGUAAAAAAAUUAUUAUACUAUUGGUGCAUAAAAAAUUAAUCCAAAAAGAAACUUGUUGAAAGGAUGCAUAGGAAGUUAGUGCAUGCUUGUCAUCCAUUCUCCGUUAGUACUGUGUGACGUUAGCCAAAAAUGCAAGAGAUGAUGAAAGUGAAAAUACUUGAACCAUGAAGGGAAAAUCAUAAGACAUAAUUUGUACUACUAAAGAAUAUGAGUUACAAAUAGCAAAAAUCAACUGAAUUAGCCCUUAAACCUUUUAGCUAUUGCCAAUUUCGUACCUAAUUAACUUCAUUUUUGUUCAAUUUAGUCAUUCAACUUAAAUUUCUUGUCCAUUUAAAUCCUGUUACAGUUGCAUUACAAAUUAGAAGAUUUCCUACUCAAAAAUCACCAUCCAAUCAGGAGUAGUAUUGCAAGUUUAGUUACAAUAAUUUGAUUAAAAUACAAUUGCAUAAAGGAAAAAUAAAAGGAGAAAAGAAAAACUACUUGAUCUAUGCAUGAGAAGUUUUACAAAGUUAUGAGACCUUAGAAGCAACUACUUAGAAAAACUGCUUGGUUGUGUUCUCUUUGGAUUUAAAAUGUCAACUCUAUUCACGUAUAUAUGAUGCAAUUUGUUAGUGGACAAAAAUGAAACCACAUUAAUGAUCUAUAAAUAUGUGAACAGCAUUUGAUAUAUAAAAACAAAAAAAAAAAUGUGACAAUGAUAGUAAGUAAAAAAAAAAUCGAUGAUUUGAAAAAUAUGUGAAUGGCAAUUGAGUUGGGUGAUAAAGGAGAGAGAUUGUAAGUGUAGGUGAUAGCAUAGAAUCAAGUGAUGACCCAAAACCUUCACAGACCGCUUAAAUCUUCUAACCGGAGCACAAAUGCUCUUAAUCCGAAACCUAUGAAAUCAUUCAACCGCUGCUUGUGGACGCUGUCUUUCUUAUCUUUUUCCUUUUCCUCAAAAUAUCAGGAAGUGAAACAAAAAGAUAUCUCCAUCUAGUGGACAAAACAGAUUCUUUUGUACCAUCGAGAAGUGAUGGAAUGUGGCAGAGAAGAUGGUUGGGAAGGCCACUGAUCCUAUCAACCUUAACACGAUCAUCUCAGUUCUAGAUUGUUUUGACAGCCUUAAAUUCACGACCCAUGACUGUCUUUCUUAUGUCAAAAUGGGGUGGGGUUUCAACUUCCAAGAAAUUAUGCCAAUAUCACCGUUAAAAAACUCAGUGAACAACUCACCAGACAUAAUUGGUUCCAACAAUUAUACUUGCCCAUGCAGUAGACUAACGACAAACAAAAACCCCUUUUUCCUAGUGUAUACAUGUAAAUAUACAGAUUGUACAUGAAUAAAUAUUUUUCUCUUGCUGUAUUCAAUUCUAAAGAGUCUGAUAUAUUAUUGUUUUGUUUUCAUCCAGGCAUAUCAAUCUGUGAAAGUAUCUGGUCAGCCAACAACUCAACUGGUGGUGGGCUAAAAGCAACUACCCAACUCUGAAAACAUGCCAUCCUAUUUCAAUAGAGUUGAUAUUUUAAAGCCAAGAGAACCUAUUCAAUUUUAAAACUAAAACUACACGUGCAGUGCACGUGAACCCAAAUUUUAAAAGCAGCAUUUUCUUUUUCCAUUUACUCUUUUCCAACAAGGUUAUCAGCAACCAUUUUUUGGAAACAAAAGAGGGAGAGGAAUCAACGAUUCCCUUGGCAAAUUUAACAACCGAUCACAGCCCGCGACCAAGAAUGUUAGUAUAGUCUUGAAUUGAGUGUUAGACAAGUAACGCCUUAUCAUGCACUAGGAUGGUGAAACUAAAGAAUGUAUGUCUACUCUACUGGAGAGCAACUUCCUGUUAUUAAUUUGGACAAUAAAAUUGAAUAUCCAUUUUUUUUCAAGAAGUCGGCAAGUGAUGACAGAUAAAGGACAUGGGUUUAGAAAGUUUGUGCCUAACAGAAAUUUGACUGUCAAAAUAAUCAUUAGAAUGUGAAAUAGAAUAGCAGGGGAUCAAGAGUCUUUCUUCCCUAAAUUUGUAAAACUCUGGAACAUCAACUAGUGUUUUUUCUUCUCGUGUACUUUUUUUUGUCUGAAUAAUCACUGACAAAUCCAUAUAUAUCCUAUGGCUUUGUAAUGAGGAUAUAGAUUCUCAUGGUAAUGCUUUCUUAAACAGGUAAAAAGAAAUGAAAAAUCUUAAAGUCAGUACGUACCAGAGGGUUGAACUGACGAAAAGCACAAGUUUUGGGUUGAAAUUCGAUGAUAUUGGUUGUCAUUAUUCAUUUUCAAUUGAGGGAUGAAAAUGUUGAUGUUAGGAUGUAGGGAGAAUAAUAGCUUAACAAUGUUUUAAUAUUUUAAUGACCAGAAGUCGUCAUUAAAUUAGUAAGACGUGCAUGCAUGGCUGUUCCGAAUUUGAAGAUAGUUUAGUUUUCAAGUAAAUGCUCUUACUUUGUAUUCAAACACGAGCUCCAAUUUACUUAUAGAGGUUUGAUUAGAUUGGAGAGGAUAAAAUGGCUUAUUUGCCCAUAUAUAAUUAAGUAGGUGUUAAGGUCAAAUUUUGACUAUUUGCGAAAUUCUUUUACUAGUCAAAACUAAGGAUUCAUGACAAACACCUAAAAACUCAAUGCUAAAAAAAAAUAAAGAAAAAAAUUAGUCUCUUUGUUAAUUACUCCCUCUGUCCCAUCAAAUUUGUCAUGCUUGUCACUUUUUCUUGUUCCAAAUUAAUUGUUAUCUUAGAAAAAUCAACUCACCUUUUUUAAUGAAAUUUUAUUUUUUCCUUUCAUAUGGCUCAUCACUUAUUCCUCAUAAUUAUUAAUACAUCAAAUAAAAGAUGACUCGUCACUAAAAAUAUGAUAUGAAAGUAAAAAAAUUUUUCUAUUAAUAUCUCUAUAUAUAAAUUACACGUUCUCCUAAAAACAAUAUAUUUUACGGGACGGAGGAGGAGUAUAAAGGAACAAGGAAAUACCUUUAUACAUGAUGAUGGGGAGAGAUAGAGGAAGUUAAGAGGAAGAAAGAAAGAGACUCGAUCAAGCAGAAGCAAAUGCAUGGACAUCAAGUCAACAACUCUGGGCACCAGCAUCGAUGCCGCACCAUUCUAAUUCAUUCAGAACCCUUUCACCACGUUUCAUUAUUACAGUAAUUAACUCACAAAUCCUAAUUCGACUUUGCUUCUUUGUAAGUGAGGUAGAUGGGUAUCUACAGUUUGACCUUGCUUCCAAUACGUUUCACCGUGAAGUUUAAAUCCUUGAUUAAAAGUGCUAAACAAUUUAAGAAUAAAAACAUUUCAAUACAUAAACUUGCCACAACUAGUUAAUUACCAGUUUCUAGUUUAGGUUAUGUUGUUUUCUGAACUUUGUCAAAAUCGAAAUUUCUAUUGUAAUAGAUAGUUGUACGUACAUAUAAUCAAUCAGUUAGGUUUCCACUAAACUGGUCAUUCUAACUCAGUUACAUACGAAAAAUUGGUCUAAGCAUUUUCAUGCAACUUUACUUAUCCUAGUUCUUUUAUGACUUGAAUAUUGACUAACCUUGUUCAGUUAGGCUUUUUUAUUCUAUAAAAAAAGUUCCCCCAAAAAAUUGAACUUGAAUAUUGACUAAACUUGAAUAUUUUUUAAUUUCCACCAAAUAAUUUACGCAUUAUACAAACUCCUUCUUAUUCUAUUAAAAAAAGGAAAAAAUUAAAAACUUUAUACAUGAUUGAUGUCUACGUAUUUUGCACGCACGUAGAUGUUACCAUGCAGAAAUUGUGUCAAGCUAAUGCAGAAUGGCUAAAAAGUUCAUUAAGUUUCGGAAAUGGGAUUCAAAAUCAUCAAGAAAAUCAGUAUUGUAAGUAAUAACGGUAAAACAAUAUUCACACAACCAAAUUAUUGUCAGUUAAUAAACUGCUAGUACUAUUUUAUAUCAAUAUUGUGGAUAUUGAAACAUAGUUAAACCUUUCCCCAAAAUUUAAUCCAGUUCCCUGUUGGCUUUUUGUACUAAAAUUUUAAAAUGAGAAUCUUCAUUUUCUAUUUCUUUUCCAACAAUGAGGAAGGCUACCUUCUACCACAUCCUGGAAACAAAACAGCAAGAGGAAUAACAGAUUAGGCAAAAUUCUUUUGUCCUUGAGCCGGAGUUUGUGGUGAAAAACAAUCUCAGUCUGCAACUGUUGCAUUAAUUCCAAUGGUAAAUUUGGAAAUUAACUGAUCACAACCCGCCGACCGAGAAUAUUAAAUUGACAUUGAAUUGAAUAGUAGACAAGUAACGUCUUCUCAUACACUGAGAUAUCGAGACUAUAGAAUGUAUGCUUAGUGGAGAACAAAUUCCCAUCACCAAUUUGGACACUAAUACCCUAUUUAAUAAUUCAAUUCAGCACUUAAAUUUAAUAAAUUCAGAUCUCAACAUAUUUAGAUCAUUUCAUAACCCCAAAAUUGAAUAUUUGAAUUAAUGAACUGGAACUGAAUUUUUUAGACAAAACCUGCUCCCAAAAUUAAGUGAUAAGUUAUUCAGUUAUCAGUGAAUGUGAUAUGCACACAAAUAUAUUAGAUUUAAUACUUAACAAUUCAAUAAUUUAAUGAAUUUCAAUUUCAAUUUUGUCAAACGCACCUAACAUUGAAUAUACACAAAGUGGACAAAUCAUGACAUAUACAUGAUCCAAGGACAUUGGUUUAGGAAGUUUGUGCUCAGGAGAGGCUUGACUGUCGAAAUAAUCCUUGAAACGUAUUUGAAUAACCGGUCAAGUGUUUUUCGUUUUUCAAAUUUGGACCAGCAUUGUACAUCUAAAAUGCAGCAUCAACUUGUCUUGUUCUUCGUUUGUGUUGGGGGCAAUCUGGGUAUGAAUGAAGGUUUGAACUGAUUAGAUAUACCUAAAUAAGGUGUCUUGAUCAUCGGACUACAAUCAAAAUGGCAAAACCUUAUGUUGCAUGCAAACAUCUGUAGAAGUUUUUAUUCACAUAAAAUCGUUAUACAAUUUCUUAGUUUUAUAUCUGAUAACGAGUUUUGUUGCUUCUCAAUUUUAAAAGCAAAAGUUUUAUCAGACCAUAUGGAUCCUUUCUUUUAGGGAAAAAAAUGCAAUCCCAUUUGGAUGAUCCUCAAAUUUACUUACUAAGCAUAUCCAUGAUCAUUUAAAAAAGAUAAGCGAUUAGAAGUUAACUUAGAAUGUCAACAGAUGUACAAAACAAUUUUGAACAAUUACUAUAUUUUUUAUUCAGUCAAGAAGUAUAUUAUUCGAUAGCGAAUCCAUUAUAUUCAUAAAUUCAUUUCAUGAUGCUAUUUUCUAAAUUUUUUAUUAGGUUAAGAAAUCAUAAUUUCAUCUUAAUUAGCCUUAUCUGUUAUUCUCCACCUUCCCUAAAUUGUACACCAGUCCAAGGACUGCUCGACAAAUGCACCACAUCCUAAAUUGUAAUUUCAUCUCCUCAACCUUGGACCCAUAUGUACUACAACACCCAUUUCUUGUCUUUCUAAACUCCAAUUCCCCAGUUCCCAACAACCCUUUAUUUUCCCCCUUCUAAAAACUAAACCCUUUUUGAUUUUUUUUUAAUUUUUUCUCUGAAUUUUCUAAAUGCAAUAGGUCACCGAAGGAUUAACUUUCUGAGGAGAAGGCCUUGAUUCAGUCUUGAUUGAUAUUAUGGGGAAUUUGGCUUCAUUGGUGAGAUUUUGGGUAUAAGUUCGAUUCUUUUUGGGGAAAAUUUUAAUUGAUUCCCUAGUACAUUUAUGAUUUGUCUCUUUUUAGGUUGGAAAUUUAGUGUAAUCCAUAAUUUUUUUGUUAGGAGAUAGAAAAUCUUGAACUUUUUCAAAACAAACGUCCUUUGACCAAACCAAAUAUCCUUGCAUGUUCAAAUCCCUAUAGAGUUUAACGUGAACGUGCACAACUUGUGCCAUGCCGAUUAGUCAAUUGAAAAUUAAUUGGUACAAAACUAGCUAAUGCAAUUUUUUGCUUAAGUGCAUAGCAAUUAGGACAUGACAACCAAAAGGGGAGAUCAAGGAAAACAGACCUUUAAAUUGGUUGAGAUUGAUAUACAGGAGAUCCAUUUUGAAUUUUUCUCUCACAUAUAGUGCAAAGGAAUAAAGUUGGGUCAAGUUGCUAUGAACGCGGGUUUAAGGUCCACGGGGUCUUGUUCUGUCACCAAUUGGUUGAACAUGGGUUCUUGGUGGGUCAUCCUCUAAAUUGCUUUCGAGUCGAUUUAUCCGUUAACUCCUGUGUUUGUUCUAAUUAGAUGUGUGUUACUUCCGUUCUUGGAAAAAAAAAAAAAAAGCUAUGGUUGCUCGACUCCUAAAUACGUUCCAGUGUAGGUCACUAAACUUUCGUACGACACUCACUAGCUAAUUGAUUUUACACAAGAUUAGGGUCGGUAUGCAGAUAUGUCCAAGUGAAGUACCUCUUUCUAAACUAUUCGAAUAUUUAAUGGACAAUCGAUAGCCUCAUAGUACUUGAAUGGACAUUUUCUUCAAAAAUUGAAAAGUUAGAGGUCCUUGUUUCUAAUUUUUCUGUACCCAUGCGGCUUCUUAAACUCCCCCCCCCCCACAAUACUAGCAAAAUUUUUUUAAAAAAAUUAAUUAUUAAGACCCACUGUUAGUUAUUCAAUAUUUGCAUGGGACCCUAUCUUAGCUACAUGUCAUCCACGUGUCACUAAUUCUACAGGGAUGUGAUGAGUUUUUUCGUUACCAAUGCCAGCCUUUAUUUCUUCCUCAUAACUUUUGCGAAACUGCAAUAGCAUCUAACCUACAUAAAGAAAAGCUAAGAUUAUAAAUCCUAUAAAUAAAAGUCUUAUCUCCUCCUGUGCCUGUUGCAUUAAGAUAUAUUUCAAACUCAUGUUACUAUUUCCUUCAUGCUGGAAUUUCGUGGACGAGAAAUUGGAAAUCUUAGUGCUUUUAAAAAUCCUUUAGCGAAUCAUAUGACAGUAACAGAACAAGAAAAUAAAAUCCAAAAUAUUUUGAGUGAGUUUGUUCUGAAUGUUUUGUCCACAUUUUGCAAUCCAUAGAUAUUGAAUAAUUACUACUCAUUCCCAGCUAGUAGAUCUAAUUUUGAGUUUCUUUUCAACAAAACUCAAAUUUGUUUGUACUAUUGUUAUUUUCUUUUUCAUGCUAAUCAAAAGUUUAAAAAAAAAAAAAACAUUCUGCUACUAAACUGCACACCCAAAUUAAACUCAAGAAUUACAUUAGAAAAUCGAUAGGAAUGCGUGGCUGAGUAUUGCUCGGGUGAAAAUUCAGUGGACAGGGACAAUUUGGUAAUUGGACUAUAAUAGAGUUGAUAUUUUAAAGCCAAGACAACCUAAUCAAAUUUUAAAACUAAAACUACACGUGCAGUACACGUGAACCUAAAUUUUUCAGAAGAAAUAUUAACAGAAAUUUGUUUCUAUUUGUAAUGGCAGUUCUCCAGUUGUUUUGGACACAACAUUUAUAGUGGAUUCGUGACAAUUCCUGGACUGCGGAAACAUGCUAUCAAGGAUCAAUGGGGCAAAUUAUCUAAUACCAUUUCUUGUGUUAUAACAGAUGCACCGGAACAGAAAAACAAACAAGAAUAGACAAGAACAAUUUGGGGGAAAUCAGAUUUUAUUAGGAUUGUAAUCAGAAUAGUUUACAGACUAAAAUAAGGUGUAUAUAUAUACAACCAAACAGACUGGACCCAAAAAUAAGCCCAAAACAAGACCUGAAAUAAAACAAACACGGUGAUGAUUUAUCCCCCGUACAGCUCAGCGAAGGUCGAAAAUCUAAUUCAAGGCAUCUCAAUAUCUUGAAAAUGAAAGAGUAAGAGGAAUCAAUGAUUCGCACGGCAAAUUUAACAAUUGAUCACAGCCCGUGACCAAGAGUAUUAGUUUUGGCCUUGAAUUGAAUGCUAGACAAGUGAUGAUUUAUCAUACACUUGGAUGGUGAAAUUAAGGGUGCAUUUGAUAAAAUUGAAAUUAGAAAACUUAAAUCUGAAAUAGAAAGUUUAAAUUAAUUAAGUUAUUGAAUAGUUAAAUACUAUAUUUGAUAUAUUUAUGUGUAUAUCACAUUAAGUGAUAAUUGAAUUGCUUAUCACUUAUUUUUGGGAACAAAUUUUGCCUAGAAAAUUUAGUGCCGCAUAAUUAAUUCAGAUGUUCAAUUUUUGGUUAUCAAACUCGUCCUAAAAUAUUAAGAUAUAAAUUUAUUAAAUUUAAGUGCUAAGUCGGAUUAUCAUACAGAACCUAAGGAAUGUCUGUCGAUUAAAGGACAAGUUCCUGUAGUUAAUUUGGACGCUAAAAUUGAGUAUCCACUGUUUUUCAAGAAAUGGACAAGUCGUGAUAGAUACAUGCUCCAAGGACAUGGGUUUACAAAAGUUGUACUUGGCAGACACUUGACUAUCAAAAUAAUCAUUGGAAUGUGAAAUGGAAUAGCAGGUCAAGUGUUUUUUUGUUUCACAAAUUUGUUCAACUCUUGAACAUCGAAAAUGUAACAUCAAGCAGUGCUUUUUUUUUGUUCCCCUCUUGUAUUUUCUUUGGCCCCUGGAGGAGGGCAGGGGAAAGGAGGAGAGGCAGCAAUUUUUGAAAGGGAAAGGGGCGUUUAGGUUUGAAUCCGUAGGUUCUUUUUUUCCAGGUGGGUGGGGUUGGAGGUGUUAGAGGAUGAAAGAAGGCUUGAGUCUAUAGACAUACUAGAAGGAUGUAAUGUUUUGAUCAUUCGACUAUAGUGCAAGUGAUAAAAGAUGACGUUAUCAAAUAUAUGAUGAAUGUAUGCAUCUAAAUAAAGUUGUAGAAAAAUGUCACAGUUAUUAUAUGCGUUCUAUUGCUUCUCUAUUGAUCGUAGCCAGAUAACAAUAAAAUUGCAUGAAUCACAACAUUUGCUAUCAGCAUUUUAAAUUGAGCAAUUAAGAGUUCUUAAAUAUAUGCUUGAAGCUGUAGAUAUGAUUUUGUAAAUUCUAUUGCAAAGGAGCACUAAUAUAUAAUAAUCUUGUAUAAAAACUGAUAGCAUUUGCUAAAACUUCAUUAAAACCUUAAGGAAUUUCAAAUAUUUUUAUCCUAUUUCAGGUCAUCAACUGUCUAAACAAUUACUAAAAAAAAUCCAUAUCCUAUGGCUUUAUAAUGAGGAUAUAGAUUCUUGAGGUAAAGCUUUCUUAAACAGAUUAAAAAGAAAUGAAAAACUUUAAAGUAGGUGGUGUUAUACAUCAUAUAGUACCAGAGGGUUGAAUUGAUAAAAGGCACAAGUUUUGGGUUGAAAUUCCAUGAUAUUGGUUGUCAUUAUUUAUUUUCAAUUGAGGGAUGAAAAUGUUGAUAUUAGGAUGCAGGGAGAAUAAUAGCUUAACAAUGUUUUAAUAUUUUAAUGACCAGAAGUCACCAUUAAAUUAGUAAGACGUGCGUGCAUGGUUGUUCCGAAUUUGAAGAUAGCUUAGUUUUCAAGUAAAUGUUCUUACUUUGUAUUCAAACACGAGCUCCAAUUUACUUGUAGAGGUUUGAUUAGAUUGGAGAGGAUAAAAUGGCUUAUUUGCCCAUAUAUAAUUAAGUAGCUGUUAAGGUCAUAUUUCGACUAAUUGUGUGACAGGUCAUCGAGCCUGUGCAAUAAUAAUAAUAAAAUCCUAAAUACCACUAAAAGCAGUCAAUAAUUAAUCCUAAGUACUGGAGCAGGGACUCUAGGUGUGCAAUGGGUUACUUGAUUCACCCUGUUCCCGAAGAGUUUGCUUAAUCCGAUAUACCAGAAUUAAUUAGGUGACAAAAAUUACUGAAAAGUAGACAGUGGCAAGUAAGGUCGUCUCCUCAGGAACUGGAAAUAUUUGUGUCUUUUAAAUUCCAAUGGGUAGGGGGGAUUUCACCAAAAUAAAACUCAAAAACAAUUAAACAACUCAACUAAAAAUAAAUAAUUAACUAGCACGAAUAUAGCAGGAAUUAAACCAAGAAUAAAUAAAUUCUACCCAAUGAUACAACUACUCAGACACAGUCCAUUUAUCCGAUCAUUGAUGCAAGAGAGGUUCACUUAAUUUAUUAAUAGGCUAGUUAUAGUCGCCGAUGAACUCUAACGACCAAUUUUUCCUUAAUUUAUUGAUAACCAAGGUACGACCAUUGAUCACCCCUAACCAGAAAAUACUCCUAGGUACGGCCGUAGGAAUUAAUUUUCCAAUUGCAUUAAUAACUAGAAAAACCUAACCCUAAUCAAUAACACACUACGAGGGUUAUUUAAAUUAGAUUGCACGUUCCCCUAAUGUGUAAACACACCAGUUGCCACUAAUAUUAAUCAAUCAAACAAUUACGGAUUUAAUUGACUAAAUUGGCACGAGAUUAAUAAUCACAUUGAACAUCGGGCCCUUGACAUUCAACUAAUAAAAUAAUCCCAUGAAAAUGCAAGCAGACAACGUGCAAAUAUUAAUAAAUUGAGAAACGCGUGAAAACUAAUUAGAUCUCACAGAUUUUCAGGAUUGCGCCAUCGAGUUGACCCUUGACUAGAUGGAAGGUUUAGCCACGCUGCAUAAUUAAAUCACCACACGAAUGAAUGAAUUGCAAAAACAUUGCGGUUGCUACUAGAAAGCAAAGGAUAAAAGGUGUUUUUCCCGUUAGGGAAUAUUGUCGAACACCUGGCGUGUGUCAGAGGCCAGUCAAAAGAAAGAAAAACUAGAACUAAAACUAAAAGCUAAAACUAAAGCCGUCCUUUGCUUCUGUACGUUGUCCUCUUUUAAAGCACCAAAAGAAAGAUGACUAAAAGCUAUCUAGGUGGUCCCCAUACAUGUGAACAAAGCCUCCAAAUUACUUCUUCUUCCAAGUCUCUCUGCGUUGCCUUCUUUGAAGAGCCCAAAUGACUAAAUAUCUUUCACUAGUUUUGUGGUCCCCCACCAAUUCAAGGGCCCAAGGAUUGAAGCCCUUAGAAGUCUCCAUAUUCUCCAUAAAGUCCCUCCUUUUUGGUAGUUUUCUGUUUCAUUCCUGAAAUUAAGUCAUGGUACCAAAUAUAAGUAGAUAUCAACAAUUAACACAAUAUUUGGCAGGGAUACAAGAGGAAAUUAAUAAUAAAAUUACUAACAAAUGAUACCCUAUCAUCGUGUAAUUCUUUUACUAGUAAAAACUAAGGAUUCAUGACAAAAACCUAAAAACCUCAAGGCUAAAAAAAAAAAAAGAAAGAAAAAAAUUAGUCUCUUUGCUAAUUACUUCCUCCGUCCCAUCAAAUUUGUCAUGCUUGUCACUUUUUCUUGUUCUAAAUUAAUUGUUAUUUUAAAAAAGUCAAUUCAACUUUUUUAAUGAAAUUUUAUCUUUACCCUUCAUUUGGCUCACCAAUUAUUUCCCACAAUUAUCAAUACAUCAAAUAAAAAAUGACUCAUCACUGAAAAUAUUAGAGAAAAAAAAUUCUCUUUUCUACUAAUAUCUGUAUACAUAAAUUGCACGUUCUCCUAAUAACGGCGAAGUCCUCCGCCUGUUUGUUCACCGUGCAAGGCUUUUGCAGCCCUUUUGCUGUGUCAUUUUCUUUCCCUUCCAAUACAUUUAUGUAACAUUACAUCACUUUUCUACAAAACAGCAUGAAUUUUACCUACACUUGAUUCUCACAUGGGAAUAGCUGCACUUUCGUUAAUAGCUCUCAUGGGAAAACUCAAGGCUUCAUGAUACAAAACAGCAUGAAUUUUGCGUACACUUGAUUCUCUCUUUAGACGUAAUCCUAUACAAAUAGCUAAGAUUGCAUUUCCAAAACUGCUUCCUUUUUUUGGGUCUAGAAACAGACUGCCCAGUCUUUUGUUUGUUCCCUGUAAACUGCAAUAGUAAGAAUGUCACGCUUAAAAUUAGUAAUAAUUUCCAAAUGGGCAUUCAGUCAAAUAAAUUUUUUGGACAGUUGUCCGUCCAAAUUUAACAAAUAUUUUUUAAAUUUUUUUGUAAAUAGUCAUUAUUACAGUAAUUAAUUCACAAAUUCUAAUUUGAUUUUGCUUCUUUCUUAGUAAGAUAGACCGAGUAUCUACAGUUUGACCUUGCUUCUAACAUAUUUCACCAUAAAGUUUAAAAGUGCCAAACAAUUUAAGAAUAAAAACAUUUCAAUACAUAAAUUUGCCACAACUAGUUAGUUACCAGUUUCUAGUUUAGGUUAUGUUGUUUUCUAAACUUCAUCAAAAUCGAAAUUUCUAUUGUAUGGAAAGUUGUGCCUACAUAUAGUCAAUCAGUUAGGUUCCACCUCAUUGGUCAUUCUAACAUAGUUACAUACAAAAAAUUACUACUAAUUACGUCAAUUGGUAUAGCAUUUUCAUGCAACUUAACUUUUUCUAGUUCUUUUAUGACUCGAAUAUUGGCUAACAUUGUUCAUUUUGGCAUUUUUAUUCUAUCAAAAAAAUUCCCCCCCUGACAGGUGCCGAACCUGUGCAAUAAUAAUUACUAAAAAGUCCUAAUUACCACCUCAAUUAAAUAAUUAUAGAACAAAUUCAAGUACUGGAGCAGGGACCCUAGGUGUGCAAUGGGUUACUUGAUUCACCCUGUUCCCGAAGAGUUUACUUGAUCUGAUAUACCGGAUUUGUCUAUAAAAAUAUUAAUUUUGCGUACAAUGGCAAGUAGGGUCGAUUCCACAGGGAGCGGGUAGGAAAUUAUUUCUUUCCAAAUUGGGAGAUUUUCAAUGGGAGAUAAAUAAAUAAAAUAAAAGUAAAAUAAAAAUAAAGCGAACUAAAUUCAAAACUAACUCACAAAGCACAAUUCACUAAAAAUAGCAAUUAAUAAGAUUCCACCCAAAGGAUCAACUGCUCAGGCACGGUCCAAUUAAAUGAUCAUCGACGCAAAGAUAUUUCAUCCAUUCAUCACUAGGUUGGUUAUAGCUAUCAAUAAGCUCUGACAACCAGUUCUUCCUUACUUUUUCGACAGUCAAGGUACGACCAUUGACUGUUUCCCUAACCAGAUAACAACUCUAGGUACGACCGUAGGAAUUUAAUUACCCAAUUGCAUUAAAAUUAGAAGAACCCAACUCUAACCAAUAAACACGCUAAGAGGGUUUAUUUAAAUUAGAUCUUGUGUUUCCCCAUCAUAAAGCCAAUUAUGGUGAUUGCCUCGGGGUGUUAACUAAAUGAACAAUUACGGAUUCUAUUUAAUUAACGUGACAGUAGGCUAUUAAAUUAAAUCAAAUACUCGGCCAUUGAUAUUCAAUUAAUAAAAUACCCAUGAACAAUUAAUUCAGGAAACGCACGAAUAGCAAUAAUUUGAAAAAAAUAACGAAGAUUCGAUUAGAUCUCACAGAUAUUAUGGACCGCGCCCUCGCGUCAACCUUUGGGUAGAGGAGAAGAUUAGCCGCUCCUCAUCAUGCCAAUCCCAUGUGAUUUAAUUGAAAACAUCCGCGCAAACAUCACAGAAUUUGGAACGAUGAAGCACUGAAGAAAGAAAAAGGAAAAAGUCUUCCUUGUCUUUGCGUUGAUGUUUGUACUGAAGCCCAAAAGCAUAACGCAAAAGCCAACGAAAAUUGUACAGAGCCAAAGUAAAAGCAAUGGAGUCAAAAGCCUCCCAGCCAAAGGCAAAACGAAAGUUUUCGACGUCUGACGGCUAGGGAAAAAAACAAACUAAAGCUAAUCUAUUGCUUCUUAGUGCCGCGGGUCCCUUUGCUUGUUUUCUUAUAUAAUGCCGCAGGAGAAGUCCACCCAGGAGCAAAGCUCUUGUUUAAAGGUUCUGAUCCAGUGCUUCGAGUUCACGUGGACCGGCAUCCUUAGUUGGUUUUUCUGCAAUUAAUCCCGCGGGUCCGUCCUUUUGAUGUACCUCUUCCUUUCUCUGGCGUGGUCACGCCAUGAAAUAGAGAGUUUUCUGGAAUUUUGCCUCAAAAGAUCAUUUUUAAUGCUGACCACCUACAAUUCACACAAAUAUCGAAUAUGAGUGAAAUUUCAAUUCUUAGCACCGUGAAUAGCCGAAAUUAGGACAAAAUAACAGUGCAAAAUGCGCCAAAUAACUGCUCUAUCAAAUCCCCCCACACCUAGACAAUGCUUGUGCUCAAGUAUUUUGGAGCUCAGAAGUACAAUCAAGAGAGCAAAGGUCAUGGAAUAGUCUAUACUAACACAAGCAUCUCAGGUCCCUGACAAUAUCGCUAAAAUUAGAACACCGGACAGGUUGUAAUUCAAAGAAAAUAUAGGAACACUAGGAACGCUCAAAUCAACAUCACGGAAUGCCAUUACCAUAGGCUUGCACAUUUAUCACAUCUCCACCACUCAAAAGUGAACUAAAUACAAAAAUCAAAGGGACUUUAAUAGGGUUGUAAUGGGAUUCAGGUAAAAAGCGGGAUAAGAAGGUAAAAAUAGGGUGUAAUGUGUCAAGAGAAUGUCCAAUAUCCACUACAAAACUACAAUGCUUUACCGGGGCAAUUUCUCAAGUAGGGCAUUUCCAUUUGCUGUUUUCAUUGUGCAAGUGUCGAAAAUUGUUCCUCUUUUUUUUUUUUUUUUGGAGAGGACGUCUAGCAAGGCAUAGGCACGCCCUGAAAGACAGAGUCUUCUGCUCACCAGCUUUUUGCCGAUUUUUCCCCUUUUUUUUUCUUCUUUUCUUUAUUUUUUUUCUUGGCUUUUCUUUCGAUCUCAGAUGUACAGAAACAGCACCAUACAGCAUCUUUUUGACAACACUUGCGCCCAUAGAUUUAUUUGCCUUGCACAAGUAAUGAAUUUUAGACAUCUCUUAAUGACACAAGGUUGAACAAAAAAGUCUAAAAAGGUCAUGGGUUAUCAAACACGGCUAACAAGCAAAAGUAAAGGAUAAAAGCUCAAGUUGGUUCACUAUUGAGAAAUGAGAUGAAUGCAUGAUUUGUAGAAAAUUAAAGAAUGUCAAAUCUUAAAUGCCCUUAUCAUUUCAAAUGCAUCCAGUUCAACAAAAUGUGGUCUCAACAUGUAUAAAAUAGCAAAUUCUAGAAUGCCGAUACCAUGUGUGAUACCCACUCAAUCAAACAAAAAUAGAGCAAACAAGAAUAAUGUGCUCAUACAUGGCUCGAAAGCUCCCAAAAGUUUCAAGAAUGGGUCAAAUCCAGCGUAUUCAACACUCAACAACACUGCCAAGGGAAAACAAAAUGCAUAACUAGUAUAUUUACCCACAUACUCAUGCACCUUGAUUGUGUCAUUCAUCACAGCAACAUGCUCCAGCAUUAACAAGCAUAGAAAUAAACAAAAAACCGACUAACUACAAUGUUUCCAUUUUUUUUCAUUUUUUUCAUUUUUUCUUUUUUUUUUGUUUUUUUUUAGAGUAACAAAGCAAAAAGAAAUAAUGGAAGCCACUCCUCCACAUCUAAAACCUACAUUGUCCUCAAUGUAGAAAAGACAAAUAAAGUAUUAGAAGAAAAGAAGAGAAACUUCCCUGACCACCGGGAAGGAAAAGCGAGACACUAAACCGGAUGAGGGUGAGGCGGCUGCGUGCACAAGGUGAUUUGGUGGUGGCGGACGCAAGGUGGAGUGGCGGCGAUGGACGCAACACGAACAGGAAGGAGAAGACGUCAAUUCCAAAACUUCAUUCCUUAGGUGUGACGACCUAGCGUGGAUAUGUCUAACUGCCAGCUUCCUGCCACAAAAUAACAACCCACUAAAUGACACUAACACUUCACAAAUACUUCAAAAAUAUAAGAAAACUAAAACAAAAGAAGCUUUAGGUUGCCUCCCAAGCAGCGCCUUUUUUUAAUGUCUUUGGCUAGAUAUCGUCAUAUUUAUUCACGGAGGAUAAAAUCGUGUAGCUCGUUUCAGUGCUUCAUCUUCUAUGUAAUCCUGAUAGCCCUCGUAAAUAGAGUAAUUCUUGAGUCCAUGAGCUACGGUCUUUCAUGGAUUAAUAGAUGGCGCCAAACAAACAAGUAAUGACCUUAACUCUUCACUCACUCCUCUAUCACGAGCACUUAUUGGUUCGAGAUAUUAUGCCAUCGCAACUCUUAACUUAUUCCUGUCAUGAAAUUUAAAAUCUUCUGGUAUAAUAAAAUCAAUUUCACUAAUAGGAAUUGAAGAAUAAGAGUUAGAAAAAUGUUGAUUAAAGAAUGGAGGAGAUGUCACCGCAUUUGGAGAUUGUUCACUAGAUUCAAUCAUUUGAACAAUUUGAUAUUGGGGUCUCAUGUCUUGUACUUCAACUUUCUUUUCAACUGUAUCUUUAGAUCCUUCUUCUUGAGAGCCUCGCAGUACCAUGUCAUUUGUCAGGAUAAUUGCAUUCUCAUCUUUCUCAUGGUCGAUAAUAGUUGGUGAGGACAAUUCUUCAUAAACUGGAGAAAUCAAUUUGCUCAUUUUAGAUGCCCAUUCACGCCUUCCUUCUUUCAUUUCUUUACUCAUCCUUUGUGUCUCCUGUUGUAGUUGAUGUACCUCCUGUUGGAUUUGAUAUGUGUUAGUAGCUAUUAAUUCAACUAUUUCUUCAAGAGACAUACCUGACAUGGAUGACGGUUCUUGAGACUCUAACUGUUGAAAAUCUAUUGGUCUUUGUUGAUAAUUAAAAUUGGAAUCAUCCCACCAUUCUUGCUCAUACCUGUUUGAAUAAGGGUCAUACCACGUUUGAUAUUGAGGUGAAAAAUCUCCAAAAAUAUCGAUUGGAGCACUUAGACUAUCUUGAAAUGUAUGGCAUACGUCGAUUGAAUGAUCUGAGACAAAAUAAGUUUCACAAUUUGCAGCAACCCAUUGAUCAUUAGAAAAAGCAUGAGUCUCAUAACCCCCUUAUAGAAAUAAAAUCCAGUCUAUCGUCAAAAUACGGAAUGUUAGCAGUCAUAAACUAUAUAUAUAAAAAUAAUAAUAAUAAUAAGAGAAAAAUAAAAAAAAUGAAAACAAGAUGAAAUAAAAAAGAAACAAAUUAAUCAGGCACCAGUCCCCGGCAACGGCGCCAAAAAUUGACAGAUGCCGAACCUGUGGAAUAAUAAUUACUAAAAAGUCCUAAUUACCACCUCAAUUAAAUAAUUAUAGAACAAAUCCAAGUACUGGAGUAGGGACCCUAGGUGUACAAUGGGUUACUUGAUUCACCCUGUUCCCGAAGAGUUUGCUUGAUCUGAUAUACCGGAUUUGUCUAUAAAAAUAUUAAUUUUGCGUACAAUGGCAAGUAGGGUCGAUUCCACAGGGAGCGGGUAGAAAAUUAUUUCUUUCCAAAUUAGUAGAACAAAAUUGGGGGAUUUUCAAUGGGAGAUAAAUAAAUAAAAUAAAAGUAAAAUAAAAAUAAAGCGAACUAAAUUCAAAACUAACUCACAAAGCACAAUUCACUAAAAAUAGCAAUUAAUAAGAUUUCACCCAAAGGAUCAACUGCUCAGGCACGGUCCAAUUAAAUGAUCAUCGAUGCAAAGAUAUUUUAUCCAUUCAUCACUAGGUUGGUUAUAGCUAUCAAUAAGCUCUGACAACCAGUUCUUCCUUACUUUUUCGACAGUCAAGGUACGACCAUUGACUGCUUCCCUAACCAGAUAACAACCCUAAGUACGACCGUAGGAAUUUAAUUACCCAAUUGCAUUAAAACUAGAACAACCCAACCCUAACUAAUAAACACGCUAAGAGGGUUUAUUUAAAUUAGAUCUUGCGUUUCCCCAUCAUAAAGCUAAUUAUGGUGGUUGCCUCGGGGUGUUAACUAAAUGAACAAUUACGGAUUCUAUUUAAUUAACGUGACAGUAGGCUAUUAAAUUAAAUCAAAUACCCGGCCGUUGAUAUUCAAUUAAUAAAAUACCCAUGAACAAUUAAUUCAGGAAACAUGCGAAUAGCAAUAAUUUGGAAGAAAUAACGAAGAUUCGAUUAGAUCUCACAGAUAUUUUGGACCGCGCUCUCGCGUCAACCUUUGGGUAGAGGAGAAGAUUAGCCGCUCCUCAUCAUGCCAAUCCCAUGUGAUUUAAUUGAAAACAUCCGCGCAAACAUCACAGAAUUUGGAACGAUGAAGCACUGAAGAAAGAAAAAGGAAAAAGUCUUCCUUGUCUUUGCGUUGAUGUUUGUACUGAAGCCCAAAAGCAUAACGCAAAAGCCAACGAAAAUUGUACAGAGCCAAAGUAAAAGCAAUGGAGUCAAAAGCCUCCCCGCCAAAAGCAAAACGAAAGUUUUCGAGGUCUGACGGCUAGGGGAAAAAAAAACUAAAGCUAAUCUAUUGCUGAGAAAUUUCUAAAAAUAUGAUGAAAUUUUAAAAAAUUCUACAAAGGGGGCGUUUUGUGUAUCGUUUUCUAUGUUGGGGAUCUUCGCAUUUAGUGAGCUCGCAUUUGGUAAAUGCGAAGUUGACAUGAAUUUUGAGCCAACCGAAAUAAAAUAAAAAAAAAGAAGCGUACCUCGCAUUUAGUAAAUGCGAGGUCAUCUAUACCUCGCAUUUGCUAAAUGCGAGGUCUACAACCACUCAUUUUCUUAAUUCUUUUUGACGUUUGAUUAAUACGUAUUUGGACUUCUUAACUUUAGUAAAUAUUUAAAAGUCACUACCCCUAAAUAUGUCACAGUUAUGAUUUCUUGGCUGUAAAGUUGUGUGAAUUUCAUUUCACUCGACAACAGUGAGACUAACAAUAAUCAUUUUUUGCAUUUAAAAUAGCGAUUGGUGGAUUCAAAAAAUUUAUGAGUUUUGUAGCUUAUUUGGAAUUAGUCGGAAAAGGGAGAAAAUGUUUGGAAAAUUGCAGUUGGUGUAAUUAGUGCAGAAUUGUGAUGAUCCGAGCUCGUAUCCUAUAAAACCCAGAAGGAUCCGACCGCGGAUGGUUUGAAGCGCAAAAAAUUAAAACAGGAGAUCCGAGCUCGGAUCAUUCAAGUUCCAGUUGGAUCCGAGACCUCGGAUAAACUUCAGCAGUUGUGGAUCCGAGCCAUGUAGGAUUCGAGGACUACAAGAACAGAUACGACCUCGGAUCUUUUCGCGGAUAAAGCAGAAACGAGGGUUCGUUUCUGCACUUUUCAAAUAUUUCUUCCCUCUUCUCACCGAAACCCUACCCCCUUUUCUCCAAUCUUCUAUUUAGUCUAUCAAAUCUCCAAUCCUUCACCAUAAACACCUCCCUAACCCUUGUAUGAUCAUAAACCGUAAGCUAUUUCACUACAAAACAUCAUCAAAAGUGGAUUUUGAUAUUAAAAAGGCAAUUUUGGGCCGCACGGAAUUUGUUUUAUUUGUGGGUAAAAUUGGACUUGUUUCUCCCUCAUUUUUCAUCAUUAUCAUCCUCCAGCAUCCUCCUUUACAUUUGAGGUAAUAAUUUGCAAUUUCUUUUGAGAUUUUAUAAUUCCUAUUUUUGCAUAAUUUUUUUAGUUUUUGAGUAAUUGUGAUAAAAGCUUAUUUGUUGAAAUUUCUUGAUACAAUUGUGUUACAUUGUGAUAAUAUAUACAUUUAGUUAUGGUUGUUAGCUUAGAUUUGAGAAAUUUGUUAAUAUGGUGAGAAAUUUUAUAAUUUUUCUCAUGAAAGCACACUAGACUUUUGUUUGCAAUUUCUUGUUUUCGUGUAUAAUUUGCAUUUGUUUGCUUGAAAUAAGUGCAUCUUUAUGCAAAUUGAUGAUAAAUUGUGGUAAGUAUAGUGGGUAGUUAUGUAUUGGUUUGAAGGAAAGUGCCAAAAGUUGAGAAUUGUUUGAAUUGAAGAUGUUUUUCGUAGGCCUGAUGUAAGACGCUGCGAUGAAUUGAUGUUUGAAACUUAAUGUUAUAGCAUAGUGUCAUUGAUAGUCUACUUGACUUUCAAAUUUUAUUCCAAUCUUACAAAUGGUUUUAAUUGUCAAAGUAUUGGAAGUAUUUAGCGUAUCAUGACAACCUUGUUGGUAAUAUUCAUUCUCAAUGUGAGAAUUGUAUUUGUGAGGUCUUACGUAGAUUUUUUGCUUGAAUUUUUGGUAAAUGUUGGCAGGUAGUUUAGCCCCUUUUCAAGGGGAAACUCUGCCGAAAUUUUUUUAAAUUCUUAUUUAAUACGUGCGAGCAAGUUUCUACGAUUUCUAAUGAACGUUCAUCUUGCUUUUGGUAUAGGUAUUAUGGCUCGCACAAGAAGGUCUAGAGCACCGACACCUCCAUCUUCGUCGACAGAGGAACACACACCUUCCUUGCAUGAGGAGUCACCUGAAGAGGAAUCUCCGUCACCAAAGCCGCCACCUCGCUCUCGCCGGAAGACCGCGUCUACUAGCCGUGACGAGCCACCUCCGGACUACGAUACCACUCGAUUCACCUCACUUGAAAACCAACAAUGGUAUGAAUUUGGCUUAGACAAGGAGAUUAUCAUCAAGAAGCACUUGGCACCGGAAGUGGAUGCACACUACCACAUCUCCACAGCAUUCAAGCGCCUUGGUUGGGAGAACAUCUUACAACUUCCCAAGCAUUACUACCCAACCUUGGUCCGGGAGUUCUAUGCCAACGUGGAAAACAAAGAAAGCCACAGUGGCAAUCUCAUCGUCUCGUGGGUUCGAGGCAAGAGAGUGGCUCUUACUCGGGAUACACUGGGACACUUCGUCAAACUCAAAGACGAAGGACAAGAUAUCAAAUUGACGAAGGAGUUCAAGGCGCGAGACCCUUGGCAGGUGGGAGAGGCGGUUGGACGCCUCAAGGGCCAGUAUAGAGAGAGAGGAACUGCGAAGAAGCUUACAGUUUACGCCGAUUCAUUCAAGCAUAGGUACAACCUAAUCUUCUACCUGUUUGCCUUCAAUGUGGUACCAAAAAAAGUGAAAAACGGGAGCUCCGCAAUAGUGAUCUCUACUUUUUGGACAAAAUGAUGCAUGGUGUGGGUGCGCAGCUGACCGGCAUUCCUCUACCGUAUAAUCAUCACCUAGUUAAAGUUUAACACGUUGAAUCUGGAGGAAAUGUACCUGAAGCAAAACUAAUGGUCCCGCAAUUGCCGAUCUAGAGGGAGAUGUGGCGUUACACAAUGAUCGAUACAGAGUUGCUAAUAUCGCGCUUCCCCAACUAUAUUGCCCAACAGUUUCCAAAUCUCGUAGUAAUGGCAUAUACAAUAGGGGGACUUUGUUAUCGGACUUAUCUGCUAAUAAAUGACCGCCUAAUAGCAGGAGCAGGUAUACACGGGCCCGCUGUAUACAUUGGACAUCCGAAGCAUCAGGUGUCAACUCUGUAUCUAAUACUCUAGCUAAACAGCCUAAUUUGAGACGCUGCCCAUCAAAAUCUGACAUCGCUGGAUAAAAUUCAAUCAACUCCCCACAUAAAUUCCUCCACUCCUCAACACUAUGAGAUGUAUCAAUUCCUAUAAUUGGAGGACCGUCUAUGGGUAGACCCCACAGAACCUCCACAUCCUGCAAGGUAACCGUAGUCUCUCCGACGGGAAGAUGAAAUGUAUGCGUCUCGGGCCGCCACCGCUCCACCAAACUAGUAAUCAAAGCAUGAUCGAGCAUCAUAUAUCCACAGUCAAGCACCCCUUCAAAGCCAGCCAAUCGAAUAUACUGUCGAACGAUCUCAGGGAUAGGUGUAUGCUCCCAAAAGUGCCUAUCACAUCGCCUGACAUCAAGCUGCUCACCUACAAUGUGCCCGUGAAAUAUAGAAUGUGCCCGGUGUGCAGUGCCUGCUGAGAUAAUAUCAUACACGAAUGGCCCCGGAUGCAAGACUGCAUGUGUAGGAAUGUCGGCCAUACAGAAAACAAUAGCUGCAAAUGCAUUAUGUAACAUAUAAGGCUACUACACAUUUAAUUAGUAGACUGGUAGUUGCUAAAACUAAUGCAACACUUGAAAUAUAGGGAUGCUAAAAAUGACACUGAAAUAUAACGAGUAAAGUACUGAUAAACAGAAUGACAUAGCAUAAAUCAUAUUAAUUCCAUAAUCCAACAAAAUGACAUAACAAACGUUUAGUACACUGGUUCCCAUCCCUAAAACGAAUGAUGCCAAACUCUAAAAUUAGGACAAUUUCUUCUAUUGUGACCCGACUGAUGGCAAUUUGUACACCUUCUUGGUUCCUCCGGAUCUCUCUCGUCCAUCUCAUUCCAAAUUCUUCUAGCUCGUACCCUCCCCGCCCAACGGGCAACAUAUUUACUGCGAUCUGCCUGUAACUCCCAAUCCGGUUGGAGCCAAGUAUCCGGAUGUGGCAAAGGGUAGAACUUUCCUGAAUAUUGAACUGUCCAUCGCCUUUUUGUAAACUGCGGAUCUACCAGCGCCCCCGGAUUAUCCCUGCGAUGCCUGCACACGGCCAACACGUGGGAACAAGGAAAUCGGUAGCACUGCCACUUACCACAAGAGCAAGAUUUUUCCAAAUACUUGAUCGUUUGUAUAUUGCCCCCUUUGCCGUCCACACGGCGGCCUGUCACCACUUUAUACACCCCUGCAGAGCCAUCGAACUCAACAACCCGGUGGCUUCCCGCUUUCUGAUCUGAAUUCUUAAACUUUCGCCAAAUCUUUGGAGGAAAUGGAUUACGGCAGUGUCUGGCAUCCUCCCUUCUUGUUCUAAACAACUCUAUUGUCUGAUGAAAAGUCAAAUCAAUACAAGCCCGGAUAGGCAAGUGACGUGCUCCUCUAAGUACAUUAUUGUAACUUUCGGACAUGUUAGUUGUGAGAAUACCCCAGCGAUGGCCACCGUCAUGAGUUAGACACCACUUCUCGGUUCAAUGUUAGACAGAUAGGUCCAUGCAUCUGGAAACGUGCUCCUUAAUUCUCGUUUGAGUGCCCUCCACUUGCGCAACUGUCUGGCCCUUCCCAUUGCCCAACACAACUUUUUUAGGUUCAAACCUUUGAAGUGAGUCAUUAGAUUACUCCUAACGUGUCGUAGGCAAAACCUAUGAAAGGCCAAAGGUUCUUGCCAAUAGUCAAAAUUUUCCAUAGCAUGAAUAAUACCGGGAUGCCGAUCUGAAAUGACACAAAUGGGAUAACGAUCGCGGGCGACGUGGUAUCUAAGUUGCUCCAUGAACCAAGACCAACUAGAAAUGGUCUCCUCGUCAACUAUGGCAUAAGCUAUUGGAAUAAUGUGGUUGUUGGCAUCCUGCGUCACGGUAACAAGUAGUUUGCCCUUAUAUUCGCCACGCAAAUGAGUGCCGUCAACACAUAUUACCGGCCGAAACAUGUGAAAUGCAUCAAUAGCCGGUGAAAAGGCCCAGAACACAUACUUAAAUGUCUUCACGUGAUCCGUACUAUCAGAAUGGUGUAACCAGCUGAUAACGGUUCCCUGAUUUGACUUCACAAGCGCGUCAAGAUAUUUUGGUAGUUCGGCAAAAUUUGUUUCCCAAGAACCAAAAACAAGUUCAAUAGCUUUGCGUCUGCCGUACCAAGCCUUUUUAUAAGAAACAUCCACCUUCAGCACCUUUUUAACAUCACUGACUAUGUUCUUUACUUUGUACCCAGGAUCGUCUUCAAUGCUAUGAACAACGUGUCUAACAAUAACCGAAGAUGUUAGACUAGCAUUGCUAUUACUCAUCAAAUCACCCACACAAUUGUGAUCGUUCACCCACCUGGUUAUUUGCCACAAUCCGUGUGUCUUUUUCUUUACUGCUCGGACACACCAGUCGCAUGGAGGUUCCGAUGAGUCGGCUGCAGUGGUGAAGCUCCUUUCAAUUGCGGAUUUACAUUUGGCAACCCAGGUAUUUCUCUUGCUCUCAACAACCCUGAACUCCCUAUUAUGAGUGAUAGACCACAUUCUAAUAGCCCUGCUCAGCUGUUGUUUGCUCUCAAACCUCAUAUGCAGCCUUAUAUUAUUAUUUUCUUCACUAAAUGUCACAAUGCGCUCCAACUCAUCGUCAUCUGUCAUAUACUCGUCAUCAUCUAUGUUUCCAAGGUUAGAGAAGAAUUUCAAAUCUCGUGGAGCAUACAAGGGGUUGCUAGAUGCAUCAAAAGGCCGUUGGUUCUCAAAAUCCAGGUGGACUCCAUGUUGUCCAAUUUCGCCAUCUGAGUCACUGCCUGACACAUCAACCGACUCAGAUUCCUCUACAUCUUCUACGUCAUGCUUCAAAUCAUCAUCUAGGGGGCUGUUGCAAUGGCUUGGACCGGCAGUGAAAUCCAAGCCAGAACUACCAAGAUGAUCCGGCGAUUCUGGAUCUCUAAAACUUUGAAUCGAGUCUAGGCUCUGAACAGAUUCAACAUCCGUCCUUAAGCCUGAUGUAAGACGUGGCUCUAACGAGUCCCUACCACAAUAUCCCUGUGCCCAUUGUGAUACCGAUGCCGUCUCAGGUACUGCUGUACUAGAGUUUGGUUGAAAUCUUGUCGGAUCCAUGCAUGCAUGGACAAGCGACAUCAUCGGACCUAAAUUAGUAUUUAGUGAAAUGAAUGUCCCAGUGACUCGAGGAUUUUGGAAUUUUUCAUCCUUCUCGAUAUACAGUUCUGCGGUGUAUGGAACAAUUUCAGUCCAUACAUCGUACAUUAUCGCAAGAGUUUCAUCAUCAACCACUGGGGACACGUUAUAAGAGCUCCGGCCACAAGGUUGGCGGAGAAAUAUAUUCAACUUGAACAGCCCCCUAUCGACCCCCAUAUAUUCAUAGAUUCUAUCCACCAACUCAUCAUAUCCAAUCCUGCAUCGUAAUGAGAAUGUACGGUUGCAGGUACGAGGCAAGUAACAAAUUGACCCAUCCUCGUAGUGUAUUUUACCUCCCCAAUAAAGAGACACGCGCAGAGGUCUUUCUAUAGACAUGCGUGUGGAAAGAAUCCCUAUUUUGGAAUAAAAUAAGUUAGCUCAUGCGGUACAAGAGUAUACAUUAGAUAACAAUCCCUAUCCAUUGUUACUGUUUCAAGUGUGAUACUUAGGACAACUCACCUUAAUCAUUAUGCAUGUGCGUUUAAAGUACAAGUUAGUAAUCGUGUGCUGUAGUCAUCAUGUCAUUUUCCAUGUGUGUUUGUGUCACCCACUGAAUUUUCCAAACACAUAAUUAUGUGGUCCAAAUUUACCACUGAAUUACCCAAGAAAAAUGCAACACAAUAGCAUAGCCCACAUUACGUUUUCAUCCAAAUAGAUACACCAAAUAGAUAAAUAAAUACUCGGCAUUUGUAGUAGUACAAGCAAAUGUGAUACAUGUUUGUCUUGUAUACAAAUUUUUAGUCAACAUUUUAAGUUAAUGUUCCCUCUAACCGCCUAUACAUCAUCAUCAUCCAAAUGCCAAAAAGUUAUUCAACAACUCCUAAUUAAAUUGAAUAGUAGGUAAUAUCUCCGAGGAUGUCUUGUUUUAUUUAACGGAAAGAAGCACCCCCCCUUUUGAGUCCAUAUUGUCGCCAAUUUGUCUUAUUAUACUCUAAAGGCAAUCACUAACCAAAACACCCAAAAAGAUUUUAAAAAAAAGUUGACAGAGUCCUCCCUGUAACUAGGCGAAAACUCCCUGCCAACCAACAUAGGCACAUCGAUUUUCAAACAAGACAUCAAAUAUGAGAUAAUUUACAGCACUACAACUACGGUAGAAUAAUUUGACAUACAAUAAGUAUCUUAUAGAAGACAAGCAAGUGCGAAUUUUCCUGAAGCCUGCAAUAAUAAUAUAAUGUACACAGUAGAAUGUGAAACAACAAUAAUUUCGUAUACUCCACUGUCAACCACCAUAACAUGCAAUUAAAAAAUAUACUAUACUACAAGGUCUCACAUUAUAUUCAUUAACACAUUCAAAAUAAAACGAAUCCAAGCAAAGUUUUAUAAAAUAGAACAUGUGCAAGUCUACAAUUAAAUCUACUUGAAAACUACAUGACUUACCCAAUGAUAUGCCGAAGAUUCUGAAGAUGCACUUGUGCAGACAACUUCCUAGCGGUACCAAUCAAAGCCUCUUCAAGUCUCAUGGCUUGUGUCGAAAACUCGAAGUGCACCUAUAUGAAUAUGAUGGAGAUCACACAGAACCAAGAUAAGGUACUGGAGCAGAGGAUCUGGGGUGCAAUGAGGGAUUUGUUCAAAUGAACCACCUCGUUCCCGUAGAUCUUGCUUGUUCCGAUAUACCUUUUUGGAUCUAUUCACCCAAAUUCAAAGAAAAUAUGCGUUGGUAAACUAGAUAACAUAGGUAUAGAAAACAUACUUAUACAAAAUAAAAAAAUGUCCACGCAAGGGGGUUACUUUGGUGUCCCAUUCCGACAAGGGAGGUGUUCAAGCAUUUUAAAUGCGACCCCCAUAUAUUCGCAUUUCUCAGUUUAUGCUCCUUACCAAUUCCUUCACACAUAUUAACAACUUAAGAGUGUAUAUUUAUCUCAUUAUUUGUUCUUACUUUGUAAAACCCUUUGUUUCCUUUCUGUUGAUGCCAAGGACUAAAUCUUGAUGAUUGUCUUUUCUUGUUUUUAUCAUUUUUUCAACUUUUCUAUAAAAUGCAGAUGAACGCCCAACAUUUAAUCCAACCAUAAUGUUUUCACAAAAAAUAAAAUACCAAAAAUCCCAACAAAGGUGAGUCCUCACAUUCACCUUUUCUUUUUUAAAAAAGAAUUGUGGAUGAGUUUUUCUCUUCCCAAAAAUGGGGUUUGUUUUUAAGGACUGUCAAGUUAAAACUAAAUAAUAUCCUCCAUGAUGAAAAAUUUGAACGCUAAAAUUCCUUAUAUGAAAGCUUGGUAUGAUAGAAGAAGAGCUAUUGAGCUUGUUUAUGGCGUUUCGGUUACCGAUUUAGUUGAUUUACUCAACUAUGUGGAAGCAUUUGGCCAAUUAAGUAAUAUUAGUCUAUACUUAAAACACCCUUGUCGCAUGGAAUGUUUUUUAAAUUCGUCAUCAAAUUUGCGAAUUUGUCAAACACAAAUUACACAAAGGCCUCCGGCUGCUUAUUGUUUCUAUACGUGAAAAGCAUCAUAGAGAAUCCAAUAGCCAAUAGAAGUAUUAGAAUUGCAAAGAUCAGACUGGCCGGACUGGUGCAAAAGUUCUAUCUUGACAUAUUAAAAAAUUCUGUAGUAUGAAAUUGGAACCCCCUCACUUUUGAUGCCCACUAAUUUAACUAUGGCUUGAAUCUGAUAUAUAUAGCAUGAUUUUCAUAUCGACAAUUGGCAAGUAAUGGUUAUAGUCAGUCCAUUAAAAAGAAAAUAAACAAAUCAACAGAAACCGCAUAUGUAUAAACAUUUUGUCUUAUACACAAAAAGCUUUGGAUAAAGAAAGAAAAGAACCUUCAUGUACAGAAAAUCAAAUCAUGUUUCAUCAUACAAUCUUUGUGUCACGCCACUUUGGUUAAUAAAGUUUUCUAAUUAUAGGAUUAAGUGUUUACCUAUAACAGCCAAAGAUUGAAAGACCGGCAACUAUGACAAAUGGUAGCCAGAGAUUUUUUUUUUUUUUUUUACUCAGAAUUCAACUUUUAUUGAUAAAUAAAUAUCACGUUACAUCAGCAUCUGCCAAACAGAGGUGCAAAAACAUCCAAACCAGCAAAAAGAAAGAAUUGCUCAACCGGAGAGCAAAAAAUAACAGCAGCAAUAGCAAAACAACCGUAACAGCAACCACGCUUGAAUCUGUGUGGAUGAACUAGACCCCAUUCCAGAAAUCCAAAUGAUUAGUAAACCCGAAAAUUAGGAUAACCUAACCUAUCCAACUUGAGGUCUCCACGAACCAAUCGUGGCAAUUCCAACCAUGAAUCAUACACUAUGUUGGACUUUAACUCAGUUCCAACCUUAGAUAAGCGGUCUGCAGGCAAAUUCGCUUGACGAUAACAAUGAGUGACGGAUUGAAAGAAAUGCCUAAAAGUGAGCAAUUGGUCCAGCUCUCGUUGCAAACCCCAUGGACAUCUACUAAUCCCCUUAACCAGAGAUUAUUAUUGAACGAGUCAUGCUUAUUAUAUCUAUGUUACCCUGUUAUACUAACCUAGCAAGACAAACAAGAAGAUGUGUUCAACAACUGAAAAACAUGUUUUGGAAGAUUCUGUCAAAUUCUCACUUCACUUCACCAAGUAACCAAUCGUGUCAAAAUAUCGUCCCAAUGAACCAAAUGAAAGUACUUGAAGCAAGGGAAACUUUCUACAUGCUUCAAUAUCAGAUUAUAAUAUAACUCCACAAUGGCAUGGUUAUCAAUUACUGAAUUAAGUGACAGAAGGGACCAUUAGAUAGGCUGUCGAACUUCAAGACCGAGGGCUUUUUUUUUUUUUACUUUACUCCACUUUUUCAGAUAAUACCAAAACAAAAAGGCUUUUACUUAGGCCUUUGGUGGAAUUUAGCAGUGAAGUACUGGAAUUUAACUGUUUAGUACCAACACCUAAAUAGAUCCGAGGUCGUAUCUGUUCAUAAAGUCCUCGGAUCCGACAUGGCUCGGAUCCACUAUAACAGAAGUUUAUCCGAGGUCUCGGAUCCACCAGGAACUUUAGGAUCCGAGCUCGGAUCCCCCUUGUUUUAAUUUUUGGCGUUUCAAUCGAUCCGAGGUCGGAUCCUUCUGGGUUUUAUAGAUUCGAGCUCGGAUCAUACGCCCAAAAAUUACAGCAGUACAUAUUCAUUAUACAGAGGGCCGAUGGGACGGAAGGGCAACCAAAAGCCAGUAAUCAACAACUACAUAACUUAAACAAACAAAGGGAACAAGGAUAAACAAACCUGGUAUAAUCUGAGCUGGGUAGCAGCUGAGAAAUGCAGCGGCGGCGAAGAGUGUGGUGCAGCGGCGAAGAUGAAACGAAAAUAGACGGACAAAGGGACAACCAAAAUCCAGCUGCGACGAAUUGAUGGGUAGCAGCUGAGAAAUGAGAUUCGAAAUUGUGCUGAAGCGGGAAACCCAAGAGUGUCUUGGAGGCUGAAGCCGGUACAACUGAUGCUUCAACAAGUAAGUUUACACAAUUGCGGUCAGAAUCCAAAUUUCGGUCAAAAAAGCUUGAGUACUUCGCAUUUCUUAAAUGCGAGCUCUUGAGCUCCCAACUGAAGACCGUAGCUUGUUUUUCUUUUUUUUUUAAAGCACCUACCUCGCAUUUGUGAAAUGCGAGGUACUUGAACUCGCAUUUCACAAAUGCGAAGAUCACAUUUGUGGAAGCAGACCAACUAAUCACCCCCUUUGUAGUAUAACUUUUGUUUUUCAUCACAAAAUAAGAAUUUUCUCUUCUUAGUGCCGCGGGUCCCUUUGCUUGUUUUCUUAUAUAAUGCCGCACGAGAAGUCCGCCCAGGAGCAAAGCUCUUGUUUAAAGGUUCUGAUCCAGUGCUUCGGGUUCGCGUGGACCGGCAUCCUUAGUUGGUUUUUCUGCAAUUAAUCCCGCGGGUCCGUCCUUUUGAUGUACCUCUUCCUUUCUCUGGCGUGAUCACGCCAUGAAAUAGAGAGUUUUCUGGAAUUUUGUCUCAAAAGAUCAUUUUUAAUGCCGACCACCUACAAUUCACACAAAUAUUGAAUAUGAGUGAAAUUUCAAUUCUUAGCACCGUGAAUAGCAGAAAUUAGGACAAAAUAACAGUGCAAAAUGCGCCAAAUAACUGCUCUAUCACCCCCCCCCCCAAAAUUGAACUUGAAUAUUUUUUAUUUUCCCCCAAAAAAUUUACGCUUUAUACAAACUCCUUCUUGUUCUAUCUCAAAAAAAAAAAAAAAAGAAAGAAUGAUAGAAAUUUUUUACAUGCUUAGUGUCUACAUAUUUUGCACGCACGUAGAUGUUACCAUGCAGAAAUUGUGUCAAGCUAAUGCAGAAGAGCUAAAAAGUUCAUAAAGUUUCGGAAAUGGGAUUCAAAAUCAUUAAGAAAAUCAGUAUUGUAAGUAAUAACGGUAAAACAAUCCUACAAAUAUUACAGUUCGGACAAAGAAAUAAUGAAUACUUUAUUUGCAUCUAAUUUUAUACUGAGCAUCUAAUUCUUCCCCAGAUUCCUAUGUCCCUUUGAUGGCAUUACGAAUCCAGGGGCGCACGCCCACAAGACAUGGUCAGUUGGCUUUGGUGGUUUGUUUAGCAGUAAAUACCGCAUAGGAUGCUGAUUAAACUUCGCGGUCGUUUUGCUUAGUAACGAAAUGAUGCAGCAUCAGUACGGCCGUAAACUAAUGUGGAGAUAGAGCUCAGUGAGUAGAAUCCGUCUAAAGCUGAGCCUGAAAGUUUUUGGCUAAACCUGCAUCAAGGAGGAAACUAGUCCAAAUUCCAAAAGAACUUUGGGCACCAGCAUCGAUGCCGCACCAGUCUUGGCAUCUGGCAAGCCCUUUUACCACGUUUCUGCGGCUGGUGGAAGGUCCCCUCCCUCCACAGCGAAGUCCUCCACUUGUUUGUUCACCGUGCAAGGCUGUUGCAGCUAUUCCUCUUGCUGCAUCAUCUUCUUCCCUUCCAAUACAUUUCUGUAACAUUAUUCACUUUUCUACAAAGCAGCAUGAAUUUUACCUACACUUGAUUCUCUCAUGGGAUUAGCUACACUUUAGUUAAUAGCUCUCAUGGGAAAACUCAAGGCUUCAUGAUACAAAACAGCGUGAAUUUUACCAACACUUCAUUCUCUCUUUAGACGUGAUCCUAUACAAAUCGCUAAGAUUGCAGUUCCAAAACUGCUUCCUUUUUUUGGGUCUAGAAACAGACUGCCCAGUCUUUUGUUUGUUCCCUGUAAACUACAAUGGUAAGAAUGUAAUGCUUAUGUCAGAGUAAUAAUUUCCAAAUGGGCAUUCAGUCAAGUAAAAUUUUUUGGACAGUUGUCCCCACUGUGGUCCAAAUGUAUCCAAUAUUUUUUUUAAUUAUUAUAAAUAGUCUUCAUUACAGUAAUUAAUUUACAAAUUCUAAUUUGACUUUGCUGCUUUCUUAAUGAGGUAGACCGAGUAUCUACAUUUUAACCCUGCUUCUAAUACAUUUCACCGUUAAGUUUAAAUCCUUGAUUAAAAGUGCUAAACAGUUUAAGAAUAAAAAAUUUCCAAUGCAUGAAUUUGCCACAACUAGUUAAUUACCCGUUUCUAGUUUAGGUUAUGCUGCAUUCUGAACUUCGUCAAAAUCGAAAUUUCUAUUGUGUAGAAAGUUGUACCUACAUAUAAUCAAUCAGUUAGGCUUCCACGUAAUUGGUCAUUCAAACAUUGUUACAUACAAAAAAUUACUAUUCAUUCCACUUAAUCUGCUUAUAUUUUUUCCACCAUUACUUUACUGAAACUGCAUCUACAUCUAGCCUACAAACUGAAGAAACAAGAUUAAAGUUCCUCUAAAUCAUAGUCCAUCGCCUCCUAUGCCUAAUGCCUAUGGCAUUAAGGUACGUAUGACCUCACCUAGCUGAGCAUCCUCUAAACUUGAUUUCUGCUUUCCACCAAGUGCUUCCAAUCUCCCUCGAAAAAUAUUCACACUAUACAAACUCCUCCUUAUUCUAUAUCAACAAAAAAGAAAAGGAUAAAAGUUAGAAAUUUUAGACAUGCUUGAUGGUUACGUAUAUUGCACGCACGUAGAUAUUACCAUGCAAAAAUUGUGCCAAGCCAAUGAGUCAAUUCAAAAUUAAUCUGUAUAGCACCGAGUAUAAAACUAGCAAAUGCAACAUUUAGCUAAGUCAAAGCACAACUAGAAAGGGACGUAAAGGAAAGAAAACACAUUUUCUAGUGUGUUUUGCCAACCGUUUAAUACUUUAUUCUUUGUUCUGGAUUUUAAUGACCGUGAUCCUUAUUGAUUUUGAUUCAUUAGAGAGAAGGAGAGAUUUUUAUGCAAGUAUCAAAAAUAAAGCUAAAGAUAGAAAAGUAUGUAAAGUACUCAUUGAAUAAAUUUGAGUAAUUUUAACAUCACUAGUGUAAAAACUUUUACCAGUAACCAAUAUAGAUACAUGAUAUGUAAUUUUCAUUAAAGUUCUAAUUUUUCUUUUGUACAUAUGCUGUGUUUUCCAAUUUUAAAUUUGUUUGCCGGAAUUUUUUGUUUGUUAUAAUUAAGUAAAGAAUAAAAAAUACGUCAGAAUGAUCCUAACAACCCUUUGAGUACACCACCAAUACUAUCUGGCCAUGUCAUAAAAAUUUUCCUUAAUCUAUAUCACAAAGUGAAGGUCAUCUCAUUAGACGUGUAAACAUAUUUUUAUCUUUUUCCUUGAUAUUUGUUUAGCUGAUUUUCACUCUAUUUGAACUAGCUGUAUGGACUCCACGCGAGUGGCAUCUCUCCUCUCUCUUUUAAUCUCGUGUUCUUAUUUCAAGGAGCUGUAAGGUUUGUGAAGGAACUUUUGUAUUGAUAUUUUUUCCCUUUUGGUCCCUUAUGCUUUUGUGUCAGUAUAGUUCUUUUCUUUUAAGGUCUUUUAUGUAUUAUUUACUUCUCUUUCGUUUUUUUUCCCUUCCUGUAUUCUGGGGUUGUCGUAUAUGAUCUUUUGUCAACAUAUAUGUCAUAUGUUCUCUGUUUCCUAUAGUUCCUAGUCUCGUCUUUCCAAUUUGACAAGGAAGUAUAUUUCUUGCCUCUUGCAAGUGAUUAACCUAUCUGCAUAUGCACAUCUAGACAAGAUAUGUUUGUGUUAUCAUACAAAUAUAGAUGUCCAUAUUCCAUAGCCUCUGAUCAAGGUAGCUGCGGAAGUUUAAUAGUUUCAGUUACAAUUUUAGCACUUAUUUCCAAUGAUUGAUUGGCAUGUGCUCCCUGGUAUUUGGGGCAUCUAUAGUGCAGGGUAAGGAUCUAAGUGAGUACAAUCCCUCUGAUUCAAAUACAAGCAAGGUAGUAACCUUGCAGCCAUCAGUUAUGUGAAGGCGGUUCAAGUUGCAAAAGCCCAAAGGAUCCAUGUCCAUAUAGAAUUAACUAUGAUACAGCUGAUACAUCUAUACUUCUGGGCUACUUAUUGAAGAAAUUUUGCAUCUCGUUUCAGGAGGCACUGCUGCAUCCAACAAGUUUGUGCGAGCUCCAAUAAUGUUAGGGUGUGUCCUGUAUCCCUAGUACUUAGAAUUUCAGUAGGAAUUUCUGUAAAAUUUUCGUUAUUUUUCCUCUAUCAUCCAAUAAAGCUAUUUCAUCUUCUUUACUAUUUUAGAUUAUGUAGUAGCAAGCAAAGUGGUAGCUACCUAAGUGGAGUUGCGCCUGAUGGGCUUACGGGUCUUGGACUUGGAAAUAUUUCAGUUGCAAGUUUUCUUUCAAAAGCAGGGUUCAGUCGGAACACACUACCCCUUUCCUGCCUUCUGAUGACAUAAAGUACGCAAUAUAUGUCUUAUGGCUAUUAACAUCCCUUCUUUAUGUAUGUAUAUACAUACAUAUAUAUAAUAUGUAUGUAUAUAUAUAUAUAUACACAUAUAUAUACAAACCAUUAGAGAAAGGGGGAAUAGACAUUAAAUAUUAAAAACUAGUACAAAGCAUCAUAGACGAUGUCUGAUAUUACAUUUUUCCACAAGAGUUGAUAUUGUAAAGCCAAGGACAACCUAAUUAUGAAGCUUAAAAUUAAAACUACCCGUGCAAUAAUCGUGAAAGUAAAUCAUAAAAAAAAAUCAUAAUACCCGUGCAAUAAUCGUGAGAGUAAUAAAUUUUUCUCAUGCCUCAACAUGCAUUCCUCACAUUCAGCUUGACAGAAAUUAAAUUGAUUUCAAAAGAAAUUAUGACUAAACUUAUUAUACAAUAUUGACACAUCCAGAUUAUUGUCAAACAAUAAACUGCUAGUCGUGUUUUAUCUUAUUAUUGUGGAUAUCGAAACAUAGUUAACCUUUCCCCAAAAUUAAAUAUAGUCCCCUGUUGGCUUUUUGUACCCAAAUUUUAAAUUGAGAAUCUUCAUUUUCCAUUUGCUCUUUUCCAACAAUGAGGAAUGUUACCUACUAACACAUCUUGGAAACAAAAGAACAAGCUGAAUAACAGACUAGGCAUAAUUUUCUUUUCCUUAAGCCGGAAUUUGCGAUGAAAAAAAAUCUCAGUCUGCAACUGUUGCAUUAAUUCCCAUGAUAAAUUUGGAAAUUAACUAAUCACAGCCUGCCGACCAAGAGUAUUAGAUUGACAUUGAAUUGAAUGCUAGACAAGUGACGCCUUCUCAUACACUGGGAUAUCGAGACUAAAGAAUGUAUGCUUAGUGGAGAACAAAUUUCCGUCACUAAGAUUGAAUACCCAUAAUAUUACACAAGGUGGACAAAUGGUGACAUGUACAUGAUCCAAGGACAUUUAUCAGACCCCUAUGGACAAACCUCUAGAUUUAUUUCAAAGAGAUCUUCAAAAGCAAAAGUUUUAUCAGACCCCUAUGGAUCCUUUCUUUUGGGAAAAAAAAAAUGCAAUCCCAUUUGGAUGAUCCUCAAAUUUACUUACUAAUCAUAUCCAUGAUCUUUUAUAAAAGAUAAGCACUUAGACGUUAACUUAGAAUGUCAAUAUAUAGAUAUACAAAACAAUUUUGAACAAUUAAUAUUUUUUUAUUUAGUCAAGAAUUAUAUUCUUGGAUAGCAGAUCUAUUAGAUUCAUAAAUUCAUUUCAUGAUUCUAUUUUCUAAAUUUUUUAUUAGGUUAAGAAAUCAUAAUUUCAUCUUAAUUAGCUUUAUCUGUUAUUCUCCAUCUUCCCUUAAUUGUACACCAAUCCAAGGACUGCUCGACAAAUAUAUGACGUCCUAAAUAAUAAUUUCAUCUCCUCAACCUCAGACCCAUGUGUACUACAACACCCAUUUCUUGUCCUUUUGAACUCGAAUUACCCAGUUCCCAACAACCCUUUAUUUUCCCCCUUCCAAAAACUAAAACCCUUUUUGAUUUUUUAAUUUUUUGUCUCUAAAUCUUCUACACGUGUUGUCCUUCGAUGAUCCAAAAACUAAAACCCAACAUCCUUCGAUGAUCCUUUCUACACAUGUUGUCCUUCGAUGACAACAUCCAUUUUUUGGUCAUCGAAGGAUUGACUUUUUCAGGAGAAGGCCUUGAUUCAGACUUGAUUGAUUUUUAUGGGGCAUUUUGCUUCAUUGGUAAGUUUUUGGGUAUAAGUUUUCGGCCUUAAUGUGAACGUGCACAACUUGUGUCAUGCCGAUUAGUUCAAAGUAUGAGGUGUCAUUUUAACAGAUUCAAUCAUCUUUACAAUUUAGUUCAAAGUAUAAAGUAUCACUUAUACAUUUUGAAAUUAUUGGGGAUUUUUCUAUAUAUUAGGUUUAUCACAAUGAAGUUUUUUUGUUUUUUACCCUUAGAAAAUCAAUAGGAAUGUGUGGCUGAAUGUUGCUCCAGUGAAAAUUCAGUGGAUAGAGGACAAUUUGGUAAUUGGUAGUCCUCCAACUGUACAUACGUUGGGCAACUAACAGUGGUCUAUAAAUAGGGGCGGGGCGGGGGGUCCCUCCGCCCCAUUGCCUAUUAAUUACCCCCGUCCCCCGCCCCGUGCCCCAUCCCCCGCCCCGUGCCCCAUCCUCGACUUCCCCCGCCCCACCCCGCUUCCCCCGCGGGAUUAAAAAAAAUUUAUUAUUAUUAAAUUUGAAUAAAUAAUCAAAUACUAAAAUAUGAACACAUCACCAAAUUAUUAUUCAUUGUAACUUCAUAAUUGAAACUCAUAAAAAUAAUCAAACAAAAGUUAUUUGAAUACAAUCUAAUAUGAUAAAAAAAUAUAACUAAAAUAAUCAAAUUUUUACUUUUGAUACAAAUACAAUCACUAAAUUAUUAUUGUAUUUUUUUAGAAAAAAGUGUAAUUGUAUUAAGUGUAGUUAGGAAUUUAAUAUAAAUGUAUUAAUAAAUUUAGGAUAAAUAAUUAAUAAUUUUUAUUAAUAAACAUGUAUAAUUAGUAAUAUAAUUGAUAAUAUUAUUAUAUAUAUAAUUAUAUACAUAUAUAUAUAUACAUACAUAUAUAUAUAUAUAUAUUGUUUUGGGUGGUAGGGUGGGGGAAUAUACCCCCAUCCCCCGUCCUGUUUCUAAACGGGGGGAAAAAUUCCCCCCGCCCCCGCCCCAAUAGUCCUCCACGGGGUGGGUGCCCACCAGUCACCCGCCCCAUUGCCACCCCUAACUGUAAACAUGCCAUCCUCCUUCAAUUUUAAAACUAAAACUACACGUGCAGUACACGUGAACCCAAAUUGGCGAGAAAUUUCCAGAAGAAAUAUUAACAGAAAUUUUUUUUCUAAAGUAGGUUAUACAACUGUUCUCGUUGCGAUAAAAAAAAAUGCACUAUGAUGGUGAAACUAAAGAACCUAUGCCUAUUGGAAAGCAUCUUCUGGUUAUUAAUUUGGACAAUAAGAUUGAAUAUCCAUUGUCUUUCAAGAAGUCGGCAGGUCAUGACAGAGAAAUAAUACAAGGACAUGGGUUAAGAAAGUUUGUGCCUAACAGAAAUUUGACUGUUAAAAUAAUCAUUAGAAUGUGAAAUAGAAUAGCAGGUGAUCAAGAGUCUUUCUUUCUCAAGAAUAUAACGUUUUUAAUCGUUGGACUACAGUGCAACUGACUAAAUAUUAUGUUGCAAUCAAAUACAUGAUUAAUGUUUAUAUCUAAAUAAAGUUGUAAUAACUUAGGCCACCAGCAUCGGUGCCCCACCAUUCUUGGCAUCCGGCCGGCAAGCCUUUCACCACGUUGCUGCCGCAGCUGGAAGGUCCCUGUCCCACCUCCAAAGCAAAGUUCUCUGCCUCUCUGUUCACCGUGCAAGGCUGUUGCAGCUUCUCCUCCCGCUACAAUCAUCUCUUUUCGCAUCCAAUCCAUUACUGCAUUAGUAUUUCACAUUUGUGAAAAAGUUUUCCUCUUUUCUCUUUGCUUGAGAUAGGUUAGUUUGCCUGGUUUGAGGCGUCCGAAAUUUUAUGGGGAUUUAAGAAAACUAGUUAGUUCAAAAUUAAUUAGUACAGCACCAAGUACAAAACUAGCUAAUGUAAACAUUUGGCUAUGUCAAUGCAUAACUAGUUAGUUGUGACACAGGAAACCAGACCUUUUAUAUUGGCUGAGAUUGAUAAACAGUGAGAGAAAGUGAGCAAUAGGCAUAACCCCCAUGAUUCAAAAAUCUAUACAUAAACCCCCUGUAAUUUGAGUUGAACUGUCAAAUAGACGGAAAGCACCCAUCGUGUGACGAUUCGUCGGCAAAACGCGCUUGUACUACUGAUAUCAGUAAAAAACAUUCUCAUAUUACCCCUGACCACUUUCACACACCCAAUAAAGCCUAGCUAUGUGAUUCUCAUCUCUUUCCAGCUUCCGAAAGUACUUUGUUGGUGAAGGCUUGCGCAUGGAUGGUGGUUUAUAUUUGAGGAAAAUGAAAAACAUUGAAAAAAGCUUAGGAGUCAUGAAGAUUUGCAUGGGUGUGGGCUAGAAAGUGGGUGUGGGCUAGAUUGCCUUAUUCACCAUAAACAACAAGCAAGAAACAGCAAGAUGGAUCAGCUCCAAGAAUUUCAACUUGCUCCUAAAUGAUGAUAACAGGCAGAAAUUUCAUCGUUAGAUUUUAUAUGUAUGCAGCAGGUUUCACUGUCUUUUUCAGUAUUGAUCUUUUGGUCUUGUAUGUGCAUGAAGAUUGAAGGGUGCUCAAAAAAUGAAGUUUUUUUUGUUUAUUUAUUUGAUAUCUAUUACCUAGUCCAGCAGUGACAUUUAUGUGAGAACUAAAUCACAAAUUAAGGUCCAGGGUACUUUUGGAGAAGAGCAUUUACUGAUUUUCAUCAUUUCAAAACUUAGUAGCGGACUAAAGAUUGUAUCACAGUAGAUAUUCCUUCUGGGUUCCUCAUACUUGGUUUUUGGUGUAAAGGCAUCAAGCUAACAAGCAAUAGUACACAUGUAGUGCACGUGAGUGCUGUAUCUAGUAUUCUGAAAAGUUCUGCAGACAAAAAAAAUUGUUUAUCUAUUAAAAGCUUAAAUAUUCUCCCGCGAGUAAUCCGACUAGUUCUAUAAAUUGUUAGUUUCCAACAAGUCUUGUAAUCGACUCCCGUAUGCUAUCUCGCUGUGUAUUCUUCGGGCAAGACUCUACACAAUUUUAGGGGAUUAGUUUGGUCAAAAAGUUGAGAUACCCUAAGUAACAAAAAAAAAAUUUAGGGCAAAUUCCAUUUUACCCCCCUGUGAUUUAGCGUUUUUUCACAUAACCCCCCUAUGGUUUCAAAAGCUAUACAUAACCCCCUUAUGGUUUGGAUUAAAGUGUCAAAGUAACGGAAAUAGUCACUCGUAACGGCGUCACCUAAAAUGUCAAAAAUACCCUUAUGAAAGGUUGAAAUUUAUGUAUUAACCAAGGGGGGUUAUGUGUAUAUUUUGAAAAUCAUAAGGGGGUUAUAUGGUAAAGUAUUAAACCAUAAGGGGGUUAUAUGGUAAAAUAUAAAAAUUAUAGGGGGUUAAUGUGUCAUGUAUUUAUAAGGGUAAUUUCGACAUUUUUAGAAGUUCCGUUACGAGGGACUAUUUCCGUUACUUUGACACUUUAAUCCAAACCAUAAGGGGGUUAUGUAUAGCUUUUGAAACCAUAGGGGGGUUAUGUAAAAAAAGGGUAAACCACAGGGGGGUAAAGUGGAAUUUGCCCAAAAAUUUAAAAGCUUAAAUAUAACAAGGGCAAAUUCCACUUUACCCCCCUGUGGUUUAACAUUUUUUUACAAAACCCUCCUAUGAUUUCAAAAGCUAUACAUAACCCCCUUAUAGUUUGGAUUAAAGUGUCAAAGUAACGGGAAUGACCAUUCGUAACGGAAUCAUCUAAAAUGUCAAAAAUACCCUCAUGUAAAGUUAAAAAUUAUUUAUUAACCAAGGGGGAUUAUGUGUAUAUUUUAAAAACUAUAAGGGGGUUAUAUGGUAAAGUAUUAAACCAUAAGGGGGUUAUAUAGUAAAAUAUAAAAAUCAUACGGGGUUAAUGUAUCAUGUAUUUACAUUUUUAGAAGUUCCUUUACGAGUGAUUAUUUCCGUCACUUUGACACUUUAAUCCAAACCAUGAGGGGGUUAUGUAUAGAUUUUGAAAUCAUAUGGGGGUUAUGUAAAAAAAUGCUAAAUCACAGAGGGGUAAAAUGUAAUUUGCCAAUAUAACAAAUAGAAUAUAACUUCAUAUAGUUUGCUCUAAUUGUAAAGCUUUACAAAGAAUGAUUUUUAUAGAAUGCAUGUGCGAGAUUCUUGGUGGGCAGCAAACUAUAAUCAACAGGUAAUUUAGACAACAAUUUUUUUUUUUUGAACACUAGAGAAAGAAGCACCGGAAUUCAGUAGGCUGUCUAUAUGCAUUAAGUUCUCGUUUUUAUUUGUCAAAAUUAUCUAUUAAAUUCAAUCUAGUCAAUAUCCAAAUAGUCAAAUUUCAAAUAGUUUCAAUUUGUUACCUCUGCUUAGAUUACAAAAUUUAAACUUAUGUUUCUACUAGACUAUGAUAAGAUCGAGUAAUGAUCAAUAUAUCCUCUGUUACUAUAGUACAUUGCAGUUGCCUAUGAUAACGUAGAAAGAAAAAUCCACCAACGUAUAUGAUUGGUAUAUUGAAACAAUCUAUUAUGAGUUUCACCUUGUUGAUAUCAUUUUCUUUCUUUCUCUUAUGUUGUCUGGACUAAUAGUUAUGGAUGGUGAUGGGCACCGGGCUGCUGGCUAAUUGAUUGUCUUCUAUGUGUUAUUUGCAAAUGUCCGUGUGUGCAACUUUUCUUGUGCCCUUGCGAUUUCAGUUCUAUUUUCUGCCUCAUAAACAUUUGAAACUGUAUUGGAAAUCAUGGUUGGUGGUAAAUUAAUUGGUAAGAAAAGAAUAUAACACCAAUGAUUCGACUUGCUUUAUUUCAUUCAUUGGUACUUUGAAACAAAAAUAGGUACCAAAACACUAAUUUUGGUGCUUCAUUAACUAAUUGAAUUUUCAGAAGAUUAAGUUCAAAAUCUCAAGAGCUUAUUAGAACCAAAUCAAGCUUCAAAGCAAUGCAACAGGUGCAACACAUGUGAAUAUUGUGUUUUGUAUUGUGAGAAAUUCUGCAAAAAAAAAAAAAAAAAGAAAAAUCUUCAUCACUUUGUUGCUGUUUUAUCUAAUGGGAUUAUAUGUAAUCCACUAUGGUGGAAUUGGGAAUAAUACAAUUGAAAUAACAUCUUAUGACUCAUUAAGAGUACUACUAAUCCACACUCGGUGAGACAAACACUAAUAGAUAAAGUUUGAGUAAAUUCACAAAUAUAUUGAGUGUUAAGCAUAAUAACUAGCAUAUAGAUUUUUUAGGAGAAGGUUGGGUUGGGUGAUAAGGUGGAAGAGAUUGUAAGUAAAAUGUCUUGAGUUCAAAACCUCCUACUUAUAAAAAAAAUAAAAAAUAAAAAAUUAGAAUAUAAAUUUAUAUUGUUCUUUAAUUAUUUGAUUUUUUUAGAAAAAAUGCUUUUUAACAUACGUAACUUUAAUUACCUCCACCUGCUUACACUUGAUGUUGAGAAACCUCGGUGUUAAAAGGAUUAUUUUAUUUAACUUCUUGUAAAUGAUAAACAAAUAAUUUGUCUGACUCUUUAUAGUGGCUGCAUGUAUACUGUUUGUCUGUUUCGUACUAAGUUACAUGUAUAAAACCCAACUGUCCUAUAGAAAAUCAAUACAACCUAGUAAUCAGGAGACCUGGUUGUUUCAUUGCAAUAAAUUAAGGGUCUCAUUCUUGGUUUUCCUUGAUUUUUCUUUAAAUUUCCUUUCAUUCUGCCGUAGUUUGAUGUUUUACAAUAUAACCUCAUAUGGUUUAAAAGGUUAUAUGUAACUCUCUCAUAAUUGAAUUAAUGUAUCACCAUUAGUUUUUUCAUUAAAACUAACAGUCAAUAUUAAAAAGUCAAAAUCAAACUAAUAAAUUGAUAAAUUUACCCUUUAGUAACUUCUUUUUUUCCUCCAAACAUAAAAAGGAAGAAACUGAAAUAAAAAACAUAUAAAUACAAAAUAGAAAAUACCAUUAAAGAUUUGGUUUAAAAACUAUAAUAAUAUUUUUGGUGAAAAAAGAUUUGAUAGUGUUUUUUCAUUUAUUUGGUUUAUAUUUCGCUUCCAUCUUUUUUGUUUCUUAUUUAUUUAUUUUUUAUUUCCCUUCAAUCUCUUUUAUAUUUGGAGAAAAUUAAGAUUUUGUUGGCCAAAAUAUAGAUUUUCAAAAUAAGCUCUUCUCUUCCUAGAGAGAGAGAGAGAGAGAAGGAAAAAAAAAAAGUAGUGAAAGGGUGAAUUUGUCAAUUUAUUAUAUUCAUUUUGACUUUUUACUAUUAACCAUUAGUUUUAACGAAAAAACUAAUUGUAACGCUUUAACUCAACCAUGAAGGGAUUAUAUAUAAGCUUUGAAACCAUAGGACAAUUAUAUGAUAAAGCGCCAAACUACAGAAAGGUAAAAUAUAUUUUACUCAAAAUUAAAUAACCUAGUUAUGAAGAGUCUUAAUCCAUUGUUUGAAAUUAAGGAUUGGAUUCUCCGUUUUCCUUCUCAUUUCUUCCAUUCUCGCUUCUGUUCUGAAAACAAAAAAUGAACAUAUGGGAAAGUAGCAUAAAGUCAUUACAAAGCUUUCAGUAAUUUAGAGUCACUCUCUUCUAAACUUUAAUUGGUGCCAAUGUAACCAUCCUUACACUGUUUUUUUUUUUUUUUUUUUUGUGUCAAUUACUCAACUUCCAAGACUCUCUAUUUCCUGGAUUAUAUGGGAAGCCAUAUCUUAAAAUAACAAUAAUGAGCAGCUUUAAGUGCAUACAACAGAUUUAAUCAUUUAAACUAUCAGAGUAUUAUCAUUUGAUAGGAAAUUGCAGGACUGCAUUUCUUUUUUAUUUGCAUAAGCAAUUCGCAUGUAACCAAUUAGACCCUAAAGAUUCACAACAAGCACACAAUGUCUAAAAGGCCAAAACACUAGUAAAGAAUAAAAAAAGAUGAAGAAAAACAAGAAGCAUAAACUAGAUCAACAACUAUAGAAAACUGAAAAACCCAAGGGAUCCCCAUAAGGGAAACUACAAUACUAGAUUAAAUCAACCUAACAAUCUUUUCAGACAUCUUUAAAAGCAAAUGCUUUUAGAUUUGUGUCUGAUAAUCCACCUUCCACCAUUGCUUCCCCAGCCAAACCUUUCCACUUCUUGGCAUUCCCAGCAAAUUCUAGCCCAUUUUCUCCACCAUCCAUGACCAAUUCUAUGCACCUUUUGAUCUCAUCACUCUCAACAAGGCCAUCUUCAUUUGGGACCACCCUCACUCCAAUCCUCCACACAUCUUGAAUUAGUUUGGCAUUUGUCCCUUGAUCAGCCCACAGAGGAAAUGCCACCACUGGCACUCCCAAAGUGAUAGUCUCCAGAGUUGAGUUCCAUCCACAAUGCGUAACAAAACAUCCUAAUGAGGGAUGUUUUAAAACUUCAAUUUGAGAACUCCAUGGAACUAUCAACCCCUUUUGUUCUAAUUCCUUAAUGCAACUCAGCUUCUCUUCUUCUCCAUCAUCCCUUGCUCUUAUCACCCACAAAAACGGCCUUUUACACUCCAAUAACCCUCUUGCAAUCUCCUCCAUCUGAUGUUUCGAUGGCAUCAAAAGACUGCCAAAUGCUACAUAGACAACUGAUGAUCUAGGCUGUGAUUCCAACCACCCCAUAUAAUAUUCCUCCUCCUGCAUAACAUCACCACUUCCUUCUGAAAAAGGAAAGUCAAUCAACGGUCCAAUUCCAAUCAGGUUAUACUUGUCAAUCGCUUUGAGAGCACGAGGCUCAAGUGCAUCAAAAGUAUUCACCAGCACAUACGGAUUUUCUUCUUCAUCUAUCAUCUUCAUUUGCUCCUUAACCAUUAAAAGAGCAACAUUUUGUGUACUUGAGCUUGAGGGAAGCAUAAAAGAAGGAAGAUCUAGUGUUGUGAGCAAUGGUACUCCCGGCAUUUGAAUGGACCAGGAGGGCUCAUAACAAUUCCUGAUCUCAUCUUCAUAUCCAUUGAAGUAAUAGUAAGUUAUUCCCAGAACUGUGGCUGGUUGAAUCCAAAGGAGAGUCCAUGGAAUGUGAUAUUCACGCGCCACCUCUGCAGCCCAUGUGAGGAUUAAAGUGUGGACAAUGCAGGUAACAGGACGGCCUGUUUCAGCGCUAGCUUGGAUUACAUUUCGAAGGGUUUCUGGGCCGUAUUUUUUGAGUGCAUUGACAUGAUCAACAUCGAGACCUUGAGGUUUGAAUCCAUCAGGAUAACCAUCUGAAAUGGCUGCAAAAUGGAAGUCGUUAGAUACUUUGCAUGAGGCUUUGGGGACAACCGGCGGGGCAAAAUGACUGGUGGCGAAGGUAACUUCUACUCCAAUUUUGAUGAGUUUGUUGGCUAAUUGAAGGGACGGAUUAAUGUGGCCUUGGGCUGGAUAACUCACAAUCAAAAUGUGGGGUUGUGCCAUUUGUCAAUGUUUUUGUUUUUCGAAUGAUUUAUUUAGGCCUAUGAAGUUUUUAACUAAGGAUAUGAAUGAUUAGGCAGCGCUCAGAUGUGUAGACUGGAGAAAGUAUUGUAUUCUUGGCUCAGGUUUGUGCCUGAGAAGUUUGCAAGAGCCUUUGAAAUGGUGAAUGUUGGUCUGUGUCCUUCCUUGAUUGCUCAACAAGGGAAGAAGCUACUUGUUUAUAACAUGUAUGUAUAGGUCUAAUUUCUAAAGGCUUAUACAUACAAAAGGUUGGAAUUGGAAGGGAAUUGCAGAGAAUAAUUUGGCUAAAAAAUGGUAAGUCUACUCCUACGAAAGCAUCUACUCUCAAUACAAAGAACAGAAUUAAGAGUAAGAUAUAAUUAACCCUACAUGGUAAAUCAUUUGCAAAUCUCAAGAUUUCUCAAAAAUCCACAAAGUAAUGAAUUUUAAAAUCCUUCUAUCAUUACCCUUCCCAAGCAUAUAUUUUACUAUUUUUUUUUUUGAUGAUAGCAUAUAUUUUACUUCAAAAAUCUCACCAAUUGGCUUCUUACCUUUUAAGCAUUGCAUUCCAAGAUUUUCUCAAAAAACCAGAAAGUAAUGAAUUUUAAAAUCCUUCUAUCAUUAGCCUUCCCAAGCAAAUAUUUUACUUCCUAAAUCUCACCAAUUAAUUGGCUUCUUACCUUUUAAGUAUUGCAUCUCUAGAAACCAUAUAUUAAGUACAGUGAUAUAUACUGUAAUUCCUAAAUCUCAUUCUCCUCUGGACAUAGUUCAUGAUCCAUCUUCUCAGCCCUGGGUCAAGUUCAGACCUAUGAUUCAAGUUUUGCUAAAUAGUAAUUAAGAGCAUUCCUCAAAUGGGUAAAAAGUUUGACCCAGUUCAAAGCACCUUAAUAUUUGUCCAGAUGAUCAUCACAGUCAUUAUUCGUUAACCCGGCAAACUUCAGCACAGCCUUCAACUUCAAACUUACCAUCAUCAUCAAUCAUAUUGCCUUGUCCGGGUCGAAUAGAAACAUGCCUCAAUUAAUUCAUUAAUUGGAGUUAAAACCAAAUUCAAAUCUCGAUAAUGAAUAAGAUAUGGGGUUUGGACAGUUGUCAGUAACAACCGUUCGGAACAAUAUAAUUUUUUUGAAUAAGGUGUGAUUCUACGUGAAUUGCUUAUAAAAUUUAACAACAGAGACGCAAUUAUUAUACAUGGGACUCACAUGAACAGUAAUAGAAUAUCACACUUAUAUUUAGGGAUGGCAACGGGGCGGGGUUGGGGCGGGGUACCCCUCUCCCAUUCCCCGCCCCGCUGCCUACAAACUCCCCCCACCCCCCGCCCCAUCCCCCGCUCCCCCAGCCCCAUCCUCGCCCCGCCCCGCCCCGCCCCGCUUCCCCGGCAGGUGCCCGCGGGGUUAAUAAAAAUUUGUUAUAUAAUUUUAUUAUGGUUAAAUUUUAGCAAAUAAUCAAGUACUAAAAUAUCAACACAUCAUCAAAUUAUUAUUCAUUGUAAUUUUAUAAUUGAAACUUAUAAAAACAAUCAAACAAAAAUUAUUUGAAUACAAUCCAAUAUGAUGAAAUAAAUAUAACUAAAAUAGUCAAAUUUUCACUUUUGAUACAAAUGCAAUCACUAAUUCAUUAUUGUGUUUGUGCUUUUUUUAAGAAAAAAUGUUAUUGUAUUAAGUGUAAUUAGGGAUUUAGUAUAAAUGUAUUAGUAAAUUUAGUAUAACCAAUUAAUAAUUUGUAUUAGUACACAUAUAUAAUUAUUAGUAUAAUUAAUAAUAUCAAUUAUAUUAUAUAUACUAAUAGACAUCAUAUAAUACAUAUAACUAAUAAUAUCAUUAUCAUAAGUUUAUAAAUAAUUAAAUUAUAUAUUAUAUAUAUAAUUAUAUACCUAUAUAUAUUUUAUAUAUUUAUUUUUUUAAAGCAGGUGGCGGGGCGGGGGAUGGGGCAGGGGUACACUCCCCCGCCCCCGCCCCGUUUCUAGGUGGGGGGGAAAAAUUCCCCCCGCCAGCGCCCCAUCCCCCUCCCCAUUAGCAUCCCGCGGGCACCCGAUCCCGUUGCUAUCCCUACUUAUAUUAUAAGAAUGUACAAAAAAAUUUACAUAAAAUUAUAAAAUAUUCAAAAAUAUUACUAUGUUCAAUGAUGGUUAAUCAAAUCAACCGUCCCCGUCCGGUGCCGGCCAAUAGCCACAAGAGCUGCAGCUAGAGACUCCCCAUGACCAAGAGUGGAAGUGGAACGGAUACCUUUAUGGUAGGAACGCAUUGACCGUUCCUACCGUAGGAGGACAAUAUGGGCGAGACACGUGUGAGAAACAUUAAUAAUGGCCACCUGCGGAGAGUAGUGGUAGUGGAAGUUGGACGCGCAUGAAUGAAUGGGUAGGAGGAAACAGUUUGGACCAAAGCAUAAGAAGAAUAAAAAGUUGAAAACAGUGCGUAGAUUAUAAUGGGACAAAUACGAGGAAAUCUAUUAUACUAGAAAUUUAUUAGUCCAUAUUUUCUAAAAGAUUUCUAAUAGUAUGAUGUAUUCUUGAAUUAUUUUACUCUUUCAUCAAUUCAAUUAAUGUAAUUUAAUAGUUAUUAGUUUGUUUAGUUCAAAUGUUUAAAUCACUAUAUUUUAGUUAGAAAAAUAUUUUGUUAAACUAACUUAUCAAAUAGCCUCUUUAAGUAAAUAUUUUAUUUUAACAUUUCCUUUACACAUAAAAAUCCUAGUUAAACUAACUUAUCAAUAGCCUUUUCUACAUAACAUUUACUAUAUUUACUACUUUCAACUUUUCCUUUUGUUGCAAAUGACAAAUAGCAUAUAUAUACUUCAAUAUGUGUCAUUUCUCAAGAAUUUUGAAUUAUUUUAUCCUUUAAUUAAUUUCAAUUAAUGUCAUCUAAUGAUAAUAGUUUGUUUAAUUUACAUGUUUAAAUCCCUAUAUUUUAGGUAGGAAAUAUUUUUGUUAAAUUACCUGAUCAAAAACUUGUCUUUAUUUUAACGUUUCUUUUAGGCAGAAAAGGCUUGGUUUAACUAACUUAUCAAUAAUUCUCUCCAAGUAAAUUUUUUUACUUUAAUGUUUUCCUUAGCUUCAAAUGACAAAUAGCAUGUAUUGUCAUUUGUAAAUUUUUUUGUAUAUUAGGAUAUUAUAAAUUUAAAUAAAUAGUUUGACAAACUGAUAAAUAUCAAUACAUGACUGUUGUAAAAAUGUAAAAACGAUACAUUUUUCCUUCAAUCCUAUUGUACAAAUUGAGAAUUUUACUUAUUGUCUUAUAUUUAUAUAUAUGUAAUAGAUUGAGGGUUUUUCAUCAGAAACCUUCACAUAUCUCCAAAAUCCCAAUCCCUUUUUCCUAGAAUUUUACAUUUAUUUUAAUUCACACACAUUGGCUCCACAAUUUGGUACAAUCAAACCAUUUCAAAUUCUUUUGUUUGUCACCGGUAUGCAAAUUAAAUUUUCACGAUUUCCAAUUCCUCCACAUGUCUACUUGACCCUAACUCACAGUUUCAAAUUUAUAUAAACUUAUCCAAAUAACAUUUGCAAAAUUUUAGACUAAUAACACAAAAUUUAAUUACAAUUCCCACGACUCUAUAUUAAUUAACUAUUAACACCAAUUAUUUACAAUUUUAGUGUAGACCUAUUUAGAGAGCUCCCAACUCUCCAUCUUUUUUCUUAUUUUUUUUAUUUAUUUUUAAUUAAAUAAAUGACUUUCAAUCUUUGCAUUACAUAGUUACCAUGGAUGCGGUCAUAAGUUAGUUACAUUUUCGAAAUAUUAACAACAUUCAAAAUACUAGCACAAUUUGAAAUUACAUACUUCUCAUAUAGGCAUUUAUGAAUGAGUAACAUUUCUAAAAAAAUUAACAAAACUUAACUUACUAACACAAUACCAGACUUAUAAAUGAUUAUUGCUAAUAAGGAAAUAAUACUUGAAAUCCUUCAAAUUGGUAAUAACAAAAUGAAAACAACUUAUCAAGUAUAAAAGAUAAAACAAACUAUCAAAUUCAAAAAAGAACUAACAUUUACUCCAGUCAUUCUUUUAGGUAAUUCCAACAUAAACAUAUAUUAUUACCUUUGGUAAUUCUAACUUAAAUAUGUAACUGCUCUUUAAACAUUAAAUUGAAAUGUCCAAUUUAUAAACAUACAAUAUUUAUAUUGUCUAAAGUUAAAAAUCGAAUGGAAGUAUUAGGGGGAUUAAUUUCUUUGAUUCAAUAAUUUUUAGAGAUUGUAAUUGUGAAAAGAAGAAAGAAUUUUUUUGAGAUUCUAACUAUAUUAUUAAUAUAUGUAAUAAAUUUGAUAUUUGUGCGAGUUUUCUUGUCUUUUAUUUUUGGCAACGAAAUUUGCGCAAAUAUGGUAAAACAUCCCUCAUAUGUAUGUCAUGGACAUUUGAGACUUUGAAAAACAAAAAGUGUUGUUGUUAAAAUAACUUUGUAUCACAGUGCGCUAAUUAUUUUGGACCGUUGUAUACGUGAACUGAAUUUAAUUUAAAUUAUACAAAACAUUUGUACGUGCAAGUGAAUUUCAUUUAAUUGUUGGAUCUUUUUUUAUAUGAACAAUCUGGUAAGGAAAAAAGUCCAGAACACAACAAAUUUCUUUAUAUUGCGUAUUAUACCAAUUUUGUCAAUUUGUUAUUGUUGUACUAUUUCUUACAUUGUUUGGGCUUUAACUCUUAUUAAUUCUUGUGUCCAGAUGUAAAUUUAUUAAAAUUGUAUCAUCUUAGUUUAUUCGUAGGUGUUAAAAUAUAAAAAUUGUGAUAUAUAAACAAGUGAUAUUCUAUAUAUAAGUAUGAAAAUUUGUUGUAAUUGGUAUUCAAACCUUCAAAUAGAAAAUUAUUAAAAACUUAUAAUGUGACACGUUGUUAAUAAUUUUUGUCCAAGGUUAUCAACAAAGUGAAACUUCUUUUCAUAGAAUUUAAAAAAAACAAAAAAAUUUAAUUAAUAUCUAAAAUCAUUUAUUAUAUAGGUAUAUUACGAGUACUUACUAAGUUAAGUACUUACAGCCUUAAUGACUAGUAACCUCUUAUCAUUAUUUAAAAUAAACUUCAUAAUAUUAGUUUGAUAACAGUUUUUAAUGUAAAACUGUAUAUGUAUUGCAAAAAUCAGUAAGUGUUAAUCGUUAUAAAAUUUACCAUGUUACUACUAAGAUUUAGUAUCAAUGAAUAAAAGCUUAAUGUUAGUUGAAGUAAACUUACUUUCCAAAAUAGUGUGAAUUUACCGAAACCGACUAACAACCAUUCGUAAUUAAAUUGGGUUGAAUCUGGUGUUUUAUUGGAAAAUGGGUUUAUUUUGUAUUUUAUCCCAUAAAAUAAAAAUUGAUCAGGGGUUUAUGGGCACUCUGUUCUUAUAAUGGAGGAAAGCCAUAAAGAUCUAGUGUUUUAUUGAAAAAUGAAUUUUUUUUAUUUUAUCCCAUAAAUAAAUGUGUUUACGGCUUGAUGGACACUCUGUUCUUAUAAUGGAGGAAAGCCAUAAAGAGCUGGUGUUUUAUUGGAAAAUGAUUUUUUUAUCCCAUAAAUAAAUGUGUUUAUGGCUUUAUGGACACUCUGCUUUUAUAAUGGAGGAAAGCCAUAAAGAGCUAGUGUUUUAUUGGAAAAUGAUUUUUUUUAUCCCAUAAAUAAACGUGUUUACAGGUUUAUGGGUACUCUAUUUUUAUAAUGAAUGAAAGCCAUAAAGAGUUGGUGUUUUAUUGGAAAACGAGUUUUUUUCUAUUUUCUCCCAUAAAUAAUCGCGUUUACGGGUUUAUGGGUACUCUAUUCUUAUAAUGGACGAAAGCGUCUAUUAUGGGAAAUUGAUACUUUACAGAAAGUGACCGCGAUUUGGUUUAUGAAAUUAUCCCAAAAAAAAAUUUAUAACGAAUUUGUUUGUUUUGAAAAUUGUAAAAUGGUCGUUAAAUUUCAAAUAUCUCUUCCUUACACUUGAAAUUCAUCUCCACACAAUCACACACUCCAAACCUGUCCGUCUCUCUCCCUUUAUUCCUUUCUCAUGAAAUACCAGUUCUUUAUGAGUUUCCUUUAUCGAAUAAAACGUACCAGCUUUUUAUGGGCAUGAUUUUCUAAAAUGAGACCAUUAUCAAAUUUUCAAAUAUCCUUUGACUACUAAAUCUGCCAUGACAAAGAUUGAAGGUGACAAUAUGUUUGUUUUCAUAGUUUAAUCCGUCAUGAUAAGAAGUAAAUCAAACGUGUAGAGAAAAAGAUGUAUGACAUUUAGACCAAGAAAGUGAAUAUUUUUAUCAGGCCUCAUGGGACAAAAAAAGUAUAUGUUCGGUUGCCUCCAGGCAAUAAUGCUUUUGACGUGGCAACCAAGAUUGGAAUCAUAUGAUUUUAGUCAUUGUUUUGUUGUAAUUAAACCAUACAGUUACUAACAGAAAGAAUUAGGUGUAUUGUUCACAAAUUUCUGGACCACCAUUAAAUGGAAAAAUGUACCAACUCCAAUACCACCAUCAGUGCUGCCAUAAAGGGCCAGUGUUUUAUUGAAAAACGGGUUUAUUUUUAUUUUAUCUGAUAAAUAAAUUUGUUUAUGAAAAAAUGGGUUUUAACGAGCUGGUAUUUGAUGGAAAAAUAAUACUCUAGGAUACCAAUGGAUAACAAUGCCAACACAUUCAUAGAUUUGGUAUUUUAAAUAAUGAAGAUAAUGGUUCCAUUUGGAUAAUAUGUUUUUGGGGGUGUUUUUCAAAAACAGCACUGUAGCACUUCGAACAUGAAAUACAAGUACUGUACAUAUCUGCUAUUCCUUUCCCUUUUACACCAAUCCUUUUGACUUUUGUGCUUUCUGAUACAAAAUUUGAAUUAAUUUUUUGUGGAAAUGCAAAAAACUAUAAUUUAAUUAUGUAUAAAUCAUCAAAAAUUACUAAUUUAAUUAUUGGCACUUUGCUCAUACGCAUGGGAGGACUGGUAAGAAGGCUGAAGGGCUGGUAUUUUUAUUAAUGAAAAGUUUUCCCGUAAAUGGCUUGCUCUUUAUGGCUUUCCUUCAUUAUAUGAUCAAAGUACCAGUUUUUAACGAGCAUUUUACAUCUAUUUAUUUAGUACUUUAAAUAGUAAUAUUCAGCUGUUUCUUUCCCUUUUAGACCAACUGUUUUGACUUUGUGAAUUUUUGUGCAUAGGGAAAACAAUUGUCGAUGAAUUUUUUUAAGAAAUGCAAAAGAAAUAAAUUAAUUAUGUAUAAAUUUCAAAAUUACUAAAUUAUUCACCGGACAAAAUCACAGUAAAAUUUCUAGUGAAUAAAUGGGAUUAAUAUAUAAUACUCGUGUUCCAAAAAAAUUACUAUUUAUUUUUGGCUUUCCUCCAUAAAGUGCUCAUUUUCCCCUUUUCCAUAUCAUUUUUUUAGUGGUUGAAUCUUAUAUUCGUGAACUAUCGAUCUGCAGAUGAAAAAAAAAUUCCAGACUAUACUAAUUUUAUUAUACUAACUCUGUUAUUCUUAUUAUUUUAUUAAUUGUUAUGCUAUUUCUCUCAUUUUGUUAGGUCUACAUUAAUACAAGUUUAAUUCUUAUUAUGUCUCGUGUCCCAGAAAAUACAUAUUAUCCUAUUGACGUGGAUACGUCCAACAGGUAAUCAAAUGGAUGCUAAAAAAUUUAGAAUGAAUAAGUUGCUUUGUAUAACGGUUCUAAAGGUUCCUUCAGACUUUAUAAAUUAGGUGUCUUGAGUUUGCAAAGACAAUUUCUUGCAUAUCUUUGUAGUGGAAACGGAGUUUAAACUUGCUAUAGGUUAGUUUCCUGUUUUCCAUUGUAUCCUAAAGGGUAAUUUGCCAUUCAACCUGAUAGGGUAUAAUUUGUUAGUAAUUUUAUUAUUUAUUUCCCCUUUUAUCUCUAAUAAAUAUUGUGUUAAUUGCUGAUAUUUACUCAUAUUUGGUAUCUGGACUUAAUUUCAGGAAUGAAGCAGAAAACUAUCAAAAAGGAGGGACUUUAUGAAAAAUUGGAGACUUCUAAGGGCUUCAGUUCUUGGGCCCUUGAAUUGGUGGAGAACCACAAGUUAGUGGAAGGCAUUUAGUCAUUUGGACUCUUCAAAGAAAGCAACGUAGAGAGACUUGGAAGAAGAAGUCUUUGGAGGCUUUGUCCACAUGUGUGGGGACCACCUAGAUAGCUUUAGUCUAUCUUUCUUUUGUUUCUUAAAUAGGGAUAACGUAGGGAAGGAAGACACCACCUUUUAGUUUAGUUUUUAGCCUAGACUUUAGUUUUUCUUUCUUUCUCCUGACUGGCCUCUGACACACGCCAGGUGUUCGACAAUAUUCCCCAACGGGAAAAACACCUUUUAUUCCUUGCUCCCUAAUAGAAAACGCAAUGCUUUUGCAAUUUAUUAAUUCGCGUGGUGAUUUAAUUAUGCGGCGUGGCUAAACCUUCUAUCUAGUCAAGGGUCAAUUCGACGGCGCAGUCCCGAAAAUCUGUGAGAUCUAAUUAGUUUUCACGUGUUCUUUUAUUUAUUAAUAUUUGCACGUUGUCUGCUUGAAUUUUCAUGGGAUUAUUUUAUUAAUUGGAUGUCAAGGGCCCGAUGUUCAAUGUGAUUUAUUAAUCUCGUGCCAAUUUAGUCAAUUAAAUUCGUAAUUGUUUGGUUGAUUAAUAUUAGUGGCAACUGGUGCGUUUACACAUUAGGGGAGCGUGCAAUCUAAUUUAAAUAACCCUCGUAGCGUGUUAUUGAUUAGGGCUAGGUUUUUCUAGUUAUUAAUGCGAUUGGAAAAUUAAUUCCUACAGUCAUACCUAGGAAUACUUUUUUGGUUAGGGGUGAUUAAUGGUCGUACCUUGGUCAUCUAUAAAAUAAGGAAAAAUUGGUCAUUAGAGCUCCUCGAUGGCUAUAACUAGUCUAUUAAUGAAUUAAGUGAAUCUCUCUUGCAUCAAUGAUCGGAUAAAUGGACUGUGCCUGAGUAGUUGCAUCCUUGGCUAGAAUUUAUUUAGUCUUGAUUUAAUUCCUGCUUUAUUUGUGCUAGUUAUUUGUUCAUUUUUAGUAAAUUGUUUAAUUAUUUUUAGUUUUAUUUCGGUGAAAUCCCCCCUUACCAAUUGGCAUUUAAAAGAGACAAAUAUCUCCAGUCCCUGAGGAGACGACCCUACUUGCCACUGUCUACUAUUCAGUAAUUUUUGCCAACUAAUUAAUUCUGGUAUAUCGGAUUCAGCAAACUCUUCGGGAACAUGGUGAAUCAAGUAAUCCAUUGCACACCUAGAGUCCCUGCUCCAGUACUUGGGAUUAAUUAUUGACAGCUUUUUAGUGGUAUUUAGGUUAUUAUUAUCAUUAUUAUUGCACAAGUUGACGCCCUGUCAAUUUUUGGCGCCGUUGCCGGGGACUGGCGUUAUUCUUUGUUUCUUUUUUAAGUUCAUUUUUGCUCUAAUUUUCUGGUAUUUUUUUUCUAGUGUAUGCCUAGGUCUUCUCGUACAGGUGAAUUAAUUUUUGACCCUGAAGUAGAGAAGACCGCGCGUAGAAUGAGAAAGGAAACCAGACAGCUCAGAGAGGAGCACUCUAGUGCUGCAUCUCAGAGAUCUGAGCCCGAAGUUGAACCAUCAGAUUCGUUUGGUGACACUUCAAGUGAUUCGUACCAAGAGAACGUCGCCAUGGCAAACACACAAACAUUAAGGGAGUUGGCUGCUCCAAACUUGACCAAACAAUCUCUUUGCAUAACUUUUCCUCGCCUUAGUGAGAAUGCAGCUUUUGAAUUAAAACCUGGUUUAAUACAUUUGUUGCCUGUUUUUCAUGGUCUGCCAGGAGAGGAACCCCACAAACACAUGCAGGAAUUUGAUGUGGUGUGUUCGAGUAUGAAGCCUUCGGGAGUAACUGAUGAACAAAUUAAAUUAAGGGCCUUCCCUUUCUCUCUAAAGGACUCGGCAAAGGACUGGUUAUACUGUCUACCUGCAGGCAUUAUCACCACGUGGCCAGAGAUGCAGAAAAAAAUUUUUGAAAAAUAUUUCCCUGCAUCCAGAGCUGCGAAAGGAAAUAUGUGGCAUCAAGCAAUUUCACGGGGAAUUCUUGUAUGAAUAUUGGGAGAGGUUCACCAGGCUGCGUACCCGAUGCCCGCAUCACCAAAUAAGUGAUCAACUGCUCAUUCAGUAUUUCUACGAGGGACUACUGAUGAACGAUAGAAAUAUCAUUGAUACAGCAAGUGGUGGUGCACUGGUGAAUAAGACUACCCAGGAGGCAUGGGACUUAAUCGAGCGAAUGGCAGAGAAUUGCCAGCAGUUUGGUACAAGAGCAGAUGUUCCUACGAGAAAGGUCAACGAGGUAAGUUCAUUUUCCAUUCAACAGCAGUUAUCUAAAUUAACCUCAUUUGUUCGACAGAUAGCUGUAGGAAAUGCACAGCAGGCCAAAGUGUGUGAAAUUUGUACGAAUAUUGGUCAUACCGCUGACUCAUGCCCACAGUUGCAAGAGGAGAGAACUGAGCAAGCACACAUGGCUGGUACCAUGCCCAUGCCACGUAGACAGUAUGACCCCUAUUCCAACUCAUACAAUCCGGGUUGGAGGGAUCAUCCAAAUCUGAGCUAUGGGGGAAAUAAGCAACAAAAUUUCAUCCCCAAUAGACAGCAGGGCUUCCAGCAACAAUAUCAAACAAGGAAUCAACCCUCCUCUGCCUCAGGUAUGUCCCUAGAAGACAUGGUUAAAAUCAUAGCCUCUAAUACUAUGAAAUUUCAACAGGACACUGAGGCCAGCACUCAAGAGAUGAAAGCACGUAUGCAAAACUUGGAAAAUCAGAUGAGUCAAUUAGCCUCAAUUGUCAACCGACUAGACUCCCAGGGAAAGGGAAAACUUCCAUCCCAACCUGAGGUGAAUCCCAAGAAUGUAAGUGCAAUGACCCUCAGGAGUGGGAAAGAGGUUGAAGGACCAGUACCAGUAGCUCCGAAGGACAAGAAUGAGGACGGCAUUGAGAAGGAGCUUGAGGAAGAAGGAACGCCCGGCACAAAUAAAGAGGUAAUACGUAACCCAGUGGUUCCAGUUAAGCCUAACCCACCACCUUUUCCUAGCAGGUUGGAAAGGCCUAAAAAGCAAGACAAGGAAAAGAAAAUUCUGGAGAUGUUUAGAAAGGUGAAGAUAAAUAUCCCCUUACUUGACGCAAUUAAGCAAGUACCCCGAUAUGCCAAAUUUUUGAAGGACCUAUGCAUCAAUAGGAAGAAAUUGAGGGGAGAUGAAAGGAUAAUUGUGGGAGAGAACGUAUCCGCAGUGCUUCAAAGAAAACUUCCACCCAAGUGCGGAGACCCAGGUAUGUUCACUAUUUCUUGUAAAAUAGGGAACACUAGCAUUAGGAAUGCCAUGUUAGAUUUAGGAGCCUCUAUAAAUGUGAUGCCCAAGACUAUUUAUGCUUCUUUAAAUUUGGGUCCCUUAAAGGAAACUGACAUUAUAAUUCAAUUGGCUGAUAGGACUAAUGCUUAUCCUGAUGGGGUGAUAGAAGAUGUGUUAGUACAAGUGAACAAUUUAGUGUUCCCUGCUGAUUUUUAUAUUCUUGAUAUGGGUGAUGAACGUUCUCCAAAUCCAUCACCAAUUUUGUUGGGGAGGCCCUUCUUGAGCACGGCUCGUACAAAAAUUGAUGUUAGUAAGGGCACCCUAACGAUGGAAUUUGAUGGAGAAAUAGUUCAUUUCACUAUAUUUGAGGCCAUGAAAUAUCCGUGUCAUUCUAAUGCUGUUUUUGCUGUGAGUAUAAUUGACCCUUUGGUGCAAGAAGUAUUUGAGAUUAAUGGCAGGGAUGAAUUGGAGGUAGCAAUCACCAAACAUUUGGAUCUGGAAGCAACCUGUGAAAUGGAGUUAAGCAUCAGUUUGCAAAGAAUGGUUGGAGCCUUGCAUUCACUAGGCCAAAGUCCUCUAAGGUAUGAUGUUGCUCCUAUAUUUGUGCCUGAACCACACCUAAAGCUAUUACCUUCUAUCGUGCAGGCACCUGAAAUGGAAUUGAAACCCCUGCCCGAGCAUUUAAAGUAUACCUUUCUAGGUGAAAAAGAGACGUUACCAGUGAUAAUCUCAUCCAAAUUAUCACCCACGGAGGAGGAUAAGCUGCUACGGGUUUUAAGGGAGCAUAAGGAAGCUAUAGGUUGGACAAUUGCGGACAUCAAGGGUAUAAGCCCGUCCGUGUGCAUGCAUCGAAUUCGCCUGGAAGAGGAUGCUAGGCCGAUAAGACAACCACAAAGGAGAUUGAACCCCAUCAUGAUGGAAGUGGUCAAGAAAGAGGUAAUCAAGCUUCUGGACGUAGGAAUUAUUUUCUCUAUCUCAGAUAGCCCAUGGGUGAGUCCGGUCCAAGUGGUGCAAAAGAAAGCAGGGGUAACUGCGGAAGAAAAUCAUGAAGGGGACCUUGUUCCAAUUCGCAAGCCUACGGGUUGGCGCCAGUGCAUCGAUUACCGUAAAUUGAACGCAGUGACCAAGAAGGAUCAUUUUCCCCUUCCAUUCAUCGAUCAAAUGGUUGAAAGGUUAGCUUGUCGUGCCUAUUAUUAUUUUUUAGAUGGUUUCUCUGGUUAUUUUCAGAUAGCAAUUGCGCCAGAGGAUCAAGAGAAAACAACUUUCACCUGCCCCUUUGACACUUUUGCCUAUCGAAGGAUGCCUUUUGGAUUGUGUAAUACCCCUGCAACAUUCCAGAGGUGCAUGAUUAGCAUUUUUUCUGAGUAUGUGGAGAGAAUAAUUGAGGUAUUCAUGGAUGACUUCAGUGUCUAUGGUGAUAGUUUUGAUUAUUGCUUAGAUAACCUGACAUUAAUUUUAAAGAGAUGCAUCGAGACUAAUCUAGUGCUCAAUUGGGAAAAAUGUCACUUCAUGGUUGAGCACGGGAUAGUUCUAGGACAUAUAGUGUCAUCUAGAGGAAUUGAAGUUGAUAAAGCUAAAAUAGAUGUGAUAUCUGCUUUACCUUACCCCAUAACUGUACGGGAAGUUCGUUCUUUUCUAGGACAUGCAGGUUUCUAUCGCAGAUUUAUCAAGGAUUUCUCAAAGAUCGGGGCACCACUUUUUAGGCUUUUGCAAAAGGAUGUCGGUUUUGAAUUCAACGAGAAGUGCAAAGAAGCGUUCGAGAAGUUGAAGAAAUUACUCACUUCUCCACCUAUCAUCCAACCUCCUGAUUGGAAUCGCCCAUUCGAAAUUAUGUGUGAUGCCAGCCACUACUCCGUGGGAGCAGUUUUGGGACAAAGGGUGGAGAAAGCGGCGCACGCAAUAUAUUAUGCCUCUAGAGCUUUAAAUGGCGCCCAACUCAAUUACUCUACUACGGAGAAAUAACUCUUAGCUGUUAUUUUUGCUUUAGAAAAGUUUAGACCUUAUUUGUUAGGUGCUAAAGUAAUUGUGUAUUCUGACCAUGCAGCUUUGAGGUACCUACUGACCAAGAAGGACGCUAAACCCCGCUUGAUAAGAUGGAUAUUGCUCCUGCAGGAAUUUGACUUGGAAAUCAGAGACAAAAAAGGAGCAGAGAAUCUAGUAGCUGACCACCUAAGUCGAAUACUGGUAGCGGAGGAAGAAUUACCAUUAAGGGAGUCUUUUCCUGAAGAGCAUUUACUUUCUAUCAAUCCAUCCCCUCCUUGGUUUGUAGAUAUUGUGAAUUAUUUGGUUACUGACAAAUUGCCCGCAGGUUGACCCAAGGCAAAAAGGGACAAACUAAAAAGCGAUGCAAAGUACUAUGUUUGGGAUGAUCCCUAUCUGUGGAAACAAGGUGCUGACCAAAUAAUGAGGCGAUGUAUAAGUGAAGGUGAAUUCCAAUCUAUAUUGACUUUCUGUCACUCUUUUGCAUGUGGGGAUCAUUUUGGACCUAAACGGACUGCUAGAAAAGUGUUGGAAAGUAGAUUUUAUUGGCCUACCUUAUUUAAGAAUGCUUAUUUGUUUUGUAAGGCAUGUGAUAAAUGCCAGAGGGUAGGUAAUUUAUCCCGAAGGGAUCAACUGCCACAGGUGCCCAUGCUUUUCAUUGAAAUUUUUGAUACUUGGGGUAUAGAUUUCAUGGGUCCCUUUCCAAAUUCUUGUGAAUUUUUAUACAUUUUACUAGCAGUGAAUUAUGUCUCGAAGUGGGUAGAAGCAAAAGCCACCCGCACUAAUGAUUCUAAGGUGGUUGCAGAUUUCAUAAAGUCUAACAUUUUUGUACGAUUUGGAAUGCCACGGGCAGUUGUGAGUGAUAGGGGGACGCAUUUUUGCAACAAGACAAUUGCUGUUUUGUUCAGGAGAUAUGGUGUACUUCAUAAGGUUUCCACUUCCUAUCAUCCACAGACCAAUGGUCAGGCUGAAGUCUCGAAUAGGGAAAUAAAGUCUAUUUUGGAAAAGAUGGUCCGCCCUGAUAGGAAGGACUGGAGUUCAAGGUUGGAAGAUGCUUUGUGGGCAUACUGAACCGCUUACAAGACACCUAUAGGAAUGUCUCCUUAUAGGUUGAUAUUUGGUAAGCCUUGCCAUCUUCCAGUGGAGUUCGAGCAUAGAGCAUUUUGGGCGGUAAAGUAAUGCAAUAUGGAUAUUGAGGAGAGCGGAAUUCAAAGGAAGUUACAGUUAUAGGAGUUGGAGGAGAUUCGCAAUGAGGCCUAUGAGAAUGCGGUAAUUUAUAAGGAGAGGAAUAAGAUUUUUCAUGACCAACAGAUCUCAAGGAAGACAUUCGAGUGUGGGCAAAAAGUUCUACUGUACCACUCAAAAUUGAAGUUAUUUCCAGGAAAAUUACGUUCUCGUUGGAUUGGUCCUUUUGUGGUGACUAAUGUCUUUCAUUAUGGUGCAGUGGAGAUCCAAAGUUUGAGAACUGAGAAGCAAUUUGUAGUGAAUGGUCACCGUCUCAAGCCAUAUUAUGAAGGUUUUCCAAUUGAGCGGGUGGAGAUGAUGCACUUGGAGGACUCGAUUAGCUUAGUUUAAGCAAAGUUUUGGACAACGUUUAGCCAAAGACGUUAAAGAAAGACGCUUUUGGGAGGCAACCCAAGACUAUUUGUUUCAGUUUUCAUGCAUUUUUUAAGUUUUAGUUAAGUGUUAGUGUCAAUUAAUAGUUUGAUAUUUGGUGGCAGGAAAUUAGUAGUUAGACGUGCCCACGCCAGGUGGUCACGCCUGAGGGAAAGAAAUUUUCGUUCAGGAUCUGCGGACUCCAUGGCAGUUAGGCAUGCCCGCGCCUAAGACAGGAGUCCCUUCCAGAAAAAAAAAAUCCAUGGAAACGGAGUUUAAACUUGCUAUAGGUUAGUUUCCUGUUUUCCAUUGUAUCCUAAAGGGUAAUUUUCCAUUCAACCUAAUUUUAUUCUGAUUUUAUCCAACUAAUAAAUUAGCUAAUGAAAAAAAUGGGAAAAUGGAUAAUUUAUGGAAGAAAUCCAUAAAUAGCUGGCGUUUUAUUGGGAAAUAGGUUUAUUUUUAUUUUAUCUGAUAAAUAAAUUUUUUAUGAAAAAAUAGGUACUCUGUUCUUAUAAUGGAGGAAAGCCAUAAAGAGCUAGUGUUUUAUUAGAAAAUGAGUUUAUUUUUAUUUUAUCCGAUAAAUAAAUUUGUUUAUGGGAAAAUGGGUCUUAAAGAGCUCGUAUUUGAUGGAAAAAUGAUAAUUUAGGAUACCAAUGGAUAACAGUUAAAACACAAUCAUAGAUUUGACAUUUUAAAUAAUGAAGAUUGGUUCCGUUUGGAUUAAAUAAUGAAGAUCAUAGUUAAACACAAUCAUCUUCAUCAUCUUAUUACAUUCAUAGGUUUAAAGUUAUAGAAAUUAUAUAGAUAAGUGAUAUUCCAUACAUAAGUAGGAACAUGUGUUGUUAUUAUUAUCCAAACUUUUAAACUUUUCAAAAAUUAUUCAAAUGUAUAAUACGACAAAAUUUUAUUACUUUAUAAGGUUUUGUCAAUGGUCGAAAUAUUUUAAAAUAAAUUGACCCCAAAUUUUUUUAAAUUAUACAUACAAUCAAGUAUGUAUACAAGUAUAUUAAGAGUACUUACUAGGUAAGGUGCUCAGUUUUAAUCAUUAAUAAAACAUUUUAGUGUUAUUUCAAAUAACAAUAAAAUAUGGGUUUGGUAUAAGUUUUUUAAGCAGAAUAGAAUAUUUGUGCCAUAAAUUAGCAUGUUUUUGUCAUUAAUCAAAUUUACUAUGUUAUAAGUAAAAAUCACUAUUUAUGUAUAAAAACAUACUAUUACUUGAAAUAAACUUACUCUCUCAAAAGUAUAUUUGGGAUAUAAAAUUAUAAUUUAUCUCUUUAAAAAGUAUGUUUCAUAUUAAUUUCAAUUUACCUUUUGGACUCACAUAAGUUACUAAUUUAUUACGUUAACUUACUAUUUUAGAUGAGAAACUUACUUCCUUAUUUUUACCCAUAAUUCUAUUCAAGUGGAUAAAUCCAACAGAUAAUCAAAUGGUCGCUAAAAUUAUUAUAAUCUAUUAUAUCAUGUCUAAAAAUGUUUUUUUUUUAUCAUAACGAUAGUUACUAUACCAUUUUCCCGGAUGCUUAAGUUGAACACUUGAGUACUAAAUUUAUAUAUGUAUAUAAAUAUAAUGAAGGCUUGAAUCCUUUUGUGUUUCGAAUUACCGCGGAACUACUACGUUUACCUCCACUUUUCCUUCAUCCAAAUUAUUAUCCCCCGUAUAUGUGAGAUUUAUAUUUAUUAUUUGUUAAAAUUUCGAUACUUUCUUCACGCACAUUUUUUGUCGAAUACCAAAAUGGGAGAAGUGAAGACAAAAGUUACUUAAAUUCAAAUGAAGAAUUGCUGUGGUGUAGAAUUUUUCUCAGGCCUGGCGAGUACUCCUUGCCAAGCGCGUGGUGUGUGCUUCUUAGUCCAAAUGGUUUUGGACCACAAACAAUUCAACCAUGGCCAGACCAUGAUGUGUCGAUUUCUCGUCUGGCCACGCAUAGCAGGCCUAUGAUAGGAACGGUCAAUGCGUUCCUACCAUAAACGUAUCCGGAAGUGGAACCACAAAAACCUAACCUUUUCGAGUUCCAGAUAGGUCAAGUUGCUAAACCUUGCAAGUUGCAACUGAACAACAUAAAUGCGAGGGUUUUAGGUGUGUCAGUGGGUAGAAGUGUGGGCCACUGCAGCUGUGGGGAGACUUUUUCAAUAAUUGGAUUUACAUGCAUAUCAUGGACAAUCUAUUAAAAUUCACCCAACUUAUCUGGAUUUAAAUGGUCAUCCAUUUAAAUUCUUACCUAGAUUUUUUAAGUUAUCCAAAUCCAUUUAAUUUAGGUUUCUAUGGAUGGAUAAUUGGAUAUGGAUCCUAAAUAUGAGUAAUUUAUUUAUGCACCGUCAGUGCAUAAAUAAAUUAGUGCAUACACAAAUGGCAUUGAAUGUAUGUCACGUAGUAAAAUAUUAAAUUUAAAAUUUAAUUUUUACACAUGUGACAUAUAUAUACAACUAUUAGUGUAAAAAAACUUUACACUAACGGUGUAUAAAAGGUUAAUCUUAUAAAUAUAGAGAAUAUAUAUAUAUAUAUAUAUAUAGGAUUCACAUUAAACAAAACUAGAGCGGAUAAAUUUAAAAUACCGGAAGACUUUAGGGGUAAAUGUCUAAUAUCCCAACUCUUCCUUUUCACCACGUGAUUCAUGCCGAAACCUGCCAGCACCACCGACAACUGCUCUCCUCUCAAUGGUGCAUUUCAAAUCCGAAUUUGGACCGAAUCCAAACAGCCUACAGUUUUCACAUGGGGACUCAGGAGAACGCCGCUGCUUCUGUGGAGAUAUCCGAGCCACUGCUGCAGCCGGUGGAUGAAGAAACCAAGAAGCGCGACGGGGAUCUUCUGGACGAGGAAUUCAUCCCCGAUUGGAAAGAUCAGAUCACACUCCGGGGCAUUUUGGUCAGCGCCGUCUUGGGUGUUGUCUUCUGUAUCAUAACUCACAAGCUCAUUCUCACGAGCGGCAUCGUUCCCUCCCUCAAUAUCGCCGCCGGUUUGCUUGGUUUUUUCUUCCUCAAGUUCUGGACCACUUUUCAGUCCAAAUUUGGACUUUCCGGUCGGCCCUUUACCCGUCAAGAGAACACUGUCAUCCAGACAUGCGUUGUUGCUUGUUAUGGCCUCGCGGCUAGUGGUACUAACCCACACUCUGUACUUAAUUUUAACUUGCUUAAUUGUUUUUUUUUUCUAUUUUUGCUCUGGCAAUUUUGGCUCUUCAGUAAUUUUUAGCUAGCAAUUUACUUCUGCUGGAGACGAAUUAUGGUUUACUAGUUAAUGGGGCUUCAUGCGUUGCUUGAGGUUGCCCGGGGAGUUUUUUCGUGUGGUAUGUAAAAUUCAUAAUCUAAAAGGGAUAAAAUUAGUUGGAGAAGAGAGACAUUAGAGAGAUUCUAUAGGAAAUGUUGGCUGGAUUUUUACCCAAGCAGUGAUGUAGAAAGAUGAAGGGAAGAUCUUAUACUUGUUAGUUCAUACAGGGUGAGUUAUGUUUACAGAUGAGGCCAAGUUAGAUAGCUGUGUAAUGGUAAAUCAGAGUACAAACAAAAAGAUUAGCAGGUUGGCAAAUUAUUUGCUGAUCACCCUAGAAAUUGCCCAAGCUUAUCUUAUGUUAACAACAAUAGUCAAAGAGUAGACUAUUUACAGAUAGCAGCCAUUCUGAAAUCACAGUAUUGCAGUGCCUGCAAAUGAGCAUAGGAAAUGUGAAGGCAUUUAAGUUGCUCAUUUAACAAAGCAAUAGUAGUUGACAAAGAAAUUGUAUAUGUAAUGGACAACAAUAACAAAGGCAGAUGAACAAUUUCUGGACCAGAAGAAAAUACCUCAACAUGAUUCUCUUGCCUUAAAUCUAAUGACCAAAAACCAUCUUUUCCAGGAAACCAGAUCUUAAUGAAAAGUGAAAUUAUUUUCUUUUUUACCUUUAAAGUUUGUACAUGCCAAAAACCAAAUUUGAUCACGCCAAAGCAUUUAAAUAGCUUGCAAGCAGUCAAUCCCUUUGCACAUGGUAAUCUAAAGGAUGAUAGUACAAUCAUAGCUUUCACAACCAAAGUGUAAAACUCUCGCCCUGUACAUGCGAUGAUUUAAGACCUCUAUAAUGACACCCCAUAAUCCCCAAUAUAUACAUCAAUAUGCCAUGAAUCCAGCCACAAAUAUGACUACUUUGACAAAGUAAGGAUACUGUCCUCCCAAAGAAUUUAGUGGCAAUAAAAUUUAGUUUUCACAGGUUAUAGGAAGGUCAUAAUUCUGCAAUAGAAUGUCAGUAGAACAGAGUAUGGUAAUAUGAUUGGAUGGACAAGAAAAAGAUCAAUUUAGCUAGACGUUAACUCAGACGUUAAGAAUUACAAAAGUCAAGAAGGCUCCAGCAAUUGCGUUCAUUGAGCUUGUCAUUCGUUUACUGCUUUGCAUCAAUACUGUGCCUAUAACUGCAUAUAAAGCCAAGUUUUGUUCAUAAGCAGAUGAAAGAAAUAAGAAAUAGGAACUUGGAAAGUCAGGAAACCAUGACAACUUCAAUAGGUAGGUAGAUAUUCUCGUUCAAGAUCUAAGUAAUCAGUGACUCUAAAAAGAUAUACAAUAUUUAAAGUGACAAGAGUAAAAUAACACAUAUACAGAGAUGGAAAAGUGCAAGUAUAUUUAACGUGUAAGUAAUAGAUUUAAUGCAGUAUAUUAUAUAUUUGAUCAUUAUAGAUCAAAGUACAGGUGAAACUGCAGAAGCCGAAACUGGAACAGAGAACAAGAGCUAGAUCAAGAUCAUGGUGAAGUAUUCUACAGCCACAUGAGCAAGCAUUCUAAAAGGAAUAUAGAACUAUGUUAUAAGAAGCCAGAGACCAAAAGGGCAAUAAGAAAAUAAUCAGGAUAGAAGAAGGCAGAUCAGUGGCAGGUGGGUCUGGCUGUUGGUAAACAAAUCAAGAAAUGGCCAGAAAGCAUAUUCAUUAAGAAGUUUAAAAAGGUAAAAAUACCAACCACAGAACUCAACACUCUAUCACCAAUGUAGGGGUAUUUUUGGAAUGAGAGGCUAAUGUACUAAAAACCACUCCAAUUAGUGGGGGCAGCUAUAAAUUUCCACAAUUACCCAACAGUGAAGGUGUUGAUAGGGGACCAUAAAACACUGUUCAUAACAUCAACUCCCACUUUUAGAUUGUUAGGAUUAGGACUUGUAGUAAAAGAACUGCUUAUAGUAACUUCUAUGCCAUGAUUUCUGUAAAGAGCAUGUGAACAUAGUUUCUGAUUCAGAUUUUUAACUGGAAUCUUUUCCCCAUAUCGUUUUAUAUUUGAUUGGUCUUAUUAAUUACCUAUUUUGUGCUCAUACCAUCUGAUAUUUGGUGCCCUUUUUUUUUACAUGGCUGUGACAGGGGGUUUUGGAACUUUUCUGCUUGCAAUGGAUGAGAAAACAUACAAAUUGAUAGGCGAGGAUUAUCCUGGUAACAGGGCAGAAGACGUUAAAAAUCCAGGAUUGUUGUGGAUGACAGGUUACCUGUUUAUUGUCAGUUUCCUAGGCCUUUUCAGCCUUGUCCCACUCCGUAAGGUGACUUUCAAUGGAAAAAAUUCCUUCGGUCUUGCUCUGCUGGUUCUAGGAAAAUAGCUCAUACCUUGCCACUAGGCUCUGACUUCUAGCUCAAGUCUUUUUAAUUUUUCCAGUCUUUUUUUUACAUAAUUUAAACACUGUUUCGUUGUCUAUUUCAUGACCUACUGAUAUAUCAGUUGGUCCUUUCCUUUUUCUUAAAUUAUAUGUGUUAGGAAAUUGACAAUGAUGAUUUUAAUUUGCAUUAUUAUUAUUGGCUUUCUAGAUAGACUCUUGCUUAUUGAAGUUGGGGAGUGGAGUCCUUAAUUCCCUCCCAUCCCCCCUUACUUGUCUUGUGUGUCAUUCAUUGUUAAUCUCUGAUUGCCUCAAUUUUAGGUUAUGGUCAUGGAUUAUAAGUUGACAUACCCCAGUGGAACAGCCACAGCAAUGUUGAUAAAUAGCUUCCACACAAAUGCUGGAGCUGAACUUGCAAGGCAAGCUCUGCUUUCUUAGUUCUCAAAUGUCUUUUGCUCCUGUUGGUUAAAAAUUGAGAGAAGCCCUGUCCUGUAUUUGUGUAGCACAGUAAGCAAAUUACAAUAAUGAAAAAUGACUAUAAUGUUAAAGAUAGGUGGAGGCAUGUUGCUGUGUGGUUCUUAUUUUGUGCAAACAGUUGUGUCUUUCAAUCUUUAGUCCUAAUUUCUGGAAUGUUAUAUCACUUUGGGCUUCUCAGGAAACAAGUGAGCUGUCUUGGGAAAUAUUUGAGCAUUAGCUUCUUUUGGAGCUGCUUCAAAUGGUUCUUCAGUGGUAUUGGGGAUUCAUGUGGAUUUGACAAAUUUCCUAGCCUUGGGUUGACAUUGUUUAAGAACACGUAAGCUUCUCUUCUGGUGAUUUAUCAAUGCUAGGUGCGGUUGAUUUCAAGUCCACACUGCAAUUUUUAGUGCAGCAAGUGAAUUUGAUUUUCAGUCUUUGCCUCUCCUUUAUAAGUCCCGAGAAAGGUAGCAAAUACUUGAAAUAGUUUAGUGUAAACACAUAUAAUUUCUUAUUCUCAUUGUUUCUCCUGACGUUGAAUCGUAAGAUGGUGCAAGUCCAUUGGAGACGUGGCACAUGUUGUAGAAUAUGUAGUUGCCAAGCUAGAAAAUGCCUGACUGAAAAUGCAUAGCUGUACAAGUGACUAGUUGCUUUGAUAGUACAAAUAGGUGUUGAAGCCACGCUAUUCAGUUGGUGAGUUAGUUUGUUCUCAAUAUGUGGUGGUAUACACAUAUAUCACACUUGUUAAAUGGAACAACUCUUUACCCCUAGGAGGGUGGUACUAGCUGUCAUAAAUGUAUCGAGAUAUCUUGUAUUCCUGCAUAGCUUUAUGCCUGAUCAGAUGAUAUUGAAAUAAGCAUCAAUUUUUUUCUUUUCAAUGGUAAAGAGAAGAAAAAGUGAAAGAAAGAGGAUGCUGUGGUUCAUCCACUUUUGUCUUAUUGAACAUGUCAUGGUUGACGUUACUAUUAUCCUUUAAAUCAAGAGCCCUUUGCUGGGGCCAUAUGCAAGUGUUAAUUUAGGAUCACGAGUGCAGAUUCCUUGUAGCACAUAUUACUGAUGCUUGUGUCUUGCUCUUGUCAUGCAGGUUUUAUUUUGACUUUAGUCCUAUCUAUGUAGGAUGUGGUUUGAUCUGCCCUCAUAUUGUCAGUUGCUCUUUUCUUCUAGGGGCCAUUAUCUCAUGGGGUUUUCUUUGGCCCUUCAUUUCUCAGCGUGCUGGUGAUUGGUACCCAGCAGACCUUGGCACCAAUGACUUUAGAGGUCUUUACGGCUAUAAGGUAGCUCAAGACAUUUUUCUUUAAGGAUGUCAUAAGCUAUGUGAUUAGGCAGAGCUUAACUAGUAAAGGCAGUUUUAACUGUGGCGGCUAAUAAAUGUGCUCUACGUUGUUAAAGCUUCCAUUUUUAUCCGCCCCUGAUAUUUAAUCUUUGGAAGUUUACAAGGGAAGAAAUAUCUUUAGAAAUAUUUGAGGAUCCAAAAGAUAGUCUGAUUAAAGGUCACCACGAAUACUGUCUUUAAGCUUUACUGUUCCUAUGAUGAUAUCAAGCAAGAUCAAGGGAUUAGUAUGUCCCACAACCUUAGUACCUCUACACUUGUGCAGUCCUACUCUAUAGACCAUAAUUGCCACAAGAAAAGGCUGAAUUUGUUUGAUGCAUGACUCUGCAACUGCCACACUUUGCAGUUGACAUGCCCUGCUUAUAAAGCUAUAAUGAAGCAUAAUGAAGCUCCAUCAGACAUACUUUCCCCUCUUCCUCCGGUAGAUUAAUAAAUUUGUGUUUGAAGUAUGUCACUGUGACCUCUUAAGGCUUUAUCAGGACUUUGGGGAUGGUACCAUAAAAUGAAUGGAAGUAGAUUUAGUAGACAGAGUCUGACUUUGCAUACUUCAUUGAUCCAUUAGAGGAGUUCAGUAAGGAGAUUUUAUAGAGGCAAGAAUUUCAAUCUCAAAAUUUUUUUUUUGUAUUUUGAUAAAGUCACUAUCAAGCUAUUUAGAUUCGCAUCAUUGCCAGACAUCCAUUUUGAUUAUGAUAUACAGCAGAAUAUCCUAUAUAAACUAAAUAAGAUUUUCAUGAUGAACUGGGAUGUUUUGUGUCAUAAUCUUAUUCUAUUAUUAUGUUUGCAGGUUUUCAUCGGUAUUUCACUUAGUUUGGGUGAUGGGCUUUACAAUUUGAUUAAAAUUACUGCAAUCAGUAUUAAGGAAAUGUGCAAAAUUAUCAUUAGCCAGAAGGAUCUUCCCAUUUUAGAAGAGGUCUUAGGUAAGAGUGGUAGUCCGUAUGGUUAUUUGACAUUUCUCAUUUAUAUUGUACUAGCAUUUUCUUUUUAUCUUUAUUAUAUCUUUCCAUUUUGCCUAUUUAAGUUGUUUGUGGCAUGAGCUCUGCAGUUGCAGGCGCAAUCAUAGAAAAAGAAACUUUAUCAUUUCUCCUUUAUAUUGUACUAGCAUUUCCUUUUGAUCUUUAUAUCUGUUUCAUUUUGCUUAUUUAAGUUGUUUGUGGCUUGAGCUCUGCAGUUGAAGAAAUAAUUCUUCUGACACUAUCCUUAUGUGGUUCCCUUCCAAGCACCAAACCCCACCCCACCAACCCCCCCGCCCCCAAUAAAAAAUAUAACAUUUCCUAAUUUGAGUUUGUACUAAAACCAUAGAUGGUCUGCACAUUCCUUGACUGCUAUAGUAUCAUGAAAUUGAUAUCCUAUAAUAAUAUUUAAACAGAUAACAAGAGUUCCAAAUCAUUGCUGGAGGGGAAAAAGAGGGAUAGAGUAUUCCUUAAAGACAGGAUUCCAUUCUGGUUUGCUGCCUCUGGAUAUGUUGGCUUGGCUGCAAUAUCCACUGCUACAAUACCAAUCAUGUUUCCUCCUCUUAGAUGGUAUUUGGUAAUUUGGUCAUAUAUCAUCGUUCCUGCUCUUGCCUUCUGCAAUUCCUAUGGAGCUGGGCUAACAGACAUGAGCAUGGCCACGAUAUAUGGCAAGAUGGGCCUUUUCACUUUUGCUUCAUUAGUGGGAAGUAAUGGUGGUGUUCUCGCUGGGUUGGCAGCUGCUGCGGUAAUGACGUCCAUUGUCGCAACUGCAGCUGAUUUGAUGCAGGAUUUUAAGACAGGCUAUCUGACUUUGUCAUCAGCCAAAUCUAUGUUCGUUAGUCAGUUAAUUGGAACAGCCAUGGGGUGUGUCAUUGCACCGCUCACAUUUUGGUUGUACUGGAGCGCUUUCGAUAUUGGUUCUCCCGAAGGUCCAUACCAAGCACCGUUUGCCGUGGCGACUAGGCAACUGGCUAUUUUGGCGAUUCAGGGCUUCUCUGAACUUCCUAAGCAUUGCUUGGCAUUUUGCUUGGUUUUCUUCGCUGCAGCUCUUCUUAUAAACUUUUUGAGGGAUGUCGCCCCUAAAAAGGUGUCACAGUUUAUUCCUAUACCAAUUGCAAUGGCAUUGACAUUUUAUAUUGGAGCUUCCUUUGCAGUUGACAUGUUUGUUGGUACUGUAGUACUUUUUGUUUGGGAGAGGCUAAAUAGAAAGGGUGCAGAAGAUUAUGCACCAGCUGUUGCCUCAGGUUUAAUAUGUGGUGACGGAAUUUGGUCAAUUCCUUCAGCAGUCCUUUCUAUCUUUAGGAUUAAUCCACCCAUAUGUAUGUACUUUGUCCCUUCGUAGAAGUAGCUAGAACUAGGGAUUCUUAGCCUUGGUUGGGCAAUCCCAUCUUUGCCGUUGACUUCUGGCCAUAAUCCACCAAGGAUUAACUAUUUGGAUUAGCUAUUUUUAAGUAUGUUUUUAAAAUAUUUUAUUGUAACAGUAUAUAUGAAAAACUUUUGUACAAGAUUUUUUUGAGUUAUUUUUGUUUGUUUAUAUGUUACUGUAGCAUUGUAUUUGAAAAAUUUGUUUUUAAAAAACAGGGAAAUCGAAACAGUUUGUUUACACAAUUUCACUUGGGAUCUAUCUUUCACUUAAUUUUUUUUUCCUUUUUUUAUGGUUGAGUAUCUACUCCAAAAUUAGCUACUAAACUUGACAUAUCUUAUGCAUGAAAAACAAAUGUAAAACCAGUUCCCCCUCCCUAGCGUUACUUGCAAGAGAGUGAAAACAAAAAUAUUUUAGCCAGUCUCAGUCUCAUUUUACAUGUUUAUUUGACUUUAUCCAGCCUAAUCUAAAUAAUGCAUAAUAUUUUAUAUAAAUGCCAUUCCAAGGUGCCUGGCUGCCUGCUGAAAGAUUGAAGAAAUUAUUUCCCAAUUUGAUUGGCAGAAAUCAGAAUGCUUUUGGACAGGGUUGUAUUGUCGAGGGACUAUCAUAAAGAGGGUAAUAGGUCCAGAUGUGACCUUAAAAUAUAUCACAUGCAUGAAUGAAUGCAUAUGACAUUUUGUUGCAUGGAAUUUUCUGUUUGACAUAUUAUGGAGUUGAUAGGUUUCCUUCUACUUUUUUUAGGUUGGAUGCAGAAUUGUGUUCAAACCGCCUCCUUUUCUUUGUAAUGGAUGAUUUUUUUUUCUUUUUUUUUUUAGGAUUCAGACGAGAUGAUCCUACUAAUAUAUGAAAUGUGAAAACCUGAUUUAUUUGUUCUUCUUGAUUCUACUAACAUAUGUAAUUAGUUUGAGAUCCUUAGAUGUACUUUUGCUGGUGCGACAUCUUGCUAGCCGAUAACUUUUGAGCAGCAUCCACGAGUUCCAAGUUAUUAAUUGAUAGAAAGUAACCUAAGUAAUGUCGUUAAUUAAACUGUCAUUAUUACCAAGAAAAAAAUUCCAAGUCACUGAUAGCCCAAUGGACCAGAACAUAUGUACCAAUCCUGGUUCCUUCAAACCAAUAUGGGAUCUCUCAACUCUUCUCAACAAAGGAUUAUCAGUGCUUGGCGGACAAAAUCACUUUCAACAGUGAAGAUUCAGCUAUGGAGUUCGACUACAAUUAGCUAAAUCCAUGCUAUCUAGCAUUCAACUUUGUUAGACUAGUUUUUUCAUCUUACUUAAAGCUGUCUAUUGAAGAAGACUGAAAGCUUGCCGUCCUCAUCUUUUUUAACUGGUCAAAGAGGCAAGUAAGCUUCCUGCCAGAGUUUCAUGGAAGUAUGUAACAUGUAUACCCUUUAAUUAAAGCAGGAGGGCUUGGCAUUAGAAGCUUGGUGCUCCAAAAAAAUAUAUUAAAAACUCUCUUUUGGAUAUUUUGGGUGCAUCCUUUGGGUAUAUUGUCUAAGUUUCUCCUGAAAAUUUAUUUAUUUAUUUUUUGAUUAAAUAGGAUCAACAGUGAUUCUUCACUUAAUUCAUCGACAACUCGAAUCCGUGACCUGUUGGUUACAGAUGAAACGCCUUACCAAUUAAGUUGCGCUUCACUGUCUUUCUAAAAAAUUUUAAAGCACUGGGUUGUACUAAACAAAGUUAUGUAGCUGAGAUCAUUGCAGAUAACUAGUCGAAAUGGUCCGAGGGUCCUAGGAGGAUCCCUGAGGUAAAUGAAACUUUCCAAUUAUGGCCGGCCUAUGGCUUUUAACACUAAAAGAAGACUUGCAAAAUGCAGGUUGCCUUUUGAUUUUUCGAGUCUGUGACUGGACUUUGAAAACAAUUGCAAUGUGUUUUUGUGCCCAAACACUAACUGAAAAUAAUCAAUGGUGCAUAGUAUUUUAUUUGGUUUCCACUUACAUUCGUCUAGAAAUUACUCUAAUGAUAAGAUUCGAUUCAGAUGCAGGAUAAUGCCACCACAUCUCCAUGUGAAAAGAAAGAGUAUGACACAUCGCAUUGGGAAUGGCCAAAGAAUUUUUAAUACCACUUGUUGACCACAAUUUUAAGUAUUUAUUUGAGGUUUGCAAUCAAACCAUACGCUAUAUAUAUUAUAACAAUGAUCGUAGAGGCUAAAACAACAAAGUUUAUGGACGUUUAGAUAAUAACACAAAUAAUUAUAACUUUCAAUGCGCGCUAGUUUAUGUAUUUGAAGUUACUAAUAUCUAUUGUUGAGAUUUGUUAAGAGAUAUAUUGGCAAAGAUUAUAUUAGUUUGCUUCUUGUAUACUCUAUAAAUAGAGAGUUCGUGAACGAAGAAUUAAAAAAUUUUUCAUCUCUUCUAUACAAGAUUUUAUUAUAAGCCCCUUUUUUAAUAUAAAGUGCUGGUGUUCUUUCUUAGUUUAUACUCUAAAUUUCAAUAAAUUGGCAUCAAAUGCCAAUAACUUGACACUAGUAUAGUUUCUUUUUUCUCUGUGAUAAUAUUUUAGUACUCCCUCCAUCCCAUAUAUUUAGUCAUGUUUGGGGAUAUGUGCUUUUUAUCUAUAGUACACUUCACAAAAAAAAAUUUCCUUAGUUUCACUUUUGCCCUUAAUCAUGUGCUGAUCAAAGUAAAAAGUAGAGAGCAAUCUCAUUACAUUUGUCUUUAUGCAUCAUUAAUGAAGAGUAUAAGGGAAAUUUCAGAGUAUAAACUAGUUAAAAUGGCAAAUAUGAUAAAUAUUUUGGAACAGCCAAAAAAGAAAAGUAUGAUACAUUCAGUAGGACGGAGUGAGUGUUAGCAUUUGUUGUCUAGCAUCUGGACCUGCUAUAUUAAUUCACAUACUUUAUGAAGCAAUUAUUAUUGACCAUUUUCUGCAGGGAACCCCACCCCAACCAGUGAAUUUACACCUGUAAAAUUUUUAUUGCAAUCUGCUGAGUGUUUGCCAACGUGAGCUUCAACCUGCAUUUGCAGAUGUUCAUGAUGAAAUAUUUGAAUUGUUACUUUCCAUGUUUGCUUAUUCAUUUUCUCCAGGCUUGCUUUGCCUUGACUACCCCACCCAAUAUCACAACUGAUCAAUCUGCUCUUCUUUCAUUGAAACCUCUAAUCACUUCAGAUCCCUUAGCCAAAAACUGGUCUGUGGCAUUUCCUGUAUGUCAAUGGACAGGAGUCACUUGUGGUGCUCGUCGACAAAGAGUCACUUCUCUGAAUAUUUCAAACAUGGGUUUUACAGGGAUGAUACCUCCAACCCUUGGGAAUCUAUCUUUCUUGGUUUCUCUCGACCUGGGUGGAAACGAUUUCCAUGGCCAACUACCCCAUGAAUUAGCACAUUUACGCCGAUUAAGAUUCCUUAAUCUAGGAAUCAAUGACUUCAGUGGAGAGAUUCCAUCAUGGUUGGGGUAUUCUUUCCCGAAACUCCAAUACCUGAACCUUGCAAACAAUAGUUUUCUCGGUUCUAUUCCACCCUCAAUAUUUUCUAAUAUAUCAACUCUACAGCAGUUGCAGUUGUCAUUCAAUAAUCUAGAAGGGACUAUUCCAAAAGAGAUUGGAAAGCUUCACAAUCUGAAGAAAUUGAUCUGCCAACGUAACCAGCUUUCAGGUUCUCUACCAUCUGAGAUCUUCAAUAUCUCCUCCCUUGAAAUAAUUGCAUUACGAGCCAACCAUCUAUCCGGUAGUCUUCCUAGUGAUAUGUGUCGCAGACUCCAGAAACUCUUCUGGCUUAACCUAUCGGAGAACAAGUUCAACGGUGAAAUACUAUCAACGUUGUCUCAAUGCUCGGCACUUCAAUCGCUAUCCUUGUCAUACAACAAUUUCACUGGGAUCAUACCAAAUGAAAUUGGGAACUUGACGGAACUCAGCUUCUUUAUCUUGGUUCUAACAAUUUAGAUGGUACGCUAUUGUUUCUUGCCUCUAGGGAGGGGAUCGGGGUUGUCUGCAGUUUGCAGAAGCAAUUUCAUGGUGUGGUCUGUAGCCGGCUCUGGUUGAAUGACAUUGCCUUGAUCUAGAAUGUCCAUGUCAAAAUUUUAAUGAAUGUUCUGGAUCGAGUAAAUCUAAUUCACCCCACCCCAUUUUUUUUUUUUUUUUUUGUAAAUUUAUGGAUGAUAAAUAUCUAUACAUCAGCUUGGAUAGGAGAUUAAUUGGGAAAAAAAAAUAUCUAAAAUAAUAUCUUAGUAUUUUUUAUGAUAUGAUGUAUAUGAAAUUUAAAAAAAAAAUGAUUGAAAUUUAUGCUUAUGAUGUAAGUAUAAUAAAAUUUGAUUUUUUUUUUGGUUGCAAACAUUGAUAACCGAACAAACUAAAUAUUUUAUUACAAACUUUUUAGGUGAACUUGGUAGGCAGCUUCAACUCUAGACCUUUUGGCUAUUCAAGUUUUAAGAUAAUCACUGUGACACUAUAUAAUAUUACUCUACCUCAAAUUGUUAACAUCAUUUGAAAUUACAAUGAUGAUUAGGGCAUUUAAAGACCACAACGUAUUUGUCCAAAAAUUUGCCAUAUUUGCUAUAGUUAUUUUGCAGGAUAGUUAUUAAACACAACUUGACCACCAACCUAGCAAGCGGACUGGUUCAAUGAGUUUGCAGUUUAAUUAUUAGUUUAAUUAUUGGUCGACUGGUUGAAUUGGUGGGUUCUACGGUAUGAUAACUAGUAUGUUUGAAUAAUUUUAUUUACUAUAAAAUAGAUGAAUAAUCUAAAAUAAUAUUGUGGACCAAGAGCUGCUAAUUACUUUGUAAGCUCUAGCAUACGAACAAAGCUAGAGGUUGCCUACCGGAACCUCAUCAAUGGAAAAAUGGGAAUCUUUUGAAGAUUGUCGGGUCACACUAAAUUGAACUGACCCGGUUAUUUGUUUUUUACGGAUUGAACCGAUAAUUUUUUGACUUUUCAAUAGGUUUCUUUCUAUUCAAUCAAAUUGGAAAUCUGAAUCAGCGAAGUGGUUGGUUUAUUAGAUUGAUCGAUUGAAUUGUCAAGUCAAGCCGUUUUAAUGUUUUUUCACCUACUUAUCACCACUAGUCCUGUGCAGAUGGGAGAUUGCAUAUUAAUGUGUCCUAGUAUUUUCUGUCUUAAUCAAUCAAAAAUUUUUCCCCCAACUUUCCACCCCUAUUCUUCUCCUUCCGUCAUCUAUAAGAUCAUAAAAAUCCUUCAACUGGUUAAGAAACUAGGCAUAUUCACUCCCUUUAAUUUAGAUAGGGUUUAUCUAAUGAAUGUUUAGUGAGUACUAAUAAGUAAAACUUCCUGAUUUAGUGGUCGAGAAAGUGUCAAAAUACAAGUGGUGCAAUAGACUUAAUCCGUGCCUCUGCCCUCUUAUCCUAUGUGUUAUUCUAAAGUCCUUCAAUUUCCUUUAACCCAUACGAUGCCUUAGGAUGAGGAAGGGAAAAUGUAGGUUUCUUGAUGAGGUAUUCCCAUAAUUUCAUGUAAAACCUUCCAGCUAAAUCGUAUUUCAAUUAUUCAACAAUCAUAGCUACUGUUUCUUCUUUUAAUAUAUAUAUUUUUAGUGUAAGUGAGAUGUUUCAAAUUCAGAACUUCUCAUUUAGACUCUUUCACCCGGUAUCUAACCACUGUUAAACAUAGUAAAAUUGAGGUAAAUGUAUGUAUUCAAAUUUGAGGAGAAUUAGGUGUCAUUUUAAGAUACCUCAGCUGAGGUUUGUUAAAAUAUCACGUUUAACUUUUUUGCUUAAAAGUUACUUAGACUAGAAAAGUCUCUCAAAUUGCACAAGUAAUGCGAUGCAGAGUCAAAUACCUGUAUACUUUCUUCCUUUUCUAUUAUGAUUUUCUUGUUCAUAUCAAAAGUCGAUUGUGUUGAUGGGUCCCUAAUAAUUCUUCAUAUCAAGGUGUAAACAUUCCGUUUCUUCCUUUGUCCUCGAUGAUCUUCUUGUUUAUGUUAAAUCUCCCCUGUAAUUGUUUAUGCAAUUAGCAGUUUAGCCUAAACUUCAUGUAGUUUCGUCCGUGUUUUUCAGGCACAAUUCCAGGAGAGAUUGGUAAAUUAACCAUGCUUAAUGAACUAGGGCUUUCAGGGAAUAAUCUAACAGGUGAAGAUGCAACCCCAAGCCAUAAAAGUUGCAUUAAUAGUUCAUUCUGAACCUCAACUUCAUGUAGUUUAUUUCAUGUUUUGCAGGCAAAAUUCCAGGAGAGAUUGGUAACUUAACCAUGCUUGUGUCACUAUCAGCUUCAUAUAAUGAUCUUAUAGGUAAACAUGCAAUCCAAGCAUCAACAGAUGAGAAUCAGUUUAUAUAUCCUUAUGUUCAUACCAGUGUGAUCCUAACCAUCCAAAAAUUUUCAUCUAUUUCUAUCUUUCCUGAUUCAUUUCUAAAAGAAUCUCUAAAAGACAGAAAUGUUUUACAAAAACUAUGAGCAUCUUAGGUUCUGUAUGUCUCGUUUUGAUAUGAAGGCCUACGUAUUUAUGGUUCUGCACUCCCAAUCUCUUCCCUUCUCUGGUAACAAAUUGCAUUUUUACAGGAUUAAUACCUCAAGAGCUUGGCAAUCUAUACAACCUUGAAAUCCUUCAGAUCAAAAACAAUAGUUUAAGCGGUUCAAUACCAGCAGGGAUAUUCAAUCUCUCCAGGCUGAUAUCCCUUUUUUUUGCAGCCAAUCAACAUUCUGGAAAUCUUCCACAAAGUAUGGAUUUUGGUCUUUCCAGUUUAACAGAACUUGUUCUGUCCAUGAAUAACUUAGGUGGAGUUAUACCAAACUCAAUCUCCAAUUGUUUUCAACUUAAAUUCCUUGAACUAUCAUCAAACCAAUUCAGAGGAUCUAUUCCUUGCUCCCUUGGGAAUUUAAGCUUUCUUCGAUAUUUGGGCCUUCAUAUUAACAAUUUAACAAGUGAACCUUCACCUCCAGAACUGAGCUUUAUCACCUGUCUGGCAAAUUGCAAGAACUUGAAGGUAAAUGAAGUAAGCUAUAAUCCGUCGCUGAUUGGCUAUUUGCCUGAUUCUAUUCAAAAUCUUUCUAGUUCCCUGGAAAUGUCCUCGGUAUCAAGUUGUUAUAUCAAAGGCAUCAUACCAAAUGGAAUUGGAAACCUAUGUGGUUUGACAUCAUUAUAUAUAGACAAUAAUCGGGUUGAUUGGUUCAAUUCCUGAUGCUAUUAGUCAGUUGCAAAAGCUUCAAGGAUUGUAUGCCAACAGCAACAAAUUAAGCCAUAUCCUGUCAGAUAAGCUCUGAUCUUUACAGAGCUUGGCUUACCUAAUUUUAAGCCAAAAUCAAUUUUCAGGGUCGAUUCCUGAAUGCUUGGGGAACAUUACUUCUUUGAGAUCACUUUACCUGGAUUCAAAUUCAGAGGUCCAACAGCCAUCAGCUUCAACUUCUCAACAGCCUUAAGAGUCUCAGGUUCCAAAGCAUCGAACUUAUUUACAAGAACUUUUGGUGUUUCUUCUUUUUCCAGUAUCUCAAAAUGUUUGUAGAUCGUGGGCAAAGCAAAACUGUAAAUGCCAGGAUUUGAAGCCAGCAAAAAUGAAGGGAGAUCUCUGCUAGCUAGAGUUGGCAAUCCAGGUAAAUGAAUUGUUUUACUGCUAGCACUAUCUCUAAUAGUUUCUCCACAGCCAUUGGAGAAACAAUAGUAGAUAUCAAAAAGGGCUGCUGCCUGAAUCCAAAGAAGAGUUGAUGGAAUCUGAAGCUGAUGAGAAAGUUGACCUACCCAGGAUAAGAGUGUGGUGUAGACCACAUGAGUGAUUGCUUGUCCCUUAUUGCUCUGAGCCGCGAUGAGUUCUUUCAGGGUUUGAGAGCCAUGACUUUUUUGAGACGUCAUAUAUUCUAUAAAAUCAUCGUUACCCGUCCAGCCAUGGUCAUAACCAUCAGAGAAAGGAACAAUACUUAAUUUUUCUGGUAAGGAAUCUGAGGUAUUAUUCAUGCGCUUGAUUGCUCCAAGACUGGUUGAAAAUGUUGUCUUAACACCCAAUUUUGCCAGGCGUUUUGCAAAUUGGAGGGUGCGAUUGAUAUGGCCUUGCGCAGGAAAUGUUACAACAAGAAAAUGGCAAUUCUCCAUUGAUGGAGUCUUUUGACUUGGAGAUACUUGGUUUUUCAGUGCAUUCGAAGAGAGAAGUUGUUUGUAGGUUCAAGAAGGAUUGGUAUGCUGAGUUACAAGUAUGUGAUGCUCUGAAUCUCUGAUUAUAGAUAUGGUACAAUGGUCGUUGUUAGAAUUAAAUUAUGUAGGGCCAAGGCAGUGAAUUGUGAUGUUUGUGUUGACGCUUGGGAGGAGUAUCCACAGUACUUCAUUCUGGACAAAGCGUGGGUACAAAUAGCACCUUUGUACAAUUGUACUGAGAUCUUAAAUUUUAUGCAUGUAUAUCAAUUCAAUGUAUAAAUACACCUUGAUCUAUAAAUUUACAUCAAAUUCUAGCACAACAAUUGUGCACCAAACCUUCUAUACCAGUUUCUAUCCCUAUCAACUGAGAUCUUACUUUGAUGUUUAAAAUGGAUGCACAACUUCUUUUAUCUUGUAUUCAGUCUAGAAUUUUUACCAAGCAUACAUUAUUCUCUUAUUGGAUUGCUAUGACAACCAAUAAUACUAGCUAGUGCCCUGAAAUCCAAUUGGAAUUAAGGUACAUGCAUGUUUUGUUUUGGAUUCAUCUGAAGUGGAAAGUUCAACAAGCGCUAAAUAAUGCAUAUAUAAUCUUACUCAUUGUAGAGCUAUCCAACAAUCCUCAAGGAAUCUACUUCUGAAAAUAAACAACAUUUGGUAUGUGACAAUUCGGUACUUCAGAAUAUCUGGUUUUAAUUGGUCUAAUUCCUCUUUUGUUUGAAGAAUACCCAGUUUUAAUUGGUCUAUUGUCCCCUUUAAUGCUAUACAAGUUAAAAGAGAAAAAUAUAUUAUAUUAAUUAAUUUUUAGAUACGUAUAUAUUUGUUUCAUGUUUUACGUUUUUUUUAAUACUAGUGUAGAUAUUCCAAUAAAAUUAUAUUUUUAUCAACAAGGAUAGCCAAUGGAUCUCCGACUUGGGAAUUGAAAAGAAAAACUAUGAGAAGAAGAUGAAGCUGAUAGGCAAGUUAAAGCUUUAAGUUUCAGUCUAACAACUCUUACACAUGAUAAAUUAAAUUCAAUAUCAAAAAGGAAUAUCUGACCUUAUCUUUUAAAUAUUUUUUAAUCUUAUAAUAGUCCAAAAUGAUCCCAUGAUACUUUUCAAGAUUACUCCCUCCAUCCCAAUUAUUUUAUCAUGUUUCAGCUAUCCAAUUUUGUAAAAAAAGUGAUUUGAAUUUGAAUAGUGAUAUGCAUAGGUUUCUCACGAUUUCACUGGCCUCCCUUGAAAUUUGUAAAAUUACACUUAUCUCCCUUGACAGAAUUGUGAGCCUAGUUACUUAUAUCACAUGGAGAGAAACUACUCAUAGACCCUAAGGCAUUAUGCCAAAUUAGAAACUAAUAUCUAAUGAUUGAGUAAUUAGAGCACUAAUUAACUAUUAAUAACCAACUAAUGGAAAUAACUGUUGGAAAUUUCUUUAAUGAUGAACGAUUACUUGCAAUUACAAAAUAAUGUCAAUUGAUAUAUCAAAUGGCACUAUCUUAUGAUUGAUAAAACUUGACAAUGACUAGAAAUAAGUUGUAUACACUAUGAGAAGAAAGGCUUUGGUAGAACAAAAAAAACAUAGGGCAAAAGAAGGUUGUUAAUGAGGAAAUUUUCUUUGAAACUCUUAAAGUUGUGAUAGUUGUAAAAUAAUUUCGUGGAAACAAAUGAUAAAGGAGGGAAAAGAAAGGCAAAAUUCAAAGUUAUUUUCUGUUCAAAAUUAUAAGAAUCAUAACAAACCUCAUGUUAAGGACGAUGAGUGGUCUAUUUUGCUAAAUCUUGUGAUCAUUAGUAUAGUUUUGUUGCUUAUUUGUGUUGUCUAAUGUAUUAAAUGUGAACUUUUUGAAUAGUGAAAUGUGCGUGUUGAUUAUUUGUAACUUUUAAUUAUUUUCAUUCUUUUAUUAGCACAACUUAUAUACAUGUUUAAGGGAUAUUUAUGAAAUAAAAGUUUCAUAGAUAUUUAUAAAAUAAAAGUUUCAUCUCUCAUCUUAAAAUACUUUUUAAAUGUUUUUUUUUCCUGACUUGGACUAAUUUUGUUGUCAAGACUUUAGACUCGAUCGAGGGAGGUUCAUGUAAUUUAACAAACCACAUAGGAGGCUAGUGAAAUUCUUAGAAAUCUUAGGAGAGAUUUCUGAAGUUAUUCCAAUAUGCAUAUGAUUAAAGGGAGGGACUAUAUUAAAAGGAAAGACUAAAAUAUGUUUUAACUUUCUCAACGUAACAAAUAUUUUGAAACAUUCUAAAAUGGAACACUUUAAGAGGAGUACAUGAUAGCAGUAACAUUGCUCAAUCAUUCCCGUACUCAUGUCACUAAAAGGUCAUAUAUACUGUCAUGUGAUGGAGGCUUUCAAUUCAGUGGGAUCAGCAAAAUGAUGCACAGCCCUGUAGGUCAUGUUCAAAGAAGAGCACAAAAUUUUAGCAUAGGCAAUUGUGAUUAAUUAGAGAGGAAAUAGGAUUAGAUUAAAGAGUGAUAAGUAGGAGAUUAAGCUUAGAAUCGUAAAUUAAAACAAAAAAUCCGUAAAUUAUUGAAAAUAAAGAAUGGAUAAUAAGAAGGUAAAUGGUUUAUGAGAAUUGAAAAGUGCUUAAACUUGUCAUUAGAAGGUAUAUCCAGAGCUACUUGGACACCUCCAUGUUCAAACUAAACGCGGUACUCUUAAUAUUCUGUGUUGAACCUGAAUACAGGAUCUAAGUUGCAUAGGUCGAACAUUGAAAUACGGCCCGGUACAAAGAAAUAAAUUAGGGGUGGACUGAAUCUAACAAGCCAAAACUCUAAUAUUCAACUAUGUUUGUUCAUUUUGACAAAUUUAAAUUGCGACUUGACAGGAGUCGUGCCUGUGCAAUAAUAAAUACCUGCUUAAGAAAAAUAAAUUUUCUGUGUAUAGUAGUAAGCAGGGUCGAAUCCACAGGGACUGGAAAAAAUUUGAUUCUUUUUAAAUUCGAGACACGGGGGAUUUUUAUCAGAUAAAACUAAAAAUAAAUAAUUAAACAAUUUAACUAAAAAUAAUUAACCAAAAAUAAAUAAUUAAUUAAUACAAUUGUAAAUAGCAAUUAAAUAAAUGAUAAAUAAAUUCUAGCCAAGGAUACAACUACGCAGACACAGUCCAUUCAUCCGAUCAUUGAUGCAAAGAAGGUUCACUUAAUUUAAUUAAUAGGCUAGUUAUAGUCGCCGAUAAGCUCUAACGACCAACUUUUCCUUAAUUUAUUGAUAACCAAGGUACGACCGUUGAUUACCUCUAACUAGGAAAUACUCCUAGGUACGACCGUAGGAAUUAAUUUCCUAAUUGCAUUAAAAACUAGAAAAGCCUAACCCAAAUUAAUAACACGCUACGAGGGUUAUUUAAAUCAGAUUGCAUGUUCUCCUAGUAUGUGAAAAUACUAGUUGUCACUAAUAUUAACCAACUAAACAAUUACGGAUUUAAUUGAUUAAUUUGACAAGAGAUUAAUAAGUCAAAUUGCACAUCGGGCCCUUGAUAUCCAAUUAACAAAAUAAUCCCAUAGAAAUUAAAAUAGAAAACAUGCAAAUAUUAACAAAUUAAGGAACACGUAAAAUUAAUUAGAUCUCACAGAUAUUUGGGACUGCGUCUUCGCGUUGAUCCUUGACUAGAGGAGAAGAUUAGCCACGCCUCAUAAGAAAAUUCCCACGCAAUUUAAUUGAACUCAAAGACAUUUAUCUCUUACUAAUAAUUAAAAAUAAGAAUUGUAUUCUCUGUAGUCUAAUACAAUAAAAAUUAGUCUCAUGGAAGAGACGGAAGAAAACAAGACACACGAGAAAUCUUCACCCCAAAACUAAAAACUUCUCUUCCCAAACGGAAGAGAAGAAGAAAAACUGAUUCUGUAAAAAAUGUCCGGCCCUCUCUCAUUCUCCUCUGCACUAGUUUUAUAUGAGAACUAGUUACGUAGGAAGCAAAUAGAAAAGCUACUUUCAUCAUCAAAGUCCACCUAUGGCUAAUGAGUACAUCUCCCAAAAGAAGAACACAUUUUCUAAAUCAAUGUUACGUGGUCCCUGCAGAAUUCUCUCCUUUUGACUUCUUAUUGCUAGUGGACUUGUCAGGACUUAAUAAUAGGAAGGCAACUCUUCAUCAGCAAUUCCGUUGGUUUGCACAAUUUGGGCUGAUUGUGGAAAGCUUUUAGAAGCUUUCACGUGUGGAGAGAUCUUCUCAAGAAGGUUCCCUUUUAGCACUUUUCUGCUCCACUUUCUGAAAUUAUAUCCAAAUACCAAAUAUAAAUAUAUAUUGACAAUUAAAGCAAUAUUUGGCAAGGAUAAAGAGGAGAAUUAACAAUAAAAUUACUAACAAUUAACAUCCUAUCAAUUCCCCCCACACUUAAAUCAUGCUUGUCCUCAAGCAUGGGAACAACUAAAUUCAACAAUGGCUAACUCUCAUUUCAUUUACUGCCAAGCUAUGCUUAUCCCAAAAUCAAGUUUUAGUGGCUAAGUGUCAAGACAUAUUUCUCCCGAUUAGCUCCUGAAAUCAUAGACUCGUCCAAUUCAUGGCUAACUCGUCUAAGAAAUUAAAAUAUUAAACUAGCAAAAGUUAGCAAUUGGGUCAACUGAAAAUCAAAAUCUCAACAUUGAAGAACAAGGAUCGGCAGGCCAAUAUGAUCAUAAGUUUACACAUUAUUUUAUUCUCUCUCUCUUUUUUUUUUUUUUAACAAUUAAUUUUUUUUUUUCAAAAAUGCUCAGUCCCAAGCUAUUCAAGUCUUUUGACGUGAACUCUGACAUUUUUAGAUGAAAGAGCCCAGUUACUCAACUUUUCACAGCUUCAGGACUAACUACUCAUAGAUAUCGCCACUUUUUGACGCGAAAGUCGACACUUGUGGUGAAAACUCCCGGUUACUGGGUGACGGCACUAGCGGAGUAGAGUCAUUUAUUAAUCACAAUUAAAGUAUCAGAAUACCAGAUAAUUAAAGAUCAUGGCCCACGUCAUCUCCUAAUAUGGAGAACUAAGAUCAACAAUUGCCCAAUCCACAUAACAAUUGCUAAUAAAAUAUUUAAAUUGCCUAAACAAGUUAACCACAAUUUGCACCAAGUCAUUAAACUCAUGAUAUUCACCAAGAUAACAUGCGUUUACUUGCCAUCUAAACAAAAUUCAUAGGAUAAAUCACAACCAGCAAUAAACGAAUGAAUUGCCAUAUUUAUUCAUCAAAACACUAGUAAGAAAGGCAGUAAAUUAAAGAAACACCAAUCAAAACUAAACCCAAAUCCCCCCCCACACUUAAAUCACACAUUGCCCUCAAUGUGAUAAUGAAACAGUAAAAAUAAGAAGAAGGACAACGAAACUCCCCUGAAGCUGGUGCCAGCUAUUAGCACCUGUAGUUGGAGGAGGCGGAGCGGAGGUCAAAGGGUCGGGAUCGUGGUUUCACCAUUCUUUCCAAAUUGUACUAAAUAAAUAAAAAUCAAGCAAAGUAAAAAGAAACAAGCAAAGUAACACAGAAGUAUCCAACUAAGGAUGAAUAGAAAUGUCAGGUAGUCCAAACACGCAAAAUUUUCAAAAACGUACUGUAAUAAAAAUAAUAAAAACAUACUGCAAUAAUAAAAUAAGAAAAUAAAAAAAAAUAAUAGAAAGAGAUUGAGGCAGGCGCGUGCAUACGAAGCCAGUGGUGCGAUGAAGGUGGUGGCUGUGAGAGAGAAGAGUUUGCGGCAGCUGGAUCUGGUGGUGCUCAGCGACUGCGGGUGGUGGGCGACGGGUUGGGGUAGCGCGCGCGAGGGAGCGGCGGGAAAAUUAUUUGGUUUUGUCCACAAGGGGAACCUAUAUAGAAUUCAUAUAAAAUAUAAGAAUUGUCUAUAAACAUACCACUAAUUUUCUGAAUCCUUUAUUCUUUAAGCUAGCUUGUAAAUUAACUACUAAAUGAUUGUAUGGCUUAGUUACUAGUAGGCUAUUUGCAGUCAAGUUCUCAUAAAAGCUUUUCCUAGAUGGUUCAAUUGCAAGGCACAGUUGUCGUACAUAAUCGGCAAAUAAUUGGCGAUGCCCUCAAAUAAAAUGUAAUAUGAAGCGAUACAUUUCAGGAAGAAAGUUUAGGAACACAUGAGUCCUUAUUUAGUGUCGAAAUGGUCAAAUAUAGCAAUUGGCAAAAUUUUUACACUAAGUGCUACAUGAGUAGUGUUCAUUAGAAAUAGGGUAAUAGGGAGAGUUUGUUUUCGUAUCUUGUUUAUAUGGGAUGUGUUUGGUUUAAACCAGUUCGUGAGGUGAUAUAUUAAUAAAGGGAUAAUUUCAGAAACCUCCUUUAAAGUUUUUGACAAUUUCAUUUAAAUACCCUCUAAUAUUAAAAAUUGCCAAUCGAAAAUGUCCUUGAUUUAGUUGUUAUUUUGAAAUAGUAAAGGCAUUACUCACUUUUUCAGGGGGAAAUUACUGAAAGACUUCAUAUUACACGAGAAUAUUUUGACAUCACAUCAGGUGCCUUCAUUGAAGGGACACAUUAUUACAAAUUCACACAAUUGAAACAUCGAUCUAGCAAGCAAGUACAUAGACUGCAUAUUACAAAACACUAACCAAGCUCUUAUUUGUACUUCACGCUACAAACCGCACACUAUCACAACGAGCGUGUUUAAGAAUUCAUGGCUUUACUAGUUCUGAGGCUCAGCCUCCACGGCUUGACCACCACCAUAACCACCGUGGCCGCCACCAUAACCUCCUCCACCUCCAUAGCCGCCGCCACCAUAACCACCAUGGCCAUAACCACCGCCAUAACCACCAUGGCCAUAACCGCCAUAACCACCAUGGCCAUAACCACCAUGGCCAUAACCACCAUAACCACCAUGGCCAUAACCACCACCAUAGCCGCCGCCACCAUAACCGCCACCAUAACCGCCGCCACCAUAACCUCCACCCCACUUGGCUUCUUCUACGCCUUUCGUCUCAUCAACAGUCUUGGCUGCAAUUGGGAAAAAAUAAUGUACGCAUGUUAGUGUGAUUAGGAAUGACUUUGUCAAAUAAAAUCAUUUGGGGUCAAACAACUUGAAAUACUAAAAUUUUCAACUAGUUUGUGUACAUGAUUUUACUACAUCCCGAGUCAAACUUGAAUGAACACCUUAGUUAGAUACUUAGAUUAAUUACUAGGACUCAUCUAUGUUUAUUGAUACUUCAACCCCUUACAUGAAUGUCCAACUGAUAUUAUUACGUAAUCAGAAAUGUGAAAUUCUAUGGUCCUCUUUAUGUUAAUAUAUGUUAGACAUAAACUUAAGAGAAGUUAGGAGAAACAAAAUAUAAAUAAAUAAAUAAAAGGAUGAAAUUAAAUUAGAGAAUAAAUGUCUUACAAUUGUCAACUGACUGGGAAGUCUCAGCCAAUUCCCUAGCAGCAACCUGUGAGGUAAUCAUGAGAACUAUAGCCAGGGAAAUGCAGAAGAAAAGAAGAGUCUUGGAACCCAUUUUUGCAAAAAGGGUAUUUUAUGUAUUGGAAACUGAAUGAGAAGGGAUGAGAAACCUGGGAUAGAUUGAUCUCUAUUUAUAGGAAAUUCUUUGUCAGAUUGCCGAUGAAAUGGUCGUGGUGUAGGCCCACGAGUAGUGAAGUGUUGAAUAGUCGAUUGCAGUAAUUGGUACAAAGUUCACAUUAUCAUUAAUUCAUGUCCCAUACUCGUCACCGAAUCCAAGUAUUAUUUUCAAUUGUGAUUUUGGAGUGACUAGGAUCCAUUACUUUUAUUCCAAGUUCCUUUAACAAGUUAAAUAUUUUUAAGAAAGAAAAGAAACAAGGAAGAACGUGUCAAACUUUCAAUAGUUCCAAAGAAGAUUUGUAGCAUUUUGCAUUACUUUUAAUACUUUAAAGUAUGAUUGUAAAAAUCGAUUUAAGUAGUUGGGAAACCAAUUUUCCUGCAAGUCUUAGGAGUGAAUAUCAACAGGACUAGUUUAAAAUGACUUUCCAAUGUCCCGUCUUUUUUUUUUUUCUGGGCAAUAUUGCAUACAAGGGUAGAGAAAAUGUAAGACAAGGACUAAAAUUACUCUCUUGUCUUAUCUUUAUCUGUGUAUAUACUUUAGUUGCAUGAUUAUGGUUGCUCUUAAAUUAUAUUUCGUGUUAAUUUGGUUAUGUUAUUUUUGUAAUAGCAUGUUGAAGAGUCCUCUAUUGCACCUUGCACGAAACCCUGUCUAAUAUAUUAUAGUAAAUUUCAGGAUAUGGUUUGCCUGAGUUUGAGGGCCAUUUGAAUCUGUCAUGGUUUCGUCCAAGAGUUGAGUACUAUGAGAGGAAGAAAAACAUACUUGGCAUACUGAUGGGUUAAGAGAUGAUAUGGACAUGCAAACCCCGCCCCCCUCCUCCCCAAACGAAACAACCAUGAAUAAAAAUACAAGAAAAAGAAAGAUAAAAAAAAAUUAAAAGUUAUAGUCAAGUAUACAAAUAAAAUUUUAUCAACAACGUACUACCUCUGUAGCCAAGUACUAGUAAUUUUAGAUAAGUGUAAUGAAUGUGUAGCGCUAACUGACAAAGAAUAUGAAUUGUGCUGCAUUUCAUAGAAAUUGUAGUUUGGAUUUCAUAAUUAUUUCUGGAUCACACAAACCUACCAACUUUAGCCCUAAACCUCAUUAUCUGCUUGGGUACGUAAACACCAAAGUCAACAUAUAACUUGCACAAGUUUACCCGUUUUGCAAAUUGAUUUAGCCGAAAAUGGGGAAAUGUGUACUUAUGAAGUCAAGUUGAAAGUUCGACAAUUAAACCGUGAAGAAACAAUACUAAUUAAAUCAUGUAGCCAGUUAGGCAUUCUAGCAUUCUAUUUACGUAUGCAAUCCUUGGAACAAGUGACAUGAGAUAAUUCUUGCCAAUUAGUUCCUCAACUCUUUUUUCUUGGUGGGUGGAUAGGGUGGAGGCAGGAGCAGAGCUAGAAAAAAAAAUUUAGCAGGGGCAAAAUUAAUAUACAAAUUUUACUAAUUACAGUAUGAAAAAAUUGUGUUUGACUAAUGAUAUGCACUUAAGUUUUGCAUAAUUAAUCUACAAUUUAGCAACAAAUUAAUAUUUCUCAGAUCUCAAAUUCCUGAUAAAGGAUUCUCCCACUUCUCUUCUCACAAUCCUAAUAAAUUUUCACUAGAUUUUUGUUAAGAUGAAAAUAAAAAUAAACAAUGUUUGUGAGUUUCAAUGUGUGGUUAAAAAAGUUAAAGAAACUUUUCAGAUGGGUUUGUAUAUAUAUUGGGAGUAUAUUAGAAUAGAUAAAGAAGAAGAAUAAAUGCAAAUUAAGUCUCUUUCUUUGUUUAGACAAAGUCGUAUAAUUUAUUUUAAGUGUUAAGUUAUUUGUAUAUAGAGACAUAUCAACAAAUUGUUCACCACUACUUUAAAUUUUGUUGAAGGGUAGUGAGGGAAAUUUUAGUUAAAUGUGGGUGACAAUCCUCUAAUUUUAUUUUGUAUGCAGAUAUGGAGAUUUUUGUAGUAGCAAUUCUCUAAUGUUUAGGUUUUGUUAGAGGGUAAUGGAGACAAUUUCAUUUGAGUGUGGAGGCAAACUACUUUUUAUAUGUAAAUAGAACAUUUUGACGGGUCAAUGAAGGCAAUUGCCGUACCACCACUUUGCUUCCGUAUCUGGUGGGGAGUGUGGGGUAACUUUUGCCAACAAGUGUAACAUAAGUUACAUAGGUUUUCAAAGCUUUUGACCACGGCUAAGUUUUGAGUUUGUGAAUCAUUUGACCCUGCCAUGGUUCCCACAAAGAGUUUCUUGGAAAGAGUAUAUCUGUUUUAAGAAGGAAAUUUCUAUUUUAAACGACAUAAGAUUAAUAAAAUAGACACAAAUUAAAAGAUGACCUAUCUCUUGAUUUUUAGGAGUUCUCGUGUUUGUAUCUAUCAUUUGAUUUAUUGUGUUUUUAAAGUUGCUUUUUGUAGUUAAAAUUUUUGAGAAGUUGUUAAUUGAUGGGUGUUGAAUCCAACAAAAGUAAAAUUAUCUACUCCCCAAAAGAGAUGAGUAUAGUGAUGAGUAGAAUCGUCUCCUCAAGAAACUGGUUUAUUUAUUACUCAAUGGAAUGAAUAUUAGGGGGGAAAGUUGUAGAAUUUCUUUGAAAUUAUAAUUUAAAAUGCAAUAAUAUGAAUUAAAGAAUAAAUUAAUUAUCAAAAUCUAGUCAAGGAAAUAAUCUUAGCAACGGUUCAGUCAAUUGUUCACUGAUACCAUAAAUAACUCAUAUGUUCACAAAUAAAUUGAUCAUAGCAAUUCAAUAACCACUGAACCACCAAUCUCUCAUUAAUUUCUUCGUAGUCAAGAGAUAUUCAUUAACUACUUUCCUUGUUAAGUAGAUAAUCCUAGAGACACUCAUAGGAUUAUCUAUUCACAGUUUUAAAUAUUAGAGAGACCAAUUCUAGUAAACAAAUACACACGCGGGUUCAUUUAAACUAGAUUAACUAUUCCCACAACACAAAUUAGAUUACUUGUGAGGUAAUGAAAAUGUGUCAUUUGCCACUAAUAUUAAACUAUAUAAGUAUUACGAACUUCAUGUUUUAAUUGGCAUUAAAUCAUUCAGAUAAUUGAAUAGUUGGCCAAAUUAUUCAACUAAACCCAAAUGAUAGUAACCAGUGAAAUAUAGAAAAUAAUUAAAUACUCAUGAAUAUAUAAAAUUAAGUACAGGAAAAAUUAAAAGAUCUCACAAUUGAUUAUGAAACUGUACCUUGAUUACUCCUCAACUAGACAUAAAUUUAGCUCCACUCCAUGAAGAAAAUGCAGCCAAAAAAAAUAAAACUAGAACCAGAGUUUCUUUUGUUCUCGAGAGGAGAGAAAGGGAAGAAGUUCAAGUGUUUAGAGUGAUUGAUUUCUGUUUUUCCUCUCUAUUUAUUCUUCUAAAAUUAUCAUUUAAACUAAUUUCCUAAAAAGAAGAAAUAUUUAUCCUCAACUACCUCUCACUACAUAAGAUAAGUAGAUAAGAUAGUUGUGGAACAAAUUUUAUCAGAAAAUAAACUCAAACUCCUAAACAUCGAUACUUCAUGUACUUCAGAUAAUGAGCAGAAUUUAUGUGGCCCCCAUGAUUCUUCUAGAGAUAAAACAAUCAUUAAUUCCUGAAAUUUUCUGGCUCAACAAAUCUUCUAAAUUUUCUCUUUUAAUUUCUUUUAAUCAUGAACCCCUGAAUUCAACACCAAAGACAAAUUAUAAAAAAAAUCAACAGAAUAGUACAAUAAUUUGCCAAAAUUGUGAAAGUAAUUUCAUAAAUAAAACACCUAUUAAAUUCACUAUCAUUAAUGUUUCUACACUUUUGUAUACAUCACUCAUAAUGUAUGUUCAAAUCGUUAGUUCAAAUCGUUAGUUGCCUCACCGAAUUUGUAUGACCAGUAAUUGUAAAGAAACAUUCUUCCUAAAAUCUAGUGAAGUUUUCUAGUAAAAAUGAGAUAAACAAUUAGACUGGGUGAACAUUGACUAUCCAACCUUAUAGAGAAUCAAUUUAUGUGUCAACAUAUUAGUUUCAUAAUAUUUUCUAAGUUUUGCCACUUUAAAUUUAGUUGAAUAAAAGAGUAUGGUACCCAUAAGCAUUGUAAAUGAUCGACAGCUACAAUAAACAACCAAUUAAUGAACAACAAAUAAAAUAAAGGGUUAAAUGCACUAAACCCUCUAAAUUUUAUCCUUAAUUGUAGUUGCGCGUUGCCCCCUAAAUCCAUUCAAUAAGCACUUUACUCCCCCUUUUUGAUAUUUUAAGAUAAAAAUGCCCUUACUAUUUUGUUCUUAUUAUUUUUUGUUUAUUCAUUCCUUUAUUUUUCCUUUCCCUCUACUUUCUUUUAUUUUUAUAUUUUUCAUCUUUUACUAUUUUCUUUUAUUCACUUCUCUUAUGUUACUAUUUUCUUUCGCUUUCCUAUUAUUUUUACUAAUUUGUAUGUUUAUUGUACUGUUGUAAUUAUUUUAACUAAUAAUUUCAUUCUUAUUUUAUUUACUUGCACUAUUAGAAAAUUCAAGACAAACUGUGCAACGUAAAAAAUUGGUAUAUGCUAGUCAUAAUCAAAAGUGUAUAUUACUAGCAAUUUGACUAUUUAAAAAAAAUAUUAUCAAACUAGAAUUUUAAAUUACUUAAUAUUUAAAAGUAUAUCCCAAAAAAUAAAGGAACGAAUAUAAAAUAGGAUGUUUAGUGCUUUUAACCCUAAAAUAAACAAUAGGAGACAUUACAAACAGCACAACCAUAGUACUUUUUUCGUAAUUACACCAUAAUAAUAUGCUGGCAAGACUUCAGCAUAGCUUUUCAAUAUUUUAGUAUGCCACUGACAACUUUUUUAAUGUAUUUUUUAUUUUUAUUAAACAUGCCACUGACAACUUCUUCCCUACUAAGACAAAAACAAAAAAAAAAAAAAACACAUCAUGAGAAAAUUGACAAGCACUUAAUGUAACCCAUACGUUGUGGAAGACGGAUUGUACUUUUUAAAAGAUAUGAGUUUAAAGCACCCAAAAUAGUCAUUUAAUUAGGCAUGUCAAUGGGUAAGAUUUGGGUUGGAUUCCUUUGAUUUAAAUUCAAAUAUAUUACAUUUAAUUAGACCCAAAUCCAAAUCCAGACCAUUAUGGGUCGGAAAAAAUAAGUCCAAAUCCAGACUCUUAUGGAUCUGAGUAUCCAAUGAAUAUUCCUUAUAUAUUUUUUUAAACAUACUAAAGUAACAAUAUCUUAAAAAUAUAUGGAUUUCAAAAAUAUAUAUAUAUAAGCACCAUCCAAUUUUAUUUUCAAAUAACAAAAUUAAUAUUCAAGAAGUUGAAUGCAAUAUUAUGAACUCAAAAAACUAACUAUUUAUUUUAAAAUUUCAACUAUAUCUACAUCCAAUCUUUCAUUUAUUUGUGUUUGCUUUUUAUCCUUUUUCUGAAAAAGUAUGUACUAAUUAUAAUGACAGCUAGAAUUAACUUGAAAAAAGAAAACAAUCAUGAAAUUUUACUGUAUCUGAUCUAGUGACCAAAGAUUAUUAGAAUAUUUUAUAAAUUUACUAAUAUACACACAAACACACAGAUAUAUAUAUAUAUAUAUAUAUAUAUAUAUAUAUAUAUAUAUAUAGUUUAAUCACAUAUACAUAGAUCUGGUAUAAGUUUGGAUUUAGAUAUGAAUCAUAUAAAAUUAGACCCUAUCCAGAUCCAUAACCUUUUUUAUAGGUUUGAAUUUGGGUAGGGUAUGAGUUUGAGAAAUUAAAUCCAGACCCUACCCAAGUACAUUGGGUCUAGGUUGGAUUUGGAUAAAAUUCGAUUUAUUCACAUGCCUACAUCUAAUACUAUGAUUAAAAAAAACCAAAUUUUUGUUAAUGGAGUACCCUCUAGAUAAAAUUCAUAAAUUAGGAAUUUUUUUUGUUGUAUUAUACUGUAACCGUUUGCUUCACAAAAUUUAUUUUCUUAUUUAAAUAGAUUAACUGACAUAGUAUCAACAUUUUUGCAAUGUAACAUUUCGGUUACUUUAACCUCUACAGUCUCCUUAAUUUGCUUGACCUACCUAGGAUGGUGAGAGGAGAUAUUACUUUAGAUGCGCUUGGUUUUCCUAAUUUUCGUAGAAGCAGGAGGUAGGGGUUGUUGCUAUAGGUGGUAAGGGUAUUCGAUCAUGUAAUCCGGUGUGAGGUUUAGAUCCUGGCUUUGUAAUUUUUGGCAUAAUAAUAAAAAGUAGAUUUCCUUUAAAAAAAAAAAAAAAAAACAGUCUCCUUAAUUUGCACGAGGUCAAUUCCCCUUUGCUCCUUUGUGAGGAGAAUUUAUCAGCAAAAUGGCAACUGCUCAUUCUGUCAUUCAUUUAGUAAUCCCCAUUGUUCCUCAGUGGCAAAUUAGAACAUAAGUGUAGAAAAUAAAUGCUAAUAGACCAAAGCAUGUUUUUCCCCAAAUGGCAACUUUCUACACUUCUCACCUAAAGAAAAACCACCGUACACUUAAAAAUUUUUAUAUUGUUGCUUUUGUUUCUCUUGACCUUGUUCACCUUAAGCAGGGGCGUUCUUGAACCCCAACUUUCACUCUAUAGAGAUUUUUUGUCCAAAUUCCUCCUAUCUCUUCCCUGAAUUCAGGUUUACGACCAACUCAAAUUACCAUAAACUUGAUAUAAUGCGGCCGAUAUAUGUUUGCUAAACAAAGUUUCAGCAAAUGGUUUUGACAAACAAUCUUUUCACAAAUAAUUUCUCUUGAAGCUAUCAAUAUAUAGACUCUUGUGCUAAAAAUAUAUAUAUAUAUAUAUAUAUAUUUUUUUUAUAAGAGAGGGAAAUAUUUUUAUUAAACUUGCUAGAAGUCAUCCAGUACUAGUUGCUUUACAAAAUUUGAAGGAAAAUUUAGUAAGAAAUCGAUUGAAGCGCUUGAUUUAGCAAAAAGAGAUAGCUCGUAAGCCACUUUAUUCGACUUCCCGUGUAACCCAUAUAACAUUAGUAACAGGAGAAGCUACCAUAGCAAGUCUAAAUCAUCAAUCUUUCUCGUUGAGCAAGAGAUUAACCACUGUCACCGAAUCAUCUCCAAGAGUGAAGACUGGAAGCAACAAAUUCAAUAUAUGUGUCGUUUCAAUGAGAAUAUGAAGUGCCCAAAUAUGAAUUGUGUGAAGCGUUAAAGGGCACAUUUCGUGCACCGAAGAUUUUUUAACUAACAAAUAAUAUAAGAAAAAUAUUAGGAUCUGAAACCUGUUAAUAUAGUUAUAUUGAAUUUUUAAAAUAAUUUAGUAAUUACACCAAAUUACCAGUAGGCCCAAGACACCCAAAGGUUCGUUUGGAUGCGGUGGUAUUGGGGGUAUUCUUAAAAAACGCAUUUAGUAAUUUAAAACAAGAUGGGUACAAUAUUUUUAGGGUAUUUUUGGGUUGUUGCCCAUUCGGCCAACUGCCACCUCCUAGCACCCUCACUUCACCUUUCCCCCACACCAUCCGCUUCCCUCCUCCUCUUACAUUAAAGUGGAGAAUAUAGGAAAAUUAUGUGUUGUAGUGAAAUUAUAGGGAGUAAAAAGUAAAUUUUCCUUAAAACUUCCCAAGUCUUCAAUUGUUUGAAAUAUAGCAUAUUUUUCUCUAACUCUAACUCUUCUUUCAUUCACAAUCUAUGCAUUAAAACUUCUAGAAAUUUGAAAAAUUAAUAAAUAAUUAAAUUGUAUUGUUAUUAUUUCACACAAUGUAGUCAUAGACAUAUAAUUAUCUCCAUGGACAUGAUAUUACCUUGCUUUUUGUCCUUCUCUACAAUUAUUGAUGCUAUUAAUGUCCAACAUUUUUGAAAGAAUGAAAUUGGAAAGAAAAGGCUCAUUCAAGUAAAAUUUCUCUAAAAUAGAAUUCAUUGUUGGAAGAGUUAGGAUAAGGGCUCAGUACAAUCAUGUUUUGUAUGAUUUCGUCCAAUCAUUGUAUAUGUUGAAAUUUUUUGUAUAUAAAUACAUCAUAAAGUUAUAAUGAAUAUAUGUCAAAUAUUUUAUUCAUGUAUACUAUUCAAAUACAAUAAUAUAAUGUAAUUGUACACUAAAUAAUGUAAAAGAUGCAACAAUUGGACCGAACCAUACCAAACCCCAACUGCAUUAGCCCUUCUAUGAGGACUUCCGCAAUAGUCUAUUUAAUAGAUAAGGCUAUACAAUUGUCGUCUCAAAAAAAAAAAAAAAAAAAAAAAAAGAGAAUAUAAACGAGGGAUCUUGGUCCUUAUCAUAUAAAAUGUGCGAUUCUUUUGUUCUUCGUCAACUUUCUAGUUAUUUUUUGUAAAUGAGUUAAGAAUCCAUCAUGUGCUUUAUAUUUAAAAAGUAAAUUUGAUAAAUCACUUAUUGCCCUAACCCAAAUGUAAAGACCAAUUUAUUUCAGACAAAUUCAUCAUCUUUCCUAAUUGUUUUCUAUCCAAAUCAUAAUUUCACAUUAUAAAAACACAUGCACCCAUUUUCUUCUUCCACCACCACUCUCCUCUACAAUUCUGACUUCCACCGUGGCCACCACCGCCCAUGACUUCCUCUCAUUUCUCCUUCGGUGAGUCCAUCUAAAACUUCUUUAGGAACCUACUUCUGAAAAUGAAUAGUAUUUGGUAUGUGACAAGAAAUUUCCCUUGUUUUAUGUUUGAUUAUGUAGAAAUUUCCCUUGUCCUAUGAUGCUGGUAAAUGAUCUUCUCUUUUCUUUUCUUUUUUUCUUUUUGUAAGUGAGAGAAUUUGAAUUUAAAAUCUCUUACUUACAAUAUUUUUUAUCUUACCAUUCAAUCCAAUUUUUCACCUUCUUUCUUUUUGGGUUUUGUGCAAUAAGUUUGUAUGUUUUCUUUGUUUUUGAGGUUAAUCCUUUUUUCUUUCAUCUUGUACUUUGUUCAAAGGGAAGAAAAAAUAAAAUUUGGAUUGCGCCUUUAGAAUGGGGAAGGGGGGAAAAAAAGAAAGAAAAAGAGUUCUACUAAGAAGCAAAGUGGAAUAAUCCAAUUUUUUAUACAAUUAGCAAGUUCAAAUUCCUCUUUUGUUUGUAGAAUACCUUUGGAGUUUGUUUGGACAACAAGAAUUUGGAAUAAAAAUUUCAAAUUUUGUUUUGCUUGCAUCAUACACAUAAUUUCCAAUCACCUUUUUAUCUCACAUACAUCAUAUCACAAAAAGUGUUACAGUAAGUAGAUCAAAUAAAUUCUUAUCCAAACAAACUCCUUGUUUUACGUGGUCUAUUUUAUCAUGUAAUGGUACAAGUUAAAGGAGACGUGACAUGAGUAAUUUCAAUUUUGAAGGAUAGCAAAUGGAUUCUUCCACCUGGGAAUUGAAAAGACAAAACUAUGAGAAGAAGAUGAAGCUGAUACGCAAGCUAAAGCUUAAGAUUCGGUCUGACAACUCUUACGCAUGCUAAAUUAACUUCAAUAGCAAAAUGGCAUAUCUGACCUUCUCCUUUAAAUAUGUAUUUUUUUAAUUUUUGGGAGCAGCAACGUCCACUUCACUCCUAUUUUAACCUAUGAUAUAAAGAAAGGAGAGGUCAAUUGAAUUUUGAAAAAUUUAUGAAAAUUAAACUAUUAUCAGAUCGGAUAAGUGUAAUAGGCAUUCAUAUGAAUUUGAAGAAGUCAUGUGUUAGCGGCAAAAUAAUUAGAGUCAAGAUUUGAAUUUUUAAACUUUUUUUAAUUAUAAUUUUUUUUAAAUUAAUAUUUUUUAUAAAUAUAUUUAUCAGUUAUUUUUUUAAUUUCAUAUACAUAAAAUCACUACAAUAGACCUUUCUAUAAAAACUCUAAAAAUAACGAUCCAAACAGGGAGUUUUGGGUGGUGGCCUGUUAGUUAUAUAUAUUUUUAAUUUCGAUAGUCCAAAAUUGUCCCAUGAUGCUUUUCACAAUUACUCUAUAUGAGAGCCGUUGCAUUGCCCAAUCAUUUCAGUACUCGUCUCAGUACUGAAAUGUCACAUGUACUGUGGAUACGGGGCAGGAGCGGUCGUCAGGCCGACCGCUCCUGAACGGUCUCCUCACAAUAAAAAACGUGAGGAGACAAAUGAGCCAAGUCAGCAAGGCUUUCUCUGGGGUAAAACAAUGCCGUGUUGAGGAGAAACGGGAAAAACAAAAAAAGAAAGAGUUGACGGACCGUUCCAUGAAACGUUGGUCUGUUCCCGCCCAAGUGAACCCUCAAAACGAAAAGGUAAGUCGCACUCCCUCCAAAAUAGUUGCCCAUAUUCGUUGAUGCACAAUUGUAAAAACAAAGCAAGAAAGAAAAGUAAGGGGAAAAUAACAUCACAGAAUUGGAAAUCGCCAGGUAGUAUACAAGUGAUAGGAAGAAGUAGUAGAAAUAGAGUGGGUGCGAAGGAAAAUCACGGUGAGGAGAAGCAACAAGUAGUGGCAGAAGGAGAGAGUUUAGGGUUGGUACUCAAAUUUCAGAGCGGUUGAGAAAGGUGAACGGGAAACCAACGAAGUACAAGUUUGGGAGAUCCGGAGAAGAGACAAAGCAAAAGAAACACAGGUAAGAAAACAUCAAUGGUAUCAUAUAAAUUGUGGAUCGAUUUGACUUGUAGUUGCGUUUUGUUGUAUACAUCGUUGUGAACAAGUGGGUUGAUUAUACUUGUUGCAGUUUUGGUUGAAAUAAUUGUGUAAUACAGUGGAAAAUGGAUAACAAACUGGAAUCUUCGGUUGCACAUAAUAGGUAUUAUAACUACCAACAUGGGGGGAAGAAAGGUAUUGGAAAUUUUGCACACCAAGUGCUUGCAAAAUCGCGUGCAUGGGUUGGGGAUUGUUAUGGUUAUUGUGCAUGAAGUUGGUGUAGGCUUUGUUACGUAAUGCUUCCUGAGUGGAGACUAAACAUGACAUGGGAUUCUAAGAUGGUACAUACUGUUAAGGGAGAAGUUGGUGUAGGCUUUGUUACGUAAUGCUUCCUGAGUGGAGACUAAACAUGACAUGGGAUUCUAAGAUGGUACAUACUGUUAAGGGAGACAUACAAAGUGAAGUGAAAUGGUUACAAGAUAUUUCAUUUAAGGGCGUCGUUUAUAGCAUGUUGGAAAUGUAUUAAUUUAUGUGAAAGAAUACUAACACGGAGUGAAAUUGUUAUGCAGAUGUAGAGUGAAAUCCCUUAAUUGAAUGAAAUUAAAUCAAGGUCCAUCCACCAAACAAUAGAAGGAAAUAGAAUAAAAAAGUAUGAAAUAAGAGGGGCUAGGGAAAUGAACAUGCGUACAAAGCAUGAAUGUGAUGCUUCAUUUUUUUUACUUCAUGCUAUAAACACAAGAAUGAAUAGAAAAGAAAUGAAUAGUGAAUCGCAUCGAACUUCAUAGGUAGGAGAGUAUUUUGAAUUUCAAGAAUGAUAGGUAGAAUAAAUAACAAACUAUGUAGUUUGGCAUACUUAGUGUCGAAAAAAGGUUAAGAGUCAUGAUAGAUAUUGUGUUUGGACAUGAAGUUGGAUAACUGUUGCAUGCAAUGAGUCAACGGUGACACCAUCAGAAGUGGUGUGUGAAAAUGUCACAAAAUUAUGCGAAUUUGGCACCCUGUGUUUGUUACUUUAUUGAAAUUGUACAAUAGCACGGGGAGUAGAAGAAGAAGUCGCUUGCAUCGAACACGCUAAGUAGGAUAGAAGAUUAUAAUUUGACAAUAACAGGUAGAAAGUAUGCCAAACUGUGCAGUUUGGCAUACUCAAUGUGGAAACAAGUUUACAAGUCUUGAUAGGUAUUGUGUUUGCACAUCAUAUUGGAUAACUCGUUUAUGCAAUGAGUCACUAGUGACACAUUGAGAAUGGUGUGUCAAAUUGCGCUAACAUAAUCUGAAAUUGCAAGAAAGUGAUUGUCACUCCACUGGAAUUGUAUACUAGUAUAGUGCUUAGAUAGACAAGUUUAUUGCAUGAAACUCAAUAAGUAGGAGAGUAUGUUAUAAUUUGACAAUGUGUGGCAGAAAAAAUAACAAAUUGUGAAGUUUGGCAUGCUUUACGAAUCUUGUUAGUUAAUGUGGGUGCACAUAAUGUUGGAUAAUUGUUACACGCAGUGAUGCAGUAGUGACACUAUUAGAAGUGUUCUAUGAAAUUGGCUGAACAUACUUUGAAAUUGUUCCACGGGUUUGGUACUUCAUUCGUAUUGCUGAAUAGGGUGAUAAAUAAAGGAGAAGGGGAUUGCAUCAAACUCGAUAGGUAAGAGAAUAGAUUAUGGUAUGACUAAAUGAGGCAUAAGUAACAGAAACUUUGGUGAUGUGGCAAAAAAAUUGUGAAAAUGAAGAUUACUAGUACAGUAAUUGUUGUGGUUAGACAUCAUGUUUGAUAGUUGGUACGCACAAUAGGUCAGAAAUGACAGUAAUACAACUGGUCUCUAAAAUUACAUGAAGAUACUGUAAAAUUGGCUGCUUCCUAUUUCUACUGCAUUGGUAUUGUACAAUAGCAUAAUAAAUAGAAGAAGAAGUUGAUCCGAAGUAGAAGUUGAUAGGUAGGACAACAGAUUAUGUAGAUUUGUGGUAGUUGAAAUAAAUAACAAACUGUGAAGAAUGACUUACUCAGUGUGGGAAAAAUUGUUACAAGUUGUAUUACAGCUAGUGUAACUAAUAUUUGAUGCUCAUAUAUUAUGCUUAGCAGUACUUCAUCAUAUAUUAUGCCUGUGGCUGGAAAUGAAAUUUUGGAACUGAAGUACAAUUUAUUUGUAAAAAACAUUAGUUUACAUGGCAAGAACGCGAACAGGAAACAGACUUCAGGAAGGAAACAGAGAAGAACUCGCUGAAACAAAUGGUGCUACAGAACACGGGAUACCGCCCAAUUCAUUGAAUAGGUAAGUGGCCAGUACUUAUGUAUAGUCGUGGCAGGUUAGAUUUGUCAUCAUUAUAAUGUAUUACAAUGUUGAUUAUGCAGGGGCCGGAUAGGAAGGAAAAGAACCAAUAAAAGAAAUGAUCGUUUAGAUGGAGAGGAAGAAAUGCAGGCAGCGAAAACAAGCGAGAUUGCAGAACCAGUCCCACCAUUGAAUCCAUGGAUGAAGUUCAGGUAAAAGCAUUGAAUUUGAGGAAAAAAUAAUGCUGUUAAAUAACACAAAUAACUUUGGAAUUUUGAAUGUGGACAGGAAAGAGUAUCAACGCACGGUUUCGGCAAAAGGUGUUAAGUUGACAGAGGUAUGCUGUCCUAACAAAAUAAACACUACAAUCAUUGAACUGAUGGGUUGCCUAAGAAAAAAAUAGUGAAGCGAGCAAUUGUUUUAUGUUUUAGUUUAACGUGUCUUUUGAUUUUGAUUAUUCAAUACAGUACAAUGACAUUGUCCGGGCAGCAUAUAAUAAGUUGAGUGAGGAAGAAUUGAGCAAACAAAAGGAGGAGUAUUUGAAAGAGAAAGAAAAGUACGAGAAAGAAAUGGAACGUCUUGGAAAGCCAAUAGUGCGAAAGGCACGGGUUCAAAUUAAGGUAAAUACACGUCACGAUUCGUCAAACACUUAUUCAAACUUUUCGAUUUUUCUAAUGCAUAUAUCUAAAAAAUGGUGUAGAAUCGGAAGUACAUUAUCCGUUGCUCGCCAAAGCAGAUGUCAAGCUUAGUUUCACGAAUCGAUGAAACAAAGAAGCAACAGAUUAGAGACAUAGGGUUUGAAGGGCUGCUAGACAUACAGUGUCACUGGAUUCCUAGUGGCAUAGCUACCUAGUUCGUCGAUAACUUUAAUCCGACAUUGAGCAGUUUGAAUGUACAUGGAGAUGGUGUACUGCCUUUAAUAUCAAAGGAUAUUAGUUUAAUCUUGGGGAUCCCAAACGAAGGUCACGUUCCAGUUGAAGACACUGAUACAACCGAGGUUGGGGGAACCGGACCAAGUCGUAGGACAUACAAAUGGAAAGAACUGCCAAAUGAGUUGGUAGCCAUGAAUGCAGAGGAUGAAUUCAUACGACUAUUGUUGCAUUUGCUUGUGGAUGUCUACUGGUUCCAAGUACUAGAGUCGAGCACAAAAUAAAGCUUUGGAUGUGUACGCAUUUGGUUGAUAGGGUGGCUACAUUGAAUUGGGUUAAGUAUGUCAGGAUCGUACUGUGCAAUAAGGUGCUAGAGGUGCAAAAGAAAAGUGAAAAGCAGCACCAAUACGUUGGCGGUUGCAUCUUCGUUCUGCUGGUAAGAUUAGGUAGUUGUAGUCAUGAUUGAAACAUGCUUUAAUGGUUAGAUAAUGCACCAGAGAUUAAUCACUUUUGAGUGUAUGUAAACUAUUGUAUGCAUUUUCAUGUUCUGUUGAAUUUAGUGCGACGGACUGAUUAGAUUAUGUUCAAAUGAAUGUGUGUACAACGAUGCUCAUAUGCGGUAAAAUUUAUCUGUAGUUGAAUUAAUUGCUCUAUUGUAUUGCAGAUUCAUUAUCUUGACCGGGUGCAAAUACUGAAGCAUAAAGUGCCAAGGACUACGCCACGAGCAACAGCAUGGACAGAUGCUCUAAUCUUUGAAAGGGAUGCAUUGGAAAUUAGAAAUCUUGGGGCUUAUGGAAAAGAAAAACUGGUAACAUGUUAUUUAUUAUUUACCUCAUUUCAUAUAAAAAGUAUUGGUGUAUGUAUUACGUGACUUUGGUAUUGAAAUGGUUGGUUUAAUUUGAUGUUAAAGAUUGGACGAAAUGAUCCGGAAGAGAAUGAAUAUGGUGUGUGGAGUACUGAACUACACCCUGAUUUGGUAGGGAUGAUGAUGAACAGCGGGCAUGCCGAUAUCGGUGUAAGUGGACCUGUUUCAUGAUUAGCGAAAUUUAUUGUUUGAUUUGACGUAAUUACUGCAUAUUAUUGUCAACAUUAUGGAUCAUUAAUAGGCCUAUGAGCUUGUAACUACAUACAGUUACAUGUUAAUAUAUGAAACCAAUCCCAAUAUUAUAUUGAACAAAUAAGUUAUCUUGAAUUAAGUCACAUGCGUGUAAAUAAAUAAAUAUAGUGAUCUUUUGGAUAAUCAUGUUAUAAAUAAAUGAACAUUCAAUCUUCACGGUGACCAUUUUAUUUAUUGCCAUAGAACUUACAGUUAUAGAACGUAUGCCAGCAGUACAAAUGUUAAAUUUAUAACUUUCACUUAGAUGUACUAUUGCAUGUGAUUCAUUUAUGGAUUGGUAAUGUCGUCAUGUAACUGCAGGCUGAACUGAAUGAGCUGUAUAACAAUGCUGUUAGUAGCCAACAAAGGAUAUUGAAGAUUGCAGAAAUACUCUUUUCUCAGCCGAGAGCAAAAGCUUCCACUUCUGGGUCUGAAGCAUUGGACAAAGGAAAAAAACCUGUACAGGAGGACUAUACAAUGCACCAGAGUCCUGAUACCGAAGAAGAGUUGGAAUUUCAAUCUGCCGAAGAAGGGGGUAAUGAUGAGGAUGAUGAUGCUAAUGAAAUUGAUGCGGAAGGGUCUGAAGAAGACGAGCAUAAUGCAGCGCAGAAUGAAGAAGACGAUGCUAAUACGAGGACAAAUAUUGAAACCAUCCCAAACCCAGAGCUAAAUGAAGAUAUAAUGGACAUGGAGAAUCCAAUUCUUACCUCAUCAGUCGGGCCCAAAAACAUCAGUCAGGGAUUGCAACAAAGGGCCACCAUGACAACAACUAAGUAUGGAAGCAUUAUACACCUUCAAGAGCAAGAGCAGGAGCAAUAUAGGUCAAAUGUCACAGAACCUGCAGAAGAAGGUCAAUCUACGGGGCAACUACAUUUGAACGCUAGUGCAUCGACGCCACAUCUGUAUGAGCCAGAAACACCACGUAGGUUGCUAUCAUAUGGACGAAAGCGGAAAGGUUGGUACAGUUGUAUUAUUUAUAAGAUUCUAAUUCAAGUAACAUGAUGAACAGCUAUACACACAUACGGUAAGCGUAUUUAUACCAUAAUGAUACUACCUAUAUGGGUUUGAAAUGUCGCUGUAAAAUUGGUUGCCCCCUAUUUUUACUGCAUUGGAAAUUACAGUGUGUUUGAAAAACUGUUAGUUAUACUUUGUUUGAAAACUGUUACAAAACUGUUAUUGGAAAGUCACAGUGUUUUUCAAGAUUGUUACCAAAAAAUUUAUUUGGAAAGUUACAUAUUGAAAAUUAAUACAAAACUCCAUAUUUGAAGACUGUUUACAGUGUGUUUGUAGGUUGUUACAAAAUAUUUAUUGAGAAUUAUGCUGUAUAUUCGAAAACUGUUACAAAAUAUUUAUUUGAGAAGUUACAGUUUCAAAAUUAAUACAAAACUCCAUAUUUGAAAACUGUUAGUUACGAAGUGUUAGUAGGUUGUUACAAAAUAGUUUUUGAAAAGUUACAGUGUAUUCGAAAACUGUUACAAAAUAGUUGUUUGGGAAGUUACAGUUUAAAAAUUAAUACAAAACUCCAUAUUUGAAAACUGUUAGUUACGACGUGUUUAAAGGUUGUUACAAACUAGUUAUUGAAAAGUUACAGUUUGUUCGAAGACUAAUACAAAAUAGUUGUUUGAAAAGUUAUAGUUUGAAAAUUAAUACAAAACUCCAUAUUUAAAAACUGUUGGUUACGAAAUGUUUUAAUGUUGUUACAAACUAGUUAUUGAAAAGUUAUAGUGUGUUCGAAAGUUGUUACAAAAUAGUUAUUUGAAAAGUUACAGUUUAAAAAUUAAUACAAAAUUACAUAUUUGAAUACUGUUAGUUACGACGUGUUUGAAGGUUGUUACAAAUUAGUUAUUGAAAAGUUACAAUGUGUUCGAAAACUAUUACAAAAUAGUGAUUUGGAAAGUUACAGUUUGAAAAUUAAUACAAAACUCCAUAUUUGAAAACUGUUAGUUACGAAAUGUUUUAAGGUUGUUACAAACUAGUUAUUGGAAAGGUACAGUGUGUUCAAAAACUGUUACAAAAUAGUUAUUUGGGAAGUUACAGUGCAAAAUUAAUACACAAUUCCAUAUUUGAAGACUGUUAGUUACGACGUGUUUGAAGUCUCCUCACAAAAUAGUUAUUGGGAAGUUACAGCGUGUUUGAAAACUGUUAUACAAUAGUUAUUUUAGCAGUUAUAGUGAGGUUUAAGACUGGUACAAAAUAGUUCUUGGGAAAUUAUAGUGUGUUUAAAAAUUAAUACAGAACUGUUUGAAGAGUGUUACAAAAUGAUUUACAAUGUGUUAUACAACUACAAAAAAAUUGCAUUUGAAAUGCAUGUUCUUUACUUUUUAGGAGGUCUUGACAUUGAGAUAAAGCACAAGUCUACACGUGCAACAAAGAAGAGCAUCGUUCUGCGAUCAGCGGAGUACAUUCUAACAGCACGUGUGACAGUAAGUAUGUAUGAAAAAAAUGUAGCUGCAUAUGCAUGGGACCCUGACAAAAAUUCCAAGUAAGAUUCUUGACAAAACUAUUAAUUCGACCUUGUUGUCCAUUCACUUCAAUAACUACGUAUGUGGUUCAUUGUAAGAUGGCACAGGAAAACUGUAUGAAAAUGGAUGAGCAUUGACUUCAUAUACAUUACAUAUCUGUUUGUUGGAAUACGAAUAUUAAUUAUUAGUAAAUCGUUAAAUUGUGUCCCGGAUCUGAUAGGGACAUACUUAUUCAAAUGUUUCAAUUCUCGCUGACGCGGCUUCACUUGAAGACACUUGAAAAUGGCAUGCAUGUGUCGAAUCGGGUCAGUAGUUUAUUACGUUUAUUCAAAAAGUUUGAUUAUGAAUUUAUUGAUCCGAUUAGUGAUAUGUAAAUGCAAUUGUAACAAUCAAUUACAUCUUUUGGACACCCUUGGAUAUUGAUUAGCCCGUCUCAUGAAUUGGGGUGGAAGAACUGCCAAAAGUAGGAAGUUUGAACGCUACAUCGUUGAACCUCUCACUAUUGUGAGUUUGAAAUUUGGACUGCAUCCUAUUAUGUGUUACAAUUUUUUCUGCAUCAUAUCUAAAUUGGUAUUACGAGCCAACGCAUUAUUACUGAUGUCAUCUACACUGCUCCUACUCGCCCAUAUUAUUGGUUGCAGGAAGGAAUUUUAAAAAUGGAAAAAUUUGACAAGCUGUCUAAUGCCAGCUUAUCUGCUAAACUGAAAAACUAUUCAAAGUUCGUAAUAACAAUACGGGGGUUGAUCCCGCGAAUUGUAAUUGGGUAUGCAAUUACCACCUUUAACCGAAAGCUUUUUUUUAUUAGAUGUUGAAUAUGCAAAAAUGUAGAAUCAAGUUACAUACCUUUUGUGUGUUACCUUUUUUAUACCUCAUUCAUUUCAGAUACUUGUGCCAGUAUGCACAGAGGGGUAUUGGUUUGUCUACAGCUUUGAUGUCUCACAGAGAGAAGUGCACCUGCUAGACCCUAAUAGCGAUCAAGCAAAGAGCAAAGAUAUUAGUGUACUGAAUCGACUGGUAUGUUGGACUGUCACCUAAAUGCAUUACAAGAGAAGAGGAUGACACAUUAGUGCUUCUAAUCUGUUUUACAUAAUCUUUGGUGCUACAGAAACGUGCGACAAAGUUUGGCAAGGAAAUUGACUUCUCCAGUUUCUCGGAGGCACUUGCCGAUGUACCUCAUCACUCACCAAAUAAAAUGUAAAUAGUUUCACUUCUCACACCAUUAUUGUUAGAGAUCCAAAUAUUUUAUUACAACACAUACACUCUAACUGACUAAUGAGAAGAUAACAUGAACAGAUGUGAUAGUGGUGUCUUUAUUAUGAUAUUCUUAGAGCAUUGGAACGGAAGGUUGGCUGUUCGGCUUACAGAGGUAUUACAAUGACACAACCUUUUUUUCUAGUUUACAUUUGAAAUUGUGGUUUAUAGUUGUUGCCUUUGCUUUCGAAAAUAUUUAUUACGUUUAAAUUGGAUAGGAAAAUGUUGGCAAGUAUCGAGUGCUGUACACAGCUCGAUUGUGUACCUCAGCGGAGAACUCUAAGUUUCCGGAUAGCUUUGCAAACCUACAAGUACCAAAACGGGCGCAGUGACUCUGUUGGUAUUGCCUGAACUUCAAUUAGUCAGAUGUGACUGUAGUUGAACAAAAUUGGAUGUUCUUCCAUUUGUACAUUGUUAUGUGUCUAAUAUAGCUUUUGAAUUGGUGUAGACUACGUUUUGGGGUAUAUUGACAAGGACUAUAUUAACCUUAUUGUAGAUUAAUAGAACUUUUAAUUUGACAGUCAUCAUAUGUACAUAAGUGUACCUGUUGUUAAAUUUCGAUGAUGAACACAUUGCAGUAUGGGGUCCAUAGAUGUCUCCCCAUAAAUUAGGGACCGAAGAAUAGUUUUCGUAGUUCAAUAUUUGUUACAAAGAGUACAUAUAAAGUUACAACAUAGCACAUAUAAAGUACGGAGUCCAUACAACAUCCUUCAUAUAAACUUGGACCCAGUAUGGGGUCCAUACAGGUCACGUUUGGACCCAAGAAUAGUUUUCGUAGUUCAAAAUUUGUUACAUUGAGCACAUAUGAAGUUAGUGCACGUGCAUUGUUAUACAACAUCGACCCGAACAUGUCGACUAACAAACAGGUUUUAUAAAAUUUGUUUGCAUUAUUAUCAUAGUUAUUGGGAACAAAACAUAUGUGGCCUUAGUUACACUGCCUUUUCUGUAUCUUUAACAACAAAAUCGACUAGGAUUCCAUGACUAAUCUUUUAAUGCAAACUGAGUAAUUAUAGAUGUUAUUUGUUUGUAAGUUGACCUUUUACCAUGACCACUUAACCUCAAAUGAUGGCACGACUAAUUAAGUUGAAGGAUUGGUAAAUGUUACAAUUACAUAGUAACUUUGUCCAAAAUUUAAGUUCAGAUUUUAGGAGACCUACCCUUUUAAUGCAUAGGAGUCUUUACAUAAUAUUUGGUUCUAAAUUUUACUUUUAUCACGAACGCAUACCCUUUUGUUUGUUGAAGCAAGCAGGACUAAACCUUAUCCUCUAAUCUAAUUUUACAGAUUUCAAGAGUAAUUACUUACACAAACAAAUUGAACGUGGGCACGAUUACAUUAUUCGUAACUAGUUGACCAACAAAUAUUAAAUACUAAAGCACAUUCGUAACACUACAGUAACUCAUCGUAACACUGUUCGAAUGUCUUGUAAUGCCGCUUUCACGGUUUGUACGUAAAGACUUGCAGCAAACUUGACUCCAUGGUUGCUAGUUUAUAAUCUCUGGAGCUACAUAUUAACUGCCACCCGUGUGAUACUCACCCGGUGAACCCACAACCAUUACUUUAUCCUCUCAUACCCAUAUUCUCUCAUACCCAUUACGUUGGCCCCUGAUAUUUUAGGACAUUGGGAGGGUCCUGCGGACUAUAAAAGAGCGUGGUUGCAGUUUUAUAUCCCACAACAACAAAAGUUUGGUUGUAACACAUUCUGUACGCUUCGUUAUGAAUACUUGUUGUAUUAUAAAACUUAGUUUUAACUGUUGGAAAUUAGCCUAUCCCUUGUACUAUUACCUUCCCAUUAUUGGCCUGAAAGUUUAUUUUAUCAUAAUUCAAUUUGAAAGAUUCUUGUAAAACCUAUCGAAGUGCCUGUAGUACAUCAUUACAAAUGGUGCGAACCGUUCGUUCUGAAAAUCUGACCCGUAUGUAGUGCCAAAAGUAAUUUUUUUGGUGACUAAAUGGCACAUAAUAAUUCAGCAACGCAUACUUAUCCAAAAUAAUAAUAAUUUGUAAAGGCCGAUUGCUAUAUGAUACAUCUAACCAUUCUAAGUGCCAUCAACGAGCAAUAAAGAUGUUAUUUACGGUUGUAACUGAAUGCUGGACAAUGGUAUAUAUAUCACAACAGUCAUUUGUUAUGGUAUUCAAUGAAAAAAUACCAUAAACAUAGCGAAGCACGUUCAAUCGUAUUGAAAAUUGUUACUCUAAUUUUCAGUAAACUUUAUAAAUUCUUAAUAACUUUACACAACACAUUACAGAAUACUUGAUGACUAUUAACACUGGACAUUAUUAUAAACUUUCUAUCCACUUGUCUAAAUUUGAACACAGUGAAAUAUUGAAGGUGUCUGUACAAGCACAUGAAUAACUUGUAACACCUUAUUAACUGCUUGUAACGUAGAUAUGCAGCAUUCCCAAUCAGGACGAUAUGGAGGUCCAAUCACAACUGAGCUUCCAAAAACGCCGCAAAUCUCAUUCAAGACAUGCACUAAUUCAUUUCCAAAUUGUCUAUUAAAAGAAACUCACAAUAGCGAAGCGAUUGAAACUGAACAAUAUCUUCAACAGAGAAGUACUAACACCAAAAAAUGAGGUCAACUUGAUGAAUGGAUAAUUAGAACUCAAUAGUUUGGUCAACCAAUUAAUGUGUCGUUAAAAAAUUAGAGGUACACAUCAUUCAUCAACCUGCAUCUGAGGGGUGGCGACGUCAACAGUUAGUCGCAAUCCCUGGGUGUUAUUUCUUUCCUGAAAUAUGUAACGAUGGCAAAUCAGCUAAUACACCUAAUGGUACAUACGGUUAAUAAUAUACGAUAUCCAAGUCGCCAAAUAUCCAAUUAACAGUACUACAUAAAGAUGUGAUAUAAUGAUAAAUGUUUGUCACCUGUGGUGAUGGUGAAAAUACAUUAUAUCCAUCAAUAUCACAGUGUGUUGAAAUUGCCGCACGCUCCUCCUAUAUGAUAUAAAAUAAAUAUUCAACUGUUAACAAAUCAUUACCAGUGCCUAUAUUUCUCGGUUCAAAAGUUAAAUUGGAGUAGACAUUAUAACAAGAAACGAUAUAUCAAACCGUUAAUAUAUCUCUGACGGAGUUAUGCUUGAAAAAAAUAGAAAAUUUGAGGUGCAUUCAUUCUGUAGGGACUGUUGCAGGAGGCCCCUGAUUAGCCAAACGGUGAACUUUCGGAUAAUACAAAACAUUUUGUUAUAGAAACAAGCAUACGUUAACUGAAUAAUAUACAUGCUUUCAAACGUCCGGGUGUCGACCAUGACAAAACGCCUAAAGGAGUUAUACGAUACGAAUAACAAAGUUUUUAUUUUUCCUACUAAAUGUAUGCAUACCAUUUCACUUUCUUCGAUUUCGGGAGCAACAGCAUUUGGAGGGCCAUUCACUGACUGGCUCCUUGAAUGCGCCUACGAGUUUUGAAGAACCAAAUAAUUGUAUAAAACAGACAAAAUAAAUAUAUCAGGGAGGAUGACAGGCGUAACAAAAUUAUCACAUAAUGUAAUAUCCAUAUAACGAAUUAUGCUGUUAGAAACAUUUAAAUAAAAGCUAAAGCUUUGAUCAUUUUAUACUAAUCGAAACUGAGUCAGUAGAUGAGCGACAUCCCAUAAAUAUGUGUUCAUCAAAUUCAAUCGAUGUCGGCUUCGAUUCUGAGACCUGUAUAUUUGACACGACAUUAAUGUUAUUUCAUACUGAAUGGUACCUAAACUUUACUUAACGGUUAUAUAAUAAGAAUUUUUUCCCAUAAAUAUUUACCAUCACAAAAAUUGGAUCCAUACCGUAGUCUCUGUAGUUCUUGACAAUUUAGAUUUUCUUUUUACUCUAUCAAAUUUAUCGACCCAACUUCGCAUCACUCUACUUCUCUUCUCACAGCCUCGUUUCUUAAUGCCUCUUGCGACUAUUGCCUCUCCCAUUUCAUUUACAAUUUCAAUUUUAUCUCGUUCCUCCACAUUCAGAUUUUUAUGAUUUUGUGAAGGUUGCUCUUCACUUUCUGAGAGGAGGAGCUCAACUCUCUUUGCCAAAUUGGAUAUGACGGUGAUUACUACUUUGCUGGUGUCCUCCGACAUUGCUGCUCGAGUUGCGACCUUAAUCAUGGUUGGAGCGAGUUCCCGAUAACGAGUUGAAAUGAUUACUUUUGGAUCAACCACAAUUUCCCGUCCUCGCCGAUCAGAUAUAUUUUCAGUUAUGAAAUUAUUUGAUUCCAUGAACAAGUGCAAUUGGAAGAAAACAAAAUAUGCUGAAGCUGUCGGACGCUCAAAAAGACUGCAUCGGACGUCCGACAACCAUUGAGUAUCUUCGGACGCAGAAAACCAGCCUAUCGGACGUCCUAAGGAAUUGAAGAAAAAUUCUCAGUUUUACAUCAUACCUUCGGACGCAGAAAACCAGCCUAUCGGACGUCCGAAAGAAUUGAAGAAAAUUUCUCAAACUCACUGCCUGCUGUCGGACGCAUAAAACAGUGCUAUCGGACGUCCGACACUACCAACGGCUUGUUGACUGUUCAGCUAUUUUCUAUCCGUUAGAAGCUUUAAUGAGGCUCUUUCUUGGUCCUAUAUAAAUAGUGGUUGGUCAGAUACUUCAAACAACUUUGGCACACUGAAGAUACAAAAGAUCUAGAGAGAUUUUAGUGAGAAAAUACUCCAAAAAGAAUAUUUGUAGUCUUAGUGGUGUGAGGUUCAUUGUAAGCUUUUCAUUUGUGAGUGAAUCUUUCAUGAGUGUAGCUCUGUGAGGGUUGUCCUGAGGGAUAGUAAAACGUCCUGGCUUGACCGAGUGCUGCUUGGGCAAGGAGGAGGUGAACCUUCCUUUGUACACAAGAGUGAUUGUAAUUCAUCAACUUGAAGUAGCUUGUUUCAAUUAAUCUACAAGCUCAAGAGGAGUUGGGUAGUUAAUUGGUUUGCAAUCCUUUCCUUUUUAUUUACUUAUUGUUUCGUUUAUGAUCUUUGCAUUGGUUGUUUUGGGCCUUACAGUUUCUAAAUCAUCUUUGACACCUAAUUCUAAUCUCAUUUUCUAAUAAUAAAUAUAGUUCUAAAACUAUUAAAUUUCGAACCAUGCUUGGUUUAAUUUUAUCAACACGGUCACAUAUUGGGUGGGUUGAGAUUUAGUGACCCCUGUCAAGCACAUCAGCCUACUUCUCUUACAUGUUCCCAUGGUAUACAUGGGCAACAAUAGUUUUCAUGUGCUACAAGGGCGUAAAAGCCUAUGUCAAAACUUGGGCCCAAUCUUCCCUGUUGGGUCUGCCAUGUAUCAUACGCAAGCAUUGACCCUAUUGGUAAGUGAGUUCUUUGGGUGUUUGUUUAAAACUUUACUGUAACUCACUGUUGAAAUUGUAAAAAAAAAAAAAUUUAAGUGUGUAAAUUUUUGGAUAUUUUGAAGUAUAUUGUUUAAAAAUUUUGAGAAGUUUUUUGAGGUUAUUGUAGCUAAAAUUAUUAAAAAAUUUGUAACAGACAAACUUGGCAAAAAAUUUGUUUGCCAAACAAGGCUGUUGUUAGCGUACAAAAAAUUUGUAGUAAAAUAUUUGAAUCAAACACUCAUCGCCACCCUAACCUCCCUACGGGUACAAUAUUGCUAAAUAGAAGUUAAAUUGACCUACCCUAAAACAAUGAAAUCGGCAACUCAAGCGACAAUCUCAGAAGAAACAAGAAGUACAAGUGCAAAAGAAAUUAUUUUCAAGUACAUCUUUUGCAAAAAAAAAAAAAUUGUAAUCACUUUUUCGAGUUUUUUUUAAAUUUUACAUACAUCAAAUCACAAAUAUAUCACAUUAUUAUUUUUUUAAAAAAUUCAAAUAAUUUCAAACCAAACAUGCUCGAGCUUAUUGAAGAUGCCAUUUGAUCUCGACCUUGAUGAUUUGUAAAGCUUGGCCCUACUGUUUAGAGCUGUGAAGUGAUGACCUAUCUUGGAUCCAAAGGCCUCAUGAACAUCAGAGGACUUCAAGUGCGUGGAUUUUGUCCAUUGUUAUCUAGUGUUUGAUUGUAUGAGUCUGGUGCAUGGAGGGUCAUUUAAUGGAGUCCAAAAUGCAUAACAAUUAUUAUUGGAUAAGAUAAAAGAAACGAAAAUGCCAUUUGUUAUGGAGUCACGCAUGACUCUCUUUGUCACUUCUACUUCCACAAGCUGAGAAUUCUGGUCUCAAUUUCCUUCCUCAUUAAUGGGUCCAUGUUUGUCCAUGUUCUCCCAUAACAAGAAUAAUAAAACAAUUGCCAUAAUUGCAUUUGAAUUUUCAAUGUGUCUUCAAUUAUAAAGCGUCUGUCUUAUUGCCUUGGCUGCCAGUUUAACCAUAUUUGCAUUGUACUUCUAUAUUACUAACUCAAAAAGGAACUGAAAACAUCAUGUUCUUAGUCAAGAUAUCUAGUGCUGUUACUUGGUAGAAUUGUCUCUAAGGAAAUAAAUGAGACUUACCGGCUUGAUAACUAUGCAUUAUAUGUGCACUAAGGAUGGGAAAUGGGUCUAUAUGCUGUCAUGUGUCCAUUGCUCCUAUCCAUGGAUGUUGACAACAGGCGAAAUUCAUAUAGAUUUUCUUCGUCAAAAUAGUUGGGAAAAAAUGCAGUACCAGUCCUCAAUAUUUAGCCUAUAUACUGUUGGGUUUUUGGGCUCCUAACCUAUAUGGAAAAGUCCAAAAAUUAAUGGAUAAUUAUCUAGGCCCAUUAAGGAGUUGCACUACCUAUUUAUAGGUAGGUUUAUUCUAGAAGGAGAAAAGUGGGGAAAACGCAGAAAAAUUCUGGAGAAAAAUUUCAGCAAAUUUCUGGUUUGAGCGGUUGCAGUAAAUCACCCGAUUGACAUAGCAAACGACGUCUGAUCGGCCUGAAAUUUUAACUGAAGGUAGAGGACAUCCAGUUCUAUGUUCUCAGCAGUGGAGAUCGGAUUUCAACGGUUCAAUCUUUAGUUAUAAAUUUCGGACUGCUGCUGUUUCUGGUGAAGUUUUUCACAGAUUUUGCUCUUUAUUUGGGAUUUGGUGACUUUGUUGAUUGUUUAAGACCAUUUCUCAAUUGUGUACUUGCUGAGAGUUGUACUCUACUUUUAAUUGGUGAUAGUGGAGUAAUUUGUGGUGGGCUCAAGAGCCUCGUGAUUUUUCCUCUUCACAUUGGAGAGGUUUUCCGCGUAAAAAUUCUUGUGUCUUCGUUUGGUUAUUUCUUUUUGUGUUUGUGGGUUAAUUUAUCUUCUAUUAAUUGCUGAUCUUUGUCUUGCUUAAUCCUCCUAAUCUGUUCUAACAAACUGGGGAGGUUUUCGCUGCGUGUUGUGGUUGUUAGAAGCCCGGUACCUCCCAACAUAGUGGUAUGAGAGCUAGGUUCUGAUUUGUUAGACUUAUGGAGGUUAAUACAAGCAAGAUGAUAUCAUUGAAUGGGUUGAAUUAUCACAAAUGGAAAGGUAAAAUGAAAGAUCUUUUAUUUGUGAAAAGUAUCCACCUAUAUGUGUUUGCUAUGGAAAAGUCGGAAUCCAAAUCUAAUCAAGAAUGGGAUUUUGAGCAUCAACAGGUUUGUGGUUAUAUCAGAUAAUGGGUGGAAGAUAAUGUUCUCAAUCAUAUUGCCAAUGAGACAAAUGCCAAAACAUUGUGGAAUAAACUUGAGCAACUCUAUGCUUCUAGGAUUGGUAACAAUAAAUUGUUUCCACUCAAGCAGUUGAUGCAGUUGAGAUACAAGGAAGGCAUUCCUAUCUCUGACCAUGUGAAUGAGUUUCAAGGUCUGUUGGAUCAGCUAUCUAAUGUUAGAGUAAAAUUUGAUGAUGAGAUUCUUGGACUGUGGUUGCUAAAUACUUUGCCUGACUCGUGGGAGACAUUUCGGGUCUCACAUACCAAUUCUGCCCCUAAUUGUGUGAUGACCACGGUACAAGAAUAUUGAAUGUCAUUAUAGUCACAAGAAAGGCCACAUCCAGAAGAAUUGUUUCAAGUGGGAGAAUGAGAAUAAGAGCAAUGGUGCAGGAAAGUUUGAAGAUGGUAGUGCUGAUUGUGUUGCCACCGCCACAGACGGAGAUCUUGUUAUUGUUUUUGAUGACAAUGUCAUUAAUAUGGUUUCUUUUGAUACUAGUUGGGUGGCCGACACUGGUGUUGCAGUCCAUGUCACUUUCAGGAGAGAUCCUUUUACCUAUAUUGCAGGUGAGUUUGUUUGUCACUGAAACUGGGUAAUAAUGAUGUAUCUAAGGUAAUUGGCAUGGGUGAUAUUUGUUUGAAGACGAGCAAUGGCUCUACACUACUACUCAAGGAUGUUAGGCAUACUUCAGAUAUUCGCUUGAACCUGAUUUCUAUAGGGAAACUUGAUGAUGAUGGCUUUGACAAUAAUUUUGGUAAUGGUAAAUGGAAGCUUAGUAAAGGGUCCCUGGUUAUAGCUCGAGGUAUGAAAUUGAAGACAAAUUUAUUUGUUGCAAACUUCAAUUUCGAGUGACGCUAUGAAUUUGGUGGAGAAGCAAAACUCACCUGAGUUGUGGCACAAGAGGUUGAGUCACAUUAGUGCAAAGGGACUUGAGACUUUGGUGAAAAAGAAUGCUCUUUCGGGUGUGAAGAAUGCAAAUUUAGAGAAGUAUUCUUAUUGUCUUGAAGGAAAACAACAUCGAAUAUCCUUCAAGACUAACCCCCCCUCAUCGAAUGCGCAAUUUGCCAGAUUUGGUGCAUUCAAAUAUUUUUGAUCCUUUGAAAGUACAAACUUUUGGGGAUGCAUCCUACUUUGUUACUUUUAUUGAUGAUUAUUCCAGGAAACUAUGGGUUUAUACCUUGAAAACAAAAGAUCAAGUGUUUGAUAAAUUUAACGAGUUUCAAACUUUGGUCGAAAGGCAAACUGGAAGAAAGUUGAAAUGCAUCCGGACAGAUAAUGGGGGUGAGUAUCGAUGACCAUUUGAAGAUUAUUGUAAGCAAAAGGGAAUUAGAUAGCAGAAGACGCCUCAACUGAAUGGUUUGGCUGAGAGAAUGAAUAGAACAUUGAUGAAGAGAGUUAGAUGCCUACUUGCAGAGUCGAAACUGUCAAAGUCCUUUUGGGGUGAGGCUUUGUAUACUAUUGUUCAUGUUAUUAAUCUGACUUCUACUGUUGCUUUGCAGGGUGAUGUUCCAGAAAAUGUUUGGACUGGUAAAAACACCCUCAUACAAUUAUUUGAGAGUUUUCGGUUGCAAAGCUUAUGUUCAUGUUCCAAAAGAUGAGAGGUCAAAAUUAGAUGCAAAAAGUAGACCAUGCAUCUUUGUUGGCUAUGGUCAAGAUGAGUUUGGUUAUAUACUAUAUGAUCCAGAUGCGAAGAAACUUGUGAAAAGCCGUGAUGUUGUGUUUCUUGCAAAACAAACCCUCGAUGAUAGAAGACAAACUCUCAUAUCCAUGAUGACCUCACAGAUUUUGAGCCAGUUCCUAUAUCCCAGUUACCUACAAGAGUUGAUGGAGGAGCUGAUAUGCAGCGUGAUGAUAUUGUUGAUGACCAGUAUGAUGGUGAUACACACAAUCCUAUGGAUGCUGAUGAUGAUCAACUCAGUCAUUCUAUGGUAAAUCCACAAGAAACUACACUCAGAAGGUCUACAAGAGUUAGACAACUGUCUACUAGAUAUUCUCCAAAUGAGUAUGUAUUCCUGACUGAUGUCUACUAGCUAUGGAGAAUGCAGACAAGUAGCAAUGGUUGCACGCUAUGGAGGAUGAGAUGAAAUCUUUGUAUGAUAACCAAACAUUUGAAUUGGUAAAAUUACUAAAGGGUACAAGGGCUUUGAAAAAUAGGUGGAUUUACAGACUGAAGCAGGAAGAGGGUUCUUCAACACCAAGAUAUAAAGCAAGAUUGGUUGUUAAAGGUUUCAACCAAAAGAAGGGAGUUGAUUUAGAAGAAAUUUUUCCCCCGAGGUUAAAAUGUCUUCUAUUCAAACUAUGUUAGGGGUAGCAGCAAAUCUUGAUUUAGAGAUUGAGUAAAUGGAUGUGAAGAUGGCUUUUCUUCAUGGUAAUUUGAAUGAAGAAAUUUAUAUGGAGUACCCAGAGGGAUUUUAGGUGAAAGGAAAAGAGGAUUACAUGUGCAAGUUAGAAAAGAGUUUGUAUGGCUUGAAACCAGCUCCGAGACAGUGGUACAAAAAAUUUAAGUCUGUUAUGCAACAACAAGGCUACAAGCUUCAAGUAUGGCACGUCCAUCGUAUUCUUAUGAUCUUUAACGAAUGUGUCCGCAGCUGUGUCAGUGCACUGGAUAAGCAACAGCUAUUUGGUAUUAAAAAGGAGGAAUUGCAGGAAGUGCUGCAUGAGGAGCAUUGUCUGAAUGACAAAGUAAAGUUUUUGGGACUUUGGGGAAUGUAAUAGGUCCUUCCCAGUUUCGUGUUUUGCCGUUUUCAUUCUAACUGUGCGUUUCUUCCUUUGUUUCAAGGUUGUGACACAGUACCUGCAUUUACUCCAGCGACAGUACCAGCAAUUUUGUUUCUUCAAUCCUUUGUUUUGGGUACGUUGUAAUACCCCUGUUUUUAAACUUCCCUUAAAUGUUCUUUGCAAAAUUUAUACGUAACUCUUCCCUCUGCUGCUCUUCAUUGCAGGUGAGAUGCGUGUUAGAUUAUCCACGCAUUUCUGCCACAACCAAAAAGCUCUUCGUUGAUGAAACCAAUGUCCAAAGUAUGAAAAAUCCUGAAAAGGUAUACUCUAACUUUUCAUUGUCAUUGGUUUCUCCCAGUAAGCAACGAGGGGUCACAGUAUUAGCUGCACAGCUGAUCGGCCUAAUAUUGGUACAAUUUUAACAAAUUUGACGCUGUUCACUGUGGUAUCCGUGCAGAUAUUUUUCCCCAUCAUUUAUUCGCAACAUUGGUUUGUCAUGAUUGCACAUCUCAACGAAAAACAAGUGUACAUUGUUGAUUCUUCGCACAACCUGAACACAUUCUAUCAGGGUUUGAUGCAGUCAGUGGUGCGUUCCGUGCAAACUUCUUGCUCUUCAUAAUAAGAAACAACAUCACAUUUACAAUGCCAGUGUUUUGUUUGUUUUGCAGGAAUGGAUUCUGGGCCAAUUUUUUAAGGAUCGACCCUGGACAUUUCACGUUGUACGGCACAGAAUUAAACAGAAGGAUGCUGCAAGUUGUGGCGUUUUCACUUUGAAGUUCAUUCAAUGUUGGGCAAUGGCCUGUCGCCCGAAACCUGUAAGUGCAGGGAUGCAUGAUUUCUAUCUACCAGACUAACUGUCUUGCAUCCAAAUACGGACAUCUGUAUGUACAGCUUGACGUUGUGAUUGCUAGAAAUUUUAUUGCCUGGGAGAUCGCAUUGGGAAAACUGGCAAACCCCAUCAAUUACGCUGCGUUUCUCGAACAAAAUAAACAGCCGACGCAGUUGCAUGACAGUGCAGAUUUGCAGGAAGGUCGUGCCAAACAUGACGAGCAGGUGGAGGCAGGACAAGGUACCGUACAUAUCCUAGUAUUGUAAUGUAGCGGUGAAUGUUAACGCUGUACGUCAUUUAAAAUUCUUGCUCAAAACGACCUUACUGGUAGCCAAACUGUUUCUUUAUAGCAGUUUCAAAAACCAAAACAAAAACCCCACGUCUUCCCCAUGUUUGCCUGUUCCAACACCUCUGUGGCUGACAAAGCACAGCGGGAACUGGUUUUGUAGUCUUGUAUACCAACACAUGCAAUGGCAGCUGGUUGGCAAAUUGUUGGUGUCCCCAGUCCAUUCCUUUUUCCCUUAAAAUCUGAAGAUUAUGUUGCUUCCUUUCACAUCUGUGGGACACAUUAGAUUUGACAGGGAAAUACAUCCAAUACAUGUAAUUGUUUUGUGGCAAUUUUUUUUGCAACGGAAACUACAGGACCGUCUUCAAGCAUAGCUCAAGGUCCUUCUACUAAGGGUUCGAAUAAGAAGCUUCUUAUUCUGGAUUUGAAUGGAGUUGUUAUUGGCAAUGCAUUAGGUAGGAGGACCAGAAAUCGGGACUUCAAUUUCAGACCCCAUUGCUUUGCUUUCUUGCAAUUCUGUUUCUCCUAUUUUGAUGUGGCAGUUUGGUCAUCCAAACAAAGGUAUACGACAGUGUAUAUUGUACAUGAAUUGCUCAACUCUUUACGGGUUGUGUGUUUCCGAUAACUGCUAUGUUCUGAAUGUCAUUUUUUUUGCAGGCAUAAUAUUGAACCAGUGUUGGAAAGUUUAUCAACACUGUUGAAGGAAAAUAUUAAAGAUAAACUGGUUUUUGUGUGGGUGAGACUUCUUUAGUAUUAUAUACGAUUCCCGUAGUCAAUCGAGCAGCCGCAAUUGUGCUAAUGUGCAAUUGGGACGCUUUUGUAUAUUGCAGGAUCAGUCCCGUUGCAUUGUGGCAGAAACCAGACUUAAGGAAAAUGCGGAGAAAAAUGUCAUGUUCAAGGAACUGAAAAGUGUUUGGGCAGAUUAUAGGUCAUACAACAGCUCUAACACAAUAUUAGUUGACGAUUCUCCGUACAAAUCAUUCAUCAAUUCUGUAAGCAUACCAUGUAAUACUCCAAUUUUGGCACUUAUGCUUCUAUUCCAGUUCAGAUGAAGCUGUAACGUUCUUUCACUCAUCAUUUAUGUAGCCUUACAAUGCAAUCUUCCCCAGCAGUUACACAUCACCCAAUGCGGCAGACAAUUAUCUAGGUCAGCUGGAUUUUCGUUUUAAUAAUGUGUACGGUUACACUUAGAGGAAAUUGUUCAGGGUUCCUGAAAGCUUGUGUUUUGCAGAUCCUGAAGGAAGCUUUGUAGAGUACCUGAAGAAAUUGGCCGAUGCACAGAAUGUACAACAAUUCAUCAAAGACAACGCUUUUGGCCAGUCACCCAUAGCUGAAGGCAGCGCCGAUUGCAAGUUUUACACUGAAGUUGUUUCCAAACUUGGCUUGGAAAAGCCAAGUUUGGACCAAUUGAAACGAAAGCGGGAACCCCCAAAGCGAUAUACUCCUGAGCUAGCCAUGGGGUACAUGUUCUCAACAUGUUUUGCAGAGCAGGAGUGUACUGUGUAUAUUUCUUAAUUGCAUGUCUGUUGCGCACAGACCAAACCGACAAGGAAAAUGUGAAAGCAUGACAAAGAUCAUGAUGAGGACCUAUCAUGAAGAGGAUGCUUGAGCAAGCGUGUGUUCAAAGAAGACAAGGUGUGUAUACAAAGGUGACAGAAGCAACACUGCUGCCUCACAACCGGACGCUUCGAGCAGGUACUCAUGUUUUCAUUUUGGCUCAUAUUUUAUUCCCUUAGGUCUGCCUUGUUUACAAACUUCCGUGGCCUGAGCGUCUUUAUGCAUGGUAUUCAAAUGGUCACGUCCAAUAUGAUUUACGGAUGGGAGUUUCGGAAUGCACAUGCAAAAUAAAGUUGUCGAUGACAGCAUAAGACAAAUGGAAUGUCGUUCGUACACCGCAACUUAGUCGUCGUCCAUGUAUUUACCUGUUUGUGGUUGUUGAGACAAGAAACUCGCAACGCAGUUGAAACACUGUUUUACGCCUCCACUUUUUUUGUACUGUUGUUUCAAGAGUCUGUCGUAUUGAACCCAAUAUUUCUUCUAAUGUUGUGCCUCUUGAGUGUCUUGACACAUAUGUUGAAACAUUAUGAAAUGUCCGCUUUGUCCCUGUAGGAUUGUGCCUGAUAAUGCUUAUGUAUGUGGGCCGAAGCGGUUUUUUUCCACCCUUAUAAGUUCAAAUAUUGUCAGCUUUGCUGCGGUGCUUAUUGUCGUAUUGUUUGAUAGCAUCUUUUCGUCUCUAACUCAAUCGUAGAUGCCAGUGAAUCCAUCUGCCCAUCUCUAGCAUCCUCCAGACAGAUGCAAUACUUACAAUGUACAUCCUUUUGGUGAAAGGGAAGCCUGUACGAUGGCUAUUGCUUUUGCUAAUGCACUGCGUAAACGUGUCGUUGGCAGGGGAGAAUUGGGUGGUGGCAGACGCAGCCAAACUGUUGCUGUCGGACAUGGGAAUGUGGGUGGUGCUGACAUCCUUGCACAACUUGCAGUAUAAAACAGACACCGGUUGAUGGAUUUCUGCAAAAGAAUUUGGCAGAUGUUAUCGUCAGGAUCCAUGCAGGUGCCGUGCAUACGGCUCCUGCAGCAAAUAAUUUUACUUUGCAGGUAACGGGUGCUUGUUUCUGCUAGUGGUAGGUUGUUUGUGGUUCUGACUUUAGGCUCAACGGUUGUCUUACUAGAUCAAAGCAUUGUGUAUUAUUACUGACAUAAAGCAACUGGAAUGUGUAAGCAAGCUGUAUUUUGGGUUCGAAAAACACUUGGUUAAAGAAAUAAAGCAGAAAUUUGUGUGUUUGGCUACAAAGGACCAUCACAUUCAUAUGUUUGUUGGCAGUGCAACAGAAGUGUCCCCAUUUUAUUUUUUGAAGUAAGUGUGGUAUUGCACUAAAUUUUCACAAAAAAUGCAGCUGUAUAUGGAUUUUGUCGAUAACAACAAAUGCGUCAACUUGUUUUUGGGUUCAGCUUUGUGGGGAAAAAAGCUGUCUUUUCCAACAAAGCACCACCAAAUAAAUGGCUUUCCCCAAUUACAACAGCAGUGUAACGAUCUUAGUAUAAAAAAAAAUAACCAAGUAGUUUUUCGCCUGCACAAACCUAUUUUGGAAUUACAUUAUAAGAACUUGGUGUUUUCCGACACAGCAGGAUUGAGGGUAUGCCUUACCCCCAAUUACCUGAGAACUGUACGCUUUUUUUUGGAAGAGAUCAACAAAAUAUUUCCGUCUACAUUAAUGUUUACCGUUUUCCCCCAAAAACCACCAGGUUUUUAUGGCUUUCCUCCAUUUGUGAAAGUUCAAAAAUGGCUUUCUUCCAUUUUAUGGCUUUCCAAAAACCCCAAAAACCCUGAAUUAAAAAUGUUAAUGGGAAAAUAAGUACUGUCUUCAAAUAAUGGAGGAAAGGCAUAAAUAGCCGGUGUUGUAAAGCAGUUCGGAGAUUUUUUUUUUUGGCCAGUCAUUUAAAAACUGUAUGGGAAUGUGCGAACUCCGUUGUUGUAAUGGCGGUAAGCCAUAAACAGCUGGUCUUUUACGGGAAAAUAUGACUUUUCUGAAAGUCCCAACCACAUGGUUUACGAACUUAUCCCCAAAAUAAUUUAGCUUUAUCCCUUCGUUUUAUAACAAUUGGAAUUAUAAGGGGUAAAUGACUUAAAUAACUACGUUUUUCGGAAAAAUGGUAAUUCAGUUCUUGUAAUGGAGAAAAUGCAUAAAAACCUGGUGUUUUAUUGGCAAAUAUGACUUUUGUCAAAGUCACCGCGAUUCAGUUUAUGCAAUGAUCCCAAACACAAUUUGGCUUUAUGCCUUUGUUUAUAACAAUUGUUAUAUCACAGGUAAAUGGCUUAAAUUAAAAACGUUUUUGGGAAAAUAGCAACUAUGUUGUUCAAAUGGAGGCAAAACCAUAAACAGCUGCUCUUUUAUGCGCAAAUAUUAGUUUUGCGGAAGUGACCGCGAUUUGGUUUAUGAAAUUUUCCGAAAAAGAAAUUGGCUUUAUCCCUUUGUUUUAUAACAAUUGUUCUAUGACGGGUAAAUGCAUAUUCAUUAAAAACCGUAAUGGGAAAACGGUAGCUCUGAUCUUGUCAUGGAGGAAACCCAUAAAGAGCUGGUGUUUGACGGGAAAAUAUGACUUUUGUGAUAGUCGCCGCGAUUUGGUUUAUGAAAUACUCCAACAAAUAACUUCUUGUUAUCCCUUUGUUUUAUAACAAUUGUUAUAUCACGGGUACAUCUCAAAUUUAAUUUUAUUUUAUUCCCAAAGUUUUAUAUAACCAAGCAUUAGCAACUGCAAUGGCGUCAUUUCGGAGGUGUCAACCAAGCUAGCUUUUGGAAUGAAAAGUUUGAUUCCAAAAGCAGAGUCUGUGAUUCCAUUUUGAAUUCCGUUUAGAAACAAUUAAACUAUGACCCCGUAAUUUAUAUUUUGUAUCAAUAAACAUGUAUCACUAUUCGAGUUACGGAUAGUACGAAUUACAUUACGUACGUUAACAUACAUUACACAGCUAAGUGUAAUUAAUAAUAAUAUUAUAAAUGCUGUGUAUGUGGGUAAAUUUGAUAUUGCAGUGCAAUGUAUAUAUACAAAAGUUAUAAAAGAAAUGGAAAAAAAAAAUGUAGUUGUACAAUGAAAGGGCGCGACUAGUGUAGCGAACCGUUUGACCAAACGGUUCGUGACACUAGUCAAUGGCUAUACAAACCCACGCGACGCAGUAGUUGAGGAGUCAGGGAGCCAAAUCGCACACUAUUCAAUGCGCAUGCAAUACGACGGCAGGCAGUAAUUGAGCAGUCAGCCAGGCAAAUCGCAAUGACAGGUGCCGAACCUGUGCAAUAAUAAUUACUAAAAAAUCCUAAUUACCACCUCAAUUAAAUAAUUAUAGAACAAAUCCAAGUACUGGAGCAGGGAUUCUAGGUGUGCAAUGGGUUACUUGAUUCACCCUGUUCCCGAAGAGUUUGCUUGAUCCGAUAUACCGGAUUCGUUUAUAAAAAUACUAAUUUUACGUACAAUGGCAAGUAGGGUCGAUUCCACAGGGAGCAGGUAGGAAAUUAUUUCUUUCCAAAUCAGCAGAGCAAAAUUGGGGGAUUUUCAAUGGGAGAGGAAUAAAUAAAAUAAAAGUAAAAUAAAAACAAAGCGAACUAAAUUCAAAACCAACUCACAAAGCACAAGUCACUAAAAAUAGCAAUUAAUAAGAUUCCACCCAAAGGAUUAACUGCUCAGGCACGGUCCAAUUAAAUGAUCAUCGAUGCAAAGAUAUUUCCUCCAUUUAUCACUAGGUUAGUUAAAGCUAUCAAUAAGCUCUGACAACCAGCUCUUCCUUACCUUUUCGACAGUCAAGGUACGACCAUUGACUGCUUCCCUAACCAGAUAACAACCCUACGUACGACCGUAGGAAUUUAAUUACCCAAUUGCAUUAAAGUUAGAAGAACCCAACCCUAACCAAUAAACACGCUAAGAUGGUUUAUUUAAAUUAGAUCUUGCGUUUCCCCAUCAUAAAGCCAAUUAUGGUGGUCGCCACGGGGUGUCAAUUAAAUGAACAAUUACGGAUUCUAUUUAAUUAACGUGGCAGUAGGAUAUUAAAUUAAAUCAAAUACCCGGCCGCUGAUAUUCAAUUAAUCAAAUACCCAUGAACAAUUAAUUCAGGAAACACACGAAUAGCAAUAAAUUGGGAGAAAUAAUAAAGAUUCGAUUAGAUCUCAUAGAUAUUAUGGACCGCACCCUUGCGUCACCCUUUGGGUAGAGGAGGAAAUUAGCCGCUCCUCAUCGUGUCAAUCCCGCGUAAAUUAAUUGAAUACAUUCAAUUGAUUGCCGAAGAAUUGGAAAAGCGCAAGAGUAAUCUGACGGAAUUUUGAAGAGUCAAAAGCAAAAAGUAAAAAGGGUCUCCGUUCUACGGAGCCCAGAUGCAAUCCGCGAGAAUCUCUAAUGUCUGGCCGCUAGCCGCUAGCCGCAGGCGGAACAAAAGUCAAGAGAAAAGAGCAGGAGCAAGCGUCUGACAAGGAGCAGAAAAGGAGAAUAAAAGCUAAGCCUAAAAAGUUGAUGAUCCAUCUUGCUUUGUCCUUUUUCUCUUUAUAGCCGCCGCAAUUCCAAGGAGUCCAAAAGCCAAGAAACGUCUAGUGCAAAUCAAUCUGCAAAAGCCAUUUCCCCCUUUGAGUUUUGAUCCCAUGCGCCUGGUGCACAUGGACCACGGUCCGUCUUUCGGUUUCGUCCACCUUUCAAGGCGUGGUCACGCUCUGGGACGACAAGUCUUCUGGAAAUUUUUCCCCGCGAUAUCUUUUUAAUGCUAACCACCUACAAUUCACGCAAAUGUCAAAUAUGAGUGAAAUCCCCUUUCUUAGCACCAUGAAUAGCCAAAAUUAGGACAAGAUGACAGUGCAAAAUGUGCCAAAUAACGGCUCUAUCAAAUCCCCCCACACCUAGACAAUGCUUGCCCUCAAGCAUUUCGAAACUCAGCCGUACAACCACGAGAGCGGAGGUCAUGCAGUAGUCUAUACUAACACAAGCAUCUAGGGUCCCUGACAAUAUCACCAAAGGUAGAACACACUGGACAUGUUGUAAUUUGAAUCGAAGAAUAUAUAAGGAUACUAGGAACGCUCAAAUCAACAUCACGGAACGUCAUUACCAUAGGCUUGCACAUUUAUCACAUCUCCACCACUUAAAAGUGAACCAAACACAUAAAUCAAAGGGGCUUUAAUAGGGUUGUAAUGGGGUUCAGGUGAAAAACGGGUUGAGAAAGUAUAGAUAGGGGGUAAAGUGUCAAGAGAAUGUCCGAAACUUACUAAUAACCAUAGUGCUUUACUGGGGGAGGUUCACUAGCUAGGCAGUUCCCAUUUGCUGUACACACUGUACAAGUGCCCAAAAUUAAAUUUUUUUUUUUUUUUUUUACGAACUGCUCGCAAGGCGUGGGCACGCCUUGUAACCCUUAGUCCACUGGUCACGAGGGCUUCUUCAAUUUUUUUUUUUUUUUUUUUUCAAGGCGUGGCCACGCCCUGUAAGCCAAAGUCCACUGGUCAGUGGCCCUCUUCCAAUUUCUCAUUCUUUCUACAAGGCUAACAUCAUAUGGCACCUAAUCUAAGACCACUUGCAACCCCCAAAUUCGUUUGUUUUCGCACAAAUGAUGGAAUUCAGGCAUCCCUUGACAACACAGGGGUAAACAAGAAAGUUUAAAGAGGUCUUGGGUUAACAAAUACGGAAAACAACCAGAAACGAAGCACAAAAGCUCAAAUUGGUCUACUAUUGGAAGAUAAGGUGAGGGCUUGAUUCUUUUAGAUAGCUAAAGAGGGUUAAACCUUAAAUGCCCUUAUCAUUUCAAAUGCAUCCAAUUCAACAAAAAUGUGGCCUUGACAUGUAUAAACUAGCAAGUUCUAGAAUGUCAAUACCAUGUGUGAUACCCACUCAAUCAAGCAAAAUAGAGCAAACAUGAAUAAUAUGCUCAAGCAAGGCUCAAAAGCUCCCCAAAAGUUACAAGAAUGGGUCAAUUCCAGCAUAUUCAUUAUUCAACAACAUUGCCAAGGGAAACAAAAUGGCUAGCUAGCAUACUUAACCACAUAACCACCUACGUUGAUUGUGUCAUUCAUCACAGCACAUGCCCCAACAUUGACAAGCAUAGACAUAAUUAACAAACCGAGCAACUACAAUGAUUCUCAUUACUAUUUUUUCUUCUUUUUCAAAAAUUUUUUUUCUUUUUUUUUUCUUUUUUUUUCUUUUUUUUCAACGAAGCAAAAAGCACAGAACUGAUGAGACAAAGCUAAAAGGACUAGUGAUUCAACGAAGCAAAAAGCACAGAACUGAUGAGACAAAGCUAAAAGGACUAGUGAAAAUCACUCCCCCCACACCUAAGACCGACAUUGUCCCCAAUGUAGGAAAGAUAAAUGAAGUAUUAGGAGAACUGAGAGGAACUUCCCUGAUCACCGGGGAGUGAAAGCGAGACACUAAGGUGGAGGGGGAUGAGGCGGCAUGAAUCCAAUGUGAGCGUAGAAGGCCGCCUGAUUUUCUGCCUGAAUGCGGGCGAAGACUUGGAGCGCCAUAAGACGGCCAUCUAUCUGUGAUAGCUGGGUGUUGAGCUCAUGGACACCCUCCUGGAGGUCUGGGUAGCGGGGGUCUCUAGCAAGAGAAGGAUGCGAGGAGGACGGUCCCGCCUGAUCCGGAUGCGGUGGCAAGUCAGUGGAGGGUGCAGUGGCGGGCAUCCGAGGCCGUGGGCCGUCUUCACCAGGGAGCGUAAAUUGGUAGACAUCGCCCACCUUUCGAAUGACACCCAUUCGCUCUAAACUGCGCAAAUCCAGUGGCUCAAUCUCUCGAGCUAGGGCGAAGUUGUGUUCCCUGUCAAGGUCCAGCACUCCUAAUCGGAUGGCCAAGUGGGUAAUGAGCGAGCCUAGGAUAAUCGGUUUAUUUUGCUUAUGAAUGACUGACUCCAUUUGAGUGGCUAUCCAACACCCAAAAUUAACCUUAACAUUGUUGCGCAUGCACCAAAGGAAGUAGAAUUCUGCUUUGGUAAGGGUGCCGGAGGAAUCCUUUCGCCCCGAGAAAUUGUAAGCCAAGAACCUGUGGAUGACCUUUAAGACCGGAUCCUUCAGUUCAGAGGCCUUGGACUGACUCGGAUUAUAAACUAGCCGAUCCGUAGACCACUCCCUCCAGAUGUCAAUAUAUUCAGUUCUGAACGGUCUGGUGUAGUCAAUAGCACUAUUAAUAUAUGCUCCGGAGGCAAUGGUGUCCUCACUUACAAACCCCAAAGUCAGAUUAAACUCAUUGAUUGAAAAAUCAAAAUGUUUGCCUUUUAAUCGAAACCGAAUAAUUUCCGGCUCAUCCAAAGUGAUGUACUGAUUCCUGAUAAACUCAAAAGAGCAGUAAAAUUCACAACAAAGCUCCUCAAACGUGGGGUAGUUAAUGCUCAAAUACUUUUCCCAACCUAUCGCUGAGAACAAUUGCUCAACCUCCCGAGCAAUCCGCAGAUGGUCCAGGGUUGGGGCAUGGAAGCACUUACAAGGAGCAACAGGUCGGUUCACCAAAGUGUUAAACCGGUCCUGUUGGGCCCUUGUAAGAUUAGUGAUCGGUUCCCCCCACUCUCCAGGAGACAUGGUGCUCUUAUUCAGGCCCAAACGGGACCGAAUGGUGGGUUGUACCGGGGCUCGUCUCUUCCGAGGUUGGGACCCAGACGGCCCAGCAGUAGUUGUCUUCUUAGGGGUAUUGAGGGACCACAGACAGAGUAGAUUAGCUUAAAUAUAGCCAGCCAAUCACCAAGAGCAGAUAUGAGACCACCGUCAACAAGAAUUACUAAAUACUCAGCAGUUCAACAACCAAAGGGGACACGGUUACCCCACCAAACAGCGACCAAACCACACACCAACCAAUUCCCCACUGCUGGCAAUUAGCCGACAACAAUAAAGAAGACCGAGCCAACUCCCCUCAAAUCAAGAUAUUAGUCAAUAAAAGGCAGCACUCAGAGGACUACCAACCACGUGUUCCAAAUAAUAAAUUCACUAGAGCCCACAGAUAUCUCAAGUAUAAAUUCACAGGGAAGCAGAUAUAAGGUGUUUCUCUUCAGAUAAUCAACCCACUGGUCCCCCGACAAUGCCCACAAUUAUAGCAACCCAAAAGGAGGCAAAAUUCGGCAAUUAAAACUCCCAAUCGAAGUCACCAGUUCAACAAGAAAAAUAGGGGUACCACUUUUGUCCUUUGUCUCAGCUGAAGAAGAAAGUGGCGGAGAAGGAGUUCUGAGGCUGGGCGCGCGCGAAGGUGGGCAGGCGCAGGCGCGCGCAGGCGCGCGCAGGUGAGCAGGCUGAGGGAGGCUGCAGGACGCUGGCAGAUCUGGGCGCGCCUGUCGCGCGCGCGGGUGCUCGCGGAUGCUAGGCGCGGUGCUGCUGGCUGUUGGCGCGCUGUAUGCUGUUGGCGCGCGGGGGAGGCUCUGGGCUGCGCGGAUCUGGCCGGGCGUCGCGCGCGGCGUGCGGCUUUGGCGUGGCGCGACCUUGUGCUGGUGCUACGCAGGCGCGACGUGCGAGGGCUGGGGCGGCGCUGCGACGGCGUACGGCGACGGACGGCGAUGGCUGCAGAACUCCAAGGGGGUGGCGGACGGCGAUGUGCGGCGGCAGGCCAGGGUUGGAAGAAGAAGUGAAUUGCAGACAAAAGAAAUUGAGAAGAGAGAGCCCAAGACCGGUCAAAGAAGAAGAAAAAGUGGAAGAAGUGGCGAUUCUGGUCAAAAUUAAAGUUUUGACUUUUUUUUUUCUUUUUUUUCAACGAAGCAAAAAGCACAGAACUGAUGAGACAAAGCUAAAAGGACUAGUGAAAACCAAAGUGGAAGAAGUGGCGAUUCUGGUCAAAAUUAAAGUUUUGACUUUUUUUUUUCUUUUUUUCGCUAUCGGAGGGUAUGGAAGGCGUGGGCACGCCUUGAAGGGCAUAGUUCUCUGGCCAGCGCAUCUUAAUGAAACUCAAGCGAAUUUUUGUCCAAGCACGGGCACCUGGCGCACCCUUCCCAAGACGUGGGCACGCCUUGAAACCUCUAGUCUUCUGUCCAACACUACAAAAACAGUCAAAACACUAAGAUAAAACUGAAAAAUCGCAGAGUAAGUAAAAAUGAUCACAACUAAUACUGUAAUCCUUGGGUUGCCUCCCAAGCAGCGCCUUUCUUUAAUGUCUUUGGCUAGACAUGGCCUUCAAUUGUUUAAAUUUCACCCCUUGGAUUAUCAAGGAAUAAAACCUCCACUUGCUCACUAUUAAACUCUUCGUAAUAAGGCUUUAGACGGUGACCAUUGACUACGAAUCUUUUCUCCGUCUUAAGACUUUGUAUUUCCACUGCACCAUAAUGAGAAAUAUUAGUAACAAUAAAUGGACCAAUCCAACGGGAGCGCAACUUACCAGGAAAAAGCUUAAGUCUUGAGUGAUAAAGUAAGACUUUUUGCCCUACGACAAACGACUUUCUCGAAACUUGUUGAUCAUGGAAAACUCUGCUUUUCUCCUUAUAAAUUGCGGAAUUCUCAUAGGCUUCAUUCCUUAGCUCUUCCAACUCUUGUAAUUGGAGCUUUCUGUGUCCUCCAACCCCCAUGAGAUCCAUGUUACACCGCUUAAGUGCCCAAAAUGCUUUGUGUUCAUAUUCCACUGGGAGGUGGCAAGGCUUCCCAAAAACUAACCUGUAAGGGGACAUCCCAAUCGGUGUCUUAUAUGCAGUGCGGUAGGCCCAGAGAGCAUCUUCCAAUUUUACACUCCAAUCCUUCCUAUCAGGCCUUACCAUCUUCUCCAGGAUCGACUUAACCUCUCUAUUCGAUACUUCGGCCUGACCAUUCGUUUGGGGAUGGUAGGGAGUGGACACUUUGUGGAGCACACCAUACUUACGAAACAAGGCGGUGAUCGUUUUAUUGCAAAAGUGGGUGCCCCUGUCACUCACUAUGGCUCUCGGCAUUCCAAAACGGACGAAAAUGUUAGAUCUUAUAAAAUCUACAACCACUCUAGAAUCAUUAGUUCGGGUGGCUUUUGCCUCCACCCAUUUGGAAACAUAGUCAACAGCAAGUAUAAUGUACAAGAAACCAAAGGACGAGGGGAAGGGACCCAUGAAAUCCAUACCCCAUACAUCAAAAAUCUCAACAAACAAUAUAGGGGUUUGACUCAUUUGGUCUCUCCGAGAGAUAUUCCCCACCCUUUGACACUUAUCACAAGAUUUGCAAAACAGAUAUGCAUCCUUAAACAGAGUAGGCCAAUAAAAACCACUUUCUAACACUUUACGAGCCGUCCGCUUUGGACCAAAAUACCCACCACAUGCAAACGAGUGACUGAAAGCCAAAAUAGAGUGAAACUCACCUGCACUUACACACCUUCUUAUCACCUGGUCUGAACAUUGCCUCCAUAGGUAUGGGUCAUCCCAAAGGUAAUGUUUGGCAUCACUCUUUAGCUUAUCCCUUCUAGCUUUUGACCAACCUGUAGGUAAUUGACUUGCUACCAAGAAAUUUACAAUAUCGGCAUACCAUGGUGCCGACGAAUCAAUGGCCAGAAGUUGCUCCUCAGGGAAUGACUCCCUCAACGGUAGAUCUUCUUGAUUCGUGAGCAACCGGCUCAAAUGGUCAGCCACCAAAUUCUCGGCUCCACUCUUAUCCUUAAUCUCUAAGUCGAACUCCUGCAGGAGCAGGAUCCAUCUAAUGAGCCGCGGUUUGGCAUCCUUUUUCGCCAACAGGUACCUCAAGGCUGCAUGGUCAGAGAAAACAAUUACUUUUGCACCCAAUAAAUAUGACCUAAAUUUCUCUAGUGCAAAAACAACAACUAGUAAUUCCUUCUCCGUCGUGGAGUAAUUAAGUUGGGCUCCACUUAAGGCUCUCGAUGCGUAGUAGAUCGCGUGUGGCACUCUUCCAAUUCGUUGUCCCAACACGGCCCCCACGGCAUAGUCACUUGCGUCGCACAUAAUUUCAAACGGAAGGCUCCAAUCUGGGGGUUGAAUGACAGGCGGCGAUGUCAGUGACUCCUUCAAUUUAUCAAACGCCACCUUACAUUCACUUGUGAAAUCAAACGGCACGUCUUUCUGCAGUAGUUUGAACAGGGGUGCUCCGAUCUUCGAAAAGUCUCUGAUAAAUCUCCUGUAAAAACCUGCAUGGCCCAAAAACGAACGCACUUCCCCUACACAUACGGGGUAAGGUAGAGCAGAAAUAAGGUCUAUCUUAGCUUUAUCUACCUCUAUGCCCUUAGCCGACACAACGUGUCCUAAGACAAUGCCAUGAUCUACCAUAAAGUGACACUUUUCCCAAUUAACUACCAAAUUCGUCUCUAUGCACCUUUUCAGAAUUAAAGCCAGAUUUUCCAAGCAUUCAUCAAAACUGUCCCCAUACACACUGAAAUCAUCCAUGAAUACCUCAAUUAUUUUCUCUACAUACUCGGAGAAAAUACUUACCAUGCACCUUUGAAAGGUCGCUGGAGCAUUGCAGAGUCCGAAAGGCAUCCGGCGGUAGGCAAACGUGCCAAAUGGGCAUGUGAAGGUAGUUUUCUCCUGGUCUUCUAGUGCGAUCGCGAUCUGAAAGUAACCUGAAAAACCAUCCAAGAAACAAUAGUAAACACGACCUGCCAAUCGUUCUACCAUCUGAUCAAUAAAGGAGAGGGAGAAAUGGUCCUUUUUUGUCACGGCAUUUAGCUUCCUGUAGUCGAUGCACUGACGCCAGCCAGUAGCUUUCCUGACCGGGACCAUAUCACCUUCCUGGUUCUCCUCCACGGUCACUCCCGUCUUUUUCGGGACUACCUGGACAGGACUCACCCAUGGGCUAUCCGAGAUAGCAAAAAUGAUCCCCACCUCUAGAAGCUUGAGUAUCUCCUUUUUCACAAUCAUCAGGGGGUUCAACCUCCUUUGAGCCUGUCUUACUGGCUUCGCAUCUUUCUCGAGCCGAAUUCGGUGCAUACAUAAGGAUGGACUUAUUCCCUUAAUAUCUGCUAUACUCCACCCAAUUGCCUCCUUAUGCUCCCUCAAGACCCGCACUAGUUUGUCUUCUUGACUUGGAGACAGGUGCGCAGAGAUGAUUACCGGUAGUGUCUCCCGGUCUCCUAGGAAUGCGUACUUAAGAUGCUUUGGCAGAGGCUUUAAUUCUAAAUCUGGUGCCUGCACAACUGAAGGAAGCAGUUUCGUUUGAGCCUCUAGCACAAAAAGAGAAGUAAGCUCAUACCUUGGGGAUACGGGUGGAAGUGAGUGUAAGGCUUCCACUGCAUGGAGCAAAUCUCCCCUUAGGUCCACAUCAUGAGUUACACCCAACUCCAAGUGCUUGGCUAGAGCCACUUCCAAAGCGUCUUCGCCAUCUAAUUCGAAAAUUUCCUGCACAAAAGACUCAAUAACACUCAAAGCAAAGACCGAGUUAGAUUCUUCUGCGUACUUCAUCGCCUCAAAAAUAUUGAAAUUCACAGUUUCACCAUCAAAUUCCAUUGACAAAGUACCCUCAUUCACAUCUAUCUUAGCCCUGGCAGUGCUAAGAAAUGGUCUACCUAACAAGAUAGGUGAUGGGCUUAAUGAUUUCUCAUCUCCCAUGUCCAAGAUAUAAAAAUCUGCAGGAAAAACCAAUUCAUUUACCUGAACCAAGACAUCCUCAACUAGCCCCUCUGGAUAUGCAUUUGUGCUGUCAGCUAGUUGGAUUAUGAUGGCUGUUUCUUUAAGUGGCCCAAGAUUUAGAGAAGCAAAAAUAGUCUUUGGCAUCACAUUGAUUGACGCCCCUAAAUCUAACAUUGCUUUCCUAAUCGGUGUAUUCCCUAUCUUACAGGGGAUCGCGAACAUACCUGGAUCUCCACACUUGGGUGGGAGUUUUCUUUGGAGCAUUGCUGACACAUUCUCUCCCACUGCUACUCUCUCAUCCCCUCUCAGUUUCCUCUUAUGGGUGCACAGAUCUUUGAGAAAUUUAGCAUAUUUCGGUAUCUGCUUGAUUGCAUCCAGUAAAGGGAUGUUAAUUUCCACCUUUCGGAACACAUCCAAAAGCUCUUUUUCCUUCUCUACCUUUUUUGUCUUCUCCAGCCUGCAAGGAAAAGGAGGUAAGUUAGAUUUAAUAGUGGGCGGAGAAGUGAAGGUUACCUCAGGAUCCUUGCGAAUACGCCCUUCCUCUUCAAUUUCCUUCUCUAUCUCCUCCUCACUCUUGCUUUUUGAAUUUCCCUCUUUCGGCCCUUCCAGUGUCUUGCCACUCCUCAGGGUCAUGGCACUUACAUUCCUGGGGUUUAUUUCGGGUUGUGAAGGUAACUUUCCAUAAGCAUGGGACUCCAAGCGAUUUAUGGCAGUUGCCAUCUGGCUUAUUCGAGUCUCCAUAUCUUUCAUGCCUGAUUUUGUGUCCUGCUGGAACUGGUUGGUGCUCAUGGUUAAAUCUGUAGUUUCUUGCUGGAGUUGAGCCAUAUUUGUGGUCAAUGACCUGGUCUCCUGCUGGAACUGUCUAGUCUCUUGCUGAAUCUGGGCGGUAGUCGUAGCCAGACUCUUGACAAUAUCCUCCAAGGAACUCCCUGUGUUGGAGGAUGAUGGUUGUGAUUUCGGUUGCCACGGUUGCUGAAAUCCUGGUGGACGAUUCGGAAAUGAAUUUUGUUGCCUGUUCCCAUAGCUGAAAUUGGGAUGAUCUCUCCAACCCGAAUUGUACGUGUUGGAGUAUGGAUCAUACUGCCUACGAGGCGCGGGCACGCCUCCAGCCAUGUUCACCUGCUCCGCCCCGUCCUCUUGCAAAAUGAGGCACGUGUCCGUGCAGUGGCCCAUGCUAGUACAGAUCCCACACACCUUUGCUCGCGGUGUUUCUCUCAUGGCUAGUUGCCUAACAACCGAUGUCAAUUCUGACAUUUGCUGUUGUAGGGAUGAAAUCUCUACCUCAUUGACUUUACGGCGAGGGUUGCUCUCACGGAAGCCAAAUUGCUGGGAGUUCUCUGCCAUGGCUUCGAUGAGCUCCCACGCUUCCCUCGGUGUCUUGUUCGCUAGUGCUCCCCCACUCGCAGCAUCAAUGAUACUCCUAUCUGUUGGUUGGAGCCCUUCAUAGAAGUACUGGAUUAACAGUUGUUCACUAAUUUGAUGCUGCGGGCAUCUAGUGCACAACUUGUUAAACCUGUCCCAGUAUUCAUACAAGGACUCACCAGGAUGUUGUUUAAUACCGCAGAUUUCUUUCCUCAAACUCGCAGCCCGGGAUGCAGGGAAGAAUUUUUCUAAGAAUUUCUUUUUCAGCUGCGCCCAUGUGGUAAUACUACCUGCUGGUAGGUAGUACAGCCAAUUUUUAGCUGCAUCUUUGAGAGAAAACGGGAAGGCUCUCAGUCUAAUUUGCUCUUCAGUGACCCCAGGAGGUUUCAUACUAGAGCAUACUACCUCGAACUCCUUGACGUGCUUGUGGGGUUCUUCACCAGAUAGACCAUGGAAAGAAGGUAGGAGGUGAAUCAACCCCGACUUCAGUUCAAAAGCAGUAUUCUCAGCCAAAGUGGGGAAUGUGAUGCAUAAGGGCUGGUGAGUCAGCUCCGGGGCAGCCAGCUCCCUCAAUGUUUGGUUGUUGGCCAUGCUUACUUCGUCUUCCGCUGACUCGUUUGUAGCAAUUAAGUGCCCUUGUUUUCGUCUCUUGGUCUCUUGCCUCCGCUUAUGCGCUGCCUUCUCAACCUCCGCGUCGUAUAUCAAUUCACCUGUACGAGAAGAACGGGGCAUAAACUAGCAAAAGUAUCAAGAAGAAUAGAAUAAAAUAAAAAUAAAAAUAAAAAUUGAAUUUGAAAAGAAACAAAUAAUCCAAACGCCAGCUCCCCGGCAACGGCGUCAAAAAUUGACAGGUGCCGAACUUGUGCAAUAAUAACUACUAAAAAGUCCUAAUUACCACCUCAAUUAAAUAAUUAUAGAACAAAUCCAAGUACUGGAGCAGGGACCCUAGGUGUGCAAUGGGUUACUUGAUUCACCCUGUUCCCGAAGAGUUUGCUUGAUCCGAUAUACCGGAUUCGUCUAUAAAAAUACUAAUUUUGCGUACAAUGGCAAGUAGGAUCGAUUCCACAGGGAGCAGGUAGGAAAUUAUUUCUUUCCAAAUCAGCAGAGCAAAAUUGGGGGAUUUUCAAUGGGAGAGAAAUAAAUAAAAUAAAAGUAAAAUAAAAACAAAGCGAACUAAAUUCAAAACCAACUCACAAAGCACAAGUCACUAAAAAUAGCAAUUAAUAAGAUUCCACCCAAAGGAUUAACUGCUCAGGCACGGUCUAAUUAAAUGAUCAUCGAUGCAAAGAUAUUUCCUCCAUUUAUCACUAGGUUGGUUAUAGCUAUCAAUAAGCUCUGACAACCAGCUCUUCCUUACCUUUUCGACAGUCAAGGUACGACCAUUGACUGCUUCCCUAACCAGAUAACAACCCUAGGUACGACCGUAGGAAUUUAAUUAUCCAAUUGCAUUAAAGCUAGAAGAACCCAACCCUAACCAAUAAACACGCUAAGAUGGUUUAUUUAAAUUAGAUCUUGCGUUUCCCCAUCAUAAAGCCAAUUAUGGUGGUCGCCACGGGGUGUCAAUUAAAUGAACAAUUACGGAUUCUAUUUAAUUAACGUGGCAGUAGGAUAUUAAAUUAAAUCAAAUACCCCGCCGCUGAUAUUCAAUUAAUCAAAUACCCAUGAACAAUUAAUUCAGGAAACACACGAAUAGCAAUAAAUUGGGAAAAAUAAUAAAGAUUCGAUUAGAUCUCACAGAUAUUAUGGACCGCGCCCUUGCGUCACCCUUUGGAUAGAGGAGGAAAUUAGCGCUCCUCAUCGUGUCAAUCCCGCGUAAAUUAAUUGAAUACAUUCAAUUGAUUGCCGAAGAAUUGGAAAAGCGCAAGAGUAAUCUGACGGAAUUUUGAAGAGUCAAAAGCAAAAAGUAAAAAGGGUCUCCGUUCUACGGAGCCCAGAUGCAAUCCGCGAGAAUCUCUAAUGUCUGGCCGCUAGCCGCUUGCCGCAGGCGGAACAAAAGUCAAGAGAAAAGAGCAGGAGCAAGCGUCUGACAAGGAGCAGAAAAGGAGAAUAAAAGCUAAGCCUAAAAAGUUGAUGAUCCAUCUUGCUUUGUCCUUUUUCUCUUUAUAGCCGCCGCAAUUCCAAGGAGUCCAAAAGCCAAGAAACGUCUGGUGCAAAUCAAUCUGCAAAAGCCAUUUCCCCCUUUGAGUUUUGAUCCCAUGCGCCUGGUCCACAUGGACCACGGUCCGUCUUUCGGUUUCGUCCACCUUUCAAGGCGUGGUCACGCUCUGGGACGACAAGUCUUUUGGAAAUUUUUCCCCGCGAUAUCUUUUUAAUGCUAACCACCUACAAUUCACGCAAAUGUCAAAUAUGAGUGAAAUCCCCUUUCUUAGCACCAUGAAUAGCCAAAAUUAGGACAAGAUGACAGUGCAAAACGUGCCAAAUAACGGCUCUAUCA